AUUCACAUAACCCAGUUGAUCAGGAGAAACAUGGCCUACUCUGCAAAGCCUUCUCACCUUCUUCUCUUUGUUUUCUUUCUCUCAUCACUUGAAUGCAUUCUUGCAACAACACGAGAAGGAGAAGCUCUUGUGAAGUGGAAGAAUAGCCUAGCCCCUUCUUCUUUUCUCGACUCUUGGUCACUCACCAAUCUCGAUAAUCUUUGUAAUUGGACUGGCAUUACUUGUAACUCUGCAGGUUCAGUCUCUAAGAUUAACCUUUUUGAGAAACAACUUGAUGGAAUGUUGUCCGAGUUUGGUUUCACUUCAUUUCCAAAUCUCAACAAUCUCACCCUUGCAAACAACUUCUUCUCGGGUCCAAUACCGCCAGCCAUUGAGAAUUUAACACAGCUUCAAUAUCUUGAUUUGAGAAAUAAUUAUCUAGAUGGUCCCAUUCCGUUCCAGGUUAGCCAUCUUCAGAGCUUGCUCAUCUUAAACCUGUCACAGAAUGCAUUGCAAGCUCCAAAUUGGUCCCAUUUCUCUCCCAUGCCUUUCUUGCGCAUCCUCAACCUCAGUUACAAUCCUCUUGCGUCGAAAUUCCCAUAUUUUAUAUCCAAUUCUCAUAGCCUGACUCACCUUAGCCUUAAUUAUAACGAGUUUACUGGUGAUUUAGUACGUGAAUCAGUAUUUGCCAAUCUGCAUAAUCUUGAAGUCCUCAGUCUUGUUGGCAAUUCUUUUGAGGGGUCAUUUCCGCCAGAUAUAUUCAAGCUUUCCAAAUUAAAACGUCUUGCCCUGUCAAGUAACAAAUUUUCAGGUUCAAUUCCCAAUGACUUAAGGUUGCUUCAUGAUCUUGAAUCCCUGUAUUUAGGCAACAAUUCCUUUGAAGGACCGCUUCCACCAAAUAUAUUCAAGCUUUCAAAAUUAAAAAAUCUUGUUAUUUGGAGUAAUAAGUUUUCAGGUUCUGUUUCCAAUGAUAUAGGUUUGCUUUCUGAGCUUGAAACCCUCGAUCUUAACUCUAAUUUUUUUGAGGGGCCGCUUCCGCCAAAUGUAUUCAAGCUCUCCAAACUAAGGUUUCUUCACCUCUGGGGUAAUAACUUUUCAGGUUCUAUUUCCAAUAAUAUAGGUUUGCUUUCUGAGCUUGAAACCCUCGAUCUUAACUCUAAUUUUUUUGAGGGGCCGCUUCCGCCAAAUGUAUUCAAGCUCUCCAAACUAAAGUUUUUUGCCCUUCGUGAGAAUAACUUUUCAGGUUUUAUUUCUAAGGAUAUAGGUUUGCUUUCCCAACUUGAAAGCCUCUAUCUUGGCUCUAAUUUUUUUGAGGGGCCGCUUCCCCCACAUAUAUUUAGGCUCUCCAAAUUAAGAGAUCUGGACCUCUCAGACAAUAGAAAUUUAUUUGAAGGAAGUAUUCCUAUUGGACUGGGACUCUUGACUAAUUUCAGCUUCUUAGAUCUAAAUUCCAAUAAUCUCGGUGGCUAUAUUCCAUCUGACAUUGGAAACCUGAAGCUACUAGUAUAUCUUGAUCUCAGUUCUAAUCAAUUGACUGGACAGCUUUCAAAGAUCAUUUCUAAUCUCACAAAUCUUAUAAGUCUUGAUGUAAGUUAUAAUAGUUUUAGUGGAAAUAUUCAGAGUGACUUGUGGAACUUCCCUAAGGAAUAUAACAAUCAUCCAACUUUGGAAUACAUCGCUUUUAAGUGGGAACCAUUUUACAGGUAUAUUUUCUCUAUAUAUCUUUUCCUUUUCUCAUAUGUAACUAAGCUAGUAAUCUGAUUAUUGCUGUUUUACCAAAUUUUAACAAUCUUGACAGGUGAGCUUCCAACAACAAUUUGCAAUGUCACUUCCCUUUCAAUUCUUGAUUUGUCAAAUAAUGAAUUAAGUGGUGAACUUCCAAACUGUUUCGGGAAUCUUGCUGAUGGAUUGCUUUACAUUAAUCUUGCUAAUAAUCAGUUUCGAGGAACAAUACCAACUACUUUCUCCAGGAGUUGUCAGCUGACAUGCAUAUCUAAACAUGGAUAAUAAUGAGUUUGAAGGAUUGAUGCCCCCAUCUUUGGCGAACUGUAAGCACUUGAAAAUUCUUGAUAUAGGCAAUAAUAAAAUAGGUGGUACAUUUCCGUCAUGGCUUUAUGCACUUGGAGAGCUAGAAGUUCUUGUCUUGCGAUCAAAUAAACUCUAUGGUACAAUAAGUGGAAGGAGCACAGAAGAUCCCUUCCCCAAGUUGCGGAUUAUGGAUUUGUCCAACAAUCAAUUCACAGGCCAUUUGCCAAUUCAAUACUUUAAGAAUAUGAAAUCAACUGAUAAUUUGUAUCGUUUUCAGAAUGUGACAGCAGUUUUUACUAUCCAUUAUGAAGCAGCAGUCUCAUUAACUGUGAAGGGAACAGAGUAUGAAGUGACAAAUAACCUUCAUAUUUACACAGCUAUUGAUCUGUCGUGCAACAAAUUUCAGGGUGAAAUUCCAAAAGUUAUUGGAGAGCUUAGAUGGCUUGCAUUGCUCAACUUAUCGCAUAAUAGUCUGACAGGACAUAUCCCGUCAUUGCUGAGAAAUAUGAAAGAACUCCAAUCUUUAGAUUUGUCCUCAAAUCAACUGACAGGGGCUAUUCCACCUCAGUUAACUGCACUGACAUUUCUAGAAGUCUUAAACCUCUCGGGAAACCAUCUUAGUGGAGAGAUUCCUCAGAAAGGACAAUUCAGCACAUUCAACAAUGAUUCUUAUCUAGGAAACUCCGCAUUAUGUGGAUCACCAUUGAUGAAGAAAUGUGCAAACACAGCAUCACCUCCACAAGAAGUCGGAAAUGGUGAUGAAGAUGAUGCUGGAGAUGAAUUGACAUGGGAAGCAAUCGUGAUGGGAUAUGGAUGUGGACUGAUAUGUGGAUUGUCAUCUGCAUACAUUGUUCUCAAACUAGGAAAGCCUUGGUGGUUUGUGAGAUAUAUCGAAGUGCUGCAACUGAAGUUGAUGAAAAGAUAUGCAUGAAGAAUGGUACUGGCCAAUCAAGACCAACUUGAAAGUUGUUGGACAUUUCUGAACCAGUAGUGUACUAUUCUCUUUGUGGCUGCAUAAGUUUUUGGUAUUGGUGUAAUAUUUUGUUUGGUCUUGAAUCAUAAUGAUUUUUCUUUUUUCAGGGGUAUUAAUAUAAACCUUGGUAUUGUGUAAUAUUCUGUUUGAUCAAUGUUUAUAUCAGUAAUUAUAUGCUCCUCACUGCAUCAUGCAGCUCUCAUAAUAUUAUUAUUAUUAUUAUUAUUAUUAUUAUUAUUAUUAUUAUUAUUAUUAUUAUUAUUAUUAUUAUUAUUAUUAUUAUUAAUUGAUUACACACUCACACGUGGGGAGUCGACCUCCCGACCUCCAGCAAAGGGGUAAAAGAGCUCUCAUAUUAUCUUCAUAUGUGUAUUAUUUGGAUAUCAAAGUUGCAGGGACAUAUGGAUAUGUGUUAACAGGGACUGCUCGGUCUUGGACGGACUCUUUCCAAGUCCUCUGGGGUCCUAUCGAUUCAAAUUAGUCUAUUAUCUGCAUACUAGCUAAUUUGUCCAACUCGGGCUUCAAUAGUAAAGAUAAUAGGUGCGAGUUGAGUUUCUCAAAGUAUGAGUACAAUAUCGUUUUUUAAUGAUAGUUAGGGGGUGUGAUAUGCAAUUACCUCAAAAAUAUAUGAUCAUUAGUAUAUUAUAUUAGUAUCCACACACUUAUAUCUCAAAAUCUAUCCUCCAAAAUUAUCAUCUCUAUAGGCUAGCCACAUAAAAUAAAAAUUUAAAGAUAUUAGAUAUUUAGUUAUUUUCAUCAUAUAAUUUUUCCAUGCAAAAUAACAAAAUAUCUUUAUCAACUUAUUAUUUAUGAGUUAAAUAUUCAAGUUAUAUAAUUCGGGCAUGCUGGGUAUAAAUAGAAGUGUAACGCCUAAUUUCCGGGGUCUGGGAGUAGUUGGCGGGGUAUGAGAGAGCAGGCUAUUCAGAAGUCUUGGUCAUGAAAACUUCCAAGCUAACUUCGACAACGGAAUCUUCUGAGGCUACUAUUCUAAAGCACGCAUAAUCAUUGUAUUCAUAUUCCUCUCACACUGACAAAAAGUCUAUUUAAGCAAAUGAAAUACAAACAACUGAGUGGAAUGCUGACCGAAAAUCUUUUUGGCUGAGCUUAUGAGUUAUUAGUACAUGAUUAAUAUGAUAAGCUAAGCUGAGAGCAUAAGAUAUCGUUUGUAUAAUUUUGUGUUUAUUAAUGACUUAUAAAUUAUUAAAAAUAUAAUAAGAAAAAUAAAAAUGUUUUAUAACUAAUUUAUGUUUCAUGAGUAAUUUUUAUUAGAAAAAAGUUUUAAAAAAUUAUUUCACUGGAAAAAAACCUCCAACUAACUUUUGGCUCUAAAGUCAGUUUGUGACUUAUUUCUGACUUUAAAUCGGCUUCUCACUUUUACACAAACAAAAAUUUUUCAGCUUAAAGUUAAAAACAACUUUAAGCUCCGGUUUUAAACCUCGACAAACAUGCUCUGAGUUUGGUUUCACUUCAUUUACAAACCUCAACAAUUUCACCAUCAAACACAAUGACUUCUCCAAUCUCCGGUCAAGUACCACCAGCCAUUGAGAAUUUGGCACAACUUCAAUUCCAUACCAGGUUAGUCAUCUUCGGAGAUUACACGUCUUAGACCUGUCAAAUACAAAUUUCAAUCUCCAAACUGGUCCGACUUAUCUUCUAUGCUUUUUGUUGAGUCCGGCUCAUCUAAAGCCUUAAGAUGUUAGAAGAAGCCCCCAAUGAAUCUUAUAUAUGCUAUAUUUUAACAAUUCUGAGCACACUCAACCUUGGUAUUAAUAAUAUUGUGUCGAAAAUUCCAGAAUUUAUAUCUAAUUCUCAUAGCCUAACUUUCCUUGACCUUUCCAUAUAACAAAUUUACAGUUAAUCCUGUGCUUGAAUCAGUAUUUGCAACCAAAAUUAUGCAAUUAUAGUGCAGGUAGUCUUCCAGUUCUUCCUACUCUAUGCUAUAAUUUCAUUUGAUACCAAUAAUUUUACGCUCUACACUCCAGGAUGAGCUCGCAUAUUAUUGACAGCUAUAAUCCUUCCAACAAUUUGCGAUGCAAAGCAGGGGGGCGCCUGUAUUUUCAUAUGUCUAUAUUAUUGGAGAUUAAAGUUGUAUGGACAAUUGUGUUGAUAAUUUGCCCAAUGUUAACAGGGAUAGGUUGGCUUAAUUUGCCCAAUGUUAACAGGGAUAGGUUGGCUUAAUUUGCCCAAUGUUAACAGGGAGAUUAAAUGGCUUGCAUUGCUCAACGUAUAUCUCAUAAUAGUCUUACCGGACAUAUGUUAUGCAUUAUUAUUAUGCUUUCAUCACUAUUUUCAAACAUUUCUCAAUAUAUAUUUUCAAAGAAUUCUCAAGCACUUGAACAUUUGGACCGGUUCUUUCGAAGCCAAGAUGCCCAGGGUAUCAUGGCCAUGCACAAAAAUGAAUAAAUUAAGAGAGAUUGCUCAGGGUCUCCCCAAGCCUUUCAGGACUCAUUCCAAGUCUUCGAGGACCACUGCCUCACUCUUUCAAAGAUGUGAUAGUAGCUCGAGAGCGAUAUAAAUGAUUUUCCUGACACUAAAAAUAAAAAAAUCAGAUCAAAUUAAUCAAUAAUAAAUUAAAGAUGCAAUCCAAAUUAAUCCUAAAUUUUGAUGAUAUAUAAAAAUUAUAAUUAUAAAUUAUAUAACCAAAUCAGAAUUGAAUUAACUUACUUGGUACUAAAAUUGAUAAAAACAGUAUAAUAAUUUAAUUGAUGAAAAUUCAAAGUCUUCUAAUAAAUCCAUAAAAAAUUUGAUAAUCAAAAUAACGAAAAUUAUAAUUGAAAAAUCAAAAUCAAUAGUGUAUUGGAAUAUUGUUCACACACUUAUAUAUCAAAAUUUGUGGUCCAAAAACUAUAGCACAAUAUCCUAAAUACACCACAUUAAAUAAUAGUUCAAAAAUAUUCAAUAGAUAAUUGAUUUCAUUCAUAAUUUUGUUAUUUUAAAAACUAAUAAUUUGGUUGAUGUUAACCUAUAUUUUAAUAUAUAAUUAUAUUAUUUUCAUCUUAUUUUAUUUAACCAGAAACAAUAUUUUUAUAAUAUUUAUUACAUUAUUUAUAUUAAAAAAUAUAAUUUCAUUAAAAAAAUUGAAUAAAAUUAAGAGGAUAACUCUAUGCCUCUCCAAGUCUACAAGACUCAUUUCAAGUCUACCUCGGACCACUACCUCAACCAUUCAGAGAUGUGAAAGUAGUUUGAGAGUGACAUAAAUUAUUUUCGUGACAAUAAAAUUUAAUAUCUAAUAUAAAUUAAUUAAAUUAGAUAAUAAUAAAUCAAAACUAAUUAUGAAUUAUGAUAAUAAUUAAAUAAAUUAUAAUUAAAUUAUAUAAAUCAACUCCAAAUGAUACAAAUAACACUAAACCUUGGUUACUUUGUUGGUAAAUAAAUAUAAUAUAAUAAUCAAAUUGAUGAGAAAUGAAAAUCAUCUAAUAAAUUCACAAAAAAUAUAUGAUCAUUAGUAUAUUAUAUUAGUAUCCACACACUUAUAUUUCAAAAUCUAUCCUCCAAACUUAUCAUCUCCGUAAACUAGCCACAUAAAAUAUAAAUUUAAAGAUAUUAGAUAUUUAGUUAUUUUCAUUAUAUAAUUUUUCCACACUAAACAACAAAAUAUUUUUAUCAAAAUUAUUAUUUAUGAGUUAAAUAUUCAAGUUAUAAUUCCAGCAUGCAGCGUAUAAAUAGAAGUGUGCAGUAUGAUAUCAGAUUCAUAACCCAGUUGAUCAGAAGAAACAUGGCCUACUCUGCAAAGCCUUCUCACCUUCUUCUCUUUGUUUUCUUUCUCUCAUCACUUGAAUCCAUUCUUGCAACAACACGAGAGGGAGAAGCUCUUGUGAAGUGGAAGAAUAGCCUAGCCCCUUCUUCUUUUCUCGACUCUUGGUCACUCACCAAUCUCGAAAAUCUUUGUAACUGGACUGGCAUUACUUGUAACUCUGCAGGUUCAGUCUCUGAGAUUAACCUUUUUGAGAAACAACUUAAUGGAAUGCUGUCCGAGUUCGGUUUCACUUCAUUUCCAAAUCUCAACAAUCUCACCCUCGCAUACAACUUCUUCUCGGGUCCAAUACCACCAGCCAUUGAGAAUUUAACACAGCUUCAAUAUCUUGAUUUAAGCAUGAAUAGUCUUAAUGGUCCCAUUCCGUUCCAGGUUAGCCAUCUUCAGAGUUUGCUCAUAUUAAACCUGUCACAGAAUGCAUUGCAAGCUCCAAAUUGGUCCCAUUUCUCUCCCAUGCCUGUUUUGCGCUUCCUCAAGCUCAGUAGAAAUCCUCUUGUGUCGAAAUUCCCAAAUUUUAUAUCCAAUUCUCAUAGCCUGACUUAUCUCAACCUUUCACAUAACAAGUUUAGUGGUGAUCUUGUACGUGAAUCAGUAUUUACCAAUCUGCAUCAUCUUGAAGUCCUCAGUCUUGUUGGCAACUCUUUUGAGGGGUCAUUUCCGCCAGAUAUAUUCAAGCUUUCCAAAUUAACACGUCUUGCCCUGUCAAGUAACAAAUUUUCAGGUUCAGUUCCCAACGACAUAAGGUUGCUUUGUGGUCUUGAAUACCUAUAUUUAGCUGACAAUUCCUUUGAAGGACCGCUUCCACCAGAUAUAUUCAAGCUUUCAAGAUUAAAACAUCUUGUUCUUUGGAGUAAUAAGUUUUCAGGUUCUGUUUCCAAUGAUAUAGGUUUGCUUUCUGAGCUUGAAGCCCUCAAUCUUGACUCUAAUUUUUUUGAGGGGCCGCUUCCCCUAAAUUUAUUCAAGCUCUCCAAACUAAAAUUUCUCACCCUGACAAGUAACAAAUUUUUAGGUUCAAUUCCCAAUGACAUAAGGUUACUUUGUGAUCUUGAAUACCUAUAUUUAGGCAACAAUUCCUUUGAAGGACCGCUUCCACCAAAUAUAUUCAAACUUUCAAAAUUAAAAGAUCUUGUUCUUUGGGGUAAUAAGUUUUCGGGUUCUGUUUCCAAUGAUAUAGGUUUGCUUUAUGAGCUUGAAACCCUCGAUCUUAACUCUAAUUUUUUUGAGGGGCCGCUUCCGCCAAAUUUAUUCAAGCUCUCCAAACUAAAGAUUCUUUCCCUUUAUAAGAAUAACUUUUCAGGUUUUAUUUCUAAGGAUAUAGGUUUGCUUUUCGAACUUGAAAGCCUCUAUCUUGGCUCUAAUUUUUUUGAGGGGCUGCUUCCCCCACAUGUAUUUAGGCUCUCCAAAUUAAGAGAUCUGGGUCUCUCAGACAAUAGAAAUUUAUUUGAAGGAAGUAUUCCUAUUGGACUGGGACUCUUGACUAACCUCAGGUACUUAGAUCUACAUUCCAAUAAUCUCGGUGGCUAUAUUCCAUCUGACAUUGGAAACCUGAAGCUACUAGUACUUCUUGAUCUCAAUUCUAACCAAUUGACUGGACCGCUUUUAAAGAUCGUUUCUAAUCUCACAAAUCUUAUGUUUCUUGAUGUAAGUGAUAAUAGUCUUAGUGGAAAUAUUCAGAGAGACUUGUGGAACUAUAACGAUCAUCCAACUUUGGAAUUCAUCAAUUUAAGUGGGAACCAUUUUACGGGUAUAGUUUUUCUCUAUAGAUCUUUCCUUUUGUCAUAUGUAACUAAGCUAGUAAUCUGAUUAAUUGCAGUUUUACCAAAGUUUCAACAAUCUUGACAGGUGAGCUUCCAACAACAAUUUGCAAUGUCACUUCCCUUUCGGUUCUUGAUUUGUCAAAUAAUGCAUUAAGUGGUGCACUUCCAAACUGUUUCGGGAAUCUUGCUGAUGGAUUGCUUUACAUUAAUCUUGCUAAUAAUCAGUUUCGAGGAACAAUACCAACUACUUUCUCCAGGAGUUGUCAGCUGACAUAUCUGAACAUGGAUGAUAAUCAGUUUGAAGGAUUGUUACCCCCAUCUUUAGCGAACUGUAAGCACUUGAGAAUCCUUGAUAUGGGCAACAAUAAAAUAGGUGAUACAUUUCCGUCAUGGCUUUAUGUACUUGGAGCGCUAGAAGUCCUUGUCUUGCGAUCAAAUAAACUCUAUGGUACAAUAAGGGCAAGGAGCAUAGAAGAUCCCUUCCCCAAGUUGCGGAUUGUGGAUCUGUCCAACAAUCAAUUCAUGGGCCAUUUGCCAAUUCAAUACUUUAAGAAUAUGAAAUCAAAUGAUAAUUUGUAUCGUUAUCUGAAUUCCACAGGAGAAAUAGAUAUCUCUUAUGAAGCAGCAGUCUCAUUAACUGUGAAGGGAACAGAGUAUGAAGUAGCAAAUAACCUUCAUAUUUACACAGCCAUUGAUCUGUCGUGCAACAAAUUUCAGGGAGAAAUUCCAAAGGUUGCCGGAGAGCUUAGAUGGCUUGCAUUGCUCAAUUUAUCUCAUAAUAGUCUAACAGGACCUAUCCCAUCAUUGCUGAGAAAUAUGAAAGAACUCCAAUCUUUAGAUUUGUCCUCAAAUCAACUGACAGGGGCUAUUCCACCUCAGUUAACUGCAUUGACAUUUCUAGAGGUCUUAAAUCUCUCGAACAACGAUCUCAGUGGAGAGAUUCCUCAGAAAGGACAGUUCAGCACAUUCAACAAUGAUUCUUAUCUAGGAAACUCCGCGUUAUGUGGAUCACCAUUGACGAAGAAAUGCGCAAACACAGCAUCACCUCCACAAGAAGUCAGAAAUGGUGAUGAAGAUGAUGCUGGUGAUGAAUGGACAUGGGAAGCAAUCGUGAUGGGAUAUGGAUGUGGACUGAUAUGUGGAUUGUCAUCUGCGUACAUUGUUCUCAAACUAGGAAGGCCUUGGUGGUUUGUGAGAUAUGUCGAAGUAUUGCAACUGAAGUUGAUGAAAAGAUAUGCUUGAAGAAUGGUAUUUGGUCUUGUACUAGCUGCAUAAGUAUUUGGCAUUGUGUAGUAUUCUGUUUGGUCUUGAAUUAUAAUGAUUUUUCUUGCUUCAGGGGUAUUAAUAUAAACCUUGCUAUCUUGCUCAGUGUUAAUGCAAAUUAAGAUGAAUGAAUAAACAAAAAAUAUGCAUCAAAUUAAGAAUUCAGAAAUGGUGAUACUCAUGCAGUGUCACCAACUCAAGAAUUCAGAAAUGGUGAUACUCAUGAAGAUGACGAUGCUGAUGAUGAACUUUGAUGUGGGACUUGGGUUGACCACUUGUUGGGCCGCACAACACCUGUUAAGCAUUAGUAUGACGUUGUCCGCUCUGGAUCGUGACCAAGCCCGCACGGAUUUGUUUUCGAGCUCCUCUCAAAAGGUCUAAAACUAAUGGAGUUGUUUGGCUGCUUAUAUUCAAGAUAAAUCUUUUUGAUGUGGGAUUUGGGUUGACACCCACACAACAAGACGUGAGGAAAUAUUGUUGUCUUGAGAUGACAUAUGUUCUGAAUUAUUAUUAUGCUUUCAACAAUAUUUUCAAACAUUUUUCAAUAUGUAUUUUUAAAGAAUUCUCAAGCACUCGUGACCCCUAUAAUUUUUUCUCAGGCAACGCCUAUAGUUUCAAAGAAUUCCCAGGCACUUAAACAUUUGGACCGGUUCUUUGGAAGCCAAGAUGCCCAGGUUAUCAUGGCCAUGCACAAAAUGCAGUACCAAAGAAAAAAAAUAAUAAAUUAAGAGAGAUUGCUCUGGGUCACCCCAAGCCUUCGAGGACUCAUUCCAAGCCUCGCCCUUUCAAAGAAGUGAUAGUAGCCGGAAAGUGAUAUAAAUUAUUCUCCGGACACUAAAACUAAAUAAUCAGAUCAAAUUAAUCAAUAAUAAAUUAAAGAUAUGAAAUCAAAAUUAAUCCUAAAUUUUGAUAAUAUACAAAAAUUAUAAUUAUAAAUUUUAUUAUCAAAUCAAGAUUAAAUUAACUUACAUGGCCGUUAAAAUUGAUAAACGCAAUAUAAUAGGGUUAAAAAUGGGGCGGGUUCGGGACGGGUACUUCAUUUCCCAGCCUCGUCCCAUAUAUAUUUUUCCUGCCCCGUCUCCGCCCCAUUCUCCACGAAGAUUUAUUUUUAAUCCCCAUUGCCGCCCGCCCCACCGGGGAUUGAAUAUAAUUUCGCCCCGCCCCGCUGCUAUAAUAUUACACUUUAAUUAAUUACCUUAAAAUUUAAUAAUCAGAAUUUAAUAAAAAUAUACGAGACAUGUAUAUUAAAAGCAAAAAACUAAAUAUAAUAGAAAUCAAAGAGACAUGUUAUACAUUGUAAAAUUAUAGUUUUAUGUAUUAUAUAAUAGAUAAUAUUAAAUAUAUUAUAUUAAAUAUAAUUAUUUAUUUUUAUUAAAUAUAUGCGGGGCGGGGUGGGGAAUCCCCGCGGGAAUUCAACAAAUACCAUGCUUGCCCCAUAUUUUAGCGGGGCAGAUAAUCAUUCUCCGUCACUACCCCAUUCCCCAUAGAGUAGUGCUAGAUGCACAAAAUUGGAUACAUAAUUUUACACAAAAUGACAUGGCAAUCUAGGUGGAGAGCUUUAAUUGGUAUUAUUAAUGCAUGUGCAGGGGCUCAUUCCAAUCACAAAUUGACACAUACUCAUUCUGUGAAUAUUUCUGUACUCAAUUCUGUGCAGGUAGCAUUUUUCUUCCCCAUAUUAGCGGGGCGCAUCGGCUCCAUUCGGGGCGGGUUCCCCAUUUUCCCCACCCAAUUUUUAACCCUACAAUAGUAAUCAAAUUGAUGAAAAGUCAAAGUCCUCUAAUAAAUCCAUAAAGAAUAUGAUAAUCAAAACUACAAAAAUUAUAAUUGAAAAAUCAAAAUCAUCCUAAUAAGUUCAUAGAAUAUAUAUGAUCAGUAGAGCAUUAGAAUAGUGUUCACACACUUAUAUGUCAAAAUUUGUGGUCCAAAGACUAUGACACAAUAUCCUAAAUACACCCCCAUUGAAUAGUAGUUCAAAAUAUUUAAUAUAUAAUUGUUUUCAUUCAUAAUUUUGUUAUUAUUUAAAAAAUAAUAAUUUAAUUGCUGUUAACCUUUAUUUUAAUAUAUAAUCAUAUCGUUUCCUUACAAUUUAAUUAUCUAGAAACAAUAUUUUUGUUAUAAUCAUUACAUUAAUUAUAUUAAAAAAUAUAAUUUUGUUAAAACAUUGAAUGAAAUUAAGAGUAUUAAUCUACGUCUCUCCAAGUCUACAGGACUCAUUCCAAGUCUGCGUGAGACCACUGCCACCACCUUUGAGAGAUGUGGAAGUGGAAGUAGCUUCAGAUUGACCUAAAUUAUUUCCUGACAAUAAAUUUAAUAUCCGAAAUAAAUUAAAUUAAACUAGUUUUUUGAAACAAUUAAAUUAAACUAGUUAAUAAUAAAUUAAGAAUAUAUAAAAUCAAAACUAAUCAUGAAUUAUGAUAAUAAUUAAAUAAAUUAUAAUUAAGCUAUAUAAAUCAACUCCAAAUGACACCAACAGCACCAAACCUUAGUUACUUUAAUAUUGGUAAAUAAAUAUAAUAUAAUAAUCAAUUGAUGAAAAAUCAAAUCAUCUAAUAAAUUCACAAAAAAUAUAUGAUCAUUAGUAUAUUAUAUUAGUAUCCACACACUUAUAUUUCAAAAUCUAUCCUCCAAAAUUAUCAUCUCGAUAAACUAGCCACAUAAAAUAAAAAUUUAAAGAUAUUAGAUAUUUAGUUAUUUUCAUUAUAUAAUUUUUCCACACUAAAUAACAAAAUAUUUUUAUCAAAUUAUUAUUUAUGAGUUAAAUAUUCAAGUUAUAAAUCCAGCAUGCAGCGUAUAAAUAGAAGUGUGCAGUAUGAUAUCAGAAUCAUAACCCAGUUGAUCAGGAGAAACAUGGCAUACUCUGCAAAGCCUUCUCACCUUCUUCUCUUUGUUUUCUUUCUCUCAUCACUUGAAUCCAUUCUAACAACACGAGAGGGAGAAGCUCUUGUGAAGUGGAAGAAUAGCCUAGCCCCGUCUUCUUUUCUCGACUCUUGGUCACUCACCAAUCUCGAUAAUCUUUGUAACUGGACUGGCAUUACUUGUAACUCUGCAGGUUCAGUUUCUGAGAUUAACCUCUGUGAGAAACAACUUGAUGGAAUGCUGUCCGAGUUCGGUUUCACUUCAUUUCCAAAUCUCAAGAAUCUCACCCUGGCAGACAACUUCUUCUCGGGUCCAAUACCACCAGCCAUUGAGAAUUUAACACAGCUUCAAUAUCUUGAUUUAAGCAUGAAUAGUCUUAAUGGUCCCAUUCCGUUCCAGGUUAGCCAUCUUCAGAGUUUGCUCAUAUUAAACCUGUCACAGAAUGCAUUGCAAGCUCCAAAUUGGUCCCAUUUCUCUCCCAUGCCUGUUUUGCGCUUCCUCAAGCUCAGUAGAAAUCCUCUUGUGUCGAAAUUCCCAAAUUUUAUAUCCAAUUCUCAUAGCCUGACUUAUCUCAACCUUUCACAUAACAAGUUUAGUGGUGAUCUUGUACGUGAAUCAGUAUUUAUACCAAUCUGCAUCAUCUUGAAGUCCUCAGUUUUUCACCGAAGAGUUGUGUGAGCCUAUUUUAGACAAUGGAUUCUCUUACAAUGGUAUAACCUCUGUAACAGUUGUGUCAUUUUUAAUGACACAACAUAUGUGCGUAUAAAAACCGUUGUCUAUUAGACACUACAGGACAAAAUUUACCUUUUUACAAUAAGACAAAAUUUACCUUUGACUGUUAUUGUUAAAAAAACAUACAUAAUAAACGUAAAAAAUUUUGAAUUUUUUUAUGUAUGAUUAAUAUUGUUAAUUCUCGAGAUCCGUACGGUCAGAUCAUCGAAAAAAAUAUUUAUAAAUUAAUACAGAGUUAAUCGUAUACAUAACAAAGAUUCUAUUGAGUACUUUCUAAAUUGUAACCAUAAAACAAAUACUAAUAUCCACAUCCGAACUACAAAAUUAUCUUCAUUGUACAAAUGAACAAUAUAUAUUUGCAUAUAUGCAUAAUAUAAAUAUAUGUUUUAAGAUAAACUGUGCAAAAAUUAGAAUUUAUCAAGGAAUAGAGAAUUUUUAACUUUUAAAAAGAAAAAUUAAUCAUAAAACAGUUUCAUUGCCAUAAAUAAUUAAUAAUUAAUUCAAUUGUAACCCCUAAAAUAAUUACUAAUUAAUAAUUAAUACAGUGCUAAUCGUAUAUAUAACAAAAAUUCUAUUAUGUACUUCCUAAAUUAUAACUUUAAACACAUACUAAUACUAUUAUAUAAUAUUUUUCAAUUAUUAAUAUUAUAAUAUAUAUUAUAAUACAACUAAUUCUUUUAAAUUUUCAAUUAAAUUUUAAUAUUCUAUAAUAUAUAGAUAUAUGAAUUUAAGUAAUAUAACUUUUAAUUAUAUUACACAUAUUUCUUCUUGUUUUUAAUAAAUUAUUUAAAUUAAGAUAAUAUUAAUUAUUUUCUUGACGCAAAAACAAUUUUAAUUAUUAAUUAAAGAAUUAAAAGGAAAAAAAAGUAGAUCUGCCCAAUGUACAGGUGAAAGUGAGAAGCGGCAAAGUUCCCCCCAAAACUAAAAACCACUGCCGAGUAAAAACCCCUAACCUGUACUCUCAAAAAACUUCUCACUCACAAACACUCUCCCUGGAUCUAUGUAUCUAUCAACACUCGGGGGGUUUGUUAUGUUUAAAUGGAAGCAAAACAAUGCUAUAGUCAUUUUCAGUAUCCAUGUGGUCCUCUUGCAUCUCGGUUUGCUCUGCUUUUCACAUGUUUGUGGCCAACAUGAAUCUUAUAUCUUGUUUAUGAGUUUAAUUUUGUUUAUUUGUAUUUGAGUGGCUUGAUUUUGUAUUUCUUCACUACUAAUUGUUAUUUUCUAAAUUAUCCAUGUGAUUAGGGCUCAUUUUUAGGGGAACUUUGAAUUAGGUCAUUAAAUUACAGUUUUGGUGAAUUGGGGCUUUCAUUGUAUAUAUUUGAUUACAUACAACUGUUAAUAUUUGAGCAGCCAAGGCUCAAGAGCUCAAAAGAUGACAUAUCGAUGGGGUGACAUGUAUGGCUAACAAUCGGAGUAAUUUGAAAGGAUUAUUUUUUCGUUGGGCUGACAGAGGUAUAUUGUUCUUGACACUGGUUUUUAACUUGCUGUCUUUAGUUUAGUUGUGAAUAAUGAGAUGGUUGGAUAUUCUAUUUCGUAUUGUUGUAUGUGGUCGUUAGCAGAAGCUCAUUAAGUCUGCUAUGGUUUAUAGAUUUUAUAACAUUGAUAAGUAUGGUUUGGGUGUCUAGGCUAGUUUUGUUUGUGUGUGUAAUGGAUGUGUUUUGAUUUUUCUGAUUUUUCUGAUUUUUCGAUCAUCUACUUCUUUUUUGUUGCGGGGUUGUUAUUUGUUUACUCUUGUUCCCUGCAAAGAAAUAAGUGUGGAUAGUUAUGCAUUGGAAUCAUAAGUAGCAAUUAAGUGUUAAUUUCCAAUUCAACGAGUUCAAUGCACGCCUGUCUUCAACUAGAUCCGUUUCUUAAUGAAUUUACAAGCAUGUUUGAGCACAAUACUGAGCAGGGUUGUGUGUAGGUCACUUUAUAUAUUUUAGUAUCAAGAGACGUAUUAUGUUGAUAUGUGCUGUAUAAAAUAUUUAAUUGAAGCUAGGUUUAUGUGUAACUGUUACUCAUCUGGCUAUGGAAUACAUUCCCAGAUUAAAAAAUUUGAUAAUGAUUGAUACUGUCUUGUCACUCCAUUAAACAUGACGUAACAUCUGUAUUCAACUUUGGACUUCAUUAAUUGGUGUUAGUCGUGCAAUAUGUUUAAAUUAAAAAAGUUAUGUUUCUUUUAUAUGUUCGAAUUUACUCCAAAUUGCAUGUGGGCGUUUCACUUCUUAUGAGCAGGCUGUGCUUUGGGAAGUUUAGGCAUGCUUUGAGAAUAGAUAUUUUAAUCAAACUGUGCACUUUAGAUAUAAAAAAUCUUGCUGUUCUGAUGGAUUGUAUGGUGUGGAACAAGAGCUGUGUUCCAAGUUAUGCUCAAGACUGUGGGUUUUUUUUGUUUUUAACACCCUUCCAUAACUUCUCCAUCUUAGUUAUUAAACUCUUUCAUUCUGUAUUCCUAACUAUACCAUUCUUUUUUCCACAUAAACCAAGCCAUAAUAAGAAACUGACUUUCUCAAGGAACAAAGGACUAUCACCACAUGGCAGGAUUGUGCAUAGGCGUGCAUAUGCUUGAGUAAGUACACUUUUGGACUUAUGUUGUGAAGUAUUAUUUUUACAAAUGUCAUCCUUCUGGUCAUAUGACAAAUCUUUUCCCUAUCAUUUCUGUAAUUUGUUUUAAAGGUUAGAGCAAGAGUGGAGAUGUCCCAAAUUGAUGCAGUUGCUUACAACAUUGGCAUGGCUUUGUGGAAAGUUUUUGGUGGAGCUUCUAGCACAAUAAAACAGAUAUAAUAGUUUAGUUUCCGAGCUACACCAUUUCCCGGCUCAUUUUGUCGGCUUCUAUCGACUCUAUACAGGCUCUUGCCAGUUGUGUGAAACAUUACAAGAUUUUACAUUUUUAUAUGUGGUUGUACGUUGAUACUAUAGUUGGUAAUGAAAAUUUUUGUUACUAAUUUAUGGCUUGUUAAUUAUAUUCUCCAGCAUAGUUUAAUUAGAUUAUGUAAAACCAUUGUCUGACAUAACUAAACACAAAAGGAAAAGAAAAAGAAAACAGUUGUCCCAAGACUUACAAACAACACAAUUUUAAAAAUAAAAUCGUUGUCUAAGACAUAUACAAAUAAGUAAAUAGUAGUAACAAACCAUUGUCUAAAUCAGUAUUAUUCAAGCAUUUUGAACAAAAACUGUUGUAGAAGAGCUUUCACACAAUUGUUUCAUUAUAUAAACUAUUGUUAUACGGAGCUUCACAGAAGUGACCACUGCUCUAAGCCCGUUGUACAAGGUAGUAAAACACGAGCCUCUAAAACGCAAACAAUCUUGUCUGAUACUCUUAUUAACAAGUAAAUAUAUCCACAAACUGUUGUGGAUAGUCCUAAUAACAACACAAAUUCCAAAUAUGACUGUUGUUAUAAAAUGUUUAUAACAACACUUUGUUAAACUAAUCUGUUGUUGUUUGUGGGUGUAACACAACACGCUGUUAAAUAUAAACCGUUGUGUUUCUUGAUCUCACACAACGGUACGUACCGUUGUCUGAGGCGCGUAUCAGACGGCAUCGCAAUAGACCACGGUUUUCUUGGGUAUCAGACAACGGGCAAAAACCGUUGUCUGAUGCUGUUUUUGUUGUAGUGACAAUUCCUUUGAAGGACCGCUUCCACCAGGUAUAUUCAAGCUUUCAAAAUUAAAACAUCUUUUUCUUUGGGGUAAUAAGUUUUCAGGUUCUGUUUCCAAUGAUAUAUGUUUGCUUUCUGAGCUUGAAAGCCUCGAUCUUAACUCUAAUUUUUUUGAGGGGCCGCUUCCGCCAAAUGUAUUCAAGCUCUCCAAAUUAAAGUUACUUUCCCUUCAGAAGAAUAACUUUUCAGGUUUUGUUUCCAAUGAUAUAGGUUUGCUUUCUGAGGUUGAAACUCUCGAUCUUCACUCUAAUUUUUUUGAGGGGCAGCUUCCGCCAAAUAUAUUCAAGCUCUCGAAACUAAGAUUUCUUGCCCUUUGGCAGAAUAACUUUUCAGGUUCUGUUUCCAAUGAUAUAGGUUUGCUUUCUAAGCUUGAAACCCUCGAACUUGACUCCAAUUUUUUUGAGGGGCCGCUUCCGCCAAAUAUAUUCAAGCUUUCCAAAUUAAGAGUUCUUUCCCUUGACAAUAAUAACUUUUCAGGUUGUGUUUCCAAUGAUAUAGGUUUGCUUUCUGAGCUUGAAACCCUCCGUCUUGGCUUCAAUUCUUUUGAAGGACCGGUUCCACCAAAUAUAUUCAAGUUUUCCAAAUUAACAGGUCUUGACCUCUCAGGCUAUAGAAAUUUAUUUGAAGGUAGUAUCCCUAUUGGACUGGGACUCUUGACUAACCUCAGCUACUUAGAUCUAAGUUCCAAUAAUCUCAGUGGCUAUAUUCCAUCUGAACUUGGAAACCUUAAGCUACUAGUAUUUCUUGAUCUCAGUUCUAACCAAUUGACUGGACCGCUUUUAAAGAUCGUUUCUAAUCUCACAAAUCUUAUAUAUCUCCAUGUACAAGAUAAUAGUCUUAGUGGGAAUAUUCGCAGUGACUUGUGGAAAAACUCUUUAUCCUUACGUUACAUUGAUCUUGAAAAUAAUUAUUUGUCUGGGAACAUUCCUAAGGAAUAUAACGAUCAUCCAACUUUGGAAUACAUCAAUUUAGGUGGGAACCAUUUUACAGGUAUAUUUUUCUCUAUAUAUCUUUUCCUUUUGUCAUAUGUAACUAAGCUAGUAAUCUGAUUGAUGCAGUUUUACCAAAGUUUCAACAAUCUUGACAGGUGAGCUUCCANNNNNNNNNNNNNNNNNNNNNNNNNNNNNNNNNNNNNNNNNNNNNNNNNNNNNNNNNNNNNNNNNNNNNNNNNNNNNNNNNNNNNNNNNNNNNNNNNNNNNNNNNNNNNNNNNNNNNNNNNNNNNNNNNNNNNNNNNNNNNNNNNNNNNNNNNNNNNNNNNNNNNNNNNNNNNNNNNNNNNNNNNNNNNNNNNNNNNNNNNNNNNNNNNNNNNNNNNNNNNNNNNNNNNNNNNNNNNNNNNNNNNNNNNNNNNNNNNNNNNNNNNNNNNNNNNNNNNNNNNNNNNNNNNNNNNNNNNNNNNNNNNNNNNNNNNNNNNNNNNNNNNNNNNNNNNNNNNNNNNNNNNNNNNNNNNNNNNNNNNNNNNNNNNNNNNNNNNNNNNNNNNNNNNNNNNNNNNNNNNNNNNNNNNNNNNNNNNNNNNNNNNNNNNNNNNNNNNNNNNNNNNNNNNNNNNNNNNNNNNNNNNNNNNNNNNNNNNNNNNNNNNNNNNNNNNNNNNNNNNNNNNNNNNNNNNNNNNNNNNNNNNNNNNNNNNNNNNNNNNNNNNNNNNNNNNNNNNNNNNNNNNNNNNNNNNNNNNNNNNNNNNNNNNNNNNNNNNNNNNNNNNNNNNNNNNNNNNNNNNNNNNNNNNNNNNNNNNNNNNNNNNNNNNNNNNNNNNNNNNNNNNNNNNNNNNNNNNNNNNNNNNNNNNNNNNNNNNNNNNNNNNNNNNNNNNNNNNNNNNNNNNNNNNNNNNNNNNNNNNNNNNNNNNNNNNNNNNNNNNNNNNNNNNNNNNNNNNNNNNNNNNNNNNNNNNNNNNNNNNNNNNNNNNNNNNNNNNNNNNNNNNNNNNNNNNNNNNNNNNNNNNNNNNNNNNNNNNNNNNNNNNNNNNNNNNNNNNNNNNNNNNNNNNNNNNNNNNNNNNNNNNNNNNNNNNNNNNNNNNNNNNNNNNNNNNNNNNNNNNNNNNNNNNNNNNNNNNNNNNNNNNNNNNNNNNNNNNNNNNNNNNNNNNNNNNNNNNNNNAAACCUGUCAGAGAAUGAACUGCAAGCUCCAAAUUGGUCCAAUUUUUCCCCCAUGCCUUUUUUGACCAUCCUCGACCUUUAUAAAAAUAAUCUUUUGUCAGAAUUUCCCGAAUUUAUAUCUAACUCGUGUAACCUUACGUACCUUGACCUCUCAUCCAACAAGUUUAGAGGGGAUCUUGCGCGAGAAUCAGUAUUAACCAAUCUAGGUGAUCUUGAAACCCUCUAUCUUAUUAGAAAUUCUUUCAAGGGGUCAUUUCCGUCAGAUUUAUUCAAGCUUUCUAAAUUAAAACGUCUUCACCUGUCGAGCAACAAAUUUUCAGGUUCAAUUCCUAAUGCCAUAAGGUUGCUUUGUGAUCUUGAAUUCCUAUAUUUAGGCAACAANNNNNNNNNNNNNNNNNNNNNNNNNNNNNNNNNNNNNNNNNNNNNNNNNNNNNNNNNNNNNNNNNNNNNNNNNNNNNNNNNNNNNNNNNNNNNNNNNNNNNNNNNNNNNNNNNNNNNNNNNNNNNNNNNNNNNNNNNNNNNNNNNNNNNNNNNNNNNNNNNNNNNNNNNNNNNNNNNNNNNNNNNNNNNNNNNNNNNNNNNNNNNNNNNNNNNNNNNNNNNNNNNNNNNNNNNNNNNNNNNNNNNNNNNNNNNNNNNNNNNNNNNNNNNNNNNNNNNNNNNNNNNNNNNNNNNNNNNNNNNNNNNNNNNNNNNNNNNNNNNNNNNNNNNNNNNNNNNNNNNNNNNNNNNNNNNNNNNNNNNNNNNNNNNNNNNNNNNNNNNNNNNNNNNNNNNNNNNNNNNNNNNNNNNNNNNNNNNNNNNNNNNNNNNNNNNNNNNNNNNNNNNNNNNNNNNNNNNNNNNNNNNNNNNNNNNNNNNNNNNNNNNNNNNNNNNNNNNNNNNNNNNNNNNNNNNNNNNNNNNNNNNNNNNNNNNNNNNNNNNNNNNNNNNNNNNNNNNNNNNNNNNNNNNNNNNNNNNNNNNNNNNNNNNNNNNNNNNNNNNNNNNNNNNNNNNNNNNNNNNNNNNNNNNNNNNNNNNNNNNNNNNNNNNNNNNNNNNNNNNNNNNNNNNNNNNNNNNNNNNNNNNNNNNNNNNNNNNNNNNNNNNNNNNNNNNNNNNNNNNNNNNNNNNNNNNNNNNNNNNNNNNNNNNNNNNNNNNNNNNNNNNNNNNNNNNNNNNNNNNNNNNNNNNNNNNNNNNNNNNNNNNNNNNNNNNNNNNNNNNNNNNNNNNNNNNNNNNNNNNNNNNNNNNNNNNNNNNNNNNNNNNNNNNNNNNNNNNNNNNNNNNNNNNNNNNNNNNNNNNNNNNNNNNNNNNNNNNNNNNNNNNNNNNNNNNNNNNNNNNNNNNNNNNNNNNNNNNNNNNNNNNNNNNNNNNNNNNNNNNNNNNNNNNNNNNNNNNNNNAAAACCAUUGAUAAGGAUGGUAAAUUCGACUCUAAAUCUUAUGAAGCUAUAUUCUUGGGUUAUUCUUUAACAAGUCGUGCUUAUAGAGUGUAUAAUCUUGCUAAACAUACUGUUGAAGAGUCUAUUGAUGUUUCAUUUCAAGAGUCUACUGAUGAUCUUGCAAGGGAUGAGGAAGAAUGUGCAGGUACAGGUACUAGCAGCAAGCUGACAGUGAAGGAAACUGGAAAUCAGCAAGCUGACAAGUCAACUGCCACAACUUCAGAAGGCAAUAAAGCUACUGAAUCCACUCCAUCUCUUGAAGAAACUUUGGAUAAGAUGUCUAAGCUCACAUUGGAUGAAUCCAGAGGUCAAACUUCAUCAGCAAGCCAAAAUGUUGUUGAUCAGACUCCUCCUAGGCAGACUACAAGGAAUGAAGAGGUCAUAGCUCAACAUAAUCUACCAAAAUCAACUAGAACAGUGAAGAAUCAUCCUCCUCAGUUGAUCAUUGGAGAUAAAUCAGCUGGAAUCAAGACAAGGAAAGCUCAAGCCAACAUUUGUGCUUAUGCUGCCUUCAUAGCUCAAGAGGAACCAAAGAAUGUUCAAGAAGCUUUACAAGAUGAAAAUUGGAUCAUGGCAAUGCAAGAAGAACUCAACCAAUUCGAAAGAUGUGAUGUUUGGGAACUUGUAGAUCCACCAGAGGAUGCUUCAAUUGUUGGAACCAAAUGGGUGUUCAAGAAUAAAGUUGAUGAAUUUGGUACUAUCACUCGGAACAAAGCUAGACUUGUUGCACAAGGAUACAAUCAGCAAGAAGGAAUUGAUUUUGAUCAAACAUAUGCUCCGGUUGCAAGAUUGGAAUCUAUUAGGAUGCUAUUAUCAUUUGCAUGCUACAAGAAGUUCAAGCUACAUCAAAUGGACGUCAAAAGUGCAUUCUUAAAUGGAUAUCUAAAGGAAGAAGUCUAUGUCAAGCAACCACCAGGAUUCGAGGAUGAAAAAUAUCCCAACCGUGUCUACAAGCUCAAGAAGGCACUAUAUGGAUUAAGGCAAGCACCUCGAUCAUGGUAUGAAAGGUUAAGUGAAUUUUUGAUCAAAAAUGGUUUCAUUAGAGGUAAAAUUGAUCCUACUUUGUUUACUAUCUUUAAAGGUCAAGAUAUAUUAGUUGUUCAAAUAUAUGUAGAUGAUAUUAUAUUUGGAUCUACUAAUGAUUCUUUGUGUAAGUGGUUUUCAAAGUGCAUGCAUAGUGAGUUUGACAUGAGCAUGAUGGGAGAGCUCAAUUAUUUCUUGGGGCUCCAAAUUAAGCAAACUCCAGAAGGAAUUUAUGUGCAUCAAUCCAAGUAUAUCAAGAAUCUACUCAAAAGAUUUGGAUAUGAGAAUAUCAAGGCGAAAUCAACACCAAUGAGCGUUGUCAGCAAGCUGACAGCAGAUGAAAAUGGUAAAGAUGUUGAUAUUCGAAUGUAUAGAGGUAUGAUUGGUAGUUUACUUUAUCUUACAGCCUCUAGACCUGAUAUUAUGUAUAGUGUUUGUGUUUGUGCUAGAUUUCAAGCAAAACCAAAGGAUUCUCACUUACAAGCUGUUAAAAGAAUAUUUAAAUAUUUAAGUGGAACCAUUACUUUGGGCUUAUUCUAUCCUAUCACAAAUGCUUUUGAUCUUGUUGGGUAUAGUGAUGCAGAUUAUGCAGGUAGUCAAACUGAUAGAAAAAGUACAAGUGGUGUUUGUGCAUUUUUGGGUCAAAGCUUAGUUUCUUGGUUAAGCAAGAAGCAAACUUCAGUUGCUCUAUCUACGGCUGAGGGGGAGUAUUUAGCAGCUGGUAGCUGUUGCUCUCAAAUGCUAUGGAUGAGACAACAAUUGAAGGACUUUGGAAUCAAAUGCAAGCAAACUCCUAUCUUUUGUGACAACACAAGUACAAUCAACAUUUCAGAAAAUCCAGUCAAUCAUUCAAGGACAAAGCAUAUUGAUGUUCGACAUCAUUUUCUGAGAGACAAUGUUGCAAAGGGUGCUGUCAAGCUGAUUUUUGUGGCUACAGCAGAUCAGCUAGCUGACAUCUUCACAAAACCUCUUCCUGAAGAACGAUAUGUCAUGCUGAGAAGGGAAUUGGGCAUGUGUGAUGUGCAGUCAGCAAGCUAAUAAGCUUGGUCCGGGUACUAUCAGCUUACUCUCAGUUAUUAUGACCAUUAUGUGCUGAUUUGGAUAAUUGUUGUGAUCUCGAUGACGAUGCUUGAUUUUCUACCCUUUUGAUGAUUAAGGGGGAGAAAAUUUAGGAACUUGGUUUGUGUUGUGAAUGUUGUGUUGUGAAUGUUAUAUUUGUUGUAUAGUUUAAUGUUAUAAGAUUGCUAUAUUCAGGGGGAGUAUUAUUACUUUUCCUAAAUAUAGUGUAAUCAUCAAAAAGGGGGAGAUUGAUACUCUCGAGAUUUUGAUGAUCACACUAACAGCAACUUGAUAACAUAAAACUGUACUCUGGUAGCUAGCUGAGAACGAGAUUAUAACUGUGCUAACAGCUAAUGUCUUUUGAAGUUAUCAUUGUUCUGUCAGCAAGCUUACAGGAAUAUUGACAGACUAUCAGCAAGCUCACAGCGUACUGACAGGAUGCUUAUCGGAUAAAGAUCAAGUCCUAUUUUCAAGGAGAUUUGUUAGGGAACGUUUUGUGAGGACUCUAAUACAUAUAUAUACAGUAUAUAAAUAUUAGAGCUCAUCUUUUAUCAAAGAGUUUUAUUCAAAAUCGUUUUCCUAAAAUAUAGGAGUUGAUUUCAAACCUUGUUUAUCCUUUUAGACUCCUACUUCUAUUCAAACUGUUUUGUUUUAUAAACAAACGUUUACUGAGUUGUUUCAAACGUCUUUAUGCUUUUACUCAGUAAAAAUACAUUGUUCAAACGUUCAUUAUUCAAGCAAAUUAAACGUGAGGUUGUUGGGCCAAGAACGUUGGAUAGUUUGUUGAGUUAUGACCGUUUGGAAUGAUGGUAUAUAAACUUGAGUGUGGUUUCCGUUUUGGUAGAGAACAAGAACACACUUCAAGCUUCUGAAAUACAACACACUUACAUUGCAAAAUCUUUACUUGAGCUCUAGUACUUAUAUUUGAUUAUAUAUCUAUAUUGAGUUCAUAGUUUCGGUUGUAUUACACUCAUACAUUGUAUUGUUCAAAGUGUAAAGGUUUGUUGCUGUGUAUCGAGCUUGUGAAACAAGGGAACAAGGGGACUAGUUAGCUAGAAGAGUAUACUUGGGAAGUAUAGGUCUUGGAGAGCUUUUGGUUCGUGGUUCAGGGGUUUCAGCAAGCUGAUAACAGGAACAAGGGAUAAAGGGAGUUAUAUUAUUGAAUCAUUGUAAUCGUUAACAUUAUUGAUUAAUAAUAUAAUCUCUUACCAGUUGGUAGGGGACCAGGACGUAGACCAUUAGGGUUAGGGGUCGAACCUGGCUAAAAUUCUCUGUGUUGCUAGCUUACUGAUUAUAUCUGUUUUGCAUUGCAUCUGCAUUGUUAGCUAGCUGACUGUUUACUCUGAAAUUAACAGCAAGCUGUCUGUGACAGUUUAACUAUUCGGUAACAAUUAAAAAUCGGUCAUAUUAGCCAUAACACCUAUUCACCCCCCUCUAGGUGUGUAAUUUCAGUUUCUUUUCGUUUUCAAAUCUCACCAAUCUCAUCAUUACACAUAACAACUUCACUGGUCCAAUACCACCCGAAAUUGGAAAUUUAACAGAUGUUCAGUACCUCGACUUUAGCUAUAGUAAUCUCAAUGGUACCAUUCCAUACCAGGUUAGCCAUCUUCAGAGGUCGGUCGUCUUAGGCCUCUCAUUUAAUCACUUGAAAGCUCCGAGCUUGUCCAAUUUUUCCCCCAUGCCUAUACUGGUUGGUCGCGGUCUUAGUGGUAAUAAGCUGGCAUCAAAAUUUCCAGAAUUGAUAUCUAAUUGCUAUAACAUGAUUAACCUUGAUCUUUCAUUUAACAUGUUAACUGGUAAACCUCUGUUCUAAAAGUCGGUGAUUAAUCACCGAUUAAUCCAUGUUUCCUAGCUCGCCAAACUGAUUAAAUAUCCGAUUAUUUUAAUUAAUGUCCGAUUAAUCACCGAUCAAUGCAAUUAAUCUACAAUUAAUCCUUAUUCUGGGACUUCACCGAUUAAGCUCGAUUCCCAUUUUUUACAACGACAUAACAGUGAAUCAUGAUUAUCAAGCAUCUGUCUUGUUAACAUUGAAACGAAGAGAGCAUGAAGUGAAAGGAAUCCUUUAUAUUUACGAUGUCAACAGCCCUACUGUCAAAAUUCCUUUCAAGUCGGGGCUUUUUACGAAUAAUUGGUAAUUCAGUGUUGAACUCCGCUCAACUUAUAAUUAGAUAAUCGAAAUCAAAAAUCUUGCAAUCAACAAAUAAAUUAUUAAGAACUUGCAAUUGAGUAAUGGCCGUCAAGUCACUUAACAAUACUAACCGGAAACUAACGUGACGGGCUGAUAUGUUUAAAAAAAUGCAUGAUGACUAUAUACUUGAUGUUUACGACCCUAACUAAAAUAUCCAACAAAUAAUACAUACAACCUGAUCUAAUAAUGUAAUACCUCUACUUAAGUAUAUUUUUAUGCCAAAUAUUUAUAGAUUUGUUUUUACAAAAAUGAUUAGAGACUUUGUAUAUACAAAAAUUGAGAAUUAUUGCUUGACUAGACGAAAAUAGGUGAGUUAUGAUUAUAAUAAAUAUUUAUUUCUACGAUGUAGUUUUUAUUAGUUAUAUAUAAAAAAAAUCUUGCUAUAUUUUGAUACUAGUGCAAUGAUUACUUCAAUUUAUUUUUUAUGAGAGUUACUAAGAUAUAUGACCAACUCAUCUUGCACUCGUAUUAAUUGUCUUAUAUAAUAAUAAUAAGAAAAAUAUGAGGCGGUGCUUAGUCAGAUGAUUUUAGUUGUUAAAAUAUUUUUUUGUUAUUUAUAGAUAGUGAAACAUGUCUAAUAUUUUAUCAAUUUUGUUUCGUUUCUUGAGAUUUCCAAAUAUUUAUUAGGACAUUGUACCAUGGUGUAUUUCAAGAUAUUAUUGUUAUUUAGAUAAUUAGUCAUAUUCAAUGAAUUUUGAGGACAAAAUUUAAAUAAGAGGAGAACAAUGUCAUAUCUCACAUAUUAGCAGUUUUAAUUAUUUUAUAUUUUUAUUUUAAAGAUAAGAUAAAGUUUAUUUAUUUAUUUGUUUUUAUCUUAAAAGCGAUUUUGAGUACUUUGUUUGAGUUAGAUAUAUACUUCUACUGUGGUUCAACUAGUUUUGCCGUCAGUGAAUAAUUUCCGGUCAAUAUUUUGAAAUUUGUUGUUAUCUUCUAAUUAAGAUAAGGGGUUAAAUAGCUUUUGAAAAAUGUGAAAAAAAUCAAAAAAAUUGGGAAACCAAAAGUGGCAAGCUUUUUUUUGUUCUUUUCAAAUUUUCUAAAAUCUGGGGAAAAAAGAACUUGCCACCUAAUUUUUUCCAAAUUUUUUCAAAUUCUUUUCAGAUGUUUGAAUUUUUUCCCAAUUUUUUCCUUUUUUUUUGAAUUUAUUAAGAUUUUUUUUGUUUUUUCUGCUUAUUCUGAAUUUUUUAAGAUUUAUUCGCAUUUUUUUUCAUAUUUUUAAAAAAUAUUUUUGAAAUUUCCGUUAAGUAAUUAAUGGAACUGACAGAGAGUGAUGCUUUUGAAAGUUUUUAAUUAUUUGAUGAUGCAUCUGAAAAUUUUUCAACAACAUGAUUCAGUUGCAAAUUUCCGGCGAGGUUAGUGAUAAAUUAGCUAUUUAACUCUUAAUAAAAUCUAUCUUAACAAUAUUAUAAAUAUUAUUGUUAUGGGUUCGAUGAGUCGUGUAAAACAUGGAAGAAGUUUAGGUGGGGUAAAAAGAGCCUAGCUGGGUGAUUUCCAUUCUGUUAUACGUGAUAUACUGUAGUUGAUCAUCUCCUUUGUCCGCUUCAUCCUGUGCAACCUUAACCUUUAAGGUAAAACUUAUGAGAUUCUCUGGAGCAUCUAAGGGGCCGUUUGGACAAACUUAAAAGAAGUGACUUCUUGCUUAAACUAGAGAAGUGGAGUAGAAGUGAGAAGUAAAUUAGUUAAUAAAGUGUUUGGAAAAAAAGCAGAAGCCAGAAGCAUCUUCGGCUUCUGUCAAACAAACAGGGCCUAAAUUUUUGUGUGAAAAAUGUUAGUCUCAAAUUAUUUUUCCUAAAAUGCUUACAUGUUACAUUUUAUAUGUAUGUCCUGUCUUUAAGUAUAAUUUAGCAUUUGUAUUUAGUAUUGUGUAAAAGUAAUUCAUUUUAUUCCGUCUUAUUAAAAAUAUAAUCAUGUUAUGCUGUAAAAGUAUUUGUGAAUUUCUUUGUUGCAUAUGUGUUUAAAUUAUUUUAUUUAUAUAUGUUUUACAAUUUUUACAAAUGUAUAGGUUGAGUAUUGCAUAAGAAUAUAAUUACACUCACAACUGUUAUGCGUGCAUGUAUAUUGCCGCUAAGUUUUAAACUUCUUACGAACCGGAAUAAUUUUGACAGAUGUGUGGAACUUGAUUAAUUUAGUUGCACUACAAGAGAAAGCGUUUUUACCAAUAGAAAUUGCUAAGGGAAAUUAGUCCGUCGGUAAUUUCCAACGAAUUUGUAACAAUUUGACUGGUCAAUGUUCUGCCAAUCAAUUCGCAACGAAAUACCCACGCUUAUUUACCAACGAGAUGUUCUGUUAGGAAAUAUAGCCACAUAAUGGAAUAAUAACAACAGCCCAAAGAAUGAGCAACAGACUAGCAACGAAAGCAUCUGUUACUACGUUCGUUGAUAUUCCGUUUAUAAAUACUAACAGUUCCGUUAGUAGUUAUUAGUUUUACAUUGGCAAUUGAUAUACACCAGAUGAGCACAUACACGGAUACAAUGCCAGUCUCUUAGUUGAAAUGUGUGUAAUGCUAAAGCCCAAUGAGCUUUAGUUGAUUAAAUUGAUUUGAGUUGUAGAAAAAAGCUAAUAAUAUAAUGGAUUUUGAUAUAUGUAUUGUAAAUAUUAAGUAAUUCUCUUGAAUUUAUAUAUGUAACAUAAUUGUUAAUUGGUUCAUCCUUGACUAGAAAUUUUAUAUUACAUUCUUAACUACAAAUUUUGUAUUUAAAAUUGUUUUAAAAAAUCAACUUUUAUUUGGCAUGUGGAUUUUGUAGUCAAAUGCGGUCAAUUUACUUAGCCUUUGAUCGAAUACCAACCUGAAACAUAAAAAUAUUUUUUAAUCAUUUAUUUUCGACGAUCCAACUAUAUUCUAUAAUUGUAAUGUGAUAAUAUUGAUUACAAAAUUUAAAAAAAAAAAUUAACCUUUUAUUUGGUAUGUGCAUUUUGUAGUCAAAUGCAAUUAAAUUACUUAGUCUUUAGUGAAAUCUUUACUCGAAACAUAAAACUUUUUCUUAAAAAAAAAUUGGACGAUCCAACCGUACAAAUGUUAUUGCAACGUGUUAAUAUUGGUUAAAAUAAAUUUUAAGAAAAUAUGUCUUUUAUUUGGUGUGUGGAUUUUGCGGUCAAAUAACUUAGCCUUUAAUUGAAUACUUACCCAAAACAUGAAACUAUUUUUUUUAAAUCAUUUCGGACGAUCCAACCGUACGGGUGUUAUUCUAACAUGAUAAUAUUGAUUAUUUUUUUUAAAGAAAAAAUAUAGCCUUUUAUUUGGUGUGUGGAUUUUGUAGUCAAAUGCAGUCAAAUUACUUAACCUUUAAUGAAAUGCUUACAUUAAACAUGAAAUUAUUUUUUUUAAAAUCAUUUGGAUGAUCCAAUCGUACGGAUGUUAUUAUGACAUGUUAAUUGAUUAAAAAAAAUAUUUAAAAAAUUGCUUUUUAUUUAGUGUGUGGAUUUUGUAGUUAAAUGCUACUUGGCCUUUAAUCGAAUACUUAACCGAAACAUGAAACUAUUUUUUUAAAAACCAUUUUGGACAAUCCAACCGUACGGAUGUUAUUGUAACAUGACAAUAUUGAUUGUUUUUUUAUAUAAUAACUUUUAUUUGGUGUGUGGAUUUGUAGUCAAAUUACUUAGCCUUUAAUCGAAUACUUACCUGAAACAUGAAACUAUUUCUUAGAAAAUUAUUUUAGAUGAUUCAACCAUACAGAUGCUAUUAUAACGUGAUAAUAUUGAUUAUUUUUUUUAAAAAAAUUAGUCUUUAAUUUGGUGUAUGAAUUUUAUAGUAAAAUGAUGUCAAAUUACUUAGUCUUUAAUGGUAUAUUUAUUAGAAUUAUGAAACUAAUUUUAAAAAUUUAGUUUGGACGAUCCAAACUGUAUGAAUGUUAUUUUAACAUGUUAAUAUUGAUUAAAAUUGUUUAAAAAAAUUUAGUGUUCUUUUAUGUGUGAAUUUUUAGUCAAAUAUGAUAAAAUAUUUAUUUAGCCUUUAAUGAAAUAUUAAAAAUCCCUACUUUAAAAGAAACUUGUCUAAAACUACCUAUACGCGUUAGAGAUUCAUCGAUUUAGUUAUCAAAUUAGUUAUAAUUAGGGUUUUACUCCGCUUUUCUCUGGUAUGAUGUUGAUUUUUGGGGUUCGAUUGGUCGACUUUCAUGUUUUAUAAGUUAUGUGAGUUCGAUUUUGAUGUUUUUACAAUUAGGUUUAUGUAUGUUUUUAUACGGGUUUUCAUGUUCAUGUUUUGAUUUGUUGAUUUCCUAUUUUUCCUAUUUGUUGAUUAGUUAUUUGUGUGGGUUUUGGAUUUUGAUGUGUGUGUAUGUAAUCUCCUGUAUUUUUUUUCAUUUUUUCUGGUUCGAACUCUUCGAUUAGUAGAUGAAAAAAACUGAUGCGGCAGUAGCGGCUAGCAAGGAGAUGGAUAACAAGAAAAGGACGAUUUUGAGGUCCUCUCGUGCAAGUCUUCAGGUAUAAUUUUGUUCCUUUAUGUUUUUAAUUAACAUAAAUUUUCACAUUUGCUGAUUAUAUUAUGGGGGAUUCUGGGUAUACUUGUAUAUAAUCUAGCAAGUAAUUAUAGUUCUGAAUGGGAAGCUUAUUGUGAAAUUAAAUUGAGGAAUAAGUUGUGUUAUUGGUUCUGGUGGAUUAAAUUUAUGUUAACACUUGAUAUAUGCAUUGAUGUCGUAAAAUAAGUUGUACAUCGAACUAUUUGGCUUGUUUAAGUUGUAUGGAGUAUGGUUGCCAAGCAUUGGUUGGUUGUACACGUAUAAACAAAAUGAUAUUUUAAUAUUUGAACAAAACAAUACAGAGCCCGUUUGGCUGAACUUGUAACUCAUAAAUUAACGUGAUUUAUGAUUUAACGUGACUUAUCUAAUAAGCUGAGAGUUUUAAAAUGUCUGUUUGGAUAAUUUUGACUUAUCAACGAUUUAUGGGUCAUUAAAAAUAUAAAAAUAAAAAUUAAAGUGUUUUAUGAGUAGGUUAUGAUUUAUGGAUAAUUUUUAUAUAAAAAAAAGUUCAAAAAAAUUAAGUUACUGGAAAAAUACCUCAAACUAAUUUCAGGCUUUAAGUCAGCUUCUGAUUUAUUAGUUUUUAAGUUUAAGCCGGCUUCUGACUUAUUAAAGCCAUCAGAAUAAUUUUAAACCGCAGCUCUAAGCUACGACAAACGGGCUCACAGUCAUAAACAGAUCGUGUCGGGCUGGACUGAUUGUGAUUUUCCUUUUUGGAACUCGUACUCGGCAUGUUCCACGCGAAUGAUAUUUAGAAGUAUACUCCAUGUCAUAAUAAGAGUUCUUUAAAUUUUUUAUAUGUAAUUUGAAGUAUAAAAAAAAUAUUUUAACAUAAUAUUUUUAAUUUUUUAUACAUAAAAAUAUAACAUCUAUAUUUUUAUUUAGAAAAAAAAAUUUGAAAAAUAAUAUAUAGAUGCAUGUUUUUUUUAUACGUGAAAUUACAUGUAAAAAUCAAAAGACUUUUAUUUUGAGUAAGAGAGAAUAUGAUGUACCAUAAAGUCAUCGAUUUUUUGUUAUCAAAUGAAUGUGAUAGUUAACUAUUUAAGAGCAAGUCCAAAAGUGUUCUAGUUCAUGCUCUAAAUAUAAUAUAAAAUAUUAUGUCCUAGUGAUUUGGGACAUAUUUUACUAACUUGGACUUCAACAAUGAGUCUUAAGGCUCAUUUGUUUUGAGCUUAACAUUGCUGAACGGAUUCCAGCUUACUGAUUAAUGCGAGUUCAGAUUGUUUGGCGACCAUAUUUUAUAAGCUUACCGAUUAAUGCGAGUUUAGAUUGUUUGACGAUCAUAUUUUAUAUUCUGAAUUGUUCAUAUACAGCUGAGCGGAUCAGUCUAAAGUGGGUGAAAGAAUCAUUCAGCGCCAUCCUUAUUAGCUUAUAAUACUGUAUGUCAACUUCAAUCUUAUAAAAAUAUAUUUUAUUUGUUUACUAUAUUUUAUAUAUAUGUUGAUUUUAUCCCAAGUUUUGUUCGUAUCAACUGAAAAUAAUAACUCUUUCAAAAAAUUAAAAAUAAUAUAAUAAUAAUCGAUAUAAUUUUUAACUUUAUAAUUAUUUUGAAUAAUAAUAUGUGAAUUUUUUUUAUAUGUCUAAAUAAGUUUUCAUCUUAUUAAAAAUCAAGUGAUAUAUAUUUUAUUCAAGUGAUAUAUAUUGUUUUAGUGAUAAAAAAGUUCACUAAAACAAUUUAUCAUAUUUAUAAUAUAUUAUUCAGAUAUUUCAAAUAUUAUUCAUCAAACAAUAUUAUUCAUUCAGAAUUCAGAUGAUUCAUCCGUUAAGAUCAUUCAGGUAUAUUAAUCAUUCAAUUCAGAUUUGCCAAAUGACCCCUUAUUCUCACACGAUGUUUAAUAUUUUAUUAUUAGAGAGAGAAAAGGAGUGUUGAUAAGAAUUAAUAACAAAAUAUGGACAGGGUAAGGAAAGAUGUACCUCAAAAAUAGGACUUGAGAAGGUUGUCCCAGUGAUAUAAGGCAUCACUAGGACAUUGUUGGAUCAAUUUUUUACAUCAAAUGCCUUAAAUAACAACUUAGGACGACAUAUAUGGAAAUUGUUGGACUUGCUCUAAGUUGUUACUCCUUCCAAGUAUAAAAGAUGAGUAAAGUUAAAUGAAGACGUGGUAAAAUAAUGUGACCUAUUUAUAUUUAAUAAUACAUUUGAAAUAGUGGAGGAAAGUAACAUGUGUAAUAACGUUUAUAUUAUUAUUGCAUAUAGAUAAGAAGAAAGCAAUGGGUAUAAAAGUGUAUUAUAUUAUUAAAAUUAUUAUUUUUAAAAUGUUUAGAAAUAAUGGGGCAUCCAAAAAGAAAACUGUAUAGAAAUGAAAAAGGAAAUACAAUUCAAAAAGUCAUAUAUCUAAAUUCAAACUAGGUAAUAUAUUUAUGAAUUAUAUUAAAAAAAAUAUUUGACAUUCAAAUAUAAAAAUUUAUUUUAUCAUCUCAACAAUGAAUAUUCGAUUAUUAACUUUCGUAAAUAACAUUAAUUUUUCAUUAUAAUAUACUCUAAACUUUUAUUUUAUGUGCCUGUUUGUUUACGAGAAGCUGGAAUUUACUUCUCUUGACUCGUUUGUGUAAAAAAGUAAAAGGUGCUUUUAAAAAGUACUGAGAACGAAAUGGAAGUAGAAAAUGCUAGCUUUUCUUUAUAAUAUCUAUUUCUUUUCCAGACAUUUUAAUAAUUUAUAAUUAUUAAUUUAUUUGUCAUUUCUACUUAUUUUUUUUAGAGAACUUUUUUUAAACUAACCGGCUCCUAUAACUAGUAAUUACUUCUAAAUCACAAAUUACUGAUAAAUCAUCACUUUUAUUAUUAUUAUUAUUAUUAUAUUUUUAAUAACUCAUAAAUUAUUAAUAAGUCAAAAUUAGUCAAACAGAUAUUUUUAAGUUGAGCUUAUGAGAUAACUAACGUUAAGUCUUCUGAGCCCCCAUUGGCUCACAAUUGGCCCAAAAAAUAUUUGGUUAUGCAUUGCUAUUCACACACUUAGACAUCAAAAUUUAUCAUCCGACAGCUAACUGCACACUAUUUUUCCCACAAGCUCAAAAAUCAACGAUCAAUUAAUUUUUUCUUAUCAAUUACUAAUAAAGUUAUGAUUUCACGUACACGGCAGGCAAAAUGCUAAUAAAUAGACGAGUGCAGUAUAGUAUGGGUUCAUGAUCCCCUUGAGAUUUAAUUGAAAAAUAUUAUGGUGAUAUAGAUUAAAUUAAAUUAUAAUAUUUUGAAAAGUUAUAAAUAAUUUUAAUUACUAAUAAUAUUUAUUUGUACAUUUAAAUAUUUUUAUAAAAACACAAUAAUAGCAUUAUACUCAUUUAAGUUUCUCGUAUCCGCCUCCUCUUCUUGGAGAUUGUGGAUUUGCGAUAUUUGUAUUGAUUAUUAUAGGAAAAUGUUAUUUUCAGAGCAAACAUUUUUAUUUCUGGAGCAAAUUCAAUUCCCACUUCCUUGUCCUUGUAGCUACAUAAAUCAUACAACUUCAAUACAAACUUUUCCAAAUUGUUCUGGAAAUUAAAAAAUUGAUAUGGAUAUAACAAUUCCCUUAUUAUAUCCUAUGUAUAUUACAUUAAUGCAAUUAACAUGGUUGGUUGUUUUAGUAUAUAAUUAUAUUAGUGUGGCCUUUUAGUAUAUAAUUAUAUUAUUUUUGUUAUAUUUUAUGCAUCUAGAAACAAUUUUUUUAUGAUAUUUAUUAUAUUAAUUAUAGUAAAAGAUAUAAUUUUGUUUAAAAAAUUGAAUAAAACUAAGAGGGAUAGCCUACGUCUCUCCGAGUCUUCGAGGACUCAUUCCAAGUCCGCAGAGGACCACCGCCUCAACCUUUAAGAGAUGUGAAAGUAGCUUGAGAGAGACAUAAAUUAAUGUUUGAUAAUAAAAUUUAAUAAUCAAAUAAAUUAAAUUAAAUUAAACUAGUUUAUAGUAAUCGAUUAAAAAUAUAUAAAUCAAAAUUAUUCCUGAAUUAUGAUAACAAUUAAAAUCAUAUUAAAAGUUGCAAAAAUCAAACCCAAAUCGAACAAAUUCCCCUAACACUAAAAUGUAGUUGCUUUAUUGUAGAUAAAAACAGUAUAAUAAUCGUAUUGAUGAAAAAUCAAAUUCAUCAAAUAAGUUUAUAAAAAAUACAUGAUUUUAGUGUGUUGUAUUAGUAGUGUGUCCACGCAUUUAUAUAUUAAAAUCUAUCCUCUAAAAACUAUCGAUCUAUUUACACAACUAUUGAUCUGUCGUGCAACAAAUUCCACGGAGAAGUUCCAAAGAGAGCUUAAAUGGCUUGCAUUGCUCAAUCUAUCUCAUAAUAGUCUUAACGACAUAUGUUCUGAAUUAUUAUUAUGCUUUCAACAAUAUUUUCAAACAUUUCUUAAUAUGUAUUUUCAAAGAAUUAAGAGAAUGCACAAAAAUUAAGAGAGAUUGCUCUGGGUCUCCCCAAGCCUUUCAGGACUCAUUCCAAGUCUUCCUAGGACCACUGCCUCACCCUUUCAAAGAUGUGAUAAUAGCUCGAGAGUAAUAUAAAUUAAUUUACGGACACUAAAAAUAAAAAAUCAGAUCAAAUUAAUCAAUAAUAAAUUAAGGAUGAAAUCCAAAUUAAUCCUAAAUUUUGAUAAUAUAUAAAUAUUAUAAUUAUAAAUUAUAUAACCAAAUCAGAAUUGAAUUAACUUACUUGGCACUAAAAUUGAUAAAGACAGAAUAAUAAUUUAAUCGAUGAAAAGUCAAAGUCUUCUAAUAAAUCCAUAAAAGAUAUGAUAAUCCAAAUAACACACUUAUAUAUCAAAAUUUAUGGUCCAAAAACUAUAGCAAAAUAUCCUAAAUACACCACAUUAAAUAAUAGUUCAAAAAUAUUCAAUAAACAAUUGUUUUCAUUCAUAAUUUUGUUAUUUUAAAAACUAAUAAUUUGGUUGAUGUUAACCUAUAUUUUAAUAUAUAAUUAUAUUAUUUUCAUCUUAUUUUAUUUAACCAGAAACAAUAUUUUUAUAAUAUUUAUUACUUUAUUUAUAUUAAAAUAUAUAAUUUCAUUAAAAAAAUUGAAUAAAAUUAAGAGAAUAACUCUAUGCCUCUCUAAGUCUACAAGACUCAUUUCAAGUCUACCGAGGACUACUACCUCAACCAUCGAGAGAUGUGAAAGUAUAGUUUGAGAGUGACAUAAAUUAUUUUCCUGACAAUAAAAUUUAAUAUCUAAUAUAAAUUAAUUAAAUUAGAUAAUAAUAAAUCAAAACUAAUUAUGAAUUAUGAUAAUAAUUAAAUAAAUUAUAAUUAAAUUAUAUAAAUCAACUCCAAAUGUACAAAUAACACUAAACCUUGGUUACUUUGUUGGUAAAUAAAUAUAAUAUAAUAAUCAAAUUGAUGAGAAAUCAAAAUCAUCUAAUAAAUUCACAAAAAAUAUAUAAUCAGUAUAUUAUAUUAGUAUCCACACACUUAUAUUUCAAAAUCUAUCCUCCGAACUUAUCAUCUCUGUAAACUACCCACAUAAAAUAAAAAUUUAAAGAUAUUAGAUAUUUAGUUAUUUUCAUUAUAUAUAAUUUUUCCACACUAAAUAACAAAAUAUCUUUAUCAAAUUAUUAUUUAUAAGUUUUUUGAAUAUCAGAUUCAUAACCCAGUUGAUCAGGAGAAACAUGGCCUACUCUGCAAAGCCUUCUCACCUUCUUCUCUUUGUUUUCUUUCUCUCAUCACUUGAAUCCAUUCUUGCAACAACACAAGAGGGAGAAGCUCUUGUGAAGUGGAAGAAUAGCCUAGCCCCUUCUUCUUUUCUCGACUCUUGGUCACUCACCAAUCUCGAAAAUCUUUGUAACUGGACUGGCAUUACUUGUAACUCUGCAGGUUCAGUCUCGGAGAUUAACCUUUGUGAGAAACAACUUGAUGGAAUGCUGUCCGAGUUUGGUUUCACUUCAUUUCCAAAUCUCAACAAUCUCAUCCUCGCAGAUAACUUCUUCUCGGGUCCCAUACCACCGGCCAUUGAGAAUUUAACACAGCUUCGAUUUCUUGAUUUAAGCUUUAAUUCUCUCCAUGGUCCCAUUCCGUUCCAGGUUAGCCAUCUUCAGAGCUUGCUCAUCUUAAACCUGUCACAGAAUGCAUUGCAAGCUCCAAAUUGGUCCCAUUUCUCUCCCAUGCCUUUCUUGCGCAUCCUCAACCUCAGUUACAAUCCUCUUGCGUCGAAAUUCCCAUAUUUUAUAUCCAAUUCUCAUAGCCUGACUCACCUUAGCCUUAAUUAUAACGAGUUUACUGGUGAUUUAGUACGUGAAUCAGUAUUUGCCAAUCUGCAUAAUCUUGAAGUGCUCAGUCUUGUUGGCAAUUCUUUUGAGGGGCCAUUUCCGCCGGAUGUAGUCCAGCUUUCCAAAUUAAAACGUCUCUUCCUGUCAGGUAACAAAUUUUCAGGUUCAAUUCCCAAUGACAUAAGGUUGCUUUGUGAUCUUGAAUACCUAUAUUUAGGCAACAAUUCCUUUGAAGGACCGCUUCCACCAAAUAUAUUCAAGCUUUCAAAAUUAAAAAAUCUUGUUAUUUGGAGUAAUAAGUUUUCAGGUUCUAUUUCCAAUGAUAUAGGUUUGCUUUCUGAGCUUGACACCCUCAAUCUUCGCUCUAAUUUUUUUAAGGGUCCGCUUCCGUCAAAUAUAUUCAAGCUUUCCAAAUUAACAAGUCUUGACCUCGCAGACAAUAGAAAUUUAUUUGAAGGAAGUAUUCCUAUUGGACUGGGACUCUUGACUAACCUCAGGUUCUUAGAUCUACAUUCCAGUAAUCUCAGUGGCUAUAUUCCAUCUGACAUUGGAAACCUGAAGCUACUAGUACUUCUUAAUCUCGGUUCUAAUAAAUUGACUGGACCGCUUUUAAAGAUCGUUUCUAAUCUCACAAAUCUUAUAUAUUUUGAUGUAAGUGAUAAUAGUCUUCGUGGAAAUAUUCAGAGUGACUUGUGGAUAUAUAACGAUCAUCCAACUUUGGAAUACAUCAAUUUAAGUGGGAACCAUUUUACGGGUAUAGUUUUUCUCUAUAGAUCUUUUCCUUUUGUCAUAUGUAACUAAGCUAGUAAUCUGGUUAUUGCAGUUUUACCAAAGUUUCAACAAUCUUGACAGGUGAGCUUCCAACAACAAUUUGCAAUGUCACUUCCCUUUCAAUUCUUGAUUUGUCAAAUAAUGAAUUAAGUGGUGCACUUCCAAACUGUUUCGGGAAUCUUGCUGAUGGAUUGCUUUACAUUAAUCUUGCUAAUAAUCAGUUUCGAGGAACAAUACCAACUACUUUCUCCAGGAGUUGUCAGCUGACAUAUCUAAACAUGGAUGAUAAUGAGUUUGAAGGAUUGUUGCCCCCAUCUUUGGCGAACUGUAAGCACUUGAAAAUUUUUGAUAUUGGCAAUAAUAAAAUAGGUGGUACAUUUCCGUCAUGGCUUUAUGCACUUGGAGAGCUAGAAGUCCUUGUCUUGCGAUCAAAUAAACUCUGUGGUACAAUAAGUGGAAGGAGCAUAGAAGAUCCCUUCCCCAAGUUGCGGAUUGUGGAUCUGUCCAACAACCACUUCACAGGCCAUUUGCCAAUUCAAUACUUUAAGAAUAUGAAAUCAACUGAUAAUUUGUAUAGUUAUCAGCUUUUCACAGCAGUUUUUUCUUUCCAUUAUGAAGCAGCAGUCUCAUUAAUUGUGAAGGGAACAGAGUAUGAAGUGGCAAAUAACCUUCAUAUUUACACAGCCAUUGAUCUGUCGUGCAACAAAUUUCAGGGAGAAAUUCCAAAGGUUACUGGAGAGCUUAGAUGGCUUGCAUUGCUCAACUUAUCUCAUAAUAGUCUAACAGGACCUAUCCCAUCAUUGCUGGGAAAUAUGAAAGAACUCCAAUCUUUAGAUUUGUCUUCAAAUCAACUGACAGGGGCCAUUCCACCUCAGCUAACUGCAUUGACAUUUCUAGAGGUCUUAAACCUCUCGGGAAACCAUCUUAGUGGAGAGAUUCCUCAGAAAGGACAGUUCAGCACAUUUAACAAUGAUUCUUAUCUAGGAAACUCCGCGUUAUGUGGAUCACCUUUGACGAAGAAAUGUGCAAACACAGCAUCACCUCCACAAGAAGUCGGAAAUGGUGAUGAAGANGAUUUGUCUUCAAAUCAACUGACAGGGGCCAUUCCACCUCAGCUAACUGCAUUGACAUUUCUAGAGGUCUUAAACCUCUCGGGAAACCAUCUUAGUGGAGAGAUUCCUCAGAAAGGACAGUUCAGCACAUUUAACAAUGAUUCUUAUCUAGGAAACUCCGCGUUAUGUGGAUCACCUUUGACGAAGAAAUGUGCAAACACAGCAUCACCUCCACAAGAAGUCGGAAAUGGUGAUGAAGAAGAUGGUGGUGAUGAAUUGACAUGGGAAGCAAUCGUGAUGGGAUAUGGAUGUGGACUGAUAUGUGGAUUGUCAUCGGCAUACAUUGUUCUCAAACUAGGAAAGCCUUGGUGGUUUGUGAGAUAUAUCGAAGUACUGCAACAGAAGUUGAUGAAAAGAUGCUUGAAGAAAGGUACUGGUCGAUCAAGACGAACUUGAAAGUUGUUGUCCAUGUGGACAUUUCUGAACCAGUAGUGUACUAGCUGCAUAAGUAUUUGGUAUUAUGUAAUAUUCUGUUUGGUGGGGAAUCAUAAUAAUUUUUCUUCCUGUAGGGGUAUUAAUAUUAACCUUGUUAUCUUGAUCAAUGUUAAUGCAAAUUAAAAUGAAUGAAAAAACAAAAAAUAUGCAUCAAAUCCACUCCUGCUGUACCAAGAUCCAUUAAUUUGCUUUGGUCUUUUACAUAACAAUUUAACAGCGCACUUCCCCACUGUUUGAAAGAAUUUAAUAAUAAACUCGAGUUUUCCAGGACUGCACCAAGUUCACAUAUUCAAUAUCACACAUUCCAGUCUCAGCUUCAGCUCCCAGGGUAGAAGAGAAGUUUUAUGUACAAUAACAGUUAAUUACCAUAGCUACUUUAGUCUUGGUUCAGUUUUUGCAGAGAUAAUUACCAGAUUUUGAAAUCCUUCAUGUGAGGAAACAAAUAUCGAGAGACAUUUCUGUUUACAAAUAUAGGUUUUCUAGACAUAAUUACAGGAACUUUUACCAUUAUACACUUUUAUAGUACUGGUUAAGAGUUUGUUGUUCAGCCUAGUGAAAGAAAUAAUUCCUCUGCUAUUUCAUUAACAUUGCUGGUAUAUAUACAAUGUACAACACACCCUUCAAGGCUAUAAUCAGGGAACCUAAAAUAUAUCCAAAACUAAUCAUAGAAACAGACUAACUAAUUACAAUAAAUCAUAUCCAGAAAUAUCUCCACAGAUGUCGCAUAGAUAUCUUUAACACACCCCCUCAGUCGAAGCGGGAGGUAAACGAACACUGAGACUGUCUCUGAAGUCUUCAAAAAGAACACGCGGAAGACCUUUUGUAAAAAUAUCUGCUACUUGAUAUCUGGAUGGCACAUGAAGAACCCGUACUUCACCUCGUGCAACUUUUUCCCGAACAAAGUGAAUAUCCAUCUCAAUGUGUUUAGUACGUUGGUGUUGUACUGGAUUACCCGAUAAAUAAAUAGCACUGACAUUGUCGCAAUACACCACAGUUGCCUUUGUAACUGGACAAUGCAAUUCCAACAACAGAUUUCGGAGCCAACAUGAUUCAGAGACCACAUUAGCUACACCCCUAUACUCGGCCUCUGCACUGGAUUUGGAAAGAGUCGGUUGUCGCUUAGAAGACCAGGAAAUCAAGUUGUCACCCAAAAACACACAAUACCCAGAUGUAGACCGCCUCGUGUCGGGGCACCCACCCCAGUCAGCGUCAGUAUAUGAAACAAGAGAGGACUGUGAAGAGGAAUAGAGAUGUAAACCAUAGUCCUGUGUUCCUUGAAUGUACCUAAUGAUUCUUUUAAGAGCUUGCAUAUGAGUAACCCGUGGAUCAUGCAUGUGCAGACAUACUUGUUGAACCGCAUAAGAAAUAUAUGGACGUGUGAAAGUCAGAUAUUAAAGUGCCCCAGCAAGACUCCGAUACAAUGAAGGAUUCUCAAACACAGAACCAACAGACGCACUAACCUUGGCCUUCGUAUCAACUGGUGUAGGUGAUGAUUUACAAGAGGACAUGCCAGCCCUCUCAAUUAUCUGUUGUGCAUAAUUCUUCUGUGACAGAAACAUGCCAGCCUUAUGACGAGUGACUGAUAUACCAAGAAAAGAACUCAAGGGGCCAAGAUCCUUCAUAGCAAAUUCUGAACUAAGAAGCUUUAUAAUCGAGACACGGAGAUCAUCAGACGACGCAGUGAGAAUUAUGUCAUCGACGUAAACCAGAAUAUAGGCCAUGUGAGAACCGUUGCGAUAAACGAAUAAUGAGGUGUCACAUUUGCUUCUAAUGAAACCAAUAGACAGAACAAAAUCAGCAAACUUCUCAGACCAAGUCCGGGGGGACUGCCUCAGGCCAUAAAUUGAUUUACGUAACAAACACACAUAAUCCGGAUGAGCACGAUCACGAUACCCCAAAGGUUGAUGCAUAUAUAUUGUUUCCUUUAAGUCACCAUGAAGGAAGGCAUUCUUUACAUCUAGCUGAUGAAUUGACCAGCCAUUCGAAAGAGAGAGAGAAAGCACUGUGCGGAUUGUAGCUGGUUUCACUACCGAGCUAAAAGUUUCGCCACAAUCAAUACCCACCAGCUGAGUUUUUCCAUUUCCGACAAGGCGAGCUUUAUGCCUCUGAAACACACCAUCCGAAUUUUCUUUAUGAGCAAAAACCCACAUAGACCGAAUAACAUUAACAUCAGGUGGACGGGGCACCAAAUCCCAUGUCUUAUUUUGAAUAAGUGCAUUAUACUCCUCAUCCAUGGCUAUUUUCCAAUUCGGGUCCCGAAGAGCAUCAACAGGGCUAUGUGGUAAAGGUGACCGAGGAGCUGUUGUGUUAUAUGCAUGAUCAGAAUAUCGCAUAUUUGGUUUAAAAAUACCUCGUUGGCUCCUGGUAACCAUUGGGUGCUGGUUUAUAGGAGUAGGGGAAGAUGUUGAUGUUUGUGGACUCGAGGAGGAAGAUGAACUCAAUGAGGAGGGAGAUGGCGACGUUGAUGAAAGUAAGGGAGAGGAGGAUUGGUUUGAGAGUACUGGACUCGGUGAAAGAGAAUGAGGAGAACUCCCAGGGGAAGGUGAGAAACUACCAUGUCGUGUCUCAUGUGUGUGAGUACUGUCUGGGUGAGCAGACACAGACACAGAAGGACUUUGAUUUUGCAGAUGAUACACUGAAUAAGGUGAUAAGCCAUCUGCUAAAAAAUCAUAGGUAGAAGUGGAUGAAUCAUGUAACUUAGCAAACGGAAACACAUGCUCGUCAAAUAACACAUGGCGACAAAUUAUAAUCUGUGCUGUGAUGAUAAAUCAUAACAUUUGUAACCACGGUGAUUAGCCGGAAACCCCAAGAAAACACAAGGUGUUGAACGAGAUUGCAAUUUAUUAAUUGUGGUAGAGGGAAUGAGAGGAUAGCACAAGCAACCAAAGACCCGAAUGUGAGAAAAUGAGGGAACCCGUUGAUAUAGGAUUUCAAGAGGUGAUAAAUUGCCUAAGACCUUGUUCGGAAGAACAUUUAGAAGAUAGGUGGCCAUUUGUAAUGCAUGAUUCCAAAAAGAUGAAGGAAGAGAUGCAUGAGCUAAGAGUGUUCGAGUGACAUUAUUAAUAGUUCGAAUUUUUCUUUCUGCUUUCCCAUUUUGAGAAGAAGUAUGAGGACAAGACAACCGAAAAGUCAUGCCAUUGUUCUUAAAAAAAUCCCAGAAAUGAUGAUUAGUAAAUUCCCUCCCAUUAUCGCAUUGCACAUUUUUAAUGGUACACUCGAAUUGGGUGAGAAUAUGAUUGUGAAACGCCACAAAUUUAUCAAAGACAUCAGAUUUCUUAGCAAUUGGAAAAGUCCAAAGAAAAUUGGAGAAAUCAUCUAAUAACACAAGAUAGUACUUAUGACCCAUAGUACUCAAAACCGGAGAUGUCCAAAGAUCACAAUGAAUUAUAUCAAAUGGCUUUAAAGUACUUGAACUAGACGAAACAAAUGGCAUCUUGAUAUGUUUUCCAAACACACAAGAUCGACAAAUGCUAGAAUGUGAAAGCUUAGAACAAUGAAUGCUUUUAUUGAGUCGAAGAGCAUCCAAAACUUGUGCACCGGGAUGGCCUAAACGAUCAUGCCAAAGAGAGGAAUUGAUGGCUGCAAAAGUAGAAUGAAGAGCUCGAUUGUUGAUAGAUUGUGUAAGAGGAUAAAGAUCGCCUUGGCUCUCACAUCUCAUUAUUAGCACUCACGUCUGUAAAUCCUUCACAGAAAACCCAAAAGGAUCAAAUUCCACCGUAACAGAAUUAUCAGUGGUAAAUUUGCGAACAGAAAUAAGGUUUUUAACAAUUUUGGGAGCGUGGAGGACAUUUUUAAGGGACAAAGGAAGGCCAGGAGAUGGUAAUGCAGUAUGACCAUAUCCUUGAAUUGAAAUAAUAUUGCCAUCACCCACAACAAUGCCAUUAUGAUGAGAAUUAUGUUGAUUGCUCAAAUUAACAUAGGACGAGAAAUUACCAUUUGAGGAUGUCAUAUGAGAUGUAGCACCAGUAUCCAUGUACCACGACGGAUCAGGUUGAUUGAGAGUCAUGGUAUGCAUUGCAGAUUCAAUAUCCGUUGGAACAAAAGAAGCUGACUGCCCAACCGUUGUUCCUGUGAAAGCCUGCUGUGGUCGAGGACCAAGAACUCCAGGCUGUGGUUGUUGAACUCCCGUGGAACGGGGCUGAGUCCAGCCCUGAGUUGGGAAUGGACAAGGGGGAGCGGACCAUCCCUGCAUCCAAGGUGGAGCAGCCAAGAUUGGAAAUAACCCGGUGCCCACUGUUGUGAACCCCAUUGCAUCCUAUUCUGUUGUUGUCCACCACCACGGCCUUGACCCAUACGACCCCCACCAGAACCACGACCUCCACCUGAACCAGAUCGUUUAUUAUUUUUCCUGUGGUUAUUAUGCUUAUUGCCACGGGGAGGUGCGGAUCCCUGAUUCGAGCCUGUGUCGUCAAAAUCCGUCUGUGAGGCAACCAACAUUGCAGAGUCAGACCCUGUGGCAGCUUCUUUUGCUAAAGCAGCCUCCUCUAAUGUUAACAUAGACCGGGCUUGAUAGAAUUGUGGGAGAGGGUCACUCUGUCGAAUUAAGGUCCCAACACCACGGUAUGCCCUUGGAAGGCCGGAAACCAGUUGAAUAACAAGUCUACUAUCCGAGAUUGGUGCACCAACAUUUUUCAGUUGAUCAGCAAGAGAUUUGAGACGCUGACAGUAAGCCGAAACAUUCGGAAAAUUCUCCAUUUUUGUACUGGAGAAUUCAGCCUCCAAAGUUACCACACGGGAAUUCUUGUUGUCCUGGAAUAUGUCACGCAACCUGUUCCAUGCCUCCAUAGCAGUGGCAUCUGGUUCAAUGAUCGUAUGUAAAAGAUCAUUGGAGAUAGUCGCAUAAAUCCAAGACAGAACCGUAGCAUCAAGCGUCGACCACAAUUCCUUUUCAUCCUCAGUAGAAAGAACCUUCUCUUUGCCUGUGGCAGGAGGAAUAAUAUGAGAAAGCACCUUAUGAGAACGUGCGGUAAUUUUGAAAAGCUCCGCCCAUGUCGAGUAUUGACCAUUCUCCAUCUCAAGAAUAAUGGGGAUAUGAUUGCGGAUAUUUGACACCGCAAGAGCUGGAUGAAAGGAGCUCUUGUUACCAGACAUUGGCUGCUGAUUAGUUGUAUCAGUCAUGAUAAUGAGAAAAGAAAAGAAGAUGAGUGCUUAGCGGAAGAAAAGAAAGAAAGAAAGAUCGUGGUAUUGCCUUAAGGCUCUGAUACCAUGAAAGAAAUAAUUCCUCUGCUAUUUCAUUAACAUUGCUGGUAUAUAUACAAUGUACAACACACCCUUCAAGGCUAUAAUCAGGGAACCUAAAAUAUAUCCAAAACUAAUCAUAGAAACAGACUAACUAAUUACAAUAAAUCAUAUCCAGAAAUAUCUCCACAGAUGUCGCAUAGAUAUCUUUAACACCUAGUCCUAAACUAAAAUUAUCAGUUCGAUGUGAAAUACGAAAUCAUAUUGCAGACGUCAUUCGUUGUUCCACCUAGUCCAAAACUACUCUAAAACUAUAUUGCUGGUAGUCUUUCAGUUCAUCCUACUGUAUGCAAUAGUUUCAUAUAUAGGUAACUCGGCCUUGUGUGGACUUCCUUUAACAAAAAAAUGUCUGCACUCAGUGUCACCACCACUGGAAGUCGAAAAUAGUGAUGAUGAAGAUGAUGCUCAUGGUGAACUUAAUUGGGAAGUAAUCCUGACGGGAUGUGGAUGUGGAUUGAUUUGCGGAUUGUCUUCUGGGUACAUUGUUUUCAAAAUAGAAAGGCCUUGGUGAUUUCUGCAAAGUGCUGCAACUUAAGUUGAUGUUACGAAGCACGAAAAAUAUUGUUCGACCAAGAUCAACAACUUGAAAAUGUGUUCUGAAUCUGUAUUAAUAUUAAAAUAUUAUAAUAUUAUUCAUUUAACACUAUCGUCCAAUCAAUUUAAUUGAUUAUCAUUUAAUCAAUAUAUUAGAUAAAUAUUAAUUGUCUUCCUUACCUCUAACCAAUGAUGAAAUUAAUAACCUCCCUAUAAAUCUAUUAAGACAGCUUUGAGUUGUCAAAGUCCUCAAACAUAUUAAACACUUUGAAAAAUUUGUUUCUGCAAGUCAAAAUUGCAAACAACACUUUGAAAACUUAGGUGCCGAAUAGUCCUUAUAUUGGAUUAAUCAGAUUUAAAUAUUUAAUGGCGCUAACAAAAUCUGUUGAAGUUAGCAGUUAUAAGGCAUAUAAUUAGAAAAAUGGCACAGUAUAUAAAGCCUCAUCAUCUUUUUCACUCUGUUUUAUUUCUCUCAUUACUUCCAUCCAUUCUUACAACACUAGCUGAAACAAGACGAGAGGGAGAAGCUCUUGUGAAAUGGAAGAAUAGCCUAGCCCCGUCUUCUUUUCUCGAUACUUGGUCACUAACCAAUCUCGAUGAUCUUUGCAACUGGACUGGCAUUACUUGUAACUCUGCAGGUUCAGUCUCUGAGAUUAACCUUAAACAAAAACAACUCAGUGGAACGAUUUCUGAGUUUGGUUUCACUUCAUUUCCAAAUCUCAACAAUCUGAACAUAGCACGAAACAACUUUUACGGUCCAAUACCACCAGCCAUUAAGAAUUUGACACAGCUUCAAUACCUUGAUUUAAGCUUUAAUCAUCUCAACGGUUCCAUCCCGUACCAGGUUAGCCAUCUUCAGAAAUUACAAAUCUUACACCUGUCGCAUAAUGAAUUGCAAGCUCCAAAUUGGUCCAAUUUCUCUUCCAUGCCUUUUUUGCGCAUCCUCGGCCUCGGCAGCAAUAAUCUGGAGUCAGAAUUCCCAGAAUUUAUAUCCAACUCUCAUGGCCUCACUUUCCUUGACCUUUCUUUUAACAAGUUUACAGGUGAUCUUGUGCAUGAAUCAAUUUUUACCGAUCUACGUAAUCUCGAAAACCUCCAUCUUGCUAAAAAUUACUUUGAGGGGCCGAUUCUACCUAGUAUAUUUAAGCUUUCCAAUUUAAAAAUUCUUGAACUAUCAGGUAAUAAAUUUUCUGGUUCUAUUUCCAACUAUAUAGGUUUGCUUUCGGAGCUUGAGACCCUCUAUCUUGACUUCAAUUUUUUUGAAGGACCAAUUCCACCAAAUAUAUUCAACCUUUCUAAACUAAAAAUUCUUGAACUAACAGGUAAUAACUUUUCAGGUCCUGUUUCUAAUGAUAUAAGUUUGCUUUCCGAGCUUGAAAACCUCAAUCUUGCCUUAAAUUCUUUUGAUGGGCCUUUUCCAUCAAAUAUGUUCAACCUAACCAUAUUGAGACAUCUAAAUCUCUAUGGCAAUAAAAAUUUAUUUAAAGGAAGUAUCCCACUGGAUAUCAAAAUAAGUCACAAGGACUAAUUAAUUACAUCUAUGAAGCAUCUAUCUCCUUAAAUGUGAAAGGAACAGAGUAUGAAGUGAAAAACAUUCUUCAUAUUUACACAACCAUUGAUCUGUCAUGCAACAAAUUUCAUGGACAUGUUCCAAAGAGAGCUUAAUUAAAUGGCUUGCAUUGCUCAAUCUAUCUCAUAAUAGUCUUAACAGACAUAUGUUCUGCAUUAUUAUUAUACUUUCAUCAAUAUUUUUAAACANAACAAAAACAACUCAGUGGAACGAUUUCUGAGUUUGGUUUCACUUCAUUUCCAAAUCUCAACAAUCUGAACAUAGCACGAAACAACUUUUACGGUCCAAUACCACCAGCCAUUAAGAAUUUGACACAGCUUCAAUACCUUGAUUUAAGCUUUAAUCAUCUCAACGGUUCCAUCCCGUACCAGGUUAGCCAUCUUCAGAAAUUACAAAUCUUACACCUGUCGCAUAAUGAAUUGCAAGCUCCAAAUUGGUCCAAUUUCUCUUCCAUGCCUUUUUUGCGCAUCCUCGGCCUCGGCAGCAAUAAUCUGGAGUCAGAAUUCCCAGAAUUUAUAUCCAACUCUCAUGGCCUCACUUUCCUUGACCUUUCUUUUAACAAGUUUACAGGUGAUCUUGUGCAUGAAUCAAUUUUUACCGAUCUACGUAAUCUCGAAAACCUCCAUCUUGCUAAAAAUUACUUUGAGGGGCCGAUUCUACCUAGUAUAUUUAAGCUUUCCAAUUUAAAAAUUCUUGAACUAUCAGGUAAUAAAUUUUCUGGUUCUAUUUCCAACUAUAUAGGUUUGCUUUCGGAGCUUGAGACCCUCUAUCUUGACUUCAAUUUUUUUGAAGGACCAAUUCCACCAAAUAUAUUCAACCUUUCUAAACUAAAAAUUCUUGAACUAACAGGUAAUAACUUUUCAGGUCCUGUUUCUAAUGAUAUAAGUUUGCUUUCCGAGCUUGAAAACCUCAAUCUUGCCUUAAAUUCUUUUGAUGGGCCUUUUCCAUCAAAUAUGUUCAACCUAACCAUAUUGAGACAUCUAAAUCUCUAUGGCAAUAAAAAUUUAUUUAAAGGAAGUAUCCCACUGGAUAUCAAAAUAAGUCACAAGGACUAAUUAAUUACAUCUAUGAAGCAUCUAUCUCCUUAAAUGUGAAAGGAACAGAGUAUGAAGUGAAAAACAUUCUUCAUAUUUACACAACCAUUGAUCUGUCAUGCAACAAAUUUCAUGGACAUGUUCCAAAGAGAGCUUAAUUAAAUGGCUUGCAUUGCUCAAUCUAUCUCAUAAUAGUCUUAACAGACAUAUGUUCUGCAUUAUUAUUAUACUUUCAUCAAUAUUUUUAAACAUUUCUCAAUAUGUAUUUUCAAAGAAUUCUCAAGCACUUGAACAUUUGGACCGGUUCUUUCGAAGCCAAGAUGCCCAGGUUAUAUCAUGGCCAUACACAAAAAUGCCCAAAAAUAAAUAAAUUAAGAGAGAUUGCUCUGGGUCUCCCCAAGCCUUCCAGGACUCAUUCCAAGUCUUCUGAGGACCACUGCCUCGCCCUUUCAAAGACGUGAUAGUAGCUCAAGAGUGAUAUAAAUUACUUUCCGGACACUAAAAAUAAAUAAUCCGAUCAAAUUAAUUAAUAAUAAAUUAAGGAUGAAAUCCAAAUUAGUCCUAAAUUUUGAUAAUAUAUAAAAAUUAUAAUUAUAAAUUAUAUAACCAAAUGAGAAUUGAAUUAACUUACUUGGUACUAAAAUUGAUAAAUACAGUAUAGUAAUUUAAUUGAUGAAAAGUCAAAGUCUUCUAAUAAAUCCAUAAAGAAUAUGAAAAUCAAAAUAACGAAAAUUAUAAUUGAAAAAUCAAAAUCAAUAGUGUAUUGGAAUAUUGUUCACACACUUAUAUAUCAAAAUUUGUGGUCCAAAAAUUAUAGCACAAUAUCCUAAAUACACCACAUUAAAUAAUAGUUCAAAAAUAUUCAAUAAAUAAUUGUUUUCAUUCAUAAUUUUGUUAUUUUAAAAACUAAUAAUUUGGUUGAUGUUAACCUAUAUUUUAAUAUAUAAUUAUAUUAUUUUCAUGUUAUUUUAUUUAACCAAAAACAAUAUUUUUAUAAUAUUUAUUACAUUAAUUAUAUUAAAAGAUAUAAUUUCAUUAAAAAAAUUGAAUAAAAUUAAGAGGAUAACUCUAUGCCUCUCCAAGUCUACAAGACUCAUUUCAAGUCUACCGAGGACCACUACCAUUGAGAGAUGUGAAAGUAGUUUGAGAGUGACAUAAAUUAUUUUCCUGACAAUAAAAUGUAAUAUCUAAUAUAAAUUAAUUAAAUUAGAUAAUAAUAAAUCAAAACUAAUCAUGAAUUAUGAUAAUAAUUAAAUAAAUUAUAAUUAAAUUAUAUAAAUCAACUCCAAAUGAUACAAAUAACACUAAACCUUAGUUACUUUAUUGGUAAAAUAAAUAUAAUAUAAUAAUUAAAUUGAUGAAAAAUCAAAAUCAUCUAAUAAAUUCACAAAAAAUAUAUGAUCAUUAGUAUAUUAUAUCAGUAUCCACACACUUAUAUUUCAAAAUCUAUCCUACAAAAUUAUCAUCUCUGUAAACUAGCCACAAAAAAUAAAAAUUUAAAGAUAUUAGAUAUUUAGUUAUUUUCAUUAUAUAAUUUUUCCACACUAAAUAACAAAAUAUCUUUAUCAAAUUAUUAUUUAUGAAUUAAAUAUUCAAGUUAUAAUUCCAGCAUGCAGCGUAUAAAUAGAAGUGUGCAGUAUGAUAUCAGAUUCAUAACCCAGUUGAGGAGAAACAUGGCACACUCUGUGAAGCCUUCUCACCUUCUUCUCUUUGUUUUCUUUCUCUCAUCACUUGAAUCCAUUCUUGCAACAACACGAGAGGGAGAAGCUCUUGUGAAAUGGAAGAAUAGCCUAGCCCCUUCUUCUUUUCUCGACUCUUGGUCCCUCACCAAUCUCGAUAAUCUUUGUAACUGGACUGCCAUUACUUGUAACUCUGCAGGUUCAGUCUCUAAGAUUAACCUUUUUGAGAAACAACUUAAUGGAAUGCUGUCCGAGUUCGGUUUCACUUCAUUUCCAAAUCUCAACUAUCUCACACUCGCAGACAACUUCUUCUCGGGUCCGAUACCACCAGCCAUUGAGAAUUUAACACAGCUUCAAUAUCUUGAUUUAAGCAUGAAUAGUCUUAAUGGUCCCAUUCCGUUCCAGGUUAGCCAUCUUCAGAGCUUGCUCAUCUUGAACCUGUCACAGAAUGCAUUGCAAGCUCCAAAUUGGUCCCAUUUCUCUCCCAUGCCUUUCUUGCGCAUCCUCGACCUUAGUUUUAAUAAUCUUGUGUCGAAAUUCCCAGAAUUUAUAUCCAAUUCUCAUAGCCUGACUCACCUUAACCUUUCAAAUAACAAGUUUACUGGUCAUCUUGUGCAUAAAUUUACCAAUCUACAAAAUCUUGAAACCCUCUACCUUCAGAUCAAUUCUUUUGAGGGGCCGUUUCCACCAGAUAUAGUCCAGCUUUCCAAAUUAAAACGACUCUCCCUGUCAUGUAACAAAUUUUCAGGUUCAAUUCCCAAUGACGUAAGGUUGCUUUUUGGUCUUGAAUCCCUAAAUUUAGGCAACAAUUCCUUUGAAGGACCGCUUCCACCAGAUAUAUUCAAGCUUUCAAAGUUAAAACGACUUGUUCUUUGGAGUAAUAAGUUUUCAGGUUCUGUUUCCAAUGAUAUAGGUUUGCUUUCUAAUCUUGAACACCUCGAUCUUGACUCUAAUUUUUUUGAGGGGCCGUUUCCGUCAAAUAUAUUCAAGCUCAGAUUAAAAAUUCUAAACCUCUCAAACAAUAGAAAUUUAUUUCAAAGAAGUUUUCCUAUUGGACUGGAACUCUUGAGUAACCUCAGCUACUUAGGUCUACAUUCCAGUAAUCUCAGUGGCAAUAUUCCAUCUUACAUUGGAAACCUGAAGCUACUAGAAUUUCUUGAUCUCGGUUCUAAUCAAUUGACUGGACCGCUUUCCAAGAUCGUUUAUAAUCUCACAAAUCUUAUACUUCUUGAUGUAAGUUAUAAUAGUCUUCAUGGAAAUAUUCAGAGUGACUUGUGGCAAUAUAACGAUCAUCCAACUUUGGAAUACAUGAGUUUGAGUGGGAACUAUUUUACGGGUAUAGUUUUUCUCUAUAGAUCUUUUCUUUUGUCAUAUGUAACUAAGCUACUAAUCUGAUUAAUUGCAGUUUUACCAAAGUUUCAACAAUCUUGACAGGUGAGCUUCCAACAACAAUUUGCAAUGUCACUUCCCUUUCGGUUCUUGAUUUGUCAAAUAAUGAAUUAAGUGGUGCACUUCCAAACUGUUUCGGGAAUCUUGCUGAUAGAUUGCUUUUCAUUAAUCUUGCUAAUAAUCAGUUUCGAGGAACAAUACCAACUACUUUCUCCAGGAGUUGUCAGCUCAAAUAUCUAAACAUGGAUAAUAAUGAGUUUGAAGGAUUGUUGCCCCCGUCUUUGGAAAACUGUAAGCACUUGAGAAUUCUUGAUAUUGGCAAUAAUAAAAUAGGUGGUACAUUUCCGUCAUGGCUUUAUGUACUUGGAGAGCUAGAAGUCCUUCUCUUGCGAUCAAAUAAACUCUAUGGCACAAUAAGUGGAAGGAGCAUAGAAGAUCCCUUCCCCAAGUUGCGGAUUGUGGAUCUGUCCAACAAUCAAUUCACAGGCCAUUUGCCAAUUCAAUACUUUAAGAAUAUGAAAUCAACUGAUAAUUUGUAUCGUUUCCAGGAUGGCAAAGGAGUUUUUUGUUUCCGUUAUGAAGCAUCUGUCUCAUUAACUGUGAAGGGAACAGAGUAUGAAGUGAAAAAAAUCCUUCAUAUUUACACAACCAUUGAUCUGUCCUGCAACAAAUUUCAAGGAGAAAUUCCAGACGUUAUUGGAGAGCUUAGAUGGCUUGCAUUGCUCAACUUAUCUCAUAAUAGUCUAACAGGACCUAUCCCAUCAUUGCUGAGGAAUAUGAAAGAACUCCAAUCUUUAGAUUUGUCUUCAAAUCAACUGACAGGGGCUAUUCCACCUCAGUUAACUGCAUUGACAUAUCUAGAGGUCUUGAACCUCUCGGGAAACCAUCUUAGUGGAGAGAUUCCUCAGAAAGGACAGUUCAGCACAUUCAACAAUGAUUCUUAUCUUGGAAACUCCGCGUUAUGUGGAUCACCUUUGACGAAGAAAUGUGCAAACACAGCAUCACCUCCACAAGAAGUCGGAAAUGGUGAUGAAGAUGAUGCUGGUGAUGAAUUGACAUGGGAAGCAAUCGUGAUGGGAUAUGGAUGUGGACUGAUAUGUGGAUUGUCAUCUGCAUACAUUGUUCUCAAACUAGGAAAGCCUUGGUGGUUUGUGAGAUAUGUCGAAGUACUGCAACUGAAGUUGAUGAAAAGAUAUGCUUGAAGAAUGGUACUGGCCGAUCAAGACGAACUUGAAAGUUGUUGUCCUUGUGCAUUUCUGAACCAGUUGUGUACUAUUCUCUUUGUGGCUGCAUAAGUAUUUGGUAUUGUGUAAUAUUCUGUUUGGUCUUGAAUCAUAAUGAUUCUUCUUGCUCCAGGGUUAUUAAUAUAAACCUUGGUAUUGUGUGCUAGCUGUAAUAUUCUGUUUGAUCAAUGUUUAUACCAGUAAUUUUAUGCUCCGCAGUGCAUCAUGCAGCUCUCAUAUUAUCUCUAUGAUUAACCUGAAUUCAGUUUCAUUUUGUUUCCGAAUCUCAACUACUUCAACUUGAGCUACAAUAGCUUCACUGGUCUAAUACCCCCAGAUAUUGAAAAUUUAACAGAGCUGCAAUACCUUGAUUUUAGCUCUAAUAAACUCACUGGUGCAAUUCCGGACCAGGUAAGCCAUCUUCAAACAUUGCGAACCUUAAACCUGUUGGAUAAUCACUUGGAAGCUCCAAACUGGUCCGCUUUUUCCCCUCUGCCUUCUCUGACAAACCUCUGUCUCAAUAAUAAUAAUCUUUCGUCGAAAUUCCCAGACUUCAUAUCAAAUUACAUCUUUUAUACGAUAUAUUAUGAAAACACUAUAUUUUGUAAUGUUCAUCUUAUCCUACCAGCAAAAUUACAUCGCUAACAAAAUUAUAUCAAUUUUAUUUUAUAAACUCAAAUAAUUUAAUUUAUGAAACAACUCUAUGAGAUUCUUAUCAUGAGUUAGAAUUCAAAUAAAUAAAGAGUUCAUAUUGAUAAGUGGAAUUGAUGUGCAAGUAAGGGGUAUAAAAAAAUCUCAAAAUAACUCCAAAAAGCACAUGACAUGUUUGAUUUAAUAGAACUGGUACAUAAACAGGGGGACCAUUAUAUUUAUAAGCAAGUGACCAACAAUAGUUUACUACUGAUAUUUUGUGAUAUUUUUUGUGAUAUUUUUUGAGACCUUUAACAUUAUUCUGUGAAGUGGUAUACUACUGUUACUAGUUCUGAAACUUCAAACAAAGUAGGCGCAACAUUGUAAGAGUGAUUAAUAAAGUUGAGAAACAGUGUGUACAUUGAGCAGUAUGACAAUCAGGUUCAGCAUAUAAUACAAUCAGAUUCACAAUCAGGUUCACGAGAAACAUGCUGCAUUCCAAAAAGCCUUAUUAUCUUCUUCACUAAAUAACAAGGCAAAUACAGCAUAUAAAUACAAGUGUGCAGUGUGGUAUUAGAUUCAUAACCCAGUUGAGGAGAAACAUGGCACACUUUGUAAGGCCUUCUCACCUUCUUCUCUUUGUUUUCUUUCUCUCAUCACUUGAAUCCAUUCUUGCAACAAGACAAGAGGGGGAAGCUCUUGUGAAGUGGAAGAAUAGCCUAGCCCCUUCUUCUUUUCUCCACUCUUGGUCACUCACCAAUCUCGAAAAUCUUUGNNNNNNNNNNNNNNNNNNNNNNNNNNNNNNNNNNNNNNNNNNNNNNNNNNNNNNNNNNNNNNNNNNNNNNNNNNNNNNNNNNNNNNNNNNNNNNNNNNNNNNNNNNNNNNNNNNNNNNNNNNNNNNNNNNNNNNNNNNNNNNNNNNNNNNNNNNNNNNNNNNNNNNNNNNNNNNNNNNNNNNNNNNNNNNNNNNNNNNNNNNNNNNNNNNNNNNNNNNNNNNNNNNNNNNNNNNNNNNNNNNNNNNNNNNNNNNNNNNNNNNNNNNNNNNNNNNNNNNNNNNNNNNNNNNNNNNNNNNNNNNNNNNNNNNNNNNNNNNNNNNNNNNNNNNNNNNNNNNNNNNNNNNNNNNNNNNNNNNNNNNNNNNNNNNNNNNNNNNNNNNNNNNNNNNNNNNNNNNNNNNNNNNNNNNNNNNNNNNNNNNNNNNNNNNNNNNNNNNNNNNNNNNNNNNNNNNNNNNNNNNNNNNNNNNNNNNNNNNNNNNNNNNNNNNNNNNNNNNNNNNNNNNNNNNNNNNNNNNNNNNNNNNNNNNNNNNNNNNNNNNNNNNNNNNNNNNNNNNNNNNNNNNNNNNNNNNNNNNNNNNNNNNNNNNNNNNNNNNNNNNNNNNNNNNNNNNNNNNNNNNNNNNNNNNNNNNNNNNNNNNNNNNNNNNNNNNNNNNNNNNNNNNNNNNNNNNNNNNNNNNNNNNNNNNNNNNNNNNNNNNNNNNNNNNNNNNNNNNNNNNNNNNNNNNNNNNNNNNNNNNNNNNNNNNNNNNNNNNNNNNNNNNNNNNNNNNNNNNNNNNNNNNNNNNNNNNNNNNNNNNNNNNNNNNNNNNNNNNNNNNNNNNNNNNNNNNNNNNNNNNNNNNNNNNNNNNNNNNNNNNNNNNNNNNNNNNNNNNNNNNNNNNNNNNAUUAAAACGUCUUUUUCUUUGGAGUAAUAAGUUUUCAGGUUCUGUUUCCAAUGAUAUAGGUUUGCUUUCUGAGCUUGAAUUUCUCAAUCUUUACGAUAAUUUUUUUGAGGGGCCGCUUCCAUGCAUCAAAUAUAUUCAAGCUCUCCAAAUUAAGGGUUCUUUACCUUAACGGUAAUAAACUUCUAGGUUCUCUUUCCAAUGAUAUAGGUUUGCUUUCUGAGCUUGAAAGCCUCGAUCUUAACUCCAAUUUUUUUGAGGGGCCGCUUCCGCCAAAUGUAUUCAAGCUCUCCAAACUAAAGAUUCUUUCCCUUUAUGAGAAUAACUUUUCAGGUUUUAUUUCUAAGGAUAUAGGUUUGCUUUCUGGACUUGAAACCCUCUAUCUUGACUCUAAUUUUUUUGAGGGUCCGCUUCCCCCACAUAUAUUUAGGCUGUCCAAAUUAAGAGAUCUGGACCUCUCAUACAGUAGAAAUUUAUUUGAAGGAAGUAUUCCUAUUGGACUGGGACUCUUGACUAACCUCAGGUACUUAGAUCUAUAUUCCAAUAAUCUCAGUGGCUAUAUUCCAUCUGACAUUGGAAACCUGAAGCUACUAGAAGGUCUUAUUCUCGGUUCUAAUAAAUUGACUGGACCAGUUUCAAAGAUCAUUUCUAAUCUCACAAAUCUUAUAUAUCUUGAUGUAAGUGAUAAUAGUCUUAGUGGAAAUAUUCAGAGUGACUUGUGGAAAUAUAACGAUCAUCCAACUUUGGAAUACAUCAAUUUAAGUGGGAACCAUUUUACGGGUAUAGUUUUUCUCUAUAGAUCUUUUCCUUUUCUCAUAUGUAACUAAGCUGGUAAUCUGAUUAUUGCAGUUUUACCAAAGUUUCAACAAUCUUGACAGGUGAGCUUCCAACAACAAUUUGCAAUGUCACUUCCCUUUCGGUUCUUGAUUUGUCAAAUAAUGCGUUAAGUGGUGCACUUCCAAACUGUUUCGGGAAUCUUGCUGAUGGAUUGCUUUACAUUAAUCUUGCUCAUAAUCAGUUUCGAGGAACAAUACCAACUACUUUCUCCAGGAGUUGUCAGCUGACAUAUCUGAACAUGGAUGAUAAUGAGUUUGAAGGAUUGAUGCCCCCAUCUUUGGCGAACUGUAAGCACUUGAAAAUUUUUGAUAUUGGCAAUAAUAAAAUAGGUGGUACAUUUCCGUCAUGGCUUUAUGUACUUGGAGAGCUAGAAGUCCUUGUCUUGAAAUCAAAUAAACUCUAUGGUACAAUAAGUGGAAGGAGCAGUGAAGAUCCCUUCCCCAAGUUGCGGAUUGUGGAUCUGUCCAACAAUCAAUUCACAGGCCAUUUGCCAAUUCAAUACUUUAAGAAUAUGAAAUCAACUGAUAAUUUGUAUCGUUAUCAGAAUGACACAAGAGUUUUUUCUUUCCAUUAUGAAGCAGCAGUCUCAUUAACUGUGAAGGGAACAGAGUAUGAAGUGAAAAAAAUCCUUCAUAUUUACACAACCAUUGAUCUGUCCUGCAACAAAUUUCAAGGAGAAAUUCCAGACGUUAUUGGAGAGCUUAGAUGGCUUGCAUUGCUCAACUUAUCUCAUAAUAGUCUAACAGGACCUAUCCCAUCAUUGCUGAGGAAUAUGAAAGAACUCCAAUCUUUAGAUUUGUCUUCAAAUCAACUGACAGGGGCUAUUCCACCUCAGUUAACUGCAUUGACAUAUCUAGAGGUCUUGAACCUCUCGGGAAACCAUCUUAGUGGAGAGAUUCCUCAGAAAGGACAGUUCAGCACAUUCAACAAUGAUUCUUAUCUUGGAAACUCCGCGUUAUGUGGAUCACCUUUGACGAAGAAAUGUGCAAACACAGCAUCACCUCCACAAGAAGUCGGAAAUGGUGAUGAAGAUGAUGCUGGUGAUGAAUUGACAUGGGAAGCAAUCGUGAUGGGAUAUGGAUGUGGACUGAUAUGUGGAUUGUCAUCUGCAUACAUUGUUCUCAAACUAGGAAAGCCUUGGUGGUUUGUGAGAUAUGUCGAAGUACUGCAACUGAAGUUGAUGAAAAGAUAUGCUUGAAGAAUGGUACUGGCCGAUCAAGACGAACUUGAAAGUUGUUGUCCUUGUGCAUUUCUGAACCAGUUGUGUACUAUUCUCUUUGUGGCUGCAUAAGUAUUUGGUAUUGUGUAAUAUUCUGUUUGGUCUUGAAUCAUAAUGAUUCUUCUUGCUCCAGGGUUAUUAAUAUAAACCUUGGUAUUGUGUGCUAGCUGUAAUAUUCUGUUUGAUCAAUGUUUAUACCAGUAAUUUUAUGCUCCACAGUGCAUCAUGCAGCUCUCAUAUUAUCUCUAUGAUUAACCUGAAUUCAGUUUCAUUUUGUUUCCGAAUCUCAACUACUUCAACUUGAGCUACAAUAGCUUCACUGGUCUAAUACCCCCAGAUAUUGAAAAUUUAACAGAGCUGCAAUACCUUGAUUUUAGCUCUAAUAAACUCACUGGUGCAAUUCCGGACCAGGUAAGCCAUCUUCAAACAUUGCGAACCUUAAACCUGUUGGAUAAUCACUUGGAAGCUCCAAACUGGUCCGCUUUUUCCCCUAUGCCUUCUCUGACAAACCUCUGUCUCAAUAAUAAUAAUCUUUCGUCGAAAUUCCCAGACUUCAUAUCAAAUUGUCGAAACCUGACUUACCUUGAUCUUUCAUUAAACUUGUUAACAGGUGAUUUGGUUCUUGGUAAUACGGAAUCGCUCUAUCACAGAAGUAAUUCUUUUGAGGGGUCAUUUCCACCAAAUAUAUUAAAACUUUCAAAAUUAAGAGUUCUUUCCCUAUCNCUUUCCCUAUCAUAUAAUAGAUUUUCAGGUUCUAUUCCGCAUGAUAUAGGAAUGCUUCGUGUUUUGGAAUCCCUUUUUUUUAGUAGCAGUUCUUUUGAUGGCCUGCUUUCACCAAAUUUAUUUAAGCUUCCAAAAUUAAAAGUUCUUUCCAUGUCAUUUAAUAACUUUUCGGGUUAUAUUCCAAAUGAAAUAGGAUUGCUUCAUGAUUUAGAGUCCCUUUAUUUUAAUGGAAAUUCUUUUGAGGCCGUUUCCACCAAAUAUAUUCAACCUUUCCAAAUUAAAAGUUCUUUACCUCUCAAAUAAUAACUUUUCAGGUUCUAUUCCUAAUGAUAUAAGUGUGCUUCGUGAUCUUGAGAUACUUGAUUUGUCCUCUAAUUCUUUUGAAGGGAUUAUUCCAUUGGAGCUGGGGUUCUUGAAUAAGCUGAGCUAUUUAUAUCUUGAUUCCAAUCAAUUGACUGGACCGCUUUUGAAGAACAUGUAUAAUCUCAGUAAUCUUAUUGAGAUCAACUUUAGUGGAAACCGCUUAACAGGUUUGCUAUUCAUUCUUGUUUUCUUCUUUAUGUAACUUCUUUAUGUAACUUCUUCAAUGCUGAUGAAAUGAUCACGAACCACAAUUUCACCAAAGCUCCUUUAAUUUCAACAGGUGAGUUUUCGACAGCAAUUUACAGAGAGAGAAUUACGAUGUUAUUAGGGAAAUCUAAAGAGAAGGUGCAGAGACCUCGGCAUAAUGAUCCUCCAACCUCUCAUUAACAAUGUCCAGGUUUCUUUAAAAGUAUUAAAUGUUAUUAACAUAGUACUUAAUGGUGUUAUAAAGAGAGUCGUGAUGUAACACUAUAUUUUGUUUACGAGAUAUUUUAAGUGUAAGAAGGUCCAUGCUGAGUUGUGAACAAUUAUUCUCACGUAUAUUAUCAAUGGUGAACAUCUUUAUUAGUAAGAUUGUGCUUUUUAGUUGGAUUGUGGUCCUUCUGUUGCUCCUUGGUAAGAUUUUUCGUCCUAGGUGGGAUUGUUAGGCACAAUGCCAGUCUAAUCAAGUUUGCGAAGGAAGUGUUAAAUACUAGAAUUAUUAAACCUGUAUAUAAAUUUAGAUGUCUGCACAGCGUUGUUACAUUGUCGAGUAGACAACUAAUUUUAAUCUGGUGGCAGGAAAUAGGGAAUCAAGAAGAAGAUGCAGCCAACAAUGAGAAGCUAGAGAAGCAAUUGAACUACUCGAACAAGAGCAAAAGCGGAUAGAAGCAGAACCAGAUGUUAAACUAGAGGCAAAAAAGAGAGCCUCCAACAGGCUUAUUUUAAGGUAAAUUACAAGAAAAGAAAGUCUGCCAUCAAUGUUAGACAAAAAGAUAUGCCGAUGCUCACAGAUAAUAAUAGUAGCAGGCGUACUUACUCUCUCUACAUAUAAUACUGUAACAAAGGUUUUCAAUGAGCCAAUUUAUUCCAACUAAGCAGGCACUAAGCAGCCACGUCAGAUCCACCUUAGCAAUCACUUUGCAUUUGUGAUGAUGAUCACAAUUAAAUCUUUAUCCCAAUGAUUUUUCUAUUAAUCUUUUGUGGAAUUCUAUGUCUGCAGAGAGAGCAAUACGUGUUGGUCAUGGUUUCUAUAAGUGAAGGUGAGACAACAAUGGUGUUCUCUUUGCCUCAAUUACACCCCUAAUUGCUGGCUAUUUGAGCUGCUGAAAGUUUAAUAAUGGCAAUCGUUUGUAGCUCGAAGAGAAUGAUGUAAGAAUUUAAUCUCAAUAGGAAGCUGUAGAACACAACAAUAUUGCAUAUAGAAGCCAUCCAGCUGCACACCCUGAUCACGGAGUUUUUGAGUCUUUAGAAUGCAAAAAUACAAUGCACAUGGGUAUGCCUACAAGUGGAGAUAUUUAGAAAACUGCUUCUUGUGCACAGUUAGUUAAAUAUUUACUAAUAAUAUAUCUUCAAUAACAACAUUACAGCUACAGUUCAGCAAUGAAUGAUCAUCAAAUGGCUUCUGCAGCACCGACACAGAAUGCCAGUGGACUAGUGGAGUAAUUCCAGGGGAUGCUCUGAUCAUAAAUUCUCGCUGGUGAAUUGAAGAAUUGAGCUUGAGCUAAGAAGGUGAUCUGCAUAUAAUCUUUAACCAUUUUCUGAUGGUACAAAUGUUGCUAUUUAAAAAAAUAAAGAUCAAAUAAACAAAUAUUACUUUACUAAUAUUUUACAUAGCUGCUGCUGUCGAAAACUGGAAACUUGUUGUGUAUUAUAAAAAUAGCAAGGAACUGAACUAAAUAAGCGAGGCAGGUAACUAUUGGAACAAACUGGCAUAUACCUUCUCUUUUCUUAUACUUCUUGCUUGGGGGCAAUAAGUCGUCUCUACCAUAAUAAAGUAAAAAGUAGUCAAAUUACAACUCCCUUGGGUUUCCGUUUGAAUUAGGACAUGUGUGGUGCACCAUACUCUCUUGUCAAAUAUUUUGAAGUUUUGCAUAUUGCAGUUUCACUUUUCAAAGAAACCUCUCUGUCAUUGCUAUAUUAGUAUGCGACUGUUAUUUGGAUUAGUUAUGAUCUGUAUCUAAAAUUAAUGGCACAGAUCUUGAUUUCUAGAACACCAGGUAAUAUUCUCAGAAACAGUGAUAUUCUGUUACAAAGUGAUUGUUGUCGACCAUCUUUACACAUUUUUCUUAUUAUUAAAAAAUAAAUUUUAUAAAAUAGAUUUUUAAAAUAUAGAUACUAUUGAUAUGGUCUUUAUAAUAGAUAUUAGAUAUUAAAAUUUUUAUUUAUAAAAAUUUAUGGAUGAGUUAUUGUAAUAACUGAUUGUCGAGAUCCUAGGUUCCUGGCUAAAUAGGAGUCCAUAUAUUUUGUUAUAAUAUAAUCAAAUAUCAAAACAUUCCUAGGAGGUCUAUAAGUUUAUAACGGUCCGAUAAAGGAAACAUGAAUAAAAUUGAUCAAAAUAUUUUGACCAUUUCAGGUGAUAAUGAUCAUAUAAUUUUCAUAUGACAGAACAAUAAGCCGUAGAGUUUGCUUAGGGGAUUAUGUAGGUUGCAGCAAGAUUUUCAAAAUAAAGCUGAUUUAUCAUUCAUAUAUUUUUUUGGUCCUCUUGGUUUAUGAGUGCUCUUUGUAUCUCUUGCUCUUAGCAUGCAUCCCCUCCCUUUAGUAAAUCAGCUUUGUGCUCAAUUACCUAAUUAUAGAUGAUGUUUCCUAAAUGGAAUAUUUCAAUUAAAUAUAUUAAUUGCUAAGCAACAGCCAAUAUGUUGUGUUGGUUAUUAAAUUAUUGUAGGCAUUUAUUCUUACAGAUGGUUUGGAGAUAAUUUCGAGCAAUCUAUGAGUUUGAAUAAUAUGUCUUAACAGUAUAUAGGGCCAUGAGGAGCUUGGCGCUGCCAGCUUGCGCUUGCGGGAAGAUGAAGAUUUUACGAGAUUUAAAAAUAUUGCAACUAUAGAGCUAGGAAGAUAAGAGAUUGGAAGUUGGUAAUUCUCCCCUUUCCCAUCAGAAUUCAAUGACUCUUUGAAACUGUACUUUCGUGAAUUUUGUCUUAAUUUCAUCAGGCGACCAGAACAACUUCAGAGACAUAUGGUGAGUUGUUGUCGAGUAUUUUGAAGAGUAUCGUUCGCAGGGAAGGAUUGAUAUCAAUACCAAUUUCAAGUCUUUUAUCUCUUAUGAUUCAGAAGUGUGGAGAAGAAUUUGGUGGGAUUUUCUAUCAACUAAUUAAUGUAAUAAGUAAAUAAAUAUAAUAAAUAUGAGAGAAAACAACCCAAGAAUUAGAGUUCUUCAAUCGCUAUCAUGAAUGUCUAAUUUGUGUCUCUUGUUUGCUAAAAACAAUCCUUCUAAUAUUAAUAAACUCCUCUCCCAAGGUAGAUUAUAAUGCUUACAAUUAUCCAUUAAAAGCCACUCCCAUGGUCAAUCAAAGAACACUUGUAAACUAUUAAGAACCAAGGAUUUUAAGUCUCACAAUUCUCAUAUCAAUCUCCCGAUCUAAUACUCAAAUUGUGUCCAUCAUAUCAUGUACUAGAAUUAUAACUCCUCUCCCGAUUCGUUAUAACUCCUAGAGAUUCAAUCACAAGUUAGCUACUCCUGUAAUUGUAUAAAGAGCUCAAUGACAGAUUAACAAAUCAAGAGAAAACACAAUCCAACUAAACAAACAUAUUAAGCCAAAGAAUACUACCUAACUCUUGGAUCAAAGGAUUAGCUACUCAUGAUAAGAUGAAACAAAUAUAUAUUUAUACCACAAACCAUGAGCGUAAGAAUUUAAAUACGAAGAAUACAACUUGACGAAAGAGCUUGAAGUCCGGAUGAAUCCCUUCACUCCUUCUUCCAAUAUCUCUCACAAGUGCUUCUCUCCCUUUUCUCUCUAAAAAAGCUAUCUCUAUAUUAUUCUAUAUGAUACAAAGUUAGUUGUCUCUAAUCUCUAUCAAAACCCUAAUAUAUAUAAGAGUUUUCUUAAUUUACAAGAAAAUAAAAUAAUAUCCUAAAACUAGUUGGAUUCUGAUGCUGAAAUUCGUAGGCUUCUGUUCAGGCCUGAUUCUGGGCUGAUCCAGUUGGAUUUUGACAUCUGGACCACCUUAAACUUGUAGAAAAUUCCUAUAUCUUCGCGUGGGCUGUUGAAUCGCCCAAUUCUGACAUCCAGAACUCAAGUUACGGCCCAAACAAGAUUUGCUUCGCUGGCUAUAUAUAAAGUCCGAAUUUCCAUCUAAUUAAGCCCAAAUAAGCUUGAUUUAAUCCAACUUUAGGAAUAUUUAUUUUCCUGCCACUAAACACUUAAAAUCAAUUAGUAAUAACCCGAUUAUUUACAAAAUACUAAAAUUAUGGGAAUAAAAUCAUAUAAAAACAUAUAUAAAUAUAUGCUCUAUCAUGAGUUUUGUGUCCUGCUUCUCAUUUCACAUACAUUGCCUUUUAAGAAGGGUGUUCUUAUAUAAUUUUGGAAGUGCUAUUGCUAAUUUGUUUCAGGUAAUAGCUGCACCGCAUAUAUAAAAUAUACAAAAAAUGUUUUUCCCGGCCUUCUUAAAAGUUUGAAUAAUAUUCCCCCUGUCUUGUGAUUGCAAACAAUAAUUGUUUUUGUAUCCAAGUACUUAAGCUUUUCCAUUAACUUUUUGGAUUUUGAACCAUGAUUGCCAAUGAGCAUUGAUAAUAUAGCCUAGGCCUCGGUCAUUUGAAUUUUUUGGAUAUUGUCUAAAGGCUUUCAAUGUAGUGAUUCUGUGACAACGUUGGACAAUAAUGUGUACAAGCUGGAUUCAGCAGAUUUCUAACAUGUGUUGAUUAUUACUAAUUAUGGAUUUACUGGUAUAGCAAGAAAUUACAGGCCCGAGGUCUUAAAGUUUGGGUGUCAUCACUUUUCUGGUCUACUUGCAAUCUUUUCUUCUUACUACCUCUUCUAGCAGUGUGUAGUUCCACUUUGCUAUUAAAUGAGCAAGUUAAUGACUGUUUAGGGGAUUGAGAUCUGACAAGUCUUGCUACUUUUGAUGGGUUUGAUAGGUUUGAUGAGUGCUUAAGUGAUAUUAAUCACCAAACUUAUGUAUAUGCAUUUUGAUGUGUUGAUUAUUUAGCAUAGUUGCUGCAUAACAAAUAUUAGUUAAAGGAUGAGAUCUUCUAAAAGAAGUCAGAAAUGUAAAAGCCAAUGUCAAAGUGGAUUUGAUCAAAAAGAGAUUCGCAUGCUGAUUAUUACUUUUUUGUGCAGAAAAAAUGUGAUCUCAAACAUCCCCUGGCAAUGAGAUAUAUCGCAGGGCACAUUGUCAAUGUUUUAGAUAUGUUUACAUGUUUAGCUGAUCUGCAAAUUCCUUUACGUCUUGGUUUCUGUCUCAUGUGAUUAUAUUCUCAGCGUUUGGAACUUGGAAUUGCAUAGCUUACCGCCAACACAAUUAUACAACUUCUUUUACUCAGUGAAUGAUGCUACACUUGAGACUUUCAUUAUGAUAUUUAUCUUGAGACACAUGUUCCCCAGUUUUAUAACUGGUAUAUUUGGCCUUGCUUUGUAUUUUUAAAUAUUACUGUUCAAUGGACUUAUACUAAACCCUUGCUUAUAAACAAGUACUCUUCAUCUGUUUGUUUGUUUAACUAUAUGACAUUUUACAUGUUUUUAUAGGUAGAUGGGAAAAAGAAUAAGGUUUAUGGGCAGAAUCUUUGUUAUCUGGAAAAAUUGUUUCUUGAUUACAAAACACUAUAUUAUAACGUCGAUUCACAAUAACUUAAUUGAUCAGCGCUCGGAGUCUCCUUUCUAAUCAAGGCUGUGGAGUGUGGAGGCCUAGGGCCUGAGCAUAUAAGGAUAUUCACAAUAAUUUUUUUUUUUUAUGAAUUUAUUUUCAUAGAUAUUUGUGUGUAGUUCCUUAAAUUGGGAAUACGGCUCGAGAGGAUAAGGGAUUGUUUGGUUGUUUAGUGUGAUUGGUAUUUUACUAGAUCAGAGAGUUUAUUACCACAAGCAUCCUAUGCAUUAACACUUGUCAGCAGCUGAAUUCCUGACAUAACACAUGAAUUCAGAAGACAUGACACAUGAAUUCAGUAUUUGGAAUUUGAUUGAAAUUCUGAAUGAUUUAUUGUUUACCAGAGGUUAUAACCACUACUUGUAUAUGGUAUCGGGUGUGUCCAUCUCCGGAAGAUCUAAUUGGCGUUAUAUGUUAAAUUUUCAAUAAAUAUCUCCGGAAGAUCUAAUUGGCGUUAUAUGUUAAAUUUUCAAUAAAUAUCUCCGGAAGAUCUAAUUGGCGUUAUAUGUUAAAUUUUCAAUAAAUAUCUGGAUGUGUAUUUUUGAUUAUCGAAAGAGUUCCCAUAUUAUUAUGUCGUUUUAUUUUCCUUCACUUUUGGCAGCCCCAAGUGAAAGUGAUGACUAUUGGUACUUGAGUUUUUUUGGCUGAAAUCACUAAUAUAAUUGUUACACUACAACAAAACUGGCAUCAGACAACACUAGUCACACAACGGACGCUGGAAAAAGUGUUGGCCGAAACAAAGACACAACACUUUAUUUUCGUCCUCGAAAAACUAUUGUCUAACACCUACGACCUACAACGGUUAAAAAACUGUUGUCUAAUAAAUUUAAUCAGACAACGGUCUCUUAACUGUGGUAUUGUGUAAUGAUGCACGUUAGACAACUGUUUUUAGAGCCGAUGUGUGAAGAAACUUCAGACAAUAUUCCGAGAAACCGUUGUUGUAAUGAGACAAGUGUUUUAUUUGUUGUGUUGUUUACGAAAAGAUCAGACAAGGGUUCCAUAGAGUGUUGUGUGACUGGGAAGCUAACAUACAAGUGUUUUUGUUAGCAUCGUAUCAUGGCCUUAUAGACAAGCCUUUAGCUAGUAAAACGUUGUCUGACUGAAUGACUUAUAAGAAAAUAAAUGUACAUAAAAGAGUGCAAACAUUCAAAAGUCCUAACCAAAGUUACAAAUAUAUAUUCAUUUUCUUAGUAGUCAUAGGCUUUUCUAGCAUUAGAUCAAGUAUUGAUCAAGGAAAUGCGAAUUUUUAACUCAUAAAAAUGAAAGUUUAUUAUACAACGGUUUUCUUCCCAUAAAUCGUUGUGUCAUUUUCAAUGAUACAACUUAGAUGCUUAUAAAAACCGUUGUGUGUUAGACACUACGGGACAAAAAAUACCUUUUUAUAAUAAGACAAAAUUUACAAUUAACAAGUAAUGUUAAAAAAACAUACAAAAUGAAUAUAAAAAAUUUAGAUUUUUUUUAUACAUGACUAAUAUUGUUAGUUCUCGACAUCCGUACGGUUAGAUCAUCGAAAAAAAUAUUUAAAAAUUAAUAUUAUGCUCAUCUUAUACAUAACAAAGAUUNNNNNNNNNNNNNNNNNNNNNNNNNNNNNNNNNNNNNNNNNNNNNNNNNNNNNNNNNNNNNNNNNNNNNNNNNNNNNNNNNNNNNNNNNNNNNNNNNNNNNNNNNNNNNNNNNNNNNNNNNNNNNNNNNNNNNNNNNNNNNNNNNNNNNNNNNNNNNNNNNNNNNNNNNNNNNNNNNNNNNNNNNNNNNNNNNNNNNNNNNNNNNNNNNNNNNNNNNNNNNNNNNNNNNNNNNNNNNNNNNNNNNNNNNNNNNNNNNNNNNNNNNNNNNNNNNNNNNNNNNNNNNNNNNNNNNNNNNNNNNNNNNNNNNNNNNNNNNNNNNNNNNNNNNNNNNNNNNNNNNNNNNNNNNNNNNNNNNNNNNNNNNNNNNNNNNNNNNNNNNNNNNNNNNNNNNNNNNNNNNNNNNNNNNNNNNNNNNNNNNNNNNNNNNNNNNNNNNNNNNNNNNNNNNNNNNNNNNNNNNNNNNNNNNNNNNNNNNNNNNNNNNNNNNNNNNNNNNNNNNNNNNNNNNNNNNNNNNNNNNNNNNNNNNNNNNNNNNNNNNNNNNNNNNNNNNNNNNNNNNNNNNNNNNNNNNNNNNNNNNNNNNNNNNNNNNNNNNNNNNNNNNNNNNNNNNNNNNNNNNNNNNNNNNNNNNNNNNNNNNNNNNNNNNNNNNNNNNNNNNNNNNNNNNNNNNNNNNNNNNNNNNNNNNNNNNNNNNNNNNNNNNNNNNNNNNNNNNNNNNNNNNNNNNNNNNNNNNNNNNNNNNNNNNNNNNNNNNNNNNNNNNNNNNNNNNNNNNNNNNNNNNNNNNNNNNNNNNNNNNNNNNNNNNNNNNNNNNNNNNNNNNNNNNNNNNNNNNNNNNNNNNNNNNNNNNNNNNNNNNNNNNNNNNNNNNNNNNNNNNNNNNNNNUUUUUUUAUACGUGACUAAUAUUGUUAGUUCUUGACAUCCGUACGGUUAGAUCAUUGAAAUAAAUAUUUAUGAAUUAAUACACAACUAAUUGAAUACAUAACAAAGAUUAUAUCUACUACUUUUUAAAUUGUAAACAUAAAACACAUACUAAUACAUGCGUCCGAAGUACAAAAUUGUCUCGGUUUUACACAUGAACAAUACAUAUUUGCAUAUAUACAUAACAUAAAUAUAUUUUUUUAAUACAAAGAGUGCAAAAACAAGAAUUAAUCAAGGAAAUGCGAAUUUUUAACUCAUAAAAAUUACCUUUUUAUAAUAAGAAAAAUUUUANACGAUUGACUAGUGUUGUUAAAAACCGUUGUCUGAUGCUGUUUUUGUUGUAGUGUUAUAUUAAAUUCUUGUGCUAAAACUUGUAUGGUUUGCCCCGCCCGCGGCUUCAAACAGCCAACAAGGUAAGCUAUUAUACUCAGGGGACCGAAAAAGGUAACAAAUGCAUAAACGAUUAGCUUUUCUUCUUUGCUGCAUAGUUUUUUUUUUUUUGUCAGGUUCUUUGCUGCAUAGUUAAUAACAAAUAACAUGAUCUCAAAAAAAAAAAAGAGGCGCGUACUAUGAAUGUAAAAAUAACAAUUUCAAUACUCUUUUUCACUAUAGAAAAACAAAAUUAUUGUGCUAGAUCUUUGCCCGUGCCUUGCACGGGCUUUAAAGCUAGUUUUUUAUUAAUAUGUGAAACUCCAAUAUAUAUUAUUAUACGAUAUAUUAUGAAAACACUAUGUUUUGUAAUGUUCAUCUUAUCCUACCAGAAAAAUUACAUCGCUAACAAAAUUAUAUCAAUUUUAUUUUAUAAACUCAAAUAAUUUAAUUUAUGAAACAACUCUAUGAGAUUCUUAUCAUGAGUUAGAAUUCAAAUAAAUAAAGAGUUCAUAUUGAUAAGUGGAAUUGAUGUGCAAGUAAGGGGUAUAAAAAAAUCUCAAAAUAACUCCAAAAAGCACAUGACAUGUUUGAUUUGAUAGAACUGGUACAUAAACAGGGGGACCAUUAUAUUUAUAAGCAAGUGACCAACAAUAGUUUACUACUGAUAUUUUGUGAUAUUUUUUGUGAUAUUUUUUGAGACCUUUAACAUUAUUCUGUGAAGUGGUAUACUACUGUUACUAGUUCUGAAACUUCAAACAAAGUAGGCGCAACAUUGUAAGAGUGAUUAAUAAAGUUGAGAAACAGUGUGUACAUUGAGCAGUAUGACAAUCAGGUUCAGCAUAUAAUACAAUCAGAUUCACAAUCAGGUUCACGAGAAACAUGCUGCAUUCCAAAAAGCCUUAUUAUCUUCUUCACUAAAUAACAAGGCAAAUACAGCAUAUAAAUACAAGUUAUAAGUACAAGUGUGGUAUUAGAUUCAUAACCCAGUUGAGGAGAAACAUGGCACACUUUGUAAGGCCUUCUCACCUUCUUCUCUUUGUUUUCUUUCUCUCAUCACUCGAAUCCAUUCUUGCAACAAGACAAGAGGGGGAAGCUCUUGUGAAGUGGAAGAAUAGCCUAGCCCCUUCUUCUUUUCUCCACUCUUGGUCACUCACCAAUCUCGAAAAUCUUUGUAAAUGGACUGGCAUUACUUGUAACUCUGCAGGUUCAGUCUCUGAGAUUAACCUUUGUGAGAAACAACUUGAUGGAAUGCUGUCCGAGUUCGGUUUCACUUCAUUUCCAAAUCUCAAGAAUCUCACCCUGGCAGACAACUUCUUCUCAGGUCCAAUACCACCAGCCAUUGAGAAUUUAACACAGCUUCAAUAUCUUGAUUUAAGCAUGAAUAGUCUUAAUGGUCCCAUUCCGUUCCAGGUUAGCCAUCUUCAGAGCUUGCUCAUCUUGAACCUGUCACAGAAUGCAUUGCAAGCUCCAAAUUGGUCCCAUUUCUCUCCCAUGCCUUUCUUGCGCAUCCUCGACCUUAGUUUUAAUAAUCUUGUGUCGAAAUUCCCAGAAUUUAUAUCCAAUUCUCAUAGCCUGACUCACCUUAACCUUUCAAAUAACAAGUUUACUGGUCAUCUUGUGCAUAAAUUUACCAAUCUACAAAAUCUUGAAACCCUCUACCUUCAGAUCAAUUCUUUUGAGGGGCCGUUUCCACCAGAUAUAGUCCAGCUUUCCAAAUUAAAACGACUCUCCCUGUCAUGUAACAAAUUUUCAGGUUCAAUUCCCAAUGACGUAAGGUUGCUUUUUGGUCUUGAAUCCCUAAAUUUAGGCAACAAUUCCUUUGAAGGACCGCUUCCACCAGAUAUAUUCAAGCUUUCAAAGUUAAAACGACUUGUUCUUUGGAGUAAUAAGUUUUCAGGUUCUGUUUCCAAUGAUAUAGGUUUGCUUUCUGAGCUUGAAACCCUCCAUCUUUACUCUAAUUUUUUUGAGGGGCCACUUCCGCCAAAUUUAUUCAAGCUCUCCAAACUAAAAGAUCUCACCCUGUCAAGUAACAAAUUUUCAGGUUCAAUUCACAAUGAUAUAAGGUUACUUUGUGAUCUUGAAGACCUAUAUUUAGCUAACAAUUCCUUUGAAGGACCGCUUCCACCAGAUAUAUUCAAGCUUUCAAGAUUAAAACGUCUUUUUCUUUAGAGUAAUAAGUUUUCAGGUUCUGUUUCCAAUGAUAUAGGUUUGCUUUCUGAGCUUGAAAGCCUCGAUCUUAACUCCAAUUUUUUUGAGGGGCCGCUUCCGCCAAAUGUAUUCAAGCUCUCCAAACUAAAGAUUCUUUCCCUUUAUGAGAAUAACUUUUCAGGUUUUAUUUCUAAGGAUAUAGGUUUGCUUUCUGGACUUGAAACCCUCUAUCUUGACUCUAAUUUUUUUGAGGGUCCGCUUCCCCCACAUAUAUUUAGGCUGUCCAAAUUAAGAGAUCUGGACCUCUCAUACAGUAGAAAUUUAUUUGAAGGAAGUAUUCCUAUUGGACUGGGACUCUUGACUAACCUCAGGUACUUAGAUCUAUAUUCCAAUAAUCUCAGUGGCUAUAUUCCAUCUGACAUUGGAAACCUGAAGCUACUAGAAGGUCUUAUUCUCGGUUCUAAUAAAUUGACUGGACCAGUUUCAAAGAUCAUUUCUAAUCUCACAAAUCUUAUAUAUCUUGAUGUAAGUGAUAAUAGUCUUAGUGGAAAUAUUCAGAGUGACUUGUGGAAAUAUAACGAUCAUCCAACUUUGGAAUACAUCAAUUUAAGUGGGAACCAUUUUACGGGUAUAGUUUUUCUCUAUAGAUCUUUUCCUUUUCUCAUAUGUAACUAAGCUGGUAAUCUGAUUAUUGCAGUUUUACCAAAGUUUCAACAAUCUUGACAGGUGAGCUUCCAACAACAAUUUGCAAUGUCACUUCCCUUUCGGUUCUUGAUUUGUCAAAUAAUGCGUUAAGUGGUGCACUUCCAAACUGUUUCGGGAAUCUUGCUGAUGGAUUGCUUUACAUUAAUCUUGCUAAUAAUCAGUUUCGAGGAACAAUACCAACUACUUUCUCCAGGAGUUGUCAGCUGACAUAUCUAAACAUGGAUAAUAAUGAGUUUGAAGGAUUGGUGCCCCCAUCUUUGGCGAACUGCAAGCACUUGAAAAUUCUUGAUAUUGGCAAUAAUAAAAUAGGUGGUACAUUCCCGUCAUGGCUUUAUGUACUUGGAGAGCUAGAAGUCCUUGUCUUGCGAUCAAAUAAACUCUAUGGUACAAUAAGUGGAAGGAGCAUAGAAGAUCCCUUCCCCAAGUUGCGGAUUGUGGAUCUGUCCGAUAAUCAAUUCACAGGCCAUUUGCCAAUUCAAUACUUUAAGAAUAUGAAAUCAACUGAUAAUAUGUAUAAUUAUCUGAAUUCCACAGGAGGAAUAUAUUUCACUUAUGAAGCAGCAGUCUCAUUAACUGUGAAGGGAACAGAGUAUGAAGUGACAAAUAACCUUCAUAUUUACACAGCUAUUGAUCUGUCGUGCAACAAAUUUCAGGGUGAAAUUCCAAAAAUUAUUGGAGAGCUUAGAUGGCUUGCAUUGCUCAAUUUAUCGCAUAAUAGUCUGACAGGACAUAUCCCAUCAUUUCUGAGAAAUAUGAAAGAACUCCAAUCUUUAGAUUUGUCCUCAAAUCAACUGACAGGGGCCAUUCCACCUCAGUUAACUGCAUUGACAUUUCUAAAGGUCUUAAAUCUCUCGAAAAACCAUCUCAGUGGAGAGAUUCCUCAGGAAGGACAGUUCAGCACAUUCAACAAUGAUUCUUAUCUAGGAAACUCCGCGUUAUGUGGAUUACGUCUGACAAAGAAAUGUGCAAACACAGCAGGGAUUCCUCAGAAAGGACAGUUCAGCACAUUCAACAAUGAUUCUUAUAUAGGAAACUCCGCGUUAUGUGGAUCACCUUUGACGAAGAGAUGUGCAAACACAGCAUCACCUCCACAACAAGUCGGAAAUGGUGAUGAAGAUGAUGCGGGAGAUGAAUUGAGAUGGGAAGCAAUCGUGAUGGGAUAUGGAUGUGGACUGAUAUGUGGAUUGUCAUCUGCGUACAUUGUUCUCAAACUAGGAAGGCCUUGGUGGGUUGUGAGAUAUGUCGAAGUACUGCAACUGAAGUUGAUGAAAAGAUAUGCUUGAAGAAUGGAACUGGCCGAUCAAAACGAACUCGAAAGCAGUUGUCCUUGUGGACAUUUCUGAACCAGUAGUGUACUAGCUGCAUAAGUAUUUGGUAUUAUGUAAUAAUCCACAUAUUCAAUAUCACACUCUUCCUGUGAGGAAACAAAUAUGGAGAAACAUUUCUAUUUACAAAACUUUUACCAUUAUACACUCUUAUAGUACUGGUUAAUAGUUUGUUGUUCAGCCUAGUCCUAAACUGAAAUUAUCAGUUCUAUGUGAGUAUGCUUUCAAAUAAGAAUUAGGUGAUCUGCCUAGUCCAAAACUACUCUAAUACUAUAUCGCUGGUAGUCUUUCAGUUCAUCCUAUUGUAUACAAUAGUUUCUUCCUUUGACACAAAAAUGUCUGCAGUCAGUGUCACCACCACAGGAAGUCGAAAAUGGUGAUGAAGAUUGAUUUGCGGAUUGUCUUAUGGGUACAUUUUUUUCAAAAAAGGAAGGCCUUGGUGGUUUGUGAGAUACAUCGAAGUGCUGCAACUUAAGUUGAUGUUACCAAGAAUGAAAAAUAUUGUUCGACCAAGAUCAACAACUUGAAAAUGUGUUCUGAAUCUGUAAUAAUAUUAAAAUAUUAAAAUAUUAUUCAUUUAACAAUAUCGUCCAAUCAAUUUAAUUGAUUAUCAUUUAAUCAAUAUAUAUAGAUGGAUAUUAAUUGUCUUCCCUAGCUCCAACCAAUGAUGAAAUAACCUCCCUAUAAAUCUAUUGAGUCAAAAUUGCAAACAACACUUUCAAAACAUAGGUGCCGAAUAGUCCUUAUUUUAAAUUAAUCAGAAUUGAAUAUUUGAUGGCGCUAAAAAAAUCUGUUGAAAUUAGCAGUUUAUAAGGCAUAUAAAUAGAAGUGUGCGUUACUUUAAGGAUUCAUGAUCAAGUUGAGGAGAAAUAUGCACAGUAUAUAAAGCCUCAUCAUCUUUUUCUCUUUGUUUUCUUUCUCUCAUUACUCCCAUCCAUUCUUACAACACUAGCUGAAACAAGACGAGAGGGAGAAGCUCUUGUGAAAUGGAAGAAUAGCCUAGCCCCUUCUUCUUUUCUCGACUCUUGGUCCCUCACCAAUCUCGAUAAUCUUUGUAACUGGACUGGCAUUACUUGUAACUCUGCAGGUUCAGUCUCUAAGAUUAACCUUUUUGAGAAACAACUUGAUGGAAUGUUGUCCGAGUUUGGUUUCACCUCAUUUCCACAUCUCAACAAUCUCACCCUUGCAGACAACUACUUCUCGGGUCCGAUACCACCAGCCAUUGAGAAUUUAACACAGCUUCAAUUUCUUGAUUUGAGCAAUAAUUAUCUAGAUGGUCCCAUUCCUUUCCAGGUUAGCAAUCUUCAGAGGUUGCUCAUCUUAAACCUGUCACAGAAUGCAUUGCAAGCUCCAAAUUGGUCCCAUUUCUCUCCCAUGCCUUUUUUGCGCAUCCUCAACCUCAGUAGCAAUCCUCUAGCGUCGAAAUUCCCAAAUUUCAUAUCCAAUUCUCAUGGCCUGACUCACCUUAGCCUUAAUUAUAACGAGUUUACUGGUGAUUUAGUACGUGAAUCAAUAUUUGCCAAUCUGCAUAAUCUUGAAGUCCUCGGUCUUGUUGACAAUUCUUUUGAGGGGCCAUUUCCCCCGGAUAUAUUCAGGCUCUCCAAAUUAAAACGUCUCUCCCUGUCAGGUAACAAAUUUUCAGGUUCAGUUCCCAAUGACAUAAGGUUGCUUUGUGAUCUUCAAUCUCUAUAUUUAGCUAACAAUUCCUUUGAAGGACCGCUUCCACCAAAUAUAUUCAAGCUUGCAAAAUUAAAAGAUCUUGCUCUUUGGGGUAAUAAGUUUUCAGGUUCUGUUUCCAAUGAUAUAGGUUUGCUUUCUGUGCUUGAAAUUCUCAAUAUUCACUCUAAUUUUUUUGAGGGGCCCCUUCCGCCAAAUAUAUUCAAGCUCUCCAAAAUAAGGUUUCUUUACCUCGGGGGUAAUAACUUUUCUGGUUCCGUUUCCAAUGAGAUAGGUUUGCUUUCUGAGCUUGAAUCCCUAUAUCUUGGUUCUAAUGUUUUUGAGGGGCCGCUUCCACCAAAUAUAUUCAAGCUUUCCAAAUUAAAAUGGCUUGACCUCGCAGACAAUAGAAAUUUAUUUGAAGGAAGUAUUCCUAUUGGACUGGGACUCUUGACUAACCUCAGCUACUUAGAUCUAAGUUCCAGUAAUCUCAGUGGCUAUAUUCCAUCUGUCAUUGCAAACCUGAAGCUACUAGUAUUUCUUGAUCUCAGUUCUAAUCAAUUGACUGGACCACUUUCGAAGAUCGUUUCUAAUCUCACAAAUCUUAUACUUCUUGGUGUGGAUUAUAAUAGUCUUAGUGGAAAUAUUCAGAGUGAUUUGUGGAAGAACUCUAUAUCCUUACGUUACAUUGAUUUUGAAAAUAAUUAUUUUUCUGGAAACAUUCCUGAGGAAUAUAACGAUCAUCCAACUUUGGAAUACAUCAAUUUAAGUGGGAACUAUUUUACAGGUAUAUUUUCUUAAUAUAUCUUUUCCUUUUGUCAUAUAUAUGUAACUAAGCUAGUAAUCUGAUUAUUGCAGUUUUACCAAAGUUUCAACAAUCUUGACAGGUGAGCUUCCAACAACAAUUUGCAAUGUCACCUCCCUUUCGGUUCUUGUUUUGUCAAAUAAUAAAUUAAGUGGUGCACUUCCAAACUGUUUCGGGAAUCUUGCUGAUGGAUUGCUUUACAUUAAUCUUGCUAAUAAUCAGUUUCAAGGAACAAUACCAACUACUUUCUCCAGGAGUUGUCAGUUGACAUAUCUAAACAUGGUUAAUAAUGAGUUUGAAGGAUUGAUGCCCCCAUCUUUAGCGAACUGUAAGCACUUGAAAAUUCUUGAUAUAGGCAAUAAUAAAAUAGGUGGUACAUUUCCGUCAUGGCUUUAUGCACUUGGAGAGCUAGAAGUUCUUGUCUUGCGAUCAAAUAAACUCUAUGGUACAAUAAGUGGAAGGAGCAUAGAAGAUCCCUUCCCCAAGUUGCGGAUUGUGGAUCUGUCCAACAAUCAAUUCACAGGCCAUUUGCCAAUUCAAUACUUUAAGAAUAUGAAAUCAAAUGAUAAUUUGUAUCGUUAUCUGAAUUCCACAGGAGAAAUAUAUAUCUCUUAUGAAGCAGCAGUCUCAUUAACUGUGAAGGGAACAGAGUAUGAAGUAGCAAAGAACCUUCAUAUUUACACAGCCAUUGAUCUGUCGUGCAACAAAUUUCAGGGAGAAAUUCCAAAGGUUACCGGAGAGCUUAGAUGGCUUGCAUUGCUCAAUUUAUCUCAUAAUAGUCUAACAGGACCUAUCCCAUCAUUGCUGGGAAAUAUGAAAGAACUCCAAUCUUUAGAUUUGUCCUCAAAUCAACUGACAGGGGCUAUUCCACCUCAGCUAACUGCAUUGACAUUUCUAGAGGUCUUGAACCUCUCGGGAAACCAUCUUAGUGGAGAGAUUCCUCAGAAAGGACAGUUCAGCACAUUCAACAAUGAUUCUUAUCUAGGAAACUCCGCGUUAUGUGGAUCACCUUUGACGAAGAAAUGUGGAAACACUGUAUCACCUCCACAGGAAGUCGGAAAUGGUGAUGAAGAUGAUGCGGGUGAUGAAUGGACAUGGGAAGCAAUCGUGAUGGGAUAUGGAUGUGGACUGAUAUGUGGAUUGUCAUCUGCGUACAUUGUUCUCAAACUAGGAAAGCCUUGGUGGUUUGUGAGAUAUAUCGAAGUACUGCAACAGAAGUUGAUGAAAAGAUAUGCAUGAAGAAAGGUACUGGUAGAUCAAGAUGAAAAGAUAUGAAGAAGUAUUUGGUAUUAUGUAAUAAUCCGUUUGGUCGGGACUCAAAAUGAUUUCUCUUGCUUCAGGGGUAUUAAUAUUAACCUUGCUAUCUUGUUCAAUGUUAAUGCAAAUUAAAAAGAAUAUAAAAGCAAAAAAUUUGCAUCAAACACCUGUUGUACCAACAUGCAUCCAUUAAUUUGCUUUCAUCUAUUAAGUAACAAUUUAAGAGCGCUUCCACUCUGUUUAAGCAUGGAGAUUACACAAAGAAGGCAAGUCCAUGGAUUAACACGUAGUCCACAUCUAUGCUACGAACAAUUCACAUUGAUCUUAUAUCUGUUCAACAGUCUCCCGAAGAUAGGCCAUAAAUGUCAUCUGUGGCUCUUAUGUUUGUCAGUAAAGGAGAAUCUCUGAUGCCUAUAACCUGGUUUUCUUACAAGAUGCCCAGGUUAUCAUGGCCAUGCAGAAAAAUGCCCAAAAAUGAAUAGCUCAGGUCUCCCCAAGCCUUCCAGGACUCAUUCCAAGUCUUCGGAGGACCACUGCCUCCCCCUUUCAAAGAUGUGAUUGUAGCUCGAAAGUGAUAUAAAUUAUUUUCCCCACAUUAAAAAUAAAAAAUCAGAUUAAAUUAAUCAAUAAUAAAUUAAGGAUGAAAUCCAAAUUAAUCCUAAAUUUUGAUAAUAUAUAAAAAUUAUAAUUAUAAAUUAUAUAACCAAAUCAGAAUUGAAUUAACUUACUUGGCACUAGAAUUGCUAAAGACAGUAUAAUAAUUUAAUUGAUGAAAAGUCAAAGUCUUCUAAUAAAUCCAUAAAGAAUAUGAUAAUAUGAAAAUUAUAAUUGAAAAAUCAAAAUCAAUAGUGUAUUGGAAUAGUGUUCACACACUUAUAUAUCAAAAUUUGUGGUCCAAAAACUAUAGCACAAUAUCCUAAAUACAUCACAUUAAAUAAUAGCACAAAAAUAUUCAAUAAAUAAUUGAUUUCAUUCAUAAAUUUGUUAUUUUAAAAACUAAUAAUUUGGUUGAUGUUAACCUAUAUUUUAUAUAUAAUUUCGUCUUAUUUUAUUUUACUAGAAACAAUAUUUUUAUAAUAUUUAUUACAUUAAAUAUAUUAAAAGAUAUAAUUUUAUUAAAAAAAUUGAAUAAAAUUAAAAGGAUAAGUCUCGGCCUCUCCAAGUCUACAAGACUCAUUUCAAGUCCACCGAGGGCCUCAACCAUUGAGAGAUGUGAAAGUAGCUUGAGAGUGAUAUAAAUUAAUUAAAUUAGUUAAUAAUGAAUCAAGACUAAUCAUGAAUUAUGAUAAUAAUUAAAUAAAUUAUAAAAUUAAAUUAUACAAAUAACACUAAACCUUAGUUACUUUAUUGGUAAAAUAAAUAUAAUAUAAUAAUUAAAUUGAUGAAAAAUCAAAAUCAUCUAAUAAAUUCACAAAAAAUAUAUGAUCAUUAGUAUAUUAUAUUAGUAUCCACACACUUAUAUUUCAAAUCUAUCCUCCAAAAUUAUCAUCUCGAUAAACUAGCCGCAUAAAAUAAAAAUUUAACGAUAUUAGAUAUUUAGCUAUUUUCAUUAUAUAAUUUUUCCACACUAAAUAACAAAAUAUCUUUAUCAAAUUAUUAUUUAUGAAUUAAAUAUUCAAGUUAUAAUUCCAGCAUGCAGCGUAUAAAUAGAAGUGUGCAGUAUGAUAUCAGAUUCAUAACCCAGUUGAGGAGAAACAUGGCACACUCUGUAAAGCCUUCUCACCUUCUUCUCUUUGUUUUCUAUCUCUCUUAACUUGAAUACAUUCUUGCAACAACACAAGAGGGAGAAGCUCUUGUGAAAUGGAAGAAUAGCCUAGCCCCUUCUUCUUUUCUCGACUCUUGGUCACUCACCAAUCUCGAUGAUCUUUGUAACUGGACUGGCAUCACUUGUAACUCUGCAGGUUCAGUCUCUCAGAUCAACCUUUUCGAAAAACAACUUGAUGGAAUGCUGUCCGAGUUUGGUUUCACUUCAUUUCCGAAUCUCAACAAUCUCACCCUCGCAUACAACUUCUUCUCGGGUCCGAUACCACCGGCCAUUGAGAAUUUAACACAGCUUCGGUAUCUUGAUUUAAGCUUUAAUUCUCUCCAUGGUCCCAUUCCGUUCCAGGUUAGCCAUCUUCAGAGCUUGCUCAUCUUAAACCUGUCACAGAAUGCAUUGCAAGCUCCAAAUUGGUCCCAUUUCUCUCCCAUGCCUUUUUUGCGCAUCCUCAACCUCAUUAGCAAUCCUCUUGCGUCGAAAUUCCCAAAUUUUAUAUCCAACUCUCAUAGCCUGACUCACCUUAGCCUUAAUUUUAAUGAGUUUACUGGUGAUUUAGUACGUGAAUCAGUAUUUGCCAAUCUGCAUAAUCUUGAAUUGCUCAGUCUCGUUGAAAAUUCUUUUGAGGGGCCAUUUCCGCCGGAUAUAUUCAGGCUUUCCAAAUUAAAACAUCUUCACCUGUCAAGUAACAAAUUUUCAGGUUCAAUUUCCAAUGACAUAAGGUUGCUUUGUGAUCUUGAAUCCCUAUAUUUAGGCAACAAUUCCUUCGAAGGACCCCUUCCAUCAAAUAUAUUCAAGCUUUCAAAAUUAAAAAAUCUUGUUAUUGGGAGUAAUAAGUUUUCGGGUUCUGUUUCCAACGAUAUAGGUUUGCUUUCUGAGCUUGAAAGCCUCUAUCUUGACUCCAAUUUUUUUGAGGGGCCGCUUCCGUCAAAUAUAUUCAAGCUCUCCAAAUUAAGGAUUCUUUCCCUUUGGCAUAAUAACUUUUCAGGUUCUAUUUCUAAGGAUAUAGGUUUGCUUUCUGGACUUGAAACCCUCUUUCUUGACUCUAAUUUUUUUGAGGGUCCGCUUCCCCCGCAUAUAUUUAGGCUCUCCAAAUUAAGAGAUCUGGGUCUCUCAGACAAUAGAAAUUUAUUUGAAGGGAGUAUUCCUAUUGGACUGGGACUCUUGACUAACCUCAGGUACUUAGAUCUAUAUUCCAAUAAUCUCGGUGGUUAUAUUCCAUCUGACAUUGGAAACCUGAAGCUACUAGAAGUUCUUGAUCUCAGUUCUAAUCAAUUGACUGGACCGCUUUUAAAGAUUGUUUCUAAUCUCACAAAUCUUAUGUUUCUUGAUGUAAGACAAAAUAGUCUUAGUGGAAAUAUUCAGAGUGACUUGUGGAAAUAUAACGAUCAUCCAACUUUGGAAUUCAUCAAUUUAAGUGGGAACCAUUUUACGGGUAUAGUUUUUCUCUAUAAAUCUUUUCUUUUGUCAUAUGUAACUAAGCUAGUAAUCUGAUUAAUUGCAGUUUUACCAAAGUUUCAACAAUCUUGACAGGUGAGCUUCCAACAACAAUUUGCAAUGUCACUUCCCUUUCAAUUCUUGAUUUGUCAAAUAAUGGAUUAAGUGGUGCACUUCCAAACUGUUUCGGGAAUCUUGCAGAUAGAUUGCUUUUCAUUAAUCUUGCUAAUAAUCAGUUUCGAGGAACAAUACCAACUACUUUAUCCAAAAGUUGUCAGCUGACAUGUCUAAACAUGGAUAAUAAUGAGUUUGAAGGAUUGUUACCCCCAUCUUUGGCGAACUGUAAGCACUUGAGAAUUCUUGAUAUUGGCAACAAUAAAAUAGGUGGCACAUUUCCGUCAUUGCUUUAUGUACUUGGAGAGCUAGAAGUCCUUGUCUUGCGAUCAAAUAAACUCUGCGGUACAAUAAGUGCAAGGAGCAUAGAAGAUCCCUUCCCCAAGUUGCGGAUUGUGGAUCUGUCCAACAAUCAGUUCACAGGCCAUUUGCCAAUUCAAUACUUCAAGAAUAUGAAAUCAACUGAUAAUUUGUAUUGGUAUCGUAUUUCCACAGGAGAAUUAUUUUUCCAAUAUGAAGCAGCAGUCUCAUUAACUGUGAAGGGAAGAGAGUAUGAAGUAGCAAAUAACCUUCAUAUUUACACAGCCAUUGAUCUGUCGUGCAACAAAUUUCAGGGAGAAAUUCCAACGGUUACUGGAGAGCUUAGAUGGCUUGCAUUGCUCAAUUUAUCUCAUAAUAGUCUAACAGGACCUAUCCCAUCAUUGCUGAGAAAUAUGAAAGAACUCCAAUCUUUAGAUUUGUCCUCGAAUCAACUGACAGGGGCUAUUCCACCUCAGUUAUCUGCAUUGACAUUUCUAGAGGUCUUGAACCUCUCGAAAAACCAUCUUAGUGGAGAGAUUCCUCAGAAAGGACAGUUCAGCACAUUCAACAAUGAUUCUUAUCUAGGAAACUCCGCGUUAUGUGGAUCACCUUUGACGAAGAAAUGUGCAAACACAGCAUCACCUCCACAAGAAGUCGGAAAUGGUGAUGAAGAUGAUGCUGGAGAUGAAUUGACAUGGGAAGCAAUCGUGAUGGGAUAUGGAUGUGGACUGAUAUGUGGUUUGUGAGAUAUAUCGAAGUACUGCAACAGAAGUUGAUGAAAAGAUAUGCAUGAAGAAUGAUACUGGCCGAUCAAGACGAACUUGAAAGUUUGUUGUCCUUGUGGACAUUUCAGCUGAACCAGUAGUGUACUAUUCUCUUUGUGACUGCAUAAGUAUUUUGUAUUGUGUAAUGUUCUGUUUGGGCUUAAAUCAUAAUGAUUUUUCUUGCUUCAGGGGUAUUAAUAUAAAACCGUUUGGUCGGGACUCAUAAUGAUUUCUCUUGCUUCAGGGGUAUUAAUAUCAUCCUUGCUAUCUUGAACAAUGAUAAUGCAAAUUAAAAAGAAUGAAAAAACAAAAAUAUUGCAUCAAACACCUGUUGUACCAAGAUCCAUUAAUUUGCUUUCAUCUCUUACGCAACAAUUUAACAGCACUUCCACACUGUUUGAAAGAUUAUCAUAAAUUCGAGUUUUCCUCUCCAGCACCAAAUCCAAAUUAAUAUACAAUGCCACACAUUCCAGUCUCAGCUUCAGCUCCCAGGGUAGCAUUCAUUUAGCCAAGCACGACAGUGGCCGCUUACGUGCCUAACAAUAACAGUUGGGGAUUUGAGUGAACUUGCCUUGGUCCUGCCUUCAAAUGUCUGACAAUAACAGUUGGAUAUGUCGACAAAAAAAUUGUUCCUCACAGAGGAGCUAAUAGCAAUUGACUUCGAAUAAAUCCGACAGUUCUUUUCAUCCAGUUAUUAUUUCAGCAAUAUGUCUAGCAAAUAUGUAGUGCACUGGACACCAUACUACCAACACAAGUAGUAAAAGGAGAGACCAUUGUUUCGAAUGCUCGGAAAUUUGAACAGGGUUUUUUCCACCUGCCCCCUGACUUUUUACACAAACAGGUCAAGAAAAACAGAAGCCGGCUUCUGGAAAAAUGAAGCACUACUUUAUGAGUGACCAUUGUUUUGAAUGCUCGGAGAUGUGAAGUGGAUUUUUUCAGCCUGCCCCCAGACUUCUUUUUGUAAAACUAGAUUUCUUUAGCUCCGGUGUCUUAGUAUUGGAGAUUAUGAGUGACUGUAGAAAAGACUUUAAUAUGAGUGUGAGAUAUACCCCGGUGGAAACAGGACCUUGAUCCAAAGGGUCACGGGUUCAAACCUCACCUGAUCGGGUUCCACUCCACGCUCGGUCCACAUCUAUGCUGGAUUCAUAUUAAAAUGAUAAUGGAACACGGGCGUCCAUGGUUGGGGAUAUCAUAUUAAAAAGAUUAGCUGGGCACAGAUGAAUAUUUAUAUGGAUUUUAAAAACAAACUAUGACUUAAUAUAAGAAAAAUCAUUAUUUUUUAUUUUUCCGACUAAACAUUUGUUAGCCUUCUCUGGUGCCCAUCCAAAUCAUUCAGCGGGUUCUACUUUCAGCUCAUCACAAGAACAUCAUUCUGCAGGUACUUUCUUAUAUUGUUUGCCAGCGGUGACCGAGCCAGAAACUUUUUCGAGGAGGGGCCGGAAUAGAAAUAUUAUUUAAAUUUGAAAAUAUUAUAUAUCAUAUUGAAAAUAGUAUUAGUAACAAAAAUCCAUUUAUUUUAGGUUUCUAUGAGAAAACUCAGUCGUUUCAUUAAGAAAAUUUAAUUACUUAAUUACCAAACGGUUGAGGAUGAAGAUUUGAAAGAACGAGUUGCAACGGGGAGACUCAUAGACGCGACAGAAAAAAAUAGAAAAAGAUAUUGUUCAACAACCGAGUCUAUAUUAUUAAAAUUUAUGAUAAAUGAGAUAAUUUUAUUUUAUAAACUAACUAAAUACAUAUAAUAUAGUAUUAUAUGUAAUGCUACGUAAAAUUGGAUACAAGAUUUUGCACAAAAUGAUAUGAUAACUAAAGUGAAAUAUUUUAAUUGGUGCUAUUAAUGUAUAUAUACAUUUAUUACAAUUAAAACUUAACACAUAUUAUUAAUUUUGUGAAUAAAAUAUUUUUCUUAAUAAUAUAUAAGUAAAAAAAAUAAAAAUCUAGGAGGGGCUCAGGCCCCCUCUGGACCCCUCUAGCUCCGUCUGUAUACACCUAUCAUAUUAUUGACAGGUGGCUCUCUCAUAUUGCUCACAGGCGAACUCCUGCAUAUACUUUGUGAACCAAUCAUGACAAAAAUAUCAUCAUCCAAUCAAUUCGAUUAAUUAUUCUUUAAAUCAGUACAAAUAUUGUUAAAUAUAUGGAUGAUUAUCGUGUUUCCGCGAACCAAUCAUGAAAUGAAAUUACCUCUGUAUAAAUCCAUCGGAAAUAAGACAAUUAAUGGGGCCGUUUGGGCAAGCUUAAAAGAAGUGACUUCUUGCUUAAACUAGAGAAGUGGAGCAGAAGUGAGAAGUAAAUAAGUUAUUAAAGUGUUUGGAAAAGAAGCAGAAGCUGUGAGACAAAAGCUAGCAUUCUCAGCUUUUUAAAAGUGACUUCUUUACACAAACGGGUAAAAAAAGCAGAAGCCAGAAGCAGCUUCUGCUUCCGUUAAACAAACAGGCCCAAUAUCUCAAUCGAAUACACCCCGUGAGUUGUCAAACUCCUCGAAACGUAUUAAUCACUUUAGAAAUUUGUUCCACUGGCGCCAUUCAGUUCCAGAGUUGGUGGUAGGGGCCGUGCUUCUUGUGUUUCUUCUUUUCAUUAUUGACAUUGUCAUCUAGGUCCUUGCUUCUGGGCUUUGGAGAAGUAAACAAUGGAUCUAUUAGUCUUCCAUAUCGCUGAUACGCGCUAACGCGCAUUAUAGUGGAUUGAUCUUUAUUAGUGAUUUCUGUGGAGAUGCAUAAUCAUUAUAAGCUCCAAUAUAAAAUAAACCUAAUUUAAAGUUAGUAUGGGCAUUUGUGUUGAUAAUUUACGCAAUGUUAACAGGGAUUGCUCCCAAGUCUUGGACGGAUUCUUUCCAAGUCUUCUGAGGACCUAUUUGCACACUAAUUUGUCGCCAACUAAAAAUUCAACGAUAUUGCUAGCUCCCUCUACUAAUUUUUUGCGGGACGUUUUUUACUUUUAACACAUAUCUUUAGAUAGAAUUAGUAUUGUAAAAAGCGGGAAUCAGACUUAAUCGGUGAAGUCACAGAACAACGAUUAAUCGAUGAUUAAUUGGAUUGAUUGGGUAUCAAUCGGAUGAUUAAUGAAAUAAUCGGAUAUUUAAUCCGUUCGACGAGUUACGGAACAGGGAUUAAUCGUGAUUAAUCACCGACUUUUAGAACAGAGGAUAGGAUAAUAAAAUUAUUAUUUUUGAUUAUUUUUUUUGUGAAUAAAAAUUUUGAUUAUAUAUUUUUAUUAAAAAAGAAUUUAAAAUAAUAUUUUUAACUAACCGGUCCAAACAGCUAAAAGUGUGUGCCCAAGCGUCAUAUAAAAACGGAGGGAGCGAGCAUGUGCUGACUAACGGUUCAACUAACAGUUUACAAGUACUCCAUCUGUCCCAUUUAGUCCUAUUUAAUUAUAUACGUUUUUUUUUAACUGUUUGACACGCACUUCAAUGCUCUUCUAAAAUAUGGUUCUAUAACUUAUUUUUAAAAUUUUCUUUUUCUGAAUAAAAAUAUAACAUUCAAACUUUUAUUCAGAAAAAAAUAUCGUAAAAAUAAGUUAUAGAAUUAUAUUUUAUAAGAGCAUUAAAGUCCAUGUCGCGUCCCCGUCUUCUGAUGUAUAAAUUUGCGCAAUGUUAACGGGGAUUGCUCAUUUGCUCUCAAGUCUUGGACGGACCAAGUCUUCUAGGACCCAUCUGCACACUAAUUUGUCUGCCAACUAAAAAAUCAACGAUAUUGCUGCCUCUGCUAUUUUUUACCAGGACGUUUUUUACUUUUAACACAUGUUUAGAUAGGAUAAUAAAUAUUAUUAUUAUUGAUUAAUUUUUUUGUGAAUAAAAAUUUUGAAUAUAUAUUUUUAUCAAAAAAAGAAAAUUUUAAAAAUAAUAUUUUUAAGGGAAAUUAUUAAUGGUACUAUUGUGCUACUGGCUUUUCUAAAUGGUACUAUUUUGGUGUUUUCGACUUACAUGCAUUAUCACUUCCAUUAACGAUACUACCAUUCCGUCCCUCAAAACGUUAAAACCAUUAGUUGACCGUAUUUAUUUUGUAUUUUCCUUGUAAAAAAAACAAAAGAAUACAACUAAUAUUUGUAUUUUUUGUUUGUGUUCAAAUCGUCGAGAUAUGGAAGAGGUUAUCAGAAUUUUAGAAUUGAUUCGAUGUCCUUCAGAAAGUCAGGGGGAAACGGAAUGAGAUACGAGUUUUGAACAAGAAUCCAGUUUAGUUGUUGUUUAUCUUGAAAAACAGAUUUGGAAGUCAUAUAUUUUCAGCCUUUGGCUUCAUGUAUUUCUGUCUCAUCAUUCCCAGAUACUUGCUGAGGUUUAUAGUCACUGUUUAUUAAAUGUUGUCGUACAUUUUCCUGUAUUAUGCACCCAUGUGGCGCCUGUGUUUUGCAUGUCAUGCACAAUUUGCUCAACUACAUACAGGUCACAGGAUGAGUGCAUGUGCCAAAGGGAUUAGUGCAUUGAUCUGUGUAGUGUGAGGACACUGUGAUACAAGGCACAAUUUCUCAGAUUUCUUCUGUCAACACCACUCCCAUCCAUAGCUCCCACCUUUUCUCUCUCAAUCUCAUGUUUCUCUCUUUCUCUCGCAGCUCCGCCGCCACCACUACAUCAGUCUUCAAGAACUCAAGAAAAAAUAUGGAUAUCAGUUAUAUUUUUUGUGUUUUUUAAAGAAGUAUAUGAAAUAAAUAUAGUCAACUAAUGUUUUUAACGUUUUGAUGGACCGAAUGGUAGUAUCAUUAACGGAUCAUAAACUGAGUGGUACCACUUGUAAGUAAAAACCAGUGUUGUAAAAAGCGGGAAUCGGAUUUAAUCGGUGAAGUCACGGAACAAAGAUUAAUCGGAGAUUAAUCGGACUAAUCGGUGAUUAAUCGGAUAUUUAAUCAGUUCGGCGAGCUACGGAACAGGGAUUAAUCGGUCGUGAUUAAUCACCGACUUUUAGAACAGAGGUAAAAACACGAAAUGGUAUUAUUCAUAAAAGCCAAUACCACGAUGGUACCAUUAAUAAUUUCCCUAUUUUUAAUUACCGAGUCCAAAUAUUUAAACGUGUGUGCCCAAAAUUAAAGCCGCAUAUAAAAAAACGGAGGGAGCAUGUACUAACCGUUUCCAUAACAGUUUACAAGUAUAAGUUAUACUCCCUCUCAAUUUUUUUAUUUUUUUAUAUGACGUUUUGAUCUUGGGCACACAUUAUUAAGUGUUUUGACCGGAUAGUUAAAAAUAUUAUUAUUUAAAUUUUCUUUUCUGAAUAAAAAUAUAUAACCAAAAAUUUUAUUCACAAAAAUUUUUAGUGAUUUUUUCGUGAAUACCUAAGGCCAAUUUUUCAAAUAUUUUGUAAAAAUACCAAUUUUUUGAAAAUAUUUGCAAAGAUAAUGUAUUCAACCACAUGCAACCAUACUUAUAACCAGAUGUAACCAUAAUUGCAACCUCUGCGGGACCAAUUAACUGAAUUUGUAUUUGGUUGCACUAGUUAGUAUUUUCUUAAAGUUAGUAUUUUUGUAAAUAUUUUUAAAAAAAAGUAAAAUCGCAAAAAAAAAAAUCGAAAAAAUGGUUUGAUAAAUUUCUAAAUAUUUAAUCACAGAACAAUAACUUUUACAAUCCGAUCAACUCAUUUAAAAAUGUGUGUCAAAAGUAAAAAUGUCAUAUAUAUAUAUAUCAUAUAAAUGUCAUAUAAAUUUAAAACAAAGGGAUNCAUAUAAAUGUCAUAUAAAUUUAAAACAAAGGGAUAUAUAUUUUUUAAUAAAAUAUACUCCCUCUAUCCCAAAUAAGUGUCAGUGACAUUUUGCAAAAAUAGCUUGGGACAAUAGAUUUUUUUGCCACUCAACUUAAUGUGUUUUUAGAAAUUCGCCACCCAACUAAUUUUUUUUUCCUUUUACUCACUAAUGUUAGGUUUGGAUUUUUUUUAGCCACCAACUUAGGUUCGGAUUUGAUUACUAGUAUUAUGAUAAUUUUAUUUAUCACUAAACUUACUGCGUCUUUAGGAAUUAACCACUGAACUAUAAUUUUUUUAUUUUACUCACUAAUGUUAGGUUCAUUUUUUUUGUCACUGAAGUUAGGUUCGGAUUUGAUUAUUAGCAUUAUAUUAAUUAUGUGUAACAUUAUUAAAAUAUAGUGGUCUAUAAUAUUUUGAUGAUUUGGUAUAUGUCUGUAUCUUUAUAUAUAGUACUUUUUAUGUCUCCAAUGUCGUUUAACUUGAGUGGUAAGAAUUUUACACGCAUUUUAUGGCUUUUAAAAGAUGUAGUUUCAUAAAUAAUUUUAUUUUUUUCUUCCGAAUAAAAAUUCAGCGUUUUACACACAAAAAAAUAACAAAAAAAAGUUAUGAAGCUAUGUUUUAUAAGAGUCUUAAAAUACGUGCUAAGCAGUAGAAAAAACUGUAAACUAAUGAGAGGGACAUGUAGUAAUAAUAAUAAAAUGAUGCAUUAUAGAGGACAAUCAUCGAAAAUUAAGUUAACCUCUCUAUUUAUUUAUCUUGAAAAUUGUAGUAAAAUAAAGUUAUUAAAAUUUAUGAAGAUAAAUUUGAGAGAGAUCUUGGACUGAGCUAGUCAAUUGAAACUUUAAUAGCGAAAGAUGAUGCAUCAUAUCAAUCAAUUACACUUUAUCUUCUUAUCAUCAGGGAGGGUGAAUUGUUUGAAGUCAUUGAUUUCAUAUUCAUGAUUUAUUGAAUUUUAGAAUUCUAAUUACGAUUUUUCCUGGUUUUAAUUUUUCAUCGGCUCAUUUUAUAUUAUUUUUGUUAUAUAUAAGGAUAUAAACAUACGACACAUCAUCAAAAUAUUACAUACUAUCACUAUGUAUAAAUGAUGCGACAAAAAUUAUCAUAAUGCUAGUAAUUAAAUCCGAACCUGAGUAGUGGCUAAAAAAAAAUCCAAACCUAAUAUUAAUGGUAAAAGGAAAAAAAAAAUAGUUAGGUGGCAAGUUUCUAAAAACACUAUAAAUUGAGUGGCAAAAAAAAUCUAUUUUCCAAACAUAGCUUGGGGUAAUAACAAAACCUUAAUCAACGCAAGCACAGCAGACCGCAGGCAUAAGGCUUAUAAAUAGAAGUGCAGUAUUGUGUUGAUGGUCAAGUUGAGUGGAAAUAUGGUACACUUUGUAAAGCCUUGUUAUCCUCUUCUCUUUGUUUUCUUUCUCUCAUUACUUCAAUCCAUUCUAACAACACUACCUGAAUCCAGACGAGAGGGAGAAGCUCUUGUGAAAUGGAAGAAUAGCCUAGCCCCGUCUUCUUUUCUCGACUCUUGGUCACUCACUGAUCUCGAUAAUCUUUGUAACUGGACUGGCAUUACUUGUAACUCUGCAGGUUCAGUCUCGGAGAUUAACCUUUGUGAGAAACAACUUGAUGGAAUGCUGUCCGAGUUUGGUUUCACUUCAUUUCCAGAUCUCAACUAUCUCACCCUCGCAGACAACUUCUUCUCGGGUCCGAUACCAUCAGCCAUUGAGAAUCUAACACAGCUUCAAUAUCUUGAUUUAAGCAUGAAUAGUCUCAAUGGUCCCAUUCCUUUCCAGGUUAGCCAUAUUCAGAGCUUGCUCAUCUUAAACCUGUCACACAAUGCAUUGCAAUCUCCAAAUUGGUCCCAUUGCUCUCCCAUGCCUGUCUUGCGCAUCCUCGACCUUAGUUUUAAUAAUCUUGUGUCGAAAUUCCCAGAAUUUAUAUCCAAUUCUCAUAGCCUGACUCACCUUAACCUUUCAGAUAACAAGUUUACUGGUGAUCUUGUGCGUGAAUUUACCAAUCUACAAAAUCUUGAAACCCUCUACCUUCAAGAUAAUUCUUUUGAGGGGCCGUUUCCGCCUGAUAUAGUCCAGCUUUCCAAAUUAAAACGUCUCGCCCUGUUAGGUAACAAAUUUUCAGGUUCAAUUCCCAAUGACAUAAGGUUGCUUUGUGUUCUUGAAUACCUAUAUUUAGGCAACAAUUCCUUUGAAGGACCACUUCCACCAAAUAUAUUCACGCUUUCAAAAUUAAAAUUACUUGUUCUUUGGGGUAAUAAGUUUUCAGGUUCUAUUUCCAAUGAUAUAGGUUUGCUUUCUGAGCUUGAAACCCUCGUUCUUGACUCUAAUUAUUUUGAGGGGCCACUUCCGCCAAAUAUAUUCAAGCUCUCUAAAUUAAAGGUUUUUUCCCUUGUGUACAAUAACUUUUCAGGUUCUGUUUCCAAUGAUAUAGGUUUGCUUUCUGAGCUUGAAUAUCUCCGUAUUGGCUGCAAUUCUUUCGAGGGACCGUUGCCAACAAAUAUAUUCAAGCUUUCCAAAUUAAGUAAACUUGACCUAUCAAAUAAUAGUAAUUUUUUUGAAGGAAGUAUUCUUAUUGGAUUGGGACUCUUGACUAACCUCAGCUACUUAGAUCUAGAUUCCAAUAAUCUCAGUGGCUAUAUUCCAUCUGAGAUUGGAAACCUGAAGCUACUAGUAUUUCUCGAUCUUAGUUCUAAUCAAUUGACUGGAUCGCUUUCAAAGAUCUUUUCUAAUCUCACAAAUCUUAUAUAUCUUCAUGUAUAUGAUAAUAGUCUUAGUGGAAAUAUUCAGAGUGACUUGUGGAAAAACUCUGUAUCCUUGCGUUUCGUUGAUCUUGCAAAUAAUUAUUUGUCUGGAAACAUCCCUAAGGAAUAUAACGAUCAUCCAACUUUGGAAUACAUUAAUUUAAGUUGGAACCAUUUUACAGGUAUAUUUUCUCUAUAUAUCUUUUCCUUUUCUNCUCAUAUGUAACUAAGCUUGAUUAUUGCAAUUUUACCUAAGUUUCAACAAUCUUGACAGGUGAGCUUCCAACAACAAUUUGCAAUGUCACUUCCCUCUCGGUUCUUGUUUUGUCAAAGAAUGGAUUAAGUGGUCCACUUCCAAAUUGUUUCGGAAAUCUUGCUGAUAGAUUGCUUUCCAUUAAUCUUGCUAAUAAUCAGUUCCGAGGAACAAUACCAACUACUUUCUCCAGCAGUUGUCAGCUGACAUAUCUAAACAUGGAUGAUAAUGAGUUUGAAGGAAUGUUGCCUCAAUCUUUGGCGAAAUGUAAGCACUUGAAAAUUCUUGAUAUUGGCAAUAACAAAAUAGGUGGUAUAUUUCCGUCAUGGCUUUAUGUACUUGGAGAGCUAGAAGUCCUUGUCUUGCGAUCAAAUAAACUCUAUGGUACAAUAAGUGGAAGGAGCAUAGAAGAUCCGUUCCCCAAGUUGCGGAUUGUGGAUCUGUCCAACAAUCAAUUCACCGGCCAGUUGCCAAUUCAAUACUUUAAGAAUAUGAAAUCAACUGAUAAUUUGUAUCGUUAUCGGAAUUCCACAGGACCAUUAUCUUUCUCUUAUGAAGCAGCAGUCUCAUUAACUGUGAAGGGAACAGAGUACGAGGUAGCAAAGAACCUUCAUAUUUACACAGCCAUUGACCUGUCAUGCAACAAAUUUCAGGGAGAAAUUCCAAAGGUUACUGGAGAGCUUAGAUGGCUUGCAUUGCUGAAUUUAUCUCAUAAUAGUCUGACAGGACCUAUCCCAUCCUUGCUGAAAAAUAUGAAAGAACUCCAAUCUUUAGAUUUGUCCUCAAAUCAACUGACAGGGGCUAUUCCACCUCAGUUAACUGCAUUGACAUUUCUGGAGGUCUUCAACCUCUCGGGAAACCAUCUUAGUGGAGAGAUUCCUCAGAAAGGACAGUUCAGCACAUUUAACAAUGAUUCUUAUCUAGGAAACUCCGCGUUAUGUGGAUCACCUUUGACAAAGAAAUGUGCAAACACAGCAUCACCUCCACAAGAAGUCGGAAAUGGUGAUGAAGAUGAUGCUGGUGAUGAAUGGACAUGGGAAGCAAUCGUGAUGGGAUAUGGAUGUGGACUGAUAUGUGGAUUGUCAUCUGCGUACAUUGUUCUCAAACUAGGAAAGCCUUGGUGGUUUGUGAGAUAUAUCGAAGUGCUGCAACUGAAGUUGAUGAAAAGAUAUGCUUGAAAAAUGGUACUGGCCGAUCAAGACGAACUUGAAAGUUGUUGUCCUUGUGGACAUUUCUGAACCAGUAGUGUACUAGCUGCAUAAGUAUUUGGUAUUAUGUAAUAAUCCGUUUGGUCAGGACUCAUAAUGAUUUCUCUUGCUUCAGGGGUAUUAAUAUUAACCUUGCUAGUUAAUUCAAAUUAAAACAAAUAUAAAAUCAAAAAAUUUGCAUCAAACACCUGUUAUACCAACAUCCAUUAAUUUGCUUUCAUCUCUUACGUAACAAUUUAACAGCGAUUCCACACUGUUUUAGGCAUGGAGAUUACACAAAGAAGGCAAGUCCAUGGACUAAUAUACGAACAAUUCAUAUUGGUCUUCCAUCUGUUCAACCGUCUCCCGAAGAUAGGCCAAAAAUGUCAUCUGUGGUUCUUAUCUUUGUCAGUAAAGGAGAAUCUCUGAUGCCUAUACAACCUGGUUUUCUUACCGAAAGGAAUGUAGGUGAAACCAGGGGCAUAAAAUGAAUCGGGACUAAAAUCUGCUAAAAUGAUAAUUAUUUACUCAUCAUUCGAGAUUAGUCGGGCUCGAAUGAAGAUUUAUAUGGAUUUUAAGAACAAACUAUGACUAAAUAUGAAAAAAUCAUUAAUUUUUCCGACUCAAUAUUUUUAGCCUCCCCCGGCCCUGGGUGAAACCAUAAGCUUCUCUGGUGCACAUCCAAAUCAUUCAGCUGGUUCUACAUUCAGCUCACCCACAGGAACAUCAUUCUGCAGGUACUCUCUUAUCUGUACUUUCUUAUAUUGUAUGCCAGAAAAUUUAAUAUCGACAAACUGCACAAUACACCUCGAUCUCAUAUUAUUGACAGGUGAGCUCCUCUCAUAAUGCUCACAGGCGAACUCCUGCAUAUAUACUUUGUGAUGUCAUUGAUGAUCGAUAGGCUUGAAAAAAAAUUAUGACAAAGAUUCAUAAAAUAUCUACUUCCAUCCUAAUUCAGUAUUCAAUAUUAUUCAUUCCGUAUCAUCAUCCAAUCAAUUCUAAUAGUUCUUCUUUAAAUCAGUAUAAAUAUUGUUAAAUAUAUUGAUGAUGGUUGUCUUUCCGCGAACCAAUCAUAAAAUUACCUCUGUAUAAAUCCAUCGGAAAUAAGACAGUUAAUAUCCCAAUCGAAUACACCCCUGUCAGUUGUCAAACUCCUCGAAACGUAUUAAUCACUUUAGAAAAUUUGUUCCACUGGCGCUAGUCAGUCCCAGAGUUGGUGGUGGGUGCUUCUGGGCUUUCGAAAAGCACCCAUUUACUCCAUUGUUUAGAGAAGUAAAACCCCACCUUCCGCUCAUUUGAUUGAUCAGCUGAAUUAGGCAGAGUUUACAUGGUCAUGAUCAUAGUCUCCCAUUUCCCAGAUACGCGCAUUAUAGUGGAUUUAUCUUUAUCAGUAAUUUCUGUGGAGAUGCAUAAUCAUUAUAAACUCCAAUAUAAAAAUUUAAAGUUGGUAUGGGCAUUUGUGUUGAUAAUUUGCGCAAUGUUAACAGGAAUUGCUCCCAAGUCUUGGACGGACUCUUUCAAAGUCUUCUGAGGACCCAUCUGCACACUAAUUUGUCUCCCAACUAAAAAAUCAACAAUAUGUUACUCCCUCCGUUUUUCUUAAACGAGGUUAAAAUUUUUGACACAAGAUGGGUUGACAGUAUAAUAAAAAUUUUUGUGAAUAAAAUUUUUUUUAUUUAGAAAGAUAAUCUUGAAAAUAAUAUUAUUAACUAAGUUAAAUCACUUAAAAGUGUAUGUCCAAAAAUUAAAGCGGCAUAUAAAAAAAAGGGAGGGAGCAUGUACUAACUGUUUCCAUAACAGUUUACAAGUAUAAGUUAUACUCCCUCUCUAUUUUUUUAUAUGACGGUUUGAUUUUGGGCACACAUUUUUAAGUGUUUUGACCAGAUAAUUAAAAGGGGUUUUCUCAUAAAUACCUAAGUCUAAAAUUAUUUUUACGAAAAUAUUAUAUCUUUUUUUAAAUAUUUUGCAAAAAUACCAAACUUUGUAAAUAUUUACAAAAAUACGGUAUGCAACCCGUUGCAACCACAUGCAACCUUACUUGCAACCAUAUUUGCAACCCCUGCGGGGUCAAUUAACUGAAAUUGCAUCUGGUUGCGUUUAGUUGCAGACCGUAUUUUUGCAAAUAUUUUCUAAAAAGUUAGUAUAUUUGCAAUUUUUUUAAAAAUAUAAGAAAAUCGCAAAAAUUAUAACAAAGCUUCAAGAUUUUUAACAGGUGAGCUUCCACUAAAAAUUUGCAAAGUCACUUCCCUUUCGCGUCUCAUUAUGUCAGAUAUUGGUCAAGUGGUGCACUUCCACAGUGUUUGGGGAACCUUUCUUUGCUUGGUUUCAAUAAUCUUGCUAAUAAUCAAUUUCAAGGACCAAUACCAACGACUGUCCAAGACUUGUCUGUGCAUAUCUAAACAUCCAUAACAAUCACUUUGAAGGUUUGUUGCUCCAAUCUUUGGCAAACUGUAAACACUUACAAAUUCUUGAUAUUGGAAACAACAAAAUAGGUGGUACAUUUCCGUCAUGGCUAUUUACUGUUGGAGAGCUAGAUGUCCUAGUUAGGACGGUAUUUCGACUAGAGCAAGCCGAGUUUUGAGCGGAGCCCAAUUCGAGCCAAGUUUAAUCGAGUCGAGCCGAGUCAGUUCGUUUGGCUAAUCGAGCCUAAAACUCUGUCCGAACUCGACUCGUUUAAUUUCACGAGUUGAGUCAAGCCAGCUCAUUUAGCUAAACGAGUUGGUUUUAACGAGUUAAACGAGUGAGCUCGUAUAAUUUUAACUUAAUCGAGCCUGGAUCUCUAUCCGAACUAUUGGCUCGUGUAAUUUCGCGAGUCGAAUCGAGCCGGCUCGUUUUAUUAAACAAACCGAAAUUUUUGCCCAAAUUUUGCUCGUUUAACAAGCCGAUCUGAACCUAGUUAAAUGAGUUCGAGCUAGUCGAGCUCGCAGCUUGCGAGCUCGCCGGACAGCUCUAGUACUAGUCUUGCGAUCAAAUAGGUUUCACGGUAUAGAAAGUGGAAGGAACACAAGGCAUCUGUACUUUCUUGUACUGUAUGCCACUUUGACAGUAAAAUUUAUACUCCCUCCGUCCGAAUGAAUUGUAUACAGUUUACUUUUUGGGACGUCCCAUCAAUUGUAUACAUUCCUAAAGUAGUAAACUUUUAUAAUAUAAAACAUCAUUAAACCAACUACUUUCUUCCCCUAUCUCCAUUCUAUAAUAAUAUAAACACUAUUACACCCACUACUUUCCUCCACUAUCUCAAAUUUAUUAUUAAAUAUAAAUGGGUCCCACCACUAUACUCACUUUUCAUCCAACUUUACUCAUUUCUAAUAAAAUUUCUUGGUCUCCGUGUCCCAGCCAUUUGUAUACAAAUGACUGGGACGGAGGGAGUAUCAACAAACUGCACGAUUAAAUCCUCGUACAAUUGACAGGUGAACUCCUGCAUAUGUUCUGAACUAUUACGUACUAUAUUAUGCAAGCUGUUUGCAACUUUCAUCAAAAUUUUCAAACAUUUCUUAAUAUGUUUUUUCAAAAAAUUCUCGGGCCCUCUUAAGGCCUAUUAUUAUUGCAACUCUCACGUUAUGGACCACUAUGUAUUUUACAAGCACGACGAAUCAUGUGGUCAUUAUGGACUCCCCAAGCCUUCGAGGACUCACUCCAGGUCUUAGGAGGACCACUGCCUAGCUCACCCUUUCGGAGUGAUGUAAAUUAUUUUCUAGACACUAAAAAUAAGUAUUCAGAUUAAUCAUUACAAAAUUAAGGAUAUAAAAUCAGAAUAAAUCCUAAACUUUGAUGAUACAAAAAAAUUAUAAUUGUAAAUUAUACAAUCAAAUUAAAAUCGAAUUAACUUCCCUCACACUUAAAAUUUAUAGCGAUCAAAUCAAAAUCGAAUUAACUUUCCUAUUACUAAAAUAUAAUUACAAUAUUAUUAGAUAAAGAGAAUAUAUAAUAAUCAAGAGAAAAUAGAUUUUUUUUUGCCACUCAACUUAUCGUGUUUUAAGAAACUUACCACCCAACUAAAUUUUUUUUCCUUUUGCUCACUAAUGUUAGGUUUGGAUUUGUUUUUAGCCACCAACUAAGGUUCGGAUUUGAUUACCAGCAUUAUGAUAAUUUUUUUUGUCACUAAACUUAUUGCGUCUUUAGAAACUAACCACUCAACUAAAUUUUUUUUUAUUUUACUCACUAAUGUUAGGUUCAGUUUUUUUUUGUCACUGAAGUUAGGUUCGGAUUUGAUUAUUAGCAUUACAUUAAUUCUGUGUAGCAUUUUUAAAAUAUGGUAGUACUCUGUGAUAUUUAGAUGAUUUGAUAUAUGUCUGUAUUUUUAUAUAUAGUAUAUUUUAUGUCUCCAAGAUCAUUUACCUUGGGUCAUAAGAAUUUUACACGCAUUAUAUGACUUUUAAAAGAUGUAGUGUCAUAAAUAAUUUUAUUUUUUUUUCCGAAUUAAAAUUCAGCAUUUGAAUUUUACACACACAAAAAUCGCAAGAAUAAGUUAUGAAAUUAUGCUUUAUAAGAGUCUUAAAAUACGUGCUAAACGGUAGAAAAAACGGUGAAAUAAUGAGAGGUACAUAGGAGUAAUAAUAACAUAAAAUGAUGCACAAGUUAGUAUAUUGGACUAAUAUUCACGCAUUUAUAUACGAGAAUAUAUGGUCCACAAGUUAGUGCACAAUGUCCAAGAAUCUUUAUCAAAGUAACACGGCAAGCAUGCAGCAUAUAAAUAAGAGUGGGCAGUAUGGUAUUGCAUUCAUAACCCACUUGAGGAGAAAUAUGGCACACUUCCUAAAGCCUUCUCACCUUCUUCUCUUUGUUUUCUCUCUCUCGUUACUUCAAUCCAUUCUACCAACAAGACCAGAGGGAGAAGCUCUUGUGAAAUGGAAGAAUAGCCUAGCCCCUUCUUCUUUUCUCGAUUCUUGGUCACUCACCAAUCUCGAUGAUCUUUGUAACUGGACUGGCAUUACUUGUAACUCUGCAGGUUCAGUCUCUGAGAUUAACCUUUAUGAGAAACAACUUGAUGGAAUGCUGUCCGAGUUUGGCUUCACUUCAUUUCCGAAUCUCAACAAUCUCACCCUCGCAUACAACUUCUUCUCGGGUCCAAUUCCACCAGCCAUUGAGAAUUUAACACAGCUUCAAUAUCUUGAUUUAAGCAUCAAUAGUCUCGAUGGUCCCAUUCCGUUCCAGGUUAGCCAUCUUCAGAGGUUGCUCGUCUUAAACCUGUCACAGAAUGCAUUGCAAGCUCCAAAUUGGUCCAAAUUCUCCCCCAUGCCCUUUUUGUGCAUCCUCAACCUCAGUAGCAAUCCUCUUGCGUCGACAUUCCCAAAUUUCAUAUCCAAUUCUCAUGGCCUGACUCACCUCAGCCUUGAUCAAAACGAGUUUACAGGUGAUUUAGCGCGUGAAUCAAUAUUUGCCAAUCUGCAUAAUCUUGAAGUCCUCAGUCUUGUUGGCAAUUCUUUUGAGGGGGCCAUUUCCGCCAAAUAUAUUCAAGCUUUCCAAAUUAAAACAUCUUAGCCUGUCAGAUAACAAACUUUCAGGUUCAAUUCCCAAUGACAUAAGGUUGCUUUGUGAUCUUGAAUACCUAUAUUUAGGCAACAAUUCCUUUGAAGGACCGCUUCCACCAAAUAUAUUCAAGCUUUCAAAAUUAAAACAUCUUAUUCUUUGGGGUAAUAAGUUUUCAGGUUCUGUUUCCAACGAUAUAGGUUUGCUUUCUGAGCUUGAAAGCCUCUAUCUUGACUCCAAUUUUUUUGAGGGGCCGCUUCCGCCAAAUUUAUUCAAGCUCUCCAAACUAAAGAUUCUUUUCCUUUAUGAGAAUAACUUUUCAGGUUUUAUUUCUAAGGAUAUAGGUUUGCUUUUUGAACUUGAAACCCUCUAUCUUGACUCUAAUUUUUUUGAGGGGCCGCUUCCCCCACAUGUAUUUAGGCUCUCCAAAUUAAGAGAUCUGGGUCUCUCAGACAAUAGAAAUUUAUUUGAAGGAAGUAUUCCUAUUGGACUGGGACUCUUGACUAACCUCAGAUACUUGCGUCUAUCUUCCAAUAAUCUCGGUGGCUAUAUUCCAUCUGACAUUGGAAACCUGAAGCAACUAGAACUUCUUGAUCUCGGUUCUAAUCAAUUGACUGGACCGCUUUCAAAGAUCGUUUCUAAUCUCACAAAUCUUAUAUAUCUUGAUGUGAGUUAUAAUAGUCUUAGUGGAAAUAUUCAGAGUGACUGGUGGAAAAACUCUGUAUCCUUACGUUACAUUGAUUUUGAAAAUAAUUAUUUGUCUGGGAACAUUCCUAAGGAAUAUAACGAUCAUCCAACUUUGGAAUACAUCAAUUUAGGUGGGAACCAUUUUACAGGUAUAUUUUCUCUAUAUAUCUUUUCCUUUUGUCAUAUGUAAAUAAGCUAGUAAUCUGGUUAUUGUAGUUUUACCAAAGUUUCAACAAUCUUGACAGGUGAGCUUCCAACAACAAUUUGCAAUGCCACUUCCCUUUCGGUUCUUGUUUUGUCAAAUAAUGGAUUAAGUGGUGCACUUCCAAAAUGUUUCGGGAAUCUUGCUGAUGGAUUGCUUUACAUUAAUCUUGCUAAUAAUCAGUUUCGAGGAACAAUACCAACUACUUUCUCCAGGAGUUGUCGGUUGACAUAUCUAAACAUGGAUAAUAAUGAGUUUGAAGGAUUGUUGCCCCCAUCUUUGGCGAACUGUAAGCACUUGAAAAUUCUUGAUAUAGGCAAUAAUAAAAUAGGUGGUACAUUUCCGUCAUGGCUUUAUGCACUUGGAGAGCUAGAAGUUCUUGUCUUGCGAUCAAAUAAACUCUAUGGUACGAUAAGUGGAAGGAGCAUAGAAGAUCCCUUCCCAAAGUUGCGGAUUGUGGAUCUGUCCCACAAUCAAUUGACAGGCUAUUUGCCAAUUCAAUACUUUAAGAAUAUGAAAUCAACUGAUGAUUUGUAUAGUUUCCGGAAUUCCACAGGAACCGCAUCUAUCUCUUAUGAAGCAUCGGUCUCAUUAACCGUGAAGGGAACAGAGUAUGAAGUAGCAAAUAACCUUCAUAUUUACACAGCCAUUGAUCUAUCGUGCAACAAAUUUCAGGGACAAAUUCCAAAGGUUACUGGAGAGCUUAAAUGGCUGGCAUUGCUCAACUUAUCUCAUAAUAGUCUAACAGGACCUAUCCCGUCAUUGCUGAGAAAUAUGAAAGAACUCCAGUCUUUAGAUUUGUCUUCAAAUCAACUAACAGGGGCUAUUCCACCUCAGUUAACUGCACUGACAUUUCUAGAGGUCUUGAACUUCUCGGGAAACCAUCUUAGUGGAGAGAUUCCUCAGAAAGGACAGUUCAGCACAUUCAACAAUGAUUCCUAUCUAGGAAACUCUGCGUUAUGUGGAUCACCUUUGACGAAGAAAUGUGUAAACACUGUAUCACCUCCUCAGGAAGUCGAAAAUGGUGAUGAAGAUGAUGCUGGUGAUGAAUUGACAUGGGAAGCAAUCGUGAUGGGAUAUGGAUGUGGACUGAUAUGUGGAUUGUCAUCUGCGUACAUUGUUCUCAAACUAGGAAAGCCUUGGUGGUUUGUGAGAUAUAUCGAAGUACUGCAACUGAAGUUGAUGAAAAGAUAUGCAUGAAGAAAGGUACUGGUAGAUCAAGAUGAACUUGAAAGUUGUUGUCCUGGUAGACAUUUCUGAACCAGUAGUAUACUAGCUGUGUAAGUAUUUGGUAUUAUGUAAUAAUCCGUUUGGUCGGGACUCAAAAUGAUUUCUCUUGCUUCAGGGGUAUUAAUAUUAACCUUGCUAUCUUGAUCAAUGUUAAUGCAAAUUAAAAAGAAUAUAAAAGCAAAAAAUUUGCAUCAAACACCUGUUGUACCACAGGCUUCCGACUCAAUAUUUGUUAGCCUCCCGUGCCCUGUGUGAAACCAUAAGCUUCUCUGGUGAAUAUCCAAAUCAUUCAGCUGGUUCUACUUUCAGCUCACCGCAGGAACAUCAUUCUGCAGGUACUCUCUUAUCUGUACUUUCUUAUAUUGUAUGCCAGAAAAUUUAAUAUCGACAAACUGCACAAUACACCUCGAUCUCAUAUUAUUGACAGGUGAGCUCCUCUCAUAAUGCUCACAGGCGAACUCCUGCAUAUACUUUGUGAUGUCAUUGAUGAUCGAUAGACUUGAAAAAAAAUUAUGACAAAGAUUCAUAAAAUAUCUACUUCCAUCCUAAUUCAGUAUUCAAUAUUAUGCAUUCCGUAUCAUCAUCCAAUCAAUUCUAAUAGUUCUUCUUUAAAUCAGGACAAAUAUUGUUAAAUACAUGGAUGAUGGUUGUCUUUCCGCGAACCAAUCAUGAAAUUACCUCUGUUUAAAUCCGUCGAAAAUAAGAAAAUUAAUAUCCCAAUCGAAUACACCCCGUGAGUUGUCAAACUCCUCGAAACAUAUUAAUCACUUUAGAAAAUUUCAACAAUCUUGACAGGUGAGCUUCCAACAACAAUUUGCAAUGUCACCUCCCUUUCGGUUCUUGUUUUGUCAAAUAAUAAAUUAAGUGGUGCACUUCCAAACUGUUUCGGGAAUCUUGCUGAUGGAUUGCUUUACAUUAAUCUUGCUAAUAAUCAGUUUCAAGGAACAAUACCAACUACUUUCUCCAGGAGUUGUCCGUUGACAUAUCUAAACAUGGAUAAUAAUGAGUUUGAAGGAUUGAUGCCCCCAUCUUUGGCGAACUGUAAGCACUUGAAAAUUCUUGAUAUAGGCAAUAAUAAAAUAGGUGGUACAUUUCCGUCAUGGAUUUAUGCACUUGGAGAGCUAGAAGUUCUUGUCUUGCGAUCAAAUAAACUCUAUGGUACAAUAAGUGGAAGGAGCAUAGAAGAUCCCUUCCCCAAGUUGCGGAUUGUGGAUCUGUCCAACAAUCAAUUCACAGGCCAUUUGCCAAUUCAAUACUUUAAGAAUAUGAAAUCAAAUGAUAAUUUGUAUCGUUAUCUGAAUUCCACAGGAGAAAUAUAUAUCUCUUAUGAAGCAGCAGUCUCAUUAACUGCGAAGGGAACAGAGUAUGAAGUAGCAAAUAACCUUCAUAUUUACACAGCCAUUGAUCUGUCGUGCAACAAAUUUCAGGGAGAAAUUCCAAAGGUUACCGGAGAGCUUAGAUAGCUUGCAUUGCUCAAUUUAUCGCAUAAUAGUCUAACGGGACCUAUCCCAUCAUUGCUGAGAAAUAUGAAAGAACUCCAAUCUUUAGAUUUGUCCUCAAAUCAACUGACAGGGGCCAUUCCACCUCAGUUAACUGCAUUGACAUUUCUAAAGGUCUUAAAUCUCUCGAAAAACCAUCUCAGUGGAGAGAUUCCUCAGGAAGGACAGUUCAGCACAUUCAACAAUGAUUCUUAUCUAGGAAACUCCGCGUUAUGUGGAUUACGUCUGACAAAGAAAUGUGCAAACACAGCAUCACCACCACAAGAAGUCGGAAAUGGUGAUGAAGAUGAUGCUGGUGAUGAAUUGACAUGGGAAGCAAUUGUGAUGGGAUAUGGAUGUGGACUGAUAUGUGGAUUAUCAUCUGCGUACCUUGUUUUCAAACUAGGAAAGCCUUGGUGGUUUGUGAGAUAUAUCGAAGUACUGCAACUGAAGUUGAUGAAAAGAUAUGCAUGAAGAAUGGUACUGGCCGAUCAAGACGAACUUGAAAGUUGGUCCUUGUGGACAUUUCAGCUGAACCAGUAGGUACUAUUCUCUUUGUGACUGCAUAAGUAUUUUGUAUUGUGUAAUGUUCUGUUUGGUCUUAAAUCAUAAUGAUUUUUCUUGCUUCAGGGGUAUUAAUAUAAAACUUGGUAUUGUGUACUAGCUGUAAUAUUCCGUUUAAUCAAUGUUAAUACCUGUAAUUUUAUGCUCCUGACUGCAUCAUGCAGCUCUCAUAUUAUCUUCAUAUGUGUAUUUAUUUGGAUAUUGAAGUUGCAUGGACAUAUGGAUAUGUGUUAACGGGGAUUGCUCCCAAGUCUUGGACGGACUCUUUCCAAGUCUUCCGAGAUCCUAUUGGUUCAAAUUAGUCCAAUUUGAACUGCCAUCAAAUGCAACUCUGUAGAUUCUGUCUCUGAGAUUAACCUUUCAGGACAUCAGCUCAAUGGUACACUUGCUGAAUUCAGUUUCGUUUAAUUUCCGAAUCUACAAAUUAAGCUACAAUAACUUCACUUGUCCAAUACCCCCAGACAUUGGAAAUUUAACAGAGCUGCAACACCUUGAUUUUAGCUCUAAUAAACUCACUGCUGCAAUUCCGGACCAGGUAAGCCAUCUUCAAACAUUGCGGACCUUAAACCUGUAGGAUAAUCAACUUGGAAGCUCCAAACUGGUCCGCUUUUUCCCCUAUGCCUUCUCUGACAAACCUCUGUCUCAAUAAUAAUAAUCUUUCGUCGAAAUUCCAAGACUUCAUAUUAAAUUGUGGUAACCUGACUUACUUUGAUCUUUCAUUAAAUAUGUUAACAGGUAAUUUGGUUCCUUCAUCAAUUUUUAGAAAUUUGUAUAAUCUUGAAUUCCUUUAUCUUUCUAGCAAUUAUUUUGAGGGGCCUUUCCCGCCANNNNNNNNNNNNNNNNNNNNNNNNNNNNNNNNNNNNNNNNNNNNNNNNNNNNNNNNNNNNNNNNNNNNNNNNNNNNNNNNNNNNNNNNNNNNNNNNNNNNNNNNNNNNNNNNNNNNNNNNNNNNNNNNNNNNNNNNNNNNNNNNNNNNNNNNNNNNNNNNNNNNNNNNNUUUCCCUAUCAUAUAAUAGAUUUUCAGGUUCUAUUUCCAUAUGAUAUAGGAAUGCUUCGUGUUUUGGAAUCCCUUUUUUUAGUAGUAGUUCUUUUAAUGGCCCACCUCCACCAAAUUUAUUUAAAUUUUCUAAAUUAAAAGUUUUUUCCCUAUCAUUAAUAACUUUUCGGGUUCUAUUCGAAAUGAAACAGGGAUGCUUCAUGAUUUAGAGUCCCUCUAUCUUAAUGAACAUUCUUUUAAGGGGCCGUUUCCACCAAAUAUAUUCAACCUUUCCAAAUUAAAAGUUCUUAAUUACCUCUCAAAUAAUUCCUUUUCAGGUUCAGUUCCUAGUGAUAUAAGUGUGCUUCGUGAUCUUGAGAUACUUAAUUUGUCCUCUAAUUCUUUUGAAGGAAUUAUCCCAUUGGAGCUUGGGUUCUUGAAUAACGUGAGCUAUUAUUAUAUCUUGAUUCCACUCAAUUGACUGGACCGCUUUUGAAGAACAUUUAUAAUCUCAGUAAUUUUUUGUGUUGGCUUGAAUGGAUCAUUCCAUUCCCUCCAAAACUCAUUCCGUUCAUGUCAACCAAACAGAGCAUCAAUUACUAGUUACUGGGAAAUGCAUUAGCCUAAAUGUUCCUGGUUCAUUGUUACCGGUAUUUCUUAACUGCUGUGAUUGCAAAUUCAGUUGCAGAUUGUUCAUAUAUAUCUAGAGAGACCUGACAUAACUUUAGCCUCUGAUAUACAGCUUCCUUUCACAGUUGUGCCUAUUCACCUAGACGCGUUUUUAACUGCAUAAUGUUGGGUCAACUUCCGACCAUUUAUUUUCUCAUUUGAAAUUAGUGUAUUAAAGUUCGACUUUAAGAAAAUAUAUAGUUUUGUUAAACAAAAAUUCCAAAAGGUUUGGUACGUUUUGAGCUGGGACUUUGAAAUUGUUUGUCGUUAAAGAUGAAGAUUCACUUUUUAAGUUAUAUUAAUCUGUAGUGGUAGACUGGUAGUUUUUCUUUAUUGCUACUUUCCUUGUGCGUUCUUUAUAUUGAUUUAUUAUUUAAUUCGUAAAGUGUUGCGAACUACAUUCCUGCAAAAGUAAAAUCAGUGGAAUUUGUUUGAUAGCAUGAUGAAUAUUUAAAGGGGUUAAUUAUCAAAUUGGUCACUGAAGUGACUUUAAUGUAUCAAGUUGGUCACUGAACUCAAAACGGUAUUAAGAUAGUCACUGAAGUGGACAUAAAUAUCAAACAGGUACCUUGAAAUAUAAGUUCAAGCAGUAAAGAUAUUAUUUAUAAAAUUUUACACAUUAUUUUUAAAUGUUACCACAACCAACUAAAAGGUUAUGACUUCUAGUAUUUAAAUUAAUAUAUUUAUUUUAUCAAGUUUAUUUAUUAUUUAUAUUUUAUUAUAUAGUUAUUUUCUUUGUUUUAAUUAAAAAUAAAUAAUAAAUAAACUUGAUAAUAUCUAAAUAUAUUAUCAUAAAUAUUAGAAUUCAUAACCUUUUACUUGGUCUAGGUAACAUUCAAAAAUAAUGUGUAAAACUUUAUAAAUAAUAUUAUCUUUAUAUUCUUUCCUUUUCUAUGUACCUAUGCUAAUUAUCUGAUUAUUAAAAUUAUAACAAAGCUUCAAGAUUUUUAACAGGUGAGCUUCCACUAAAAAUUUGCAAAGUCACUUCCCUUUCGCGUCUCAUUAUGUCAGAUAUUGGAAACAACAAAUAGGUGGUACAUUUCCGUCAUGGCUAUUUACUGUUGGAGAGCUAGAUGUCCUAGUUAGGGCGGUAAUUCGACUAAAGCAAACCGAGUUUUGAGCGGAGUCAAAUUCGAGCCAAGUUUAAUCGAGUCGAGCCGAGUCGGCUCAUUUAGCUAAUCGAGCCUAAAACUCUGGUCGAACUCGACUCGUUUAAUUUCGCGAGUCAAGUCGACCCAGCUCGUUUAGUUAAAUGAGCUGGUUUUAACGAGUCAAGCGAGUGAGCUCGUAUAAUUUUAACUUAAUCGAGUCUAAAUCUCUACCCGAACUAUUGGCUCGUGUAAUUUCACGAGUAGAAUCGAGCUGGCUCGUUUUAUUAAAGAAGCCGAAAUUUUUGCCCGAAUUUGGCUUGUUUAACAAGCCGAUCUUUCAUCAAAAUUUUCAAACAUUUCUGAAUAUGUAUUUUCAGAGAAUUUCUCCGGCACUCUUAAGGCCUAUAAUUAUUGCAACUCUCACGUUAUGGACCACUAUGUAUUUUACGAGCACGACGAAUCAUGUGGUCAUUAUGGACUCCCCAAGCCUUCGAGGACUCAUUCCAGGUCUUAGGAGGACCACUGCCUAGCUCACCCUCUCGGAGUGAUGUAAAUUAUUUUCCAGACACUAAAAAUAAGUAUUCAGAUUAAUCAUUACAAAAUUAAGGAUAUAAAAUCAGAAUAAAUCCUAAACUUUGAUGAUACAAAAAAAUUAUAAUUGUAAAUUAUACAAUCAAAUUAAAAUCGAAUUAACUUCUCUCACACUUAAAAUUUAUAGCGAUCAAAUCAAAAUCGAAUUAACUUUCCUAUUACUAAAAUUUAAUUACAAUAUUAUUAGAUAAAGAGAAUAUAUAAUAAUCAAGGGAAAAUAGAUUUUUUUUUGCCACUCAACUUAUUGUGUUUUAAGAAAUUUACCACCCAACUAAAUUUUUUUUCCUUUUGCUCACUAAUAUUAGGUUUGGAUUUGUUUUUAGCCACCAACUAAGGUUCGGAUUUGAUUACUAGCAUUAUGAUAAUUUUUUGUCACUAAACUUAUUGCGUCUUUAGAAACUAACCACUCAACUAAUUUUUUUUUUAUUUUACUCACUAAUGUUAGGUUCAGUUUUUUUUUUGUCACUGAAGUUAGGUUCGGAUUUGAUUAUUAGCAUUACAUUAAUUCUGUGUAGCAUUUUUAAAAUAUGGUAGUAGUCUGUGAUAUUUAGAUGAUUUGAUAUAUGUCUGUAUUUAUAUAUAUAGUAUUUUUUAUGUCCCCAAGGUCGUUUACCUUGGGUCAUAAGAAUUUUACACACAUUUUAUGACUUUUAAAAGAUGUAGUUUCAUAAAUAAUUUUAUUUUUUUCUUCCGAAUUAAAAUUCAGCGUUUGAAUUUUACACACAAAAAAAUCGCAAAAAUAAGUUAUGAAACUAUGUUUUAUAAGAGUCUUAAAAUACGUGUUAAACGGUAGAAAAAACUGUAAACUAAUGAAAGGUACAUAGGGAGUAAUAAUAACAUAAAAUGAUGCACAAUCAUCGAAUUAAGUUUUCCUCUCUCUCUAUAUAUUUAUUUUGAAAAUUAUAAUAAGAUAAAGUUAUUAAAAUUUAUGAUAUAAAUUUAAAAGAGAUCUUAGACUGAGUGGCAAAAAUUUAGUUGGAUGGUAAGUUUCUAAAAAUACAAUAAAUUGAGCGGGAACAAAAUCUAUUUUCCCAAUAAUCAAAGUGAUGAAAAAUUAAAGUCAUCUAAUAAGUCCAGAAAAAAUAUGACCAUUAGUAUUUUGGAAUAAUAUUCACGCAUUUAUAUACGAGAAUAUAUGGUCCACAAGUUAGUGCACAAUGUCCAAGAAUCUUUAUCAAAGUAACACGGCAAGCAUGCAGCAUAUAAAUAAGAGUGGGCAGUAUGGUAUUGCAUUCAUAACCCACUUGAGGAGAAAUAUGGCACACUUCCUAAAGCCUUCUCACCUUCUUCUCUUUGUUUUCUCUCUCUCGUUACUUCAAUCCAUUCUACCAACAAGACCAGAGGGAGAAGCUCUUGUGAAAUGGAAGAAUAGCCUAGCCCCUUCUUCUUUUCUCGAUUCUUGGUCACUCACCAAUCUCGAUGAUCUUUGUAACUGGACUGGCAUUACUUGUAACUCUGCAGGUUCAGUCUCUGAGAUUAACCUUUAUGAGAAACAACUUGAUGGAAUGCUGUCCGAGUUUGGCUUCACUUCAUUUCCGAAUCUCAACAAUCUCACCCUCGCAUACAACUUCUUCUCGGGUCCAAUUCCACCAGCCAUUGAGAAUUUAACACAGCUUCAAUAUCUUGAUUUAAGCAUCAAUAGUCUCGAUGGUCCCAUUCCGUUCCAGGUUAGCCAUCUUCAGAGGUUGCUCGUCUUAAACCUGUCACAGAAUGCAUUGCAAGCUCCAAAUUGGUCCAAAUUCUCCCCCAUGCCCUUUUUGUGCAUCCUCAACCUCAGUAGCAAUCCUCUUGCGUCGACAUUCCCAAAUUUCAUAUCCAAUUCUCAUGGCCUGACUCACCUCAGCCUUGAUCAAAACGAGUUUACAGGUGAUUUAGCGCGUGAAUCAAUAUUUGCCAAUCUGCAUAAUCUUGAAGUCCUCAGUCUUGUUGGCAAUUCUUUUGAGGGGGCCAUUUCCGCCAAAUAUAUUCAAGCUUUCCAAAUUAAAACGUCUUACCCUGUCAAGUAACAAAUUUUUAGGAUCAAUUCCCAAUGACAUAAGGUUGCUUUGUGAUCUUGAAUUCCUAUAUUUAGGAAACAAUUCUUUUGAAGGACCGCCUCCACCAAAUAUAUUCAAGCUUUCAAAAUUAAAACAUCUUGUUCUCUGGAGUAAUAAGUUUUCAGGUUCUGUUUCCAAUGAUAUAGGUUUGCUUUCUGCGCUUGAACUUCUGAAUCUUCACUCUAAUUUUUUUGAGGGGCCGCUUCCGCCAAAUGUAUUCAAGCUCUCUAAACUAAGGUUUCUUAACCUCUGGGGUAACAACUUUUCAGGUUCUGUUUCCAAUGAUAUAGGUUUGCUUCCUGAGCUAGAAAUCCUCAAUCUUCACUCUAAUUUUUUUGAGGGGCCGCUUCCGCCAAAUAUAUUCAAGCUCUCUAAACUAAGGUUUCUUAACCUCUGGGGUAACAACUUUUCAGGUUCUGUUUCCAAUGAUAUAGGUUUGCUUCCUGAGCUAGAAAUCCUCAAUCUUCACUCUAAUUUUUUUGAGGGGCCGCUUCCGCCAAAUGUAUUCAAGCUCUCUAAACUAAGGUUUCUUAACCUUUGGGGUAAUAACUUUUCAGGUUCUGUUUCCAAUGAUAUAGGUUUGCUUCCUGAGCUAGAAUUCCUCAAUCUUCACUCUAAUUUUUUUGAGGGGCCGCUUCCGCCAAAUGUAUUCAAGCUCUCUAAACUAAAGUUUCUUCAUCUUCGAGGUAAUAAGUUUUCAGGUUCUGUUUCCAAUGAUAUAGGUUUGCUUCCUGAGCUUGAAAUCCUCAAUCUUCGCUCUAAUUUUUUUGAGGGGCCGCUUCCGCCAAAUGUAUUCAAGCUCUCCAAACUAAGGUUUCUUUCCCUUAAGGAAAAUAAAUUUUCAGGUUCUGUUUCCAAUGAUAUAGGUUUCCUUUCUGAGCUUGAAUACCUAUAUCUUGACUAUAAUUUAUUUGAAGGAAGUAUUCCUAUUGGACUGGGACUCUUGACUAACCUCAGCUACUUAGAUCUAAGUUCCAAUAAUCUCAGUGGCUAUAUUCCAUCUGACAUUGGAAACCUGAAGCUACUAGUAUUUCUUGAUCUCAGUUCUAACCAAUUGACUGGACCGCUUUUAAAGAUCGUUUCUAAUCUCACAAAUCUUAUGAAUCUUGAUGUAAGUGAUAAUAGUCUUAGUGGAAAUAUUCAGAGUGACUUGUGGAAGAACUCUAUAUCCUUACGUUACAUUAAUUUUGCAAAUAAUUAUUUGUCUGGGAACAUUCCUAAGGAAUACAACGAUCAUCCAACUUUGGAAUACAUCAAUUUAAGUGGGAACCAUUUUACAGGUAUAUUUUUCUCUAUAUAUCUUUUCCUUUUCUCAUAUGUAACUAAGCUGGUAAUCUGAUUAUUGCAGUUUUACCAAAGUUUCAACAAUCUUGACAGGUGAGCUUCCAACAACAAUUUGCAAUGUCACUUCCCUUGCGGUUCUUGUUUUGUCAAAUAAUGGAUUAAGUGGAGCACUUCCAAAUUGUUUCGGGAAACUUGCUGAUAGAUUGCUUUCCAUUAAUCUUGCUAAUAAUCAGUUUCGAGGAACAAUACCAACUACUUUCUCCAGGAGUUGUCAGGUGAAAUAUCUAAACAUGGAUAAUAAUGAGUUUGAAAGAUUCUUGCCCCCGUCUUUGGCGAACUGUAAGCACUUGAAAAUUCUUGAUAUUGGCAAUAAUAAAAUAGGUGGUACAUUUCCGUCAUGGCUUUAUGUACUUGGAGAGAUAGAAGUCCUUGUCUUGCGAUCAAAUAAACUCUAUGGUACAAUAAGUGGAAGGAGCGUAAAAGAUCCCUUCCCCAAGUUGCGGAUUGUGGAUCUGUCCAACAAUCAAUUCACUGGUCAUUUGCCAAUUCAAUACUUUAAGAAUAUGAAAUCAACUGAUAAUUUGUAUCGUUAUCAGAAUUCCAAAGGAUAUCUAUCUUUCCAUCAUGAUGCAGCAGUCUCCUUAACUGUGAAGGGAACGGAGUAUGAGGUAGCAAAGAACCUUCAUAUUUACACAGCCAUUGAUCUGUCGUGCAACAAAUUUCAGGGACAAAUUCCAAACGUCACUGGAGAGCUUAGAUGGCUUGCAUUGCUCAAUUUAUCGCAUAAUAGUCUAACAGGACCUAUCCCAUCAUUGCUGAGAAAUAUGAAAGAACUCCAAUCUUUAGAUUUGUCUUCAAAUCAACUGACAGGGGCUAUUCCACCUCAGCUAACUGCAUUGACAUUUCUAGAGGUCUUGAACCUCUCGAAAAACCAUCUUAGUGGAGAGAUUCCUCAGAAAGGACAGUUCAGCACAUUUAACAAUGAUUCUUAUCUAGGAAACUCCGCGUUAUGUGGAUCACCUUUGACGAAGAAAUGUGCAAACACAGCAUCACCUCCACAAGAAGUUGUAAAUGGUGAUGAAGAUGAUGCUGGUGAUGAAAUGACAUGGGAAGCAAUCGUGAUGGGAUAUGGAUGUGGACUGAUAUGUGGAUUGUCAUCUGCGUACAUUGUUCUCAAACUAGGAAAGCCUUGGUGGUUUGUGAGAUAUAUCGAAGUACUGCAACUGAAGUUGAUGAAAAGAUAUGCAUGAAGAAUGGUACUGGCCGAUCAAGACGAACUUGAAAGUUGUUGUCCUUGUGGACAUUUCUGAACCAGUAGUGUACUAGCUACAUAAGUAUUUAGUAUUAUGUAAUAAUCCGUUUGGUCGGGACUCAUAAUGAUUUCUCUUGCUUCAGGGGUAUUAAUAUUAAACUUGCUAUCUUGAUGAAUGUUAAUGUAAAUUAAAAAGAAUAUAAAAUCAAAAAAUUUAAAUCAAACACCUGUUGUACCAAGAUCCAUUAAUUUGCUUUAGUCUCUUACAUAACAAUUUAAUAGCACACUUCCACACUGUUCACACGUGUAAUGUAUAAAAAUUCCAGUCUUCUUCGGAGGCCUACAGCUUCAACAACCUCUCAAAGAUGUAGCAGUUGCUUGACAGUGAUAGAUAUAUAUUAGAUAAACACUAUGCAAUAACCAAAGUGACAGAAAAAUCAAAGUCCGCUAAUAAAUUCAUAAAAAAUAUAAUAAUCAACAACAAGAAUCAUAGUCUUACAAGUUCAUAUAAAAUAUAGGAUCAUUAGUAUUCCACAUGUAUAUUUUCUUCUCUUUCUUUUCGAGUUUUCCUCUCCAGCACCAAAUCCAAAUUAAUAUACAAUGCCACACAUUCCAGUCUCAGCUUCAGCUCCCAGGCUAGCAUUGAUUUAGCCAAGCACGACAGUGGCCGCUCUUGGUCCUGCCUUCAAAUGUCUAACAAUAACAGUUGGAUACGUCGACAAAAAUAUUGUUCCUCAUCAUACUGAGGAGUUAUUGAAUUCGACAGUUUUACACAAAGAAGACAAUUCCAUGGACUAAUCUAUUAGUAACACGUAAGCUAUAAACACGUAGUCCACAUCUAUGCUACGAACAAUUCAUAUUGGUCUUCUAUCUGUGCAACAGUCUCCCGAAGAUAGGCCAAAAAUGUCAUCUGUGGUUCUUAUCUUUGUUAGCAAAGGAGAAUCUCCGAUGCCUAUACAACCUGAUUUUCUUACAGAAAGAAAUGCAAGUGAAACUAGGGUCGGAUACCAUGUUAAAUGAUCAAUUCUCCUAAAACUAGGUUCAGGAUGAUCAUGAUAUAUUCUAACAUCAAGAUUAGCAGGACUAAAAUGAAGAUUUAAAUGGAUUUUAAAAACAAGCUCCUACUGAAUAAAAAGAAUCAUUAAUUUUUCUGACUCAACAUAUGUUAGCCUCCCCUGGCCCUGGGUGAAACCAUAAGCUUCUCUGGUGCACAUCCAAAUCAUUCAGCUGGUUCUACUUUCAGCUCAGCACAGGAACAUCAUUCUGCAGGUACUCUUGUAUCUGUAGUUUCUUAUUAAUUUAUUAACAAAAUUUAGCUAUUAAAUAUUUUGAUAAAAUAUCUAUUUAUUAAAAUAUUUUUUUAUUUAAUUGGUCUGAUAAAAAUAUUAUUGAUAUAUAAAUUUUACCUUUUUUCUGAAACAAAUUAUAAUUUUUGCUUCAAGCUUUUGUAUGAUAAGUUGAGAAAUAUUAGUUUUCUUUAUCACCGUGAGAGUAGAUCCUCGUUCCACAAAAAUUUGUAACUGAAAAAUAAAAUAGAGCCCUAAAACUUUUCGAUAAAUAUGGACUAAACAAUUUUGAUGCUCAAGUCUCAAUAGGAUUUAUAAACGGUCAUGAUGAGUUUGAUUAUCAAUGACACCAAAAAAAUAUUAGAAUUAUAUUUAAGUUAUAAAUUUGUCAAUAAAUUGUGUGAUAAUCAUACUUUCCAAGUCUUCUUCAGAGGCCUCCUGCCUCAACAACCUUUCAAAGAUGUAGUAGUUGUUGCUCGAGAGGGACAAAUAUAUUAGGUAAAGACUAUGCAAUAAUCAACGUGACAGAAAAACCAAAGUCCUCUAAUAAAUUAAUAAAAAAUAUUAUAAUCAAUAUCAAGAAUCAUAUUAUCAUAGUCUUCUAAGUUCAUAUAAAAUAUAGAAUCAUUAGUAUAUAAAUAGAAGAGUGCAGAGUAAAGCCUUUCAUAAUCCAGUUGAGGAGAAAUAUGGCAUACUUUGUAAAGCCUUAUCACCUUCUUCUCUUUGUUUUCUUUCUCUCAUCACUUGAAUCCAUUCUUGCAACAACACGAGAAGGAGAAGCUCUUGUGAAAUGGAAGAAUAGCCUAGCCCCUUCUUCUUUUCUUGAUUCUUGGUCACUCACUCAUCUCGAUAAUCUUUGUAACUGGACUGGCAUUACUUGUAACUCUGCAGGUUCAGUCUCUGACAUUAACCUUUUCAACAAACAACUCACUGGAAAGCUUUUUGAGUUUGGUUUCACUUCAUUUCCAAAUCUCAACAAUCUCACCCUUGCAGAUAACUUCUUCUCUGGUCCAAUACCAUCAGCCAUUGGGAAUUUAACACAACUUCGGUAUCUUGAUUUGAGCAAUAAUUAUCUCAAUGGUUCCAUUCCGUACCAGGUUAGCCAUCUUUCAAGAUUACACAUCUUAAACCUGUCAGAGAAUGAACUGCAAGCUCCAAAUUGGUCCGAUUUCUCCCCCAUGCCUUGUUUGACCAUCCUCGACCUUUAUCAAAAUAAUCUUAUGUCGGAAUUUCCAGAAUUUAUAUCUAACUCGCGUAACCUGACAUACCUUGACCUUUCAUAUAACAAGUUCACAGGCGAUCUUGUGCGCGAAUCAGUAUUAACCAAUCUAGGUGAUCUUGAAACCCUCUAUCUUAAUGAAAAUUCUUUUAGGGGGCCAUUUCCACCAGACAUAUUCAAACUUUCCAAGUUGAGAGUUCUUGCCCUGUUCAAUAAUUUUUUUGAGGGGCCGCUUCCGUCAAAUAUAUUCAAGCUCUCUAAACUAAGAUUCCUUUUACUUUGGAGUAAUAAUUUUUCAGGUACUCUUUCGAAUGAAAUAGGUUUGCUUUCUGAGCUUGAAGACCUAGAUCUUCACUCCAAUUUUUUUGUGGGGCCGCUUCCGCCAAAUAUAUUCAAGCUGUCUAAACUAAGAACCCUUUUCCUCUGGGGUAAUAACUUCUCAGGUUCUAUUUCCAACGACAUAGGUUUGCUUUCUGAGCUUGAACACCUAUAUCUCGACUCCAAUUCUUUUGAGGGACCUUUUCCAACAAAUAUUUUCAAGCUUUCCAAAUUAAUACAACUUGGUCUCGCAAACAAUACAAAUUUAUUUGAAGGAAGUAUUCCUCCAGGACUGGGGCUCUUGACUAACCUAGAGGACUUGUCUCUUGCUUACAAUAAUCUUGGUGGCUAUAUUCCGUCUUCCUUUGGAAACCUAACACUACUAGUAUAUCUUAAUCUCGCUCGUAAUCAAUUGGUUGGAACACUAUCAAAGACCAUUUCUAAUCUCACAAAUCUGUGGUUUCUUGAUGUACAUCAUAAUAGUCUCUCUGGGAAUAUUCAGAGUGACUUCUGGAAAAACUCUACAUCACUGCUUUACAUUAAUUUGGCAGACAAUAAUUUUUCUGGGAACAUUCCUAAGGAAUAUAAUGUUCUUCCAAUCCUGGAUCACAUCAAUUUUAGGGGGAACAACUUUACAGGUAUUUUUAAUUCCAUAUUUUUUCCUUCUGUUGUAUUUAAUUAUGCUAACAACUACUGCCUCUGUUUUCAAAUACAUAUCGUUUGACUUUUUGGCACAAAACUCUAUAAUAAUUCUAACUAUAAGGUCAAUGAACUUAGAAAUAUAUGUCAAAAAGUCAAACGUCAUAUAUUUGAAAUUAGAGGGAGUAUGGCUUAAUGACCUUUUAGCCCUUAAAGUUUGGGUAGAAGUUCCGAUGCGGCGUCGAAGUUUAAAAACGUACCUUUCGACCCUCAAAGUAUCUUUGUCGUACCUUUUAACCCUUAUGGCGUAUACCGGUAUAUAACGGGUGGGCAAAGUUGACAUUUCACACGUGAGGGUUAAAUGGGGCAUUAAACAUUAAGGGUUAAAAGGAACAUUUAAUAUAUUUUAAUGUAUUAUUUAGGGAUUAAAAGGAACGAGAUGUAUACUUUAAGGGUUAAAAGGUACGCCCAAACUUCACCCCGAAUAUGAAUUGUCAAGUUUAUCCCCCGAUUUGUAUCGGUAUUUUUAAAAAGGGCUAAAAAGUACGACAAAGAUACUUUGAGGGUCGAAAUGUACGUUUUUAAACUUUGAGGCCGCAUCGGAACUUCCACCCAUUCUUCGAGGGCUAAAAGGUCAUUAAGCCGAGUAUAUAUUACAGUUUUACCAAAGUUUCAACAAUCAUGACAGGUGAGCUUCCACCAACAAUUUGCGAUGCAACUUCCCUUUCGAUUCUUGAUCUGUCAAAUAAUGGAUUAAGUGGUGCACUUCCACAUUGUUUGGGGAAUCUUGCUGAUAAAUUGAUUUCGAUUAAUCUUGCUAAUAAUCAGUUUCGAGGACCAAUACCAACAAAUUUCUCCAAGAGUUGUCGUCUGACGUAUCUUAACAUCUAUAACAAUCACUUUAAAGGAUUGGUUCCCCAGUCUUUGGCAAACUGUAAGCACUUGCAAAUUCUUGAUUUUGGAAAAAAUGAAAUAGGUGGAACAUUUCCGUCAUGGCUUUUUACUCUUGGAGAGCUAGAAGUCCUGGUCCUGCGAUCAAACAGAUUUUUCGGGAGAAUAACUAGAAGGAGCAUACCACACCCCUUUCCCAAGUUGCGGAUUUUGGAUCUAUCCAACAAUCAGUUCACCGGCUAUCUGCCAAUUUCAUACUUCAAGAAUAUGAAACCAAAUGAUAAUAAUUAUGAUUAUUUCAACAACACAAACGAAGCCUAUUACGUUUAUCAAGUUUCUAUCACAUUAAAUGUGAAAGGAAGCGAGCAUGAAGUGACAAAUAUUCUUUAUAUUUACACGGCCAUUGAUCUGUCGUGCAACAAAUUUGAAGGAAAAGUUCCAGACAUUACCGGAGAGCUUAGAUGGCUUGCAUUGCUAAAUUUAUCUCAUAAUAGUCUUUCGGGGCCUAUUCCAUCACAACUGGGAAAUAUGAAAGAGCUCCAGUCUCUAGAUUUGUCGUCAAAUCAAUUGACAGGUGUUAUUCCGGAUCAACUUACUAGUAUGACAUUUCUUGCUAGUUUGAACCUGUCAGAAAACCAUCUUUCUGGGAAAAUCCCUCGGAAAGGACAGUUCAGCACUUUUGGCGAAGAAUCUUACUUAGGUAACUCGGCCUUGUGUGGAGUUCCUUUGACAAAGAAAUGUAUAGACGAAGUGCCCCCUUCACAAGUUGGAAAUGGCGAUGAUGAAAAUGUUGAUGAAGAUGAUACCGUUGAUGAAUUCAAUUGGAAAGUGAUCCUGAUGGGAUAUGCAUGUGGAUCAAUAGGCGGAUUGUCUGCAGGAUACAUUGUCUUCACAGUUGGAAAGCCUUGGUGGUUUUUGAGGUACAUUGAGACACUGCAGCAGAAGUUGAUGUGAUGCGCAACUAGAAACAACCUUAUCUUAGAAUGAAUCUGAUCAAUGUUAGCAUAUACUGAACUUUUUUUUUUGUAAAUAUGAUUUCAAGUUCUCAUACUAAUACAAGAACCACUUGUUAAAUCUUGACCAUGCUAAGAGGAUGCUGAAUGCUGAUUUAACACUUUGCGAUGCAAAGCAGGGGCGCAUUAGUAUUUUAUAUGUGUUGAUAAUUUGCGCAAUGUUAACAGGGAUAGGUCUUCUUCUCUGCCAGAUCUUCGACAGACUCUUUCAAGGUCUUCUGAGGACCCAUCGGCUCGAAUUAGUCCAUCGUGAAUUAUGAUCUGAGAGCUAUCUGCACACUAUUUCCAGGUCUUCUGUCUCGUUAACUAUGAAAGGAAGAAAUCAUGAAGUGAAUAAAAUUCUUCAUAUUUACACAAUUGAUCUAUCAUGCAACAAAUUUUGAGGAGAAAUUUCAGAGGUUUCCGAAGAGCUUAAAUGGCUUGCAUUGCUCAAUCUAUCUCAUAAUGAUCUUACUAGACAUCUCCCCGUUGCUCGCCAUUAGAAAACAGGGAUUAUUCACUCGUCCGCCGCACCGCGAACUCAUUCUUAGGUGCUCGGAGGUUUUUGAGGAUUCUUGUUGAUUAUUAAUUUUGUGAUUUUGUUGAAUACUCUAUCACUUAAUAAUGUAAUAAUUGUGUUAUUAAAUAAUUAUAUUUUAAAUUGUUAAGGAUAUUGAACUAUUUGUUUGAUUAUUUGGUUUAAAUAUAAAUGUAACUCUUGAAAUACAUUUAUUAUAUAUAUAUUUAACAUGUUAAUAUUUACUGAAUCCCUCGCAUCCGAAUCCCGAUAUUUUUAAAUUUACGGAUUCUCGUAUUCAUGUACCGUGCACUACCAUACCUUCAACCACACUCAUACUUUCUAGCUGCUCGGAAAUAUGAAUCAAUCUUUAGAUUUGUCUUCAAAUCGAUUGACGGAGGCUAUUCCACACCAGUUAGGCAGUUAACUAGAUUGACAUUUCUAGAGGUCUUGAACUUCUCAGAGAAUAAUCUUACCGGGAAAAUACCGCAAAAAGGAAAAAUCAGCACUUUCGAGAAUAUAUGAGUCAGUGUGGUUCACCUGUCUAGACCAAAAAUGUCAUCUGAGAUUCUUAUGUUUUUUAGCUAUAUAUGAGUGGAAGAAAAUUGUCGAGUCGAGGUUAAUCGAAUAAGGCGAGCCGGCUCAUUUUAAUUUAAUUGAGACAAAACUUCUACGGAGUUCGACUCCUUUAAUUAAACGGCUAUGAAAUCUCAUUAAAGUCAGCCUUGUAUAUAAACUCAAGCCAGGUCGAGUUUUAUUGAACAAAUUUCAGCUCAAACCAGUCGCGAGCAGCCCAGCUCAAGUUCGAGGCCUGCUCAUCUGUCUUCGAGUCUUGGACGAGAUUUGAAUCAUCAACUCCUUCCAAAAAGAGUAUUACACUGACAAAAAUGCAGUAACAUGUUUAAUUUAAAAGUAUAUCAUCUGUUCCCGCAGUUUAAUUUUACCCAUAUUUUUGAGAUUCAUAUAAAUUAUAAUUCCAUAAUAUUUUUUCAAUCAUAUUGGUUUUGAAUAAAAAUAUAAAUAUCAAACUUUUAUUUUUAAAAAAAUUAUAAAAUUAUAUUUUAUAAGAGUCUCAAAUACGUGGGAAAGUGGGAGUAUUAAUUUCGCCCACUAAGUCACUGACAGGUUUGUUAAUUUGUUUCCAUUUGAAGGUGUACACUGCAUAUUUUCACCAGGGAUGGCAACAAGUCGAAUCAGUUCAGAUAUAUCAGAUAUCUCAAUCCAAAUCCAAAUUAUUUUUAAAAUCCAAAUCCAAUCGAGUUUCACAUAUCAAAUUCAAAUCCAAAUUCACGGGUUUCAGAUCGGGUUCAGGUUUGUUUGGGUUUAUCCAAAACCCGAAUCCAGAAAUGUAAGUAGUAUUGUAAAAAUAUUAUUUUUUAUUUUUUCACCCUUGAAUUUCAUUAUAUUUAAAACUAAACUACACACAUUCACACUUUAUCUAUCCAUAUUAUAAACACAAUUUAGUAUAUUUAAAAUUGAAAAAAAGUAUAUUAGUAUACUACAUACAUAUAUUUGGAUAUUUGGAAAUUUUUUCGGGUUUUGUGUUUGGAUCGAAUUUAGAUUUCGGGUCCGGUUUUGAUACGGAAUACUUAAUAUCUAAAUCCAAAUUCAAACUGGUUCGGGUCUAAAAAUUAAAUUCAAAUCCAAAUCCAAAAUAUCAUGUUCGUUAAAAUUCAUUCGGGUCGAGGUUGAGUAUCCAUUCGGAUCAGAUUUUUCUCUAACCAAUAAAUUUUGUAAAUGGUCUGCACAAACGCAGUUACCGGCCCAUUUCCGUAUGAAGCCCAUGAACAAUUAUUUGUUCUGUAUAUUUUUCAAUCAAACCAAACCCAAACGCUAACAGCAGAAUUAAUUAAAUUCCUUUCACAUGUGAUUUUGUAAUGGGCCUACAUUACAAAAAUACUGUAGGACUAUCCCACUAUCCCUGACCCUACAUGUUUUCUCAAUAAUUUUGAUAAAUAUAUUAAACAGAUAUUGAACUGUUACAAAAAUAUAACGUCUGUUUUUCAAAUAAGUAACGUACGGUUUCCGAGAGAUAAAGUUUGACUUAUAUUGACAAGAUAACGCUUGAAUUUAAUAUCUUUUUAAAAAAAACUAAUAUAAAAUCUAAAUUAAAUCUUCUUCUUAAAUGAGAAUCCAGAAAAAUCUCAAAAAUUCACAACUACAUCAAUAAAAUAUAAUAUCCAACAUUAAAUAAAAAUCUUUCAAUAUCCAUUUUUUGUGUAAUUUUCAACCAAUCUGCUCUAAUUAUUUCGUCACCUUUUAAAAUUUAAAAUUUUUAAAUACUCAAAACAAUUACCCUAACCGCCAACCACCUUAGAAUUAUAAAAUCUUAAAAUUAAAUGCUAAUAAGAUUAUCAGUGUUACUCACCUAAACCAAAACGGUUACAAAAUCUAACGGCAAUAUUAUAAACUUUUAAAAAUUAAAUUUUUAAUUAAUUUGGCAAGUGGUAUUCAUAUAGAACAAAACAGUUACAAAAUCAAACUGCAAAUUAUAAAAUCUUGAAAUUAUAUUUAAUACUGUAAGAUUUAGCAUGUGGGUCCCACACAAUCAGAAAAUAAUAUGAACACGAAAUCUUGCUCUAUUAAAUACACACACCUGUACAUACAUAUAUAAACACCCACCGCCUCUUCAACUUUCCAACAUCAAAACCCUCGUAAUUCAAUUGGGUUUCUGCUGUUAUUCUCCCCUCUCUCCUCUCUCUCGCCGAGAUUUUUAUAUGCAUACAUGCGUGGGUAUAUGUAUAUGUACACCCCCUUGGCAAAAACACAGACUAAACACUAAAAGAACCCACAGAAUCAUACCCAUGUUAUGGAUAUUAUCUGGGGUUUGUUGAAAUUGUUGUAGAAGGCCUAAAGAUUUGAUUUUGGAGUAGCCCAUUUGGUUCUUGAUUGAAUUUGGUUGUGUUUUGAGUGUGAAAAGGCAAGAUUUUAUGAUUCUUGAUGGAUGAAAGUGCUAUGUUUGGCUUGAAUGGAGAUAAUGANACAAAAUCUUGAAACGCUGUUUCUUGAUGGUAAUUCUUUUGAGGGGACGUUUCCACCGAAUAUAUUCAGGCUUUCUAAAUUAAAACACCUUUCCCUAUCUGCUAAUAAGUUUUCAGGUUCUGUGCCGGAUGACAAGUUGGUGUCGAAAGUGAGAAUGUUGCGGUAGGGGGUGAUUCGGAUGAGCUUGUUGUUGUUGGGGAGACAGGGCAGGUAUAAUGCUGCAUUUGUUGUUUUUGUCGAUAUUAUGUGUUGCUUUUGUGUUUUUUGUUAUGUUUUCAUAUGUUUAGUCCGUUAUUUUUUGGAGAAUUAAGUAGUCUGAUGAAUGUUGAUUAAUCCAAUAUAUAAGCUGGGCGUUUUUGUUUAAUGUGCUUAUUAUGAUUAUAUUAUUUUGUUUGAUAAUUGAAUUGUGUUUAGAUUGUUAAUCCAAAGCCAAGGUCAAAAGACGUAAGGUAACAUUGAUGUUAAUUGAUAAAACUAACCUCAGAAAGUAGAUUGUUUGAGGCAAUAGAGAGUGUGAGCCUCUAUCAUGACAAUUUAAGAAGUUUAUAGUUGAGUCGUUGACUGCAUUACUAUCAAAUGCAUAGGGGUAUGGAAAUGAAAACGGUUAAUAACAUAUGGGCAUUUAACCUAAUAAUUUGACAACUCGACACUCGGACUUGUAUAUGUAAGUUGUAGUAGAUGCAUACGGUGUUUUAGUAGUUUAUUUGUGUACAAAUUAUUUCAUUGGGUAUUAUUUGAAGUGAAUAGUAUAUUGGAUUCAUGCAUGUUCAGACUUUAAUAUCAACAUCUUUCAGAUUUUUCUGGAUAAUGGUUAAUAAAUUCUUUGUUUAAUAAUGACCGCUUCACUUAAUGUCAUUUCUCUUCUUUCUUUUUUUAAUUAUCGGAGUGGAUAUUUAUUUAAUUUUUUCUGAUUUAUGUUGCAACUUCCAAUAUAAUUUGUUUGGGUGCUAUACUUUGAUGGAUUAUAGGUCGCAUGUCGAGACUAUCCUCACCCACGAGAUCUUUGUGCUAAACUUCCCUUUACAUCUACUCCUCAUGAANUGCUAAACCAGGUAAUAAUAUUUUUUCUCAGAAUUAAUUAUUACACCUCUUUUCAGUGCCGAACGUUCUGCGUAUCUUAUUUGACCAUUGUCUGUUGCAGUGUCACUGUUAUGUUUGUGAUGCACCGGCUCCAUGUCUCAAAUGGGGAACUGGCAUAUCUGUCAGUGACCAUUGUCAUGCCACUGGGAAGGUGGAAUUCUGGAAUCAACAAAGCCUAAAUUUUUUGAAAAGGCUUUAAAAAAUUUGGAAUUUUUUAAAAAAAUGAAAAAUGUAAAAAUUAAAAAAAUCUAAAAAUAUCUGGAAAUUCAAAAAAUAUACCUAAAUUUUUGAAAUUAAAAAAUUUUAGAAUUUUUCCAAAUUUUCAGAUUUUUUCAAAGUUUUAAAUUUAUUUUCAAAAUUUUUAGAUUUUUUCGAUGUUUUUUCAUAUUUUUUAAAGUAUUUUAAAAAAAUUCAACUUUAUUAAAAAAUCGAUAUUUAUAUUUUUCUCAAAGUUUUUUUUAUUUUUUUUAAAGGAUUCUGUUAAAGGCAGCUGAUAUUUAACGUCGCAGUGACCUAUUUGCAAACUUUUAUUAGUUCAGUGAGUUGACUGCAACUUAAAUCGAGUUCUGUGAUCCGUUUGCAAACUUUUUAAGUUCAGUGACUUAACUGCAAGUUGGCCAUGAGUUCAAUGAUCUUUUCGCCUAUUAACCCGGACUAAAUCUACUAAAAUGAUAAUUAUGGACUCACAAUGUAUAUUUUUAAUUUAUAUGUUUAGUUAAAAAUUGGUUAAUUUGACUUUCGAAAAUCAAAAUGAACAUGUAAAAGGAGAUCGUGGUAAUAAGCCCCUCAACGUGUGUAAAUGUUAAGUAAAAGGGAUAUGUUUAUUUUUAUUUUAAAAAAGAAUUAAAAAUAUUAUUUUACAAAUUAAAUUAUAAAAUACUCUCUAUAUUCCAAAUUAGUGAGUUCGUUAAUUUUAGGCACACUAAUUUAGAUGAUUUAACUGCAUAGCUAUAUAAUUUAUUUUUAAUAUUUUUAAAAAACAAUUAAAAAUAAUUUCACGAAUAACAGAUGAUCAUUAUCUUUUAAAUCACAUGCUGAAAAUCGGAUGUUGCCCUUAUCAUUAUCACAUUUUUAAGUAGUAAUGUCUCGAAAAUUAAAUAUUAGAUCCAAUAUGAUUUCAAAUAUCACUUUAUAAUAUUCUUUUUUGUCAUAAUAUCACUUAAUAAUGUUAAAUGAGUGACGUUUAUAUUUUUUUUAAAGUGUUACACAAUGAGAAACUCUAAAAAAUAUAACGGUAGAUAAUGUAGUAUCAUAUCAAAACAUUACUUUAUCUAACCAGAACAUAAUAUUCCAAGGACAAUUUAACUUUUUUUAUAAUAUUCAGAACCUUCUUUUUUUUUUUUGAAUAAAAGACAAAUUUCAUUAAUACGAAAUGUCAUACAGAAAAAUCUCCAACAAUACAUCUCGAGGAGACAUAAACACUUUUUGACAAUUUAAAGAACAGGAUAAUUUAGCUACUAGAUGAGCUACUCCAUUCGCUUGUCGUUUAACAAAUGAAACUGAAUAACAUGGCUUCGAAUUUAAAAUAAGCUUGCAGGCAUUCAAGAUGUGACCAACUUCUAAAAGAUUUUCCUGAGAGUCAUGCAAGGCUUUAAUGGCCAGGAGAGAGUCUGAUUCAAUUUCCACCACCUCAUGAUUUAAUGAGCACAACCACGGGAGACCUUCAAAAGAGAAAAGGCCCCCAGUAACCUUUUUUUAGUGUCAAAUGCCCUAGUUGUCAUUAUAAUAAAAAAUGGCCCUCAUUAUCACUCUAUAACACUACUUAAACUCACGUUCUGUUUUUCCAUCAUAAACGGCACACGCAACAGUGUUUCCAGGUUUAAUACUUUUUAAAAAAAGUCUAACGUAACAUGAAGUUACGUUCACUGAUCUGAGUUUUUUUUUCAUAUUACUCACAUCUUGCUUAUUUCCAUAUAGAAAGAAAUUCACUCACUAGUCAACGUUAUAACAAAUUAUAAUAAUAUUUAACCAGUGCACCCCAAAGGGUAGCGGCUGCGGUUUCCUACGUUAAAAAGAAUAUUUAAGCGUUCAUACAUGGGGUUUAGAAAAAUUUGUUUAUAAUUGUAAAUUAAUUUUCUGAACGUUAGGGUUUAGGAUUGAGGGUGUAGGGCCGGUAGGCCCUACUCCCUCGAGCCUAAAACCUAAUUAAUGCGAGGCUGAAGGGCCGAAGGCCCUGAAGCCGAGAAAUCGGCAGAAUAAAUAAAUUUACAAUCGUUAACAUUUAGGGUUUAGAUUUGGGUUGCAGAAUGAUUAAUUCAUACUGUAAAUUAAUUGGCCGAACGUUAGGGUUUAGGAUUGAGGGUGUAGGGCCGGUAGGCCCUACUCCCUCGAGCCUAAACCCUAAUUAAUGCGAGGCUGAAGGGCCGAAGGCGAGAAACCGGCGGAAUAAAAAAAUUUACAAUCGUUAACAUUUAGGGUUUAGGUUUGGGUUGCCAUAAUGAUUAAUUCGUACUGUAAAUUAAUUGGCUAAACGCUAGGUUUUAGGAUUGAGGGUGUAGGGCCGGUAGACCCUCCUCCCUCGAGCCUAAACCCUAAUUAAUGCGAGGCUGAAGGGCCGAAGGCGAGAAACCGGCGGAAUAAAUAAAUUUACAAUCGUUAACAUUUAGGUUUAGGUUUGGGUUGCCAUAAUGAUUAAUUCGUACUGUAAAUUAAUUGGCCAAACGCUAGGUUUUAGGAUUGAGGGUGUAGGGCCGGUAGACCCUACUCCCUCGAGCCUAAACCAUAAUUAAUGCGAGGCUGAAGGACCUUCAAGCCCUAAACGCUCGAGCCUAAACCCUAAUUAACUCGAGGCUCUAGGGCCGUGAGACCCUAAAGCCGAGGAACCGGAAUUAAAAUAUAAAACAAAAUUUUAAAUGGCGUUUAAAGUGGCGACAGAAUUGUAAGUUGGGUGUUAAGCUAGCAAACGACAUUAAGUUACGUUUUAGAUUUUUAGGUUAUUAAAAAAUAAAAAAAAAAAUCAAGAACGUCACAUGAAGGCACGUUUUACUUCUGAUAUCAAGAACGUCACAUGAAGGCACGUUUUACUUCUGAUAAACACACCAGCACGUGACUAAAGUCUCGUUUUCAUAUAUAACAGCAAUUGAAGUGACGUUUUGCUUUUUUUAGUUUAAAAUAAUAACCCCAUAACGUGACCAGGAGUCACGUUUUAGUAUAAAUCCUAAACGCUGCUUCAGAACAUGUUUUGGAGUGACACCCGGGGCCAUUUUACGGGAUUGUGACUUUAAGGUCCAUAUUGUUACUGAUGGUGACUCACAGGGCCAACACCCCCUUCAAAAAUAGCGCUUGCUUCGGCUUCAAGGACAGUAGCCACCAUGGCUUUACAUAUUGUUUUACCCAUCACAAAAACUCCCUCGCUGUCACGCAGAACCAAACCCAACGAGACCGAGGCCUCACCGAAACGCACACCUGCAUCAACAUUUAGUUUGAGAACUCCAUCCGUCAGCUUUUUCCACUUCACUCGAGAAGAAGAUGCGGAACUAGAAGUACUACCAACCUGAACAACACGCUUAGCUUUAGCCUCCUUCCAGUCAGAAAUAAUCUUAGCGCUCCAAUCCAUAGCUAUAGCAGCUGUAACAACCUUGUGAUCCCAAACCUUCUUGUUUCGAAAAAACCAAAUUCCCCAAAGAACUCGAGCAAUAUUAAAAGUUUCAUGAUCAGGACCUGAUUCAAACCUAGCAAGUAACCAAGAGGGGGCAAACUCCACCAGAGACAAAUCAAAGACCAUACCUGAGUAUUGCCAACAUAACAUUGCAAACUGGCAGGUGAAAAAUAUGUGAAUAAGGUCUUCGUCACCAGAGUUACACAUGGGACAGUCAAGAGAAAGAUUUACUCCCUUAGAUUGUAAUCGACUUUUCACAGGCACAUUAUUCCUGCAAAAACGCCAUAAAAACACUUUGAUCUUAAGAGGAACCUCCAACUGCCAGAGUUUCUUCCACCCACUAGAUUGUGUAACAGUGCCAGUGCCAAUAUUUUGGGCAUGUCAAAACUGGUAACCUGUUUUCACAGAAUUUUGGCUGUUAGUAGUCUUUGACCAAGCUAGACGAUCCACGGUCGACCUACAGGGAACAUAAGUUUUUAAAAAUUAUGUAAUUCAUUCAAUUCCGUAUCAGACAAUACAUCUUAUCAUCGGUGAUAAUGAAAAUAGUGUAGAUGUUUGACCUAGUCCCUGUUUGACAACCAAUAUAAUAAGAAAUAAAUUCUUAUUUUUCUAAAAAAUAUAUUUUUGUAUAUAAAUGUUAAAGAGAUAUUUCUUAUUUGUUGUUUGAAAAAAGUAAAGACUUAUUUCAGAAUAAAAAAAAAUUAUUGUACAUUCUCUUUAUUUCUGAAAAUAAGUUUGGUCAAAUCAUCCAUAAUUCACGUAAUUCAAAAGCCCAUUAAUUUUUUUUUUCUUGCUAAUUGAUCAGCACACGCACACGUUUCCAACUUCCCGCAAAGGGUACAGGAGUACCACCGGAGUACCAUCACACCGACGCUUUGUUGGGCCCAAUAAUUGGCUGAAGUUGAACGGGGCUUUCUGCCUCCGCUGGACCCCAGUUGGGAGGACUCUUUCCAAGUCUUUCGGAGCCUCUUUCCCAUUGACUCCAACUUUCCAGGGUGUAUACAAAUUUUUUGAAAGAGGGUGUAUACAAAUUAUUCACGGCCAUCAAAUCAACCAGCGUAGCUGGUGAACAAAUAUUAUUGUUUAUUAUAAUUUUAUUUAAUUUAAAUGUGAUUAUAAGAACAUAAGAGGACGUUUGAAAGUGUGGGUCUUAUUUCAAACAGUAGAUUUAAAAAAAUAUGAUUUCAAUUGUUAUUUAAAAUUCUUAAAUUUAUAUUAUAUUAAAAUGUUCUUAUUCUAAUUAAUGAGUCACUAUUCGUAUUCUCAAGCAUGUUAGUUUGUUAAAAUUUAAAAUUUCAAAUGAAAUUAGGCUAAAAGACCAUAAUAUCAAAGCAAAAUCUCAUUAUCCAAUAUAUUGGUGGGCAAAAAUAUUAAACCUGGCUAUUCAUUAAUAUUGGUUCUUUAUUCAAAUUAUGUCAAAUUUAUAUAAAAUUUCGAAAAUUAUUUAUGAAUAAGAGUCGGCAUUCAUAUAUUUAUUAAGGAUACAAGUGAGAAAAUGUUAUUAAAUUAAUAUUUUUUUAAUAUACGUAAGUUUUUUAAAAUAAAUUUGUAGCGUGGGACGGGAGUAUUAGACUGAUUCUGGCUUGGAGUGAAUCAGCCCAUAAAGUUUACAGGGUAGAUGACCAUUCUUAAAUCUUAAAGAAUCUUACGGUGACAGCUAACUGAACGACUCGGUUUCAGAAGUGCUGAAAAGUUUCGACGUAAACUACAAUUUGCCUAGCAUGUAAUUUCCAUGCAUUUUCUCGUUACUAGUGACAGAUAACUUUUUUGAUAUUUAUAUAUUUUUAAUUAUAAUAAAGAUACUAGUGAUUAUGGUUAGCUUUUGGAGUACUUUCGGAGUACUUGGAAAUUUUCUUUUCGAGAAAGACGAGAGUACCUAUUUCAAUUUUUUACCAAAAAUUAUAAUUGAAAACAACGGACUUUUAUACUUAUCAUAACAAUUUUUAACAUCUUGUUUAGAAAUAACCUGUUGUUGUAUUAUGCAAAAGUAAUAUCACUAGUUUCUAUAUUCGUAUUCUAAUGAUAAUAAAAACAUCUCUAAUUCAUUAAAACUCUUACAUAGAAAAUGAUAAAAAAAAAAAAGAAGAUAUAAAAUAAUUUAUUAAAAAUAUAUCAAAGNGAAGAUAUAAAAUAAUUUAUUAAAAAUAUAUCAAAGUUUUUGCACUCGGUUAUAAUUAUUGUGUAAUUUCUUUUUUCAAUUCCAAGAUAUUGUUAUAAGAAAAUUUUACAUCAUAUAUAUAUUACAAAAAAAAUUAAUGUAUUCUAUAUAUAUAUAUAUAUAUAUAUAUAUAUAUAUAUAUAUAUAUAUAUAUAUAUAUAUAUACAAUAAANNNNNNNNNNNNNNNNNNNNNNNNNNNNNNNNNNNNNNNNNNNNNNNNNNNNNNNNNNNNNNNNNNNNNNNNNNNNNNNNNNNNNNNNNNNNNNNNNNNNNNNNNNNNNNNNNNNNNNNNNNNNNNNNNNNNNNNNNNNNNNNNNNNNNNNNNNNNNNNNNNNNNNNNNNNNNNNNNNNNNNNNNNNNNNNNNNNNNNNNNNNNNNNNNNNNNNNNNNNNNNNNNNNNNNNNNNNNNNNNNNNNNNNNNNNNNNNNNNNNNNNNNNNNNNNNNNNNNNNNNNNNNNNNNNNNNNNNNNNNNNNNNNNNNNNNNNNNNNNNNNNNNNNNNNNNNNNNNNNNNNNNNNNNNNNNNNNNNNNNNNNNNNNNNNNNNNNNNNNNNNNNNNNNNNNNNNNNNNNNNNNNNNNNNNNNNNNNNNNNNNNNNNNNNNNNNNNNNNNNNNNNNNNNNNNNNNNNNNNNNNNNNNNNNNNNNNNNNNNNNNNNNNNNNNNNNNNNNNNNNNNNNNNNNNNNNNNNNNNNNNNNNNNNNNNNNNNNNNNNNNNNNNNNNNNNNNNNNNNNNNNNNNNNNNNNNNNNNNNNNNNNNNNNNNNNNNNNNNNNNNNNNNNNNNNNNNNNNNNNNNNNNNNNNNNNNNNNNNNNNNNNNNNNNNNNNNNNNNNNNNNNNNNNNNNNNNNNNNNNNNNNNNNNNNNNNNNNNNNNNNNNNNNNNNNNNNNNNNNNNNNNNNNNNNNNNNNNNNNNNNNNNNNNNNNNNNNNNNNNNNNNNNNNNNNNNNNNNNNNNNNNNNNNNNNNNNNNNNNNNNNNNNNNNNNNNNNNNNNNNNNNNNNNNNNNNNNNNNNNNNNNNNNNNNNNNNNNNNNNNNNNNNNNNNNNNNNNNNNNNNNNNNNNNNNNNNNNNNNNNNNNNNNNNNNNNNNNNNNNNNNNNNNNNNNNNNNNNNNNNNNNNNNNNNNNNNNNNNNNNNNNNNNNNNNNNNNNNNNNNNNNNNNNNNNNNNNNNNNNNNNNNNNNNNNNNNNNNNNNNNNNNNNNNNNNNNNNNNNNNNNNNNNNNNNNNNNNNNNNNNNNNNNNNNNNNNNNNNNNNNNNNNNNNNNNNNNNNNNNNNNNNNNNNNNNNNNNNNNNNNNNNNNNNNNNNNNNNNNNNNNNNNNNNNNNNNNNNNNNNNNNNNNNNNNNNNNNNNNNNNNNNNNNNNNNNNNNNNNNNNNNNNNNNNNNNNNNNNNNNNNNNNNNNNNNNNNNNNNNNNNNNNNNNNNNNNNNNNNNNNNNNNNNNNNNNNNNNNNNNNNNNNNNNNNNNNNNNNNNNNNNNNNNNNNNNNNNNNNNNNNNNNNNNNNNNNNNNNNNNNNNNNNNNNNNNNNNNNNNNNNNNNNNNNNNNNNNNNNNNNNNNNNNNNNNNNNNNNNNNNNNNNNNNNNNNNNNNNNNNNNNNNNNNNNNNNNNNNNNNNNNNNNNNNNNNNNNNNNNNNNNNNNNNNNNNNNNNNNNNNNNNNNNNNNNNNNNNNNNNNNNNNNNNNNNNNNNNNNNNNNNNNNNNNNNNNNNNNNNNNNNNNNNNNNNNNNNNNNNNNNNNNNNNNNNNNNNNNNNNNNNNNNNNNNNNNNNNNNNNNNNNNNNNNNNNNNNNNNNNNNNNNNNNNNNNNNNNNNNNNNNNNNNNNNNNNNNNNNNNNNNNNNNNNNNNNNNNNNNNNNNNNNNNNNNNNNNNNNNNNNNNNNNNNNNNNNNNNNNNNNNNNNNNNNNNNNNNNNNNNNNNNNNNNNNNNNNNNNNNNNNNNNNNNNNNNNNNNNNNNNNNNNNNNNNNNNNNNNNNNNNNNNNNNNNNNNNNNNNNNNNNNNNNNNNNNNNNNNNNNNNNNNNNNNNNNNNNNNNNNNNNNNNNNNNNNNNNNNNNNNNNNNNNNNNNNNNNNNNNNNNNNNNNNNNNNNNNNNNNNNNNNNNNNNNNNNNNNNNNNNNNNNNNNNNNNNNNNNNNNNNNNNNNNNNNNNNNNNNNNNNNNNNNNNNNNNNNNNNNNNNNNNNNNNNNNNNNNNNNNNNNNNNNNNNNNNNNNNNNNNNNNNNNNNNNNNNNNNNNNNNNNNNNNNNNNNNNNNNNNNNNNNNNNNNNNNNNNNNNNNNNNNNNNNNNNNNNNNNNNNNNNNNNNNNNNNNNNNNNNNNNNNNNNNNNNNNNNNNNNNNNNNNNNNNNNNNNNNNNNNNNNNNNNNNNNNNNNNNNNNNNNNNNNNNNNNNNNNNNNNNNNNNNNNNNNNNNNNNNNNNNNNNNNNNNNNNNNNNNNNNNNNNNNNNNNNNNNNNNNNNNNNNNNNNNNNNNNNNNNNNNNNNNNNNNNNNNNNNNNNNNNNNNNNNNNNNNNNNNNNNNNNNNNNNNNNNNNNNNNNNNNNNNNNNNNNNNNNNNNNNNNNNNNNNNNNNNNNNNNNNNNNNNNNNNNNNNNNNNNNNNNNNNNNNNNNNNNNNNNNNNNNNNNNNNNNNNNNNNNNNNNNNNNNNNNNNNNNNNNNNNNNNNNNNNNNNNNNNNNNNNNNNNNNNNNNNNNNNNNNNNNNNNNNNNNNNNNNNNNNNNNNNNNNNNNNNNNNNNNNNNNNNNNNNNNNNNNNNNNNNNNNNNNNNNNNNNNNNNNNNNNNNNNNNNNNNNNNNNNNNNNNNNNNNNNNNNNNNNNNNNNNNNNNNNNNNNNNNNNNNNNNNNNNNNNNNNNNNNNNNNNNNNNNNNNNNNNNNNNNNNNNNNNNNNNNNNNNNNNNNNNNNNNNNNNNNNNNNNNNNNNNNNNNNNNNNNNNNNNNNNNNNNNAAUCAUCUGACAGGGCCUAUCCCCCAAAAAGGACAGUUCAGCACAUUCAACAAGGAUUCUUACCUAGGUAACUUUGCCUUGUGUGGAUUACCUUUAACUAAUAACUGUACACACACUGUGUCACCACCACAAGAAGGCGGAACUGGUGACAAUGAUGCCUAUGAUGAACCCGAUUGGGAAGUGAUCCUCAUGGGAUAUGGAUGUGGACUAAUAUGCGGAUUGUCCACUGGGUACGUUGUCUUCACAUUCAGAAAGCCUCAGUGGUUUAUGAGAUACACUGAAAGCGUGCAACAGAAGUUGAUGAGAUGAUGCAUGUUGAGUACCGUUCAAUCAUGAAGCACAACUGGAAACAAUGUUAUCUUAGGAAAACAUGUGUUCUGAACCAGUAGUGUUUGCACAAAAUUUGUGGUGCUAUGUAAUACUUAUAUAAUUGUACGUAUGAUUAUUGAUUAGUCGUUGAGAAAAUGCAUUUUAUUUCAGUGUCAAUGAUAAUCUACAUGUUUUGGAUACUUCCAGCUUCUCAUACUAAUAUAGGAACCACUUGAAAAAUUUUGCGAUGCAAAGCAGGGACUCAUGAGUAUUUUCAUAUGUGUAUUAGUUUUGAAGAUAAAAGUUGUAUGGACAAUUGUGUUGAUAAUUUGCGCAAUGAUAACUGGGAUAGGUCAUCUUCUCUCCCAAGUCUUGGAUGGACUCUUUCCAAGUCUUCUGAGAACCCAUCAGCUCAGAUUAGUCCAUACAAUGUCAAGGGUCCUAUGAUAUGGUCUACUAACAGCCCAGUGUCGGUAAUAAAUCCAAUUGCAUAUAACCUAUUCAAAAUCAAUCCCCUAUAAACAAUCAUCUCUAAAAACUAUUCACAUAAAAUAAAAUUUUAAAAAUAUAAAAUAUCUAGUUGUUUUCAAUAUAUAAUUUUCCACAGUAGAUAACAAAAUAUCUUUAUCAAAUUAUAUUAUUUAUGGGUUCAAUAUUUAAGCUAUAAUUCCAAUAACACGGCAAGCAUGCAUGCAGCAUAUAAAUAGAAGUGUGCAGUAUGUAUGGUAUUCAUAACCCAGUUGAGGAGAAACAUGGCACACUUUGUAAAGCCUUCUCACCUUCUUCUCUUUGUUUUCUUUCUCUCAUCACUUGAGUCCAUUCUUGCAACAAGACGAGAGGGAGAGGGAGAAGCUCUUGUGAAAUGGAAGAAUAGCCUAGCCCCUUCUUCUUUUCUCGACUCUUGGUCACUCACCAAUCUCGAUAAUCUUUGUAACUGGACUGGCAUUACUUGUAACUCUGCAGGUUCAGUCACUGAGAUUAACCUUUUCGGAAAAAAACUUGAUGGAAGGCUGUCCGAGUUUGGUUUCACUUCAUUUCCAAAUCUCAACAAUCUCACCCUUGCAGAUAACUUCUUCUUGGGUCCAAUACCACCAGCCAUUGAGAAUUUAACACAGCUUCAGUAUCUUGAUUUAAGCUUUAAUUAUCUCGAUGGUCCCAUUCCGUUCCAGGUUAGCCAUCUUCAAAGGUUGCUUGUCUUAAACGUGUCACAGAAUGCAUUGCAUUCUCCAAAUUGGUCCAAUUUCUCAAACAGAUGAAAUUAUGCAACUGAAAUUGAUGUAGUCUUAAAGAAUUCUCAGGCACUUAAACAUGUUUCAAAGAAUUCUCAGGCACUUAAACAUUUGGACGGGUUCUUUGGAAGCCAAGAUGCCCAGGUUAUCAUGGCCAUGCACAAAAUGCAGUAUAAAAAAAAAAUGAAUACCUUAAGAGAGAUUGCUCUGGGUCUCCCCAAGCCUUCUAGACUCAUUCCAAGUCUUCUGAGGACCACUGCCUCGCGCUUUCAAAGAUGUGAUGGUAGCUCGGGAGUGAUAUAAAUUAUUUUCGGGACACUAAUAAUAAAUAAUCAGAUCAAAUUAAUCAUCAAUAAUAAAUUGAGGAUACGAAAUCAAAAUUAAUCCUAAAUUUUGAUAAUAUAUAAAAAUUACUUUACGUACACUGUUUGCACGCAUUUUGAGCUCGUAUAAAGUAUAGUUUCAUAACUUUUUUUAAAAAAUUUCUUUUUUGAUAAAAGUUUAAACGUCAAACUUUUAUUCAGAGAAAAAAAAUUAAAAAAUAUAUCACGGAACUAUACUUUAAAUUAGUAUGGAAAAACGUGCCAAAAUUAACGUAAAGAAAUGAGGGGAACAAAGAUAGUAUAAUUAUAUUAUAAAUUAAAAUUGAAAUAACUUACGUGGCACUGAAAUUGAUAAAGGCAAUAUGGUUAAAUUGAUGAAAAGUCAAAGUCCUCUAAUAAAUCCAUAAAGAAUAUAAUAAUCAAAACGACGAAAAUUAUAAAUGAAAAAUCAAAAUCAUCCUAAUAAGUACACAAAAAGAAUAUGAUCGUUAGUGUAUUGGAAUAGUGUGCACACACUUAUAUAUCAAAAUUUGUGGUCCAAAAGCUAUGGCACAAUAUUCUAAAUACACCACAUUAAGUAAUAGUUCAAAAAUAUUCAAUAUAUAAUUGUUUUCAUUCAUAAUUUUGUUAUUAUUUUAAAAAAUAAUUUGGUUGCUGUUAACCUAUAUUUCAAUUAUAUAAUUAUAUUAUUUUUUAUUUUAUGUAUCUAGAAACAAUAUUUUUGUAAUAUUUAUUACAUUAAUUAUAUUAAAAGAUAUAAUUUGUUAAAAACUUGAAUAAAAUUAAGAGGAUAACUUUAUGUCUCUCCAAGUUCACAGCACGGGUGAGCAUUGGGUUCGGAUAUCCAUAUACCGAAUGGAUAUAUCAAAUCAAAACUAAUCAUGAAUUAUGAUAAUAAUUAAAUAAAUUAUAAUUAAGCUAUAUGAAUCAACUCCAAAUGACAACAACAGCACCAAACCUUAGUUACUUUAAUAUUGGUAAAUAAAUAUAAUAUAAUAAUCAAAUUGAUGAAAAAUCACAUCAUCUAAUAAAUUCACAAAAAAUAUAUGAUCAUUAGUAUAUUAUAUUAGUAUCCACACACUUAUAUUUCAAAAUCUAUCCUCCAAAAUUAUCAUCUCUGUAAGCUAGCCACAUAAAAUAAAAAAUUUAAAGAUAUUAGAUAUUUAGUUAUUUUCAUUAUAUAAUUUUUCCACACGAAAUAACAAAAUAUCUUUAUCAAAUUAUUAUUUAUGAGUUAAAUAUUCAAGUUAUAAAUCCAGUAUUCAGCGUAUAAAUAGAAGUGUGCAGUAUGAUAUCAGAUUCACAUAACCCAGUUGAUGAGGAGAAACAUGGCAUACUCUGCAAAGCCUUCUCACCUUCUUCUCUUUGUUUUCUUUCUCUCAUCACUUGAAUCCAUUCUUGCAACAACACGAGAGGGAGAAGCUCUUGUGAAAUGGAAGAAUAGCCUAGCCCCUUCUUCUUUUCUCGAUUCUUGGUCCCUCACCAAUCUCGAAAAUCUUUGUAACUGGACUGGCAUUACUUGUAACUCUGCAGGUUCAGUCUCUGAGAUUAACCUCUGUGAGAAACAACUUGAUGGAAUGCUGUCCGACUUCGGUUUCACUUCAUUUCCAAAUCUCAAGAAUCUCACCCUCGCAUACAACUUCUUCUCGGGUCCAAUACCACCAGCCAUUCAGAACUUAACAAGGCUUCAAUGCCUUGAUUUAAGCUUUAAUUAUCUCAAUGGUCCUAUUCCGUUCCAGGUGAGCCAUCUUCAGAGCUUGCUCAUCUUGAACCUGUCACAGAAUGCAUUGCAAACUCCAAAUUGGUCCCAUUUCUCUCCCAUGCCUUUCUUGCGCAUCCUCAACCUCAGUUACAAUCCUCUUGCGUCGAAAUUCCCAGAUUUUAUAUCCAGUUCUCAUAGCCUGACUCACCUUAGCCUUAAUUAUAACGAGUUUACUGGUGAUUUAGUACGUGAAUCAGUAUUUGCCGAUCUGCAUAAUCUUGAAAAGCUCAGUCUUGUUGGCAAUUCUUUCGAGGGGCCAUUUCCGCCGGAUAUAUUCAGGCUUUCCAAAUUAAAACAUCUUAGCAUGUCAGAUAACAAACUUUCAGGUUCAAUUCCCAAUGACAUAAGGUUGCUUUGUGAUCUUGAAUACCUAUAUUUAGCCAACAAUUCCUUUGAAGGACCGCUUCCACCAAAUAUAUUCAAGUUUUCAAAAUUAAAACAUCUUGUUCUUUGGGGUAAUAAGUUUUCUGGUUCUGUUUCCAAUGAUAUAGGUUUGCUUUCUGAGCUUGAAACUCUCGAUCUUAGCUCUAAUUUUUUUGAGGGGCCGCUUCCGCCAAAUGUAUUCAAGCUCUCCAAACUAAAAGUUCUCACCCUGUCAAUUAACAAAUUUUUAGGUUCAAUUCCCAAUGACAUAAGGUUACUUUGUGAUCUUGAAUACCUAUAUUUAGGCAACAAUUCCUUUGAAGGACCGCUUCCACCAGGUAUAUUCAAGCUUUCAAAAUUAAAACAUCUUUUUCUUUGGGGUAAUAAGUUUUCAGGUUCUGUUUUCAAUGAUAUAUGUUUGCUUUCUGAGCUUGAAACCCUCGAUCUUAACUCUAAUUUUUUUGAGGGGCCGCUUCCGCCAAAUGUAUUCAAGCUCUCCAAACUAAAGAUUCUUUCCCUUUAUGUGAACAACUUUUCAGGUUUUAUUUCUAAGGAUAUAGGUUGGCUUUUUGAACUUGAAACCCUCUAUCUUGGCUCUAAUUUUUUUGAGGGGCCGCUUCCCCCACAUGUAUUUAGGCUCUCCAAAUUAAGAGAUUUGGACCUCUCAGACAAUAGAAAUUUAUUUGAAGGAAGUAUUCCUAUUGGACUGGGACUCUUGACUAACCUCAGGUACUUAGAUCUACAUUUCAGUAAUCUCAGUGGCUAUAUUCCAUCUGACAUUGGAAACCUGAAGCUACUAGUACUUCUUGAUCUCAGUUCUAAUAAAUUGACUGGACCGCUUUCAAAGAUCAUUUCUAAUCUCACAAAUCUUAUAUUUCUUGAUGUAAGUGAUAAUAGUCUUAGUGGAAAUAUUCAGAGUGACUUGUGGAAAUAUAACGAUCAUCCAACUUUGGAAUACAUCGAUUUAAGUGGGAACCAUUUUACGGGUAUAGUUUUUCUCUAUAGAUCUUUUCUUUUUCUCAUAUGUAACUAAGCUAGUAAUCUGAUUAUUGCAGUUUCACCAAAGUUUCAACAAUCUUGACAGGUGAGCUUCCAACAACAAUUUGCAAUGUCACUUCCCUUUUGGUUCUUGAUUUGUCAAAUAAUGAAUUAAGUGGUGCACUUCCAAACUGUUUCGGGAAUCUUGCUGAUAGAUUGCUUUUCAUUAAUCUUGCUAAUAAUCAGUUUCGAGGAACAAUACCAACUACUUUCUCCAGGAGUUGUCAGCUGACAUAUCUAAACAUGGAUAAUAAUGAGUUUGAAGGAUUGUUGCGCCCAUCUUUGGCGAACUGUAAGCACUUGAAAAUUCUUGAUAUUGGCAAUAAUAAAAUAGGUGGUACAUUUCCGUCAUGGCUUUAUGCACUUGGAGAGCUAGAAGUCCUUGUCUUGCGAUCAAAUAAACUCUAUGGUACAAUAAGUGGGAGGAGCAUAGAAAAUCCCUUCCCCAAGUUGCGGAUUGUGGAUCUGUCCAACAAUCAAUUCACUGGCCAUUUGCCAAUUCAAUACUUUAAGAAUAUGAAAUCAACUGAUAAUUUGUAUAGUUAUCAGAAUGACACAGGAGUUUUUUCUUUCCAUUAUGAAGCAUCUGUAUCAUUAACUGUGAAGGGAACAGAGUAUGAAGUGAAAAAUAUCCUUCAUAUUUACACAACCAUUGAUCUGUCCUGCAACAAGUUUCAAGGAGAAAUUCCUGACGUUAUUGGAGAGCUUAGAUGGCUUGCAUUGCUGAACUUAUCUCAUAAUAGUCUAACAGGACAUAUCCCAUCAUUGCUGAGAAAUAUGAAAGGACUCCAAUCUUUAGAUUUGUCUUCAAAUCAACUGACAGGGGCUAUUCCACCUCAGUUAACUGCAUUGACAUUUCUAGAGGUCUUGAACCUCUCGGGAAACCAUCUUAGUGGAGAGAUUCCUCAGAAAGGACAGUUCAGCACAUUCAACAAUGAUUCUUAUCUAGGAAACUCCGCGUUAUGUGGAUCACCUUUGACAAAGAAAUGUGUAAACACAGCAUCACCUCCACAGGAAGUCGGAAAUGGUGAUGAAGAUGAUGCUGGCGAUGAAUGGACAUGGGAAGCAAUCGUGAUGGGAUAUGGAUGUGGACUGAUAUGUGGAUUGUCGUCUGCGUACAUUGUUCUCAGACUAGGAAGGCCUUGGUGGUUUGUGAGAUAUAUCGAAGUACUGCAACUGAAGUUGAUGAAAAGAUAUGCAUGAAGAAAGGUACUGGUAGAUCAAGAUGAACUUGAAAGUUAUUUUCGUGGAUGACAUUUGUGAACCAGUACUGUACUAGCUGCUUAAGUAUUUGGUAUUAUGUAAUAAUCCGUUUGGUCGGGACUCAUAAUGAUAUUUCUUGCUUCAGGGGUAUUAAUAUAAACCUUGGUAUUGUGUACUAGCUGUCUGUUUGGUCGUGACUCAUAAUCUUUCAUGUAUUAACAUAAGGUUUUAAUACAUCCCGUACCAGGUUAGCCAUCUUCAGAUAUUACACAUCUUACUGCUGUCGCAUAAUGAAUUGCAAUCUCCAAAUUGGUCCAACUUCUCUUCCAUGCCCUUUUUGCGCAUCCUCGGCCUUGGCAGCAAUAAUCUGGUGUCAAAAUUCCCAGAAUUUAUAUCUGACUCUCAUAGCCUCACUUUCCUUGACCUUUCUUUUAACAAGUUUACAGGUGAUCUUGUGCUUGAAUCAAUUUUUACCGAUCUACAUAAUCUUGAAAACCUCCAUCUUGCUGGAAAUUCCUUUGAGGGGCCGAUUCCACCUAGAGUAUUUAAGCUUUCCAAUUUAAAAGUUCUUGAACUCACGGGUAAUAACUUUUCUCGUUCUAUUUCCAACGAUAUAGGUUUGCUUUCUGAACUUGAGACCCUCUAUCUUGACUUCAAUUUUUUUGAUGGACCAAUUCCCCCAAAUAUAUUCAACCUUUCCCAAUUAAAAAUUCUUGAACUAACAGAAAAUAACUUUUCUGGUCCUGUUUCCAAUGAUAUAAGUUUGCUUUCUGAGCUUGAAAACCUCAAUCUUGCCUUAAAUUCUUCUGAUGGGCCUUUUCCAUCAAAGAUAUUCAACCUAACCAAAUUGAGACAUCUAAAUCUCUAUGGCAAUAAGAAUUUAUUUAAAGGAAGUAUCCCACUGGAUAUCAGAAACCUGAAGCUCCUGGAAUCUAUUAAUCUCGGUUCUAAUCAAUUGGUUGGACCACUUUCAAUGCUCAUUUCUAAUCUCACUAAUCUUAAGAUGGUUGGGCUAAGCGAUAAUAGGUUUUUUGGCAAAAUUCCUAGUGACUUCUUGAAAAACUUGCCAUCCUUACACGUCAUUGAUCUUUCAAAUAAUAAUUUGUCCGGAAAUAUUCCCAGGGAGUAUAACGUGCAUCCAAUUUUAGAAUACAUCAAUUUAAGUGGAAACCAUCUUACAGGUUUACUUCUCCCUCAAUAUAUUUUAUUUUCCUUUUGUAUGUUACAUUGAUUACACUUUUACCGAAGCUCAAACAAUUUUAACAGGUGAGAUCCCAGCAACAAUUUGCAAUGCUACAAACCUUUAUAUUCUGGUUCUGUCAGAUAAUGGAUUAAGUGGUGCCCUUCCGCAUUGUUUGGGAAAUCUUGCAGAUAAAAUGCAUUGCAUUGAUCUCGCUAAUAAUCAGUUCCGAGGACCAAUACCAACAACCUUCUCAGAGAGUUGCCAGUUAAGAUAUCUAAACAUGUAUGACAAUCAGUUAGAAGGACUUUUGCCCCGAUCUUUGUCAAACUGUAAGCACUUGAAAAUUCUUGACAUCGGGAACAACAAAAUGGGCGGUACAUUUCCUUCAUGGCUAUUCACUCUCAGAGAGCUAGAAGUCCUAGUCUUGCAAUCAAAUAAACUGUAUGGUCCAGUAAGUGGAAGGAGCACACAUCACAUCCAUUCCCCAAGUUGCGGAUUCUAGAUCUCUCCAACAACCAAUUCACGGGCUAUUUGCCAAUUCAAUACUCUUUAAGAAUAUGAAACCAGCUGCUGAUAACAUUUGUCUUAGGAUGACACAUGUUCUAAACUAUGACAAUAGUAUGCAAUCUCGUUUAAUACUUUCAUAUUAUGAACUAGUUCUGUUGAAUAAAUAAAUAUUAUUAAUUAAUCAAUCAUGUGCGCUCGAGUUUCCCUGGCCAGAUGCCCAGAUUAUUAGAGCAUCUCCAGCAGAGUCUUAACCGGUUCUCUAAAUAUAUAAUAAAAUAUGUAUCUUUUAAGGGAUUACUACAUUUUAGUGAAUGAGAACUCCAACAACAUUCCCUAUUUACAUUCUCUAUUAUUAUUAUAAUAUUAUAUUCAACUUGUAAUAAGAGAGAGAAAGUUUGGAAAGAGUAAAAGUGAGAAAAAAUAAGUGAAUAUUUUAUUCUUCAGAAUAAUAUAAGGAAAGAAAAUGCCAAAACAAUUAACUAUAAUCUACGCAAUAAUUUUUUAUAUUGAUUAGACGUUAUCUUUAUCAAUAUUUAGUCAGAUAUUCGGAUAUAUAUCAUUCCCUUUGUUUUUAUACCAUCUUUUUUUUGACUUUCGGGCCAAAUCACUACGUGGGUUGACUGGAUAGUAGAAAUUAAUAUUUUUGUCUGUUUUUUAAAAUAAAAAUCUGUAUUUUUAUUUUGAUUUCGAAGAAUAUAAUCCAUAAGGUAAAUAAUUUUUAANNNNNNNNNNNNNNNNNNNNNNNNNNNNNNNNNNNNNNNNNNNNNNNNNNNNNNNNNNNNNNNNNNNNNNNNNNNNNNNNNNNNNNNNNNNNNNNNNNNNNNNNNNNNNNNNNNNNNNNNNNNNNNNNNNNNNNNNNNNNNNNNNNNNNNNNNNNNNNNNNNNNNNNNNNNNNNNNNNNNNNNNNNNNNNNNNNNNNNNNNNNNNNNNNNNNNNNNNNNNNNNNNNNNNNNNNNNNNNNNNNNNNNNNNNNNNNNNNNNNNNNNNNNNNNNNNNNNNNNNNNNNNNNNNNNNNNNNNNNNNNNNNNNNNNNNNNNNNNNNNNNNNNNNNNNNNNNNNNNNNNNNNNNNNNNNNNNNNNNNNNNNNNNNNNNNNNNNNNNNNNNNNNNNNNNNNNNNNNNNNNNNNNNNNNNNNNNNNNNNNNNNNNNNNNNNNNNNNNNNNNNNNNNNNNNNNNNNNNNNNNNNNNNNNNNNNNNNNNNNNNNNNNNNNNNNNNNNNNNNNNNNNNNNNNNNNNNNNNNNNNNNNNNNNNNNNNNNNNNNNNNNNNNNNNNNNNNNNNNNNNNNNNNNNNNNNNNNNNNNNNNNNNNNNNNNNNNNNNNNNNNNNNNNNNNNNNNNNNNNNNNNNNNNNNNNNNNNNNNNNNNNNNNNNNNNNNNNNNNNNNNNNNNNNNNNNNNNNNNNNNNNNNNNNNNNNNNNNNNNNNNNNNNNNNNNNNNNNNNNNNNNNNNNNNNNNNNNNNNNNNNNNNNNNNNNNNNNNNNNNNNNNNNNNNNNNNNNNNNNNNNNNNNNNNNNNNNNNNNNNNNNNNNNNNNNNNNNNNNNNNNNNNNNNNNNNNNNNNNNNNNNNNNNNNNNNNNNNNNNNNNNNNNNNNNNNNNNNNNNNNNNNNNNNNNNNNNNNNNNNNNNNNNNNNNNNNNNNNNNNNNNNNNNNNNNNNNNNNNNNNNNNNNNNNNNNNNNNNNNNNNNNNNNNNNNNNNNNNNNNNNNNNNNNNNNNNNNNNNNNNNNNNNNNNNNNNNNNNNNNNNNNNNNNNNNNNNNNNNNNNNNNNNNNNNNNNNNNNNNNNNNNNNNNNNNNNNNNNNNNNNNNNNNNNNNNNNNNNNNNNNNNNNNNNNNNNNNNNNNNNNNNNNNNNNNNNNNNNNNNNNNNNNNNNNNNNNNNNNNNNNNNNNNNNNNNNNNNNNNNNNNNNNNNNNNNNNNNNNNNNNNNNNNNNNNNNNNNNNNNNNNNNNNNNNNNNNNNNNNNNNNNNNNNNNNNNNNNNNNNNNNNNNNNNNNNNNNNNNNNNNNNNNNNNNNNNNNNNNNNNNNNNNNNNNNNNNNNNNNNNNNNNNNNNNNNNNNNNNNNNNNNNNNNNNNNNNNNNNNNNNNNNNNNNNNNNNNNNNNNNNNNNNNNNNNNNNNNNNNNNNNNNNNNNNNNNNNNNNNNNNNNNNNNNNNNNNNNNNNNNNNNNNNNNNNNNNNNNNNNNNNNNNNNNNNNNNNNNNNNNNNNNNNNNNNNNNNNNNNNNNNNNNNNNNNNNNNNNNNNNNNNNNNNNNNNNNNNNNNNNNNNNNNNNNNNNNNNNNNNNNNNNNNNNNNNNNNNNNNNNNNNNNNNNNNNNNNNNNNNNNNNNNNNNNNNNNNNNNNNNNNNNNNNNNNNNNNNNNNNNNNNNNNNNNNNNNNNNNNNNNNNNNNNNNNNNNNNNNNNNNNNNNNNNNNNNNNNNNNNNNNNNNNNNNNNNNNNNNNNNNNNNNNNNNNNNNNNNNNNNNNNNNNNNNNNNNNNNNNNNNNNNNNNNNNNNNNNNNNNNNNNNNNNNNNNNNNNNNNNNNNNNNNNNNNNNNNNNNNNNNNNNNNNNNNNNNNNNNNNNNNNNNNNNNNNNNNNNNNNNNNNNNNNNNNNNNNNNNNNNNNNNNNNNNNNNNNNNNNNNNNNNNNNNNNNNNNNNNNNNNNNNNNNNNNNNNNNNNNNNNNNNNNNNNNNNNNNNNNNNNNNNNNNNNNNNNNNNNNNNNNNNNNNNNNNNNNNNNNNNNNNNNNNNNNNNNNNNNNNNNNNNNNNNNNNNNNNNNNNNNNNNNNNNNNNNNNNNNNNNNNNNNNNNNNNNNNNNNNNNNNNNNNNNNNNNNNNNNNNNNNNNNNNNNNNNNNNNNNNNNNNNNNNNNNNNNNNNNNNNNNNNNNNNNNNNNNNNNNNNNNNNNNNNNNNNNNNAUAUACACUUCCAUUUCCACUUUCCAGUAUUAAGUUUAGAAUUAAGAUCUUAACAACAUAGCAAUCAUUUAAACCUCGAAGAAAAUUGUGCACAUUAACAAGACCAAAGAGAAAACAGAUAGCAUAAAAUUGUGUAACACGUAUAAUUUAAAUCCACUUCUCAGUAUACUCCACAUUCAAGGUGAUCUAACUGCUACAAUAUUCUAAUUUUCACAGCUACGACACUGAACAAUAUAAGAACCAGUUUACUGUAAGUUUACUGAACAUAUAUAUACGACAUUGAACAAUAUAAAAUAGCUAUCCUUUGUAAGACCAAAAACAAAGGACACUAGCUAGCUAAUUCAAUAUACAAAACCACUCCAAUCAGUUUAUGAUAAGCAACUACAAACAUACAAAUACAUAUAAACAUACAAAUACAUAUAAACAUACUAUCUCAUUUUCCAAAAACCACAACUACAAACUAUCUCAUUUUCCAAAAACACACACUGAAAUACAUAUAUACAUACACAUACAACCACAAGGAUACCCAAACUCAAGUAAUAAAUAAGAAAUUACCUCCUCCAACUCGAAGAGAGCUUGAAUAGACUUGAACAGAGCUUGAACAGACUCCGAGCUCGAACUCCCUACAAACUCGAACUGAAGUACGAGCACCCACUAAACCCACAAACUCCACACUCGAACUGAACUCUGAGAUCUGUUGAAAAAACGAAUUAAAGAAGCAAAUGAGUAUUGUAAUCGAACAAACAUCAGUUUAUUAGGUACAAAUCAACCUUUAUCGCACAAAUUUAAGGAUGAAAUCGGCCGAAUUGGAACCUAGGGUUCGCUCGCUGAGAAAGGGGGAAGAACGGGGAGAGAGAAUGUAUUUUGUACAAAUGAUUUAAUUUAGGUAGUUUUAUUAGUUUUAUGUCUUUUUCCUUUUAAUUUUAUGUUUAAAGACAGGUGUUGAUGUCUUGUUCAGACAACACAUCAACUAAGCAGCGGGGUUUUAAAGGCGGGGUUUUUUUGUUUGUGAAAAAUUUGGCUAAGUGGGGAAUAGAAGCGGGGAAGCGCGGCCAAUUUUUUAAAAACAUGUUUUAGACAUCGGUUCUACACUAAGAUGAUGUCUAGUUUUUUAAUAGACAUCGGUUUUUAAAAUUUCGAUGUAAAAAAGGGUUUUAACAUCGGUGGUUUUUUUAACCGAUGUCUAAUCUGUGAUGUCUGAUCCUGUUUUUCUAGUAGUGAUCACUGCAACAAAAUAUUAGUUACGACGGAACAAUGUCGCUGGACUUUAUUUGUUUACAUUUUUUUAAUAGUAGUUAAUUUUUAAACUUGCGACGGAAAACAUACGACAGUCUACUUCGCGAGAGAAAAUCAUUUUAUUUUAUUUUUUAGCGCCAGAAUUUUAAUACUAAACUACUAUAGGGCCGUUUGGGCUAGCUUAAAAAAAGUGAUUUUUUACUUACAGUAAAGAAGUGGAUUAAAAGUGAGAAGCAAAUAAGUCAAUAAAAUGUUUGGAAAAGAAGUAGAAGCUGUGAGAGAGAAGUUAGCAUUCUCAGCUUCUUAAAAGUGCUUCUGCUUAUUUACAUAAACGGGUAAAAAAAAAAAAGCAAAAGCCAGAAGCAGCUUCUACUUCUCGAAACAAACAGGGCCAAUAUAUAUGAAGGAAACUGAUCUCUAUUGUUUUCAGCUUGCUCAUCCAUGGUAAGUAAUCCGUCGAAAAAGUUAGUUUGUUGUCGUGGUGUCUUAUCAUGAGAGAAAAUGGUAAUAUCGCAAAAUAUUUGCAACUGAAAGAUAAAUUAUAGUUCUAGAAACCAUUUAGGUAACGAUGCGCGGAGUUAUUUUCACUCACUUAGAAUUAAUGAUAAAUAUUUGCAACUGAAAGAUACAUUAUAGUUCUAGAAAAGGAUCCACGGAAUUAUUUUCACUCACUUAGAAUUAAUCCUAAGUUAUUGUGAGUUUUUGAAUAUGGAUUAUCUCAAAUUUUAUUAAAACACAUAUCGAUUCAUAUAGACAAAUUUGCCUACCUAAUAUUAUAAUAUUUAUGGCGAAGUUGUAUGAACAAUUGUGUAGAUAAUUAUACUUUACAAAGCAUACUUCUGCUAGCUGAAUUUUGAUUAAAAAAUCGAAAGGGAUAGGUCUGGGUCUCUCCAAGUCUUUGAGGACUCAUUCCAAGUCUUCUGAUGAGGACAAAAUAUAUCGCUGGUAGUCUUUCAGUCCUUCCUAGAGUAUUUUAUGCUCUGCACUGCAUUUGUGUUGAUAAUUUGCGCAAUGUUGAUGAGGAUUGCUCCAAGUCUUGGCGGACUCUUUCCAAAUCUUCCGAGGACCUAUCGGUUCAAUUUAGCCCAUUAAAAAUUUUAUUAUCUCAAAGCUAUCUGCAAAAUAAUAUAUAAGGUAAAAAUGAAUAUAUACCAUUGUUUUGUGAUUAAGUUGUAUAGGCAAUAUGCAUUGCAAAAUCAGCAACAGGAUAUAUGAAUACUAAUUAAUUACCUGAUAUCAGUAUGAACAAAUACUUUCUAUGUAGUUGUAAUAUUAGUCUUCUUUAAAAGUUAUCAUGAGGGAAGGUAUAUAUUGUGAUGCGGGAGAAAUAUUGUCACUGAAAAUAAUUAUAAUUCUAAAAUUUCCAUUAUACACUUUUUUUAGUGUUUGUACGUGGUAAGUACUUCAGACGACAUUUCUCGCGUAUGCCUCCGAUUAAGAAUUUGAUGUUCAGCCUAGUCCUAAACUAAAAUUAUUAUAAAUGUGUACUUCAAAAUUAUAUAUAUUGCUGGUAGUCUUUCAGUUCUUCCUGGUGUAUGCAAUUGUUUCAUUCAAUACCAAUUAUUUUAUACUAUGCACUCUGAUAUCAUGUUGAGAACAAUCCAUCAAAAACUUUAAACCUUAAUUAAGGUGUUAGAGGAAAAUACCAAUUAGAUCUUAUGCUAUAUUUCAAUACUUCCAACACUCUGCGAUGCAAAGCAGGGACUCUUGAGUAUUUUCAUAUGUGUAUUAGUUUUGAAGAUAAAAGUUGUAUAGAGAAUUGUGUUGAUAAUUUGCGCAAUUGCGCAAUGAUAACUGGGAUAGGUCAUCUUCUCUCCCAAGUCUUGGAUGGAAUCUUUCCAAGUCUUCUGAGAACCCAUCAGCUCAGAUUAGUCCAUACAAUGUCAAGGGUCCUAUGAUAUGGUCUACUAACAGCCCAGUGUCGGUAAUAAAUCCAAUUGCAUAUAACCUAUUCAAAAUCAAUCCCCUAUAAACAAUCAUCUCUAAAAACUAUUCACAUAAAAUAAAAUUUUAAAAAUAUAAAAUAUCUAGUUGUUUUCAAUAUAUAAUUUUCCACAGUAGAUAACANNNNNNNNNNNNNNNNNNNNNNNNNNNNNNNNNNNNNNNNNNNNNNNNNNNNNNNNNNNNNNNNNNNNNNNNNNNNNNNNNNNNNNNNNNNNNNNNNNNNNNNNNNNNNNNNNNNNNNNNNNNNNNNNNNNNNNNNNNNNNNNNNNNNNNNNNNNNNNNNNNNNNNNNNNNNNNNNNNNNNNNNNNNNNNNNNNNNNNNNNNNNNNNNNNNNNNNNNNNNNNNNNNNNNNNNNNNNNNNNNNNNNNNNNNNNNNNNNNNNNNNNNNNNNNNNNNNNNNNNNNNNNNNNNNNNNNNNNNNNNNNNNNNNNNNNNNNNNNNNNNNNNNNNNNNNNNNNNNNNNNNNNNNNNNNNNNNNNNNNNNNNNNNNNNNNNNNNNNNNNNNNNNNNNNNNNNNNNNNNNNNNNNNNNNNNNNNNNNNNNNNNNNNNNNNNNNNNNNNNNNNNNNNNNNNNNNNNNNNNNNNNNNNNNNNNNNNNNNNNNNNNNNNNNNNNNNNNNNNNNNNNNNNNNNNNNNNNNNNNNNNNNNNNNNNNNNNNNNNNNNNNNNNNNNNNNNNNNNNNNNNNNNNNNNNNNNNNNNNNNNNNNNNNNNNNNNNNNNNNNNNNNNNNNNNNNNNNNNNNNNNNNNNNNNNNNNNNNNNNNNNNNNNNNNNNNNNNNNNNNNNNNNNNNNNNNNNNNNNNNNNNNNNNNNNNNNNNNNNNNNNNNNNNNNNNNNNNNNNNNNNNNNNNNNNNNNNNNNNNNNNNNNNNNNNNNNNNNNNNNNNNNNNNNNNNNNNNNNNNNNNNNNNNNNNNNNNNNNNNNNNNNNNNNNNNNNNNNNNNNNNNNNNNNNNNNNNNNNNNNNNNNNNNNNNNNNNNNNNNNNNNNNNNNNNNNNNNNNNNNNNNNNNNNNNNNNNNNNNNNNNNNNNNNNNNNNNNNNNNNNNNNNNNNNNNNNNNNNNNNNNNNNNNNNNNNNNNNNNNNNNNNUGUAUUAGUUUUGUAAGAUAAAAGUUGUAUGGACAAUUGUGUUGUAUAAUUUGCGCAAUGAUAACUGGGAUAGGUCAUCUUCUCUCCCAAGUCUUGGAUGGAAUCUUUCCAAGUCUUCUGAGAACCCAUCAGCUCAGAUUAGUCCAUACAAUGUCAAGGGUCCUAUGAUAUGGUCUACUAACAGCCCAGUGUCGGUAAUAAAUCCAAUUGCAUAUAACCUAUUCAAAAUCAAUCCCCUAUAAACAAUCAUCUCUAAAAACUAUUCACAUAAAAUAAAAUUUUAAAAAUAUAAAAUAUCUAGUUGUUUUCAAUAUAUAAUUUUCCACAGUAGAUAACAAAAUAUCUUUAUCAAAUUGUUAUUUAUGGGUUCAAUAUUUAAGCUAUAAUUCCAAUAACACGGCAAGCAUGCAGCGUAUAAAUAGAAGUGUGCAGUAUGUUAUCAGAUUCAUAACCCAGUUGAUCAGGAGAAACAUGGCAUACUCUGCAAAGCCUUCUCACCUUCUUCUCUUUGUUUUCUUUCUCUCAUCACUUGAAUCCAUUCUUGCAACAACACGAGAAGGAGAAGCUCUUGUGAAAUGGAAGAAUAGCCUAGCCCCUUCUUCUUUUCUCGAUUCUUGGUCCCUCACCAAUCUCGAAAAUCUUUGUAACUGGACUGGCAUUACUUGUAACUCUGCAGGUUCAGUCUCUGAGAUUAAUCUCUGUGAGAAACAACUUAAUGGAAUGCUGUCCGAGUUUGGUUUCACUUCAUUUCCAAAUCUCAACUAUCUCACACUCGCAGACAACUUCUUCUCCGGUCCAAUACCACCAGCCAUUGAGAAUUUAACACAGCUUCAAUAUCUUGAUUUGAGAAAUAAUUAUCUAGAUGGUCCCAUUCCGUUCCAGGUUAGCCAUCUUCAGAGCUUGCUCAUAUUAAACCUGUCACAGAAUGCAUUGCAAGCUACAAAUUGGUCCAAUUUCUCUCCCAUGCCUUUUUUGCGCAUCCUCAACCUCAGUAGCAAUCAUCUUGUAUCGAAAUUCCCAGAAUUUAUAUCCAAUUCUCAUAGCUUGGCUAUCCUUGACCUUUCACAUAACAACUUUACAGGUGAUCUUGUGCGUGAAUUUACCAAUCUACAAAAUCUUGAAACCCUCUGGCUUUAUUGUAAUUCUUUUGAGGGGCCAUUUCCGCCGGAUAUAUUCAGGCUCUCCAAAUUAAAACGUCUCUCCCUGUCAAGUAACAAAUUUUCAGGUUCAGUUCCCAAUGACAUAAGGUUGCUUUGUGAUCUUGAAUCCUUAAACUUAAGCAACAAUUCUUUUGAAGGACCGCUUCCACCAAAUUUAUUCAAGCUUUCGAAAUUAAAGAGUCUUUUUCUUUGGAGUAAUAAGUUUUCAGGUUCUAUUUCCAAUGAUAUAGGUUUGCUUUCUGAGCUUGAAUUUCUCAAUCUUUACGAUAAUUUUUUUGAGGGGCCGCUUCCAUGCAUCAAAUAUAUUCAAGCUCUCCAAAUUAAGGGUUCUUUACCUUAACGGUAAUAAACUUCUAGGUUCUCUUUCCAAUGAUAUAGGUUUGCUUUCUGAGCUUGAAACCCUCAAUCUUCGCUCUAAUUUUUUUGAGGCUCCGUUUCCGUCAAAUAUAUUCAAGCUUUCCAAAUUAACAAUUCUUGACCUCGCAUACAAUAGAAAUUUAUUUGAAGGAAGUUUUCCUAUUGGACUGGGACUCUUGACUAACCUCAGCUACUUAGAUCUAACUUCCACUAAUCUCAGUGGCUCAUCUGCCAUUGGAAACCUCAAGCUACUACUAUAUCUUGGUCUCAGUUAUAAUCAAUUGACUGGACCGCUUUCAAACAUUGUUUCUAAUCUAACAAAUCUUAUAUUUCUUGGUGUGGAUCAUAAUAGUCUUAGUGGAAAUAUUCCGAGUGACUGGUGGAAAGCCUCUGUAUCCUUACUUUACAUUGAUCUUGGAUAUAAUUAUUUGUCUGGGAACAUUCCUAAGGAAUAUAAAGAUCAUCCAACUUUGGAAUACAUCGAUUUAAGUGGGAACCAUUUUACAGGUAUUUUUUUCUCUAUAUAUCUUUUCCUUUUGUCACAUGUAACUAAGCUAGUAAUCUGAUUAUUGCAGUUUUACCUAAGUUUUAACAAUCUUGACAGGUGAGCUUCCAACAACAAUUUGCAAUGCUACCUCCCUUUCGGUUCUUGCUUUGUCAAAUAAUGGAUUAAGUGGUGCACUUCCAAACUGUAUUGCGAAUCUUGCUGAUGGAUUGCUUUACAUUAAUCUUGCUAAUAAUCAGUUUCGAGGAGCAAUACCAACUACUUCAUCCAAAAGUUGUCAGCUGACCUAUCUCAACAUGGAUAAUAAUGAGUUUGAAGGAUUGCUGCCCCCAUCUUUGGCGAACUGUAAGCACUUGAAGAUUCUUGAUAUUGGCAAUAAUAAAAUAGGUGGUACAUUUCCUUCAUGGCUUUAUGCACUUGGAGAGCUAGAAGUCCUUGUCUUGCGAUCAAAUAAACUCUAUGGUCCAAUAAGUGGGAGGAGCAUAGAAAAUCCCUUCCCCAAGUUGCGGAUUUUGGAUCUGUCCAACAAUCAAUUCUCAGGCCAUUUGCCAAUUCAAUACUUCAAGAAUAUGAAAUCAACUGAUAAAUUGUAUCGCUAUCAGAAUGCCACAACAUUAACGGGUUUCCAAUAUGAUGCAUCAGUCCCAUUAACUGUGAAGGGAACAGAGUAUGAAGUGAAAAAUAUCCUUCAUAUUUACACAGCCAUUGAUCUGUCCUGCAACAAGUUUCAAGGAGAAAUUCCUGACGUUAUUGGAGAGCUUAGAUGGCUUGCAUUGCUGAACUUAUCUCAUAAUAGUCUAACAGGACCUAUCCCAUCAUUGCUGAGAAAUAUGAAAGAACUCCAAUCUUUAGAUUUGUCGUCAAAUCAACUGACAGGGGCUAUUCCACCUCAGUUAACUGCACUGACAUUUCUAGAGGUCUUCAACCUCUCGGGAAACCAUCUUAGUGGAGAGAUUCCUCAGAAAGGACAGUUCAGCACAUUUAACAAUGAUUCUUAUCUAGGAAACUCCGCGUUAUGUGGAUCACCAUUGACGAAGAAAUGUGCAAACACAGCAUCACCUCCACAAGAAGUCGGAAAUGUUGAUGAAGAUGAUGCGGGUGAUGAAUUGACAUGGGAAGCAAUCUUGAUGGGAUAUGGAUGUGGACUGAUAUGUGGAUUGUCAUCUGCUUACAUUGUUCUCAAACUAGGAAAGCCUUGGUGGUUUGUGAGAUAUAUCGAAGUGCUGCAACUGAAGUUGAUGAAAAGAUAUGCAUGAAGAAUGGUACUGGCCGAUCAAGACGAACUUGAAAGUUGUUGGACAUUUCUGAACCAGUAGUGUACUAUUCUCUUUGUGGCUGCAUAAGUUUUUGGUAUUGUGUAAUAUUCUGUUUGGUCUUGAAUUUCAGGGGUAUUAAUAUAAACCUUGGUAUUGUGUAAUAUUCUGUUUGAUCAAUGUUUAUAUCAAUAAUUUUAUGCUCCUCACUGCAUCAUGCAGCUCUCAUAUUAUCUUCAUAUGUGUAUUAUUUGGAUAUCAAAGUUGCAGGGACAUAUGGAUAUGUGUUAACAGGGACUGCUCGGUCUUGGACGGACUCUUUCCAAGUCCUCUGGGGUCCUAUCGGUUCAAAUUAGUCUAUUAUCUGCAUACUAAUUUGUCCAACUCGGGCUUGAAUAGUAAAGAUAAAGAGUGCGAGUUGAGUUUCUCAAAGUAUGAGUACAAUAUCGUUUUUGAAUGAUAGUUAGGGGUGCGAUAUGCAAUUACCUCAAAAAUAUAUGAUCAUUAGUAUAUUAUAUUAGUAUCCACACACUUAUAUCUCAAAAUCUAUCCUCCAAAAUUAUCAUCUCUAUAGGCUAGCCACAUAAAAUAAAAAUUUAAAGAUAUUAGAUUUUUAGUUAUUUUCAUUAUAUAAUUUUUCCACGCAAAAUAACAAAAUAUCUUUAUCAACUUAUUAUUUAUGAGUUAAAUAUUCAAGUUAUAUAAUUCGGACAUGCUGGGUAUAAAUUGAAGUGUAACGCCUAAUUUCCGGGGUCUGGGAGUAGUUGGCGGGGUAUGAGAGAGCAGGCUAUUUAGAAGUCUUGGUCAUGAAAACUUCCAAGCUAAACUUCGACAACGGAAUCUUCUGAGGCUACUAUUCUAAAGCACGCAUAAUCAUUGUAUCCAUUUUCCGACAAAAAGUCUAUUUAAGCAAAUGAAAUACAAACAACUGAGUGGAAUGCUGACCGAAAGUCUUUUUGACUAAGCUUAUGAUUUAUUAGUACAUGAUUAAUAUGAUAAGCUAAGCUGAGAGCAUAAGAUAUCGUGUGUAUAAUUUUGUGUUUAUUAAUGACUUAUAAAUUAUUAAAAAUAUAAUAAGAAAAAUAAAAAUGAUUUAUAACUAAUUUAUGUUUUAUGAGUAAUUUUUAUUAGAAAAAAGUUUUAAAAAAUUAUUUCACUGGAAAAAAAACCUCCAACUAACUUUUGGCUCUAAGUCAGUUUUUGAUUUAUUUAUGACUUUAUGUCGGAUUCUGAUUUUUACACAAAAAUCUGGUUUUAAACCUCUGAGUUUGGUUUCACUUCAUAUACAAACCUCAACAAUUUCACCAUCAAACACAAUGACUUCUCCAAUCUCCGGUCCAGUACCACCAGCCAUUGAGAAUUUGGCACAACUUCAAUUCCAUACCAGGUUAGUCGUCUUCGGAGAUUACACGUCUUAGACCUGUCAAAUACAAAUUUCAAUCUCCAAACUGGUCCGAUUUAUCUUCUAUGCUUUUUGUUGAGUCCGGCUCAUCUAAAGCCUUAAGAUGUUAGAGGAAGCACCCAAUGAAUCUUAUAUAUGCUAUAUUUUAACAAUUCUGAGCACACUCAACCUUGGUAUUAAUAAUAUUGUGUCGAAAAUUCCAGAAUUUAUAUCUAAUUCUCAUAGCCUAACUUUCCUUGACCUUUCCAUAUAACAAAUUUACAGUUAAUCCUGUGCUUGAAUCAGUAUUUGCAACCAAAAUUAUGCAAUUAUAGUGCAGGUAGUCUUCCAGUUUACGCUCUACACUCCAGGAUAAGCUCGCAUAUAAUUGACAGCUAUAAUCCUUCCAACACUUUGUGAUGCAAAGCAGAGGGAUAGGUUGGCUUAAAAAUAUAUAAGGUCACUUAUGCAUCGCUCUUCACACACUUAGACCCUGUUUGUGUGGGCUUUAAGUCCCGGCUCAAGCUAUUUCGACUUAAUCACUUCCGAGACCAAUACCAACAAGUUAAGAUAUCUAAAUAUGUAUGACAAUCAGUUAGAAGGACUAUUGCCGGGCAACAACCUUCUCAAAGAGUUGCCAGUUAAGAUAUCUAAACAUGUAUGACAAUCAGUUAGAACUUUAGAAGGACUAUUGCCCCCAUCUUUGUCAAACUGUAAGCACUUAAAAAUUCUUGACAUCGGGAACAAUAAAAUGGGUGGUACAUUCCCUUCAUGGCUAUUUAAUCUCGGAGAGCUAGAAGUCCUAGUCUUGCGAUCAAAUAGACUGUACGGUCCUGUAAGUGGAAGGAGCACAUCACAUCCAUUCCCCAAGUUGCGGAUUCUAGAUCUCUCCAACAAACAAUUCGCGGGCUAUUUGCCAAUUCUAAACUUUAAGAAUAUGAAACCAGCUGCUGAUGAUAACGCGUAUAGUUAUAAAAAUAAGUCACAAGGACUAAUUAAUUACAUCUAUGAAGCAUCUAUCUCCUUAAAUGUGAAAGGAACAGAGUAUGAAGUGAAGAACAUUCUUCAUAUUUACACAGCCAUUGAUCUAUCGUGCAACAAAUUUCACGGAGAAGUUCCAAAGAGAGCUUAAAUGGCUUGCAUUGCUCAAUCUAUCUCAUAAUAGUCUUGCCGGACAUAUGUUCUGAAUUAUUAUUAUGCUUUCAUCAAUAUUUUCAAACAUUUCUCAAUAUGUAUUUUCAAAGAAUUCUCAAGCCCUGGAACAUUUGGACCGGUUCUUUGGAAGCCAAGAUACCCAGGUUAUCAUGGCCAUGCACAAAAAUGAAUAAAUUAUUCCAAGUCUUCCAUGACUCAUUCCAAGUCUUCGGAGGAGACCCUGAGCACAAAGAUGCUCAGGGUCUCCCCAAGCCUUCCAGGACUCAUUCCAAGUCUUCGGAGCACGGUCUCGCCUCGCCCUUUCAAAGAUGUGAUAGUAGCUCGAGAGUGAUAUAAAUUAUUUUCCCGACACUAAAAAUAAAUAAUCAGAUCAAAUUAAUCAAUAAUGUAUUAAGGAUGAAAUCCAAAUUAAUCCUAAAUUUUGAUAAUAUAUAAAAAUUAUAAUUAUAAAUUAUAUACCAAAUCAGAAUUGAAUUAAUUCCUUGGCACUAAAAUUGAUAAAGAAAGUAUAAUAAUUUAAAUUUAAUUGAUGAAAAGUCAAAGUCUUCUAAUAAAUCCAUAAAGAAUAUGAUAAUCAAAAUAAUGAAAAUUAUAAUUGAAAAAUCAAAAUCAUUAGUGUAUUGGAAUAGUGUUCACACACUUGUAUAUCAAAAUUUGUGGUCCAAAAACUAUAGCACAAUAUCCUAAAUACACCACAUUAAAUAUUAGUUCAAAAAUAUUUAGUAAAUAAUUGUUUUCAUUCAUCAUUUUGUUAUUUAAAAAACUAAUAAUUUGGGUUGAUGUUAACCUAUAUUUUAAUAUAUAAUUAUAUUAUUUUCGUCUUAUUUAUUUAACUAGAAACAAUAUUUUUAUCAUACAUCAAUUAUAUUAAAAGAUAUAAUUUUAUUAAAAAAAUUGAAUUAUUAUUUAUGAAUUCCAGCAUGAAGCGUAUAAAUAGAAGUGUGCAGUUGAUCAGAUUUAUAACCCAGUUGAUCAGGAGAAACAUGGCAUACUCUGCAAAGACUUCUCACCUUCUUCUCUUUGUUUUCUUUCUCUCAUCACUUGAAUCCAUUCUUUCAACAAGACGAGAGGGAGAAGCUCUUGUGAAGUGGAAGAAUAGCCUAGCCCCUUCUUCUUUUCUCGACUCUUGGUCACUCACCAAUCUCGAAAAUCUUUGUAACUGGACUGGCAUUACUUGUAACUCUGCAGGUUCAGUCUCUGAGAUUAACCUUUGUGAGAAACAACUUGAUGGAAUGCUGUCCGAGUUUGGUUUCACUUCAUUUCCAAAUCUAAACAGUCUCACCCUCGCAGACAACUUCUUCUCGGGUCCAAUACCACCAGCCAUUCAGAACUUAACAAGGCUUCAAUACCUUGAUUUAAGCUUGAAUUAUCUCAAUGGUACCAUGCCUUUCUUGCGCAUCCUCAACCUCAGUAGCAAUCCUCUUGCGUCGAAAUUCCCAGAUUUUAUAUCCAGUUCUCAAAGCCUGACUCACCUUGACCUUUCAUAUAACAUGUUUACCGGUGAUCUAGCAUGUGAACCAUUAUUUGCCAACCUGCAUAAUCUUGAAGUCCUCAGUCUCGUUGAAAAUUCUUUUGAGGGGCCAUUUCCACCGGAUAUAUUCAGGCUUUCCAAAUUAAAACAUCUUAGCCUGUCAGUUAACAAACUUUCAGGUUCAAUUCCCAAUGACAUAAGGUUGCUUUGUGAUCUUGAAUACCUAUAUUUAGCCAACAAUUCCUUUGAAGGACCACUUCCACCAAAUAUAUUCAAGCUUUCAAAAUUAAAACAUCUUGUUCUUUGGGGUAAUAAGUUUUCAGGUUCUGUUUCCAAUGAUAUAGGUUUGCUUUCGGCGCUUGAAGCCCUCGAUCUUUAUUCUAAUUUUUUUGAGGGGCCGCUUCCACCAAAUAUAUUCAAGCUCUCAAAACUAAGGAUUCUUUCCCUUGGGAACAAUAACUUUUCAGGUUCUGUCUCUAAUAAUAUAGGUUUGCUUCCUGAGCUUGAAACCCUAUGUCUUGACUCUAAUUUGUUUGAGGGGCCGCUUCCCCCACAUAUAUUCACGCUCUCUAAAUUAAGAUAUCUAGACCUCUCAAACAAUAGAAAUUUAUUUGAAAGAAGUAUUCCUAUUGGAUUGGGACUCUUGACUAACCUCAGGUACUUAGAUCUAUAUUCCAGUAAUCUCAGCGGCUAUAUUCCAUCUGACAUUGGAAACCUGAAGCUACUAGUAGGUCUUAAUCUCGGUUCUAAUAAAUUGACUGGACCAGUUUCAAAGAUCGUUUCUAAUCUCACAAAUCUUAUAUUUCUUAGUGUAAGAAAUAAUAGUCUUAGUGGAAAUAUUCAGAGUGACUUGUGGAACUUCCCUAAGGAAUAUAACAAUCAUCCAACUUUGGAAUACAUCGAUUUAAGUGGGAACCAUUUUACAGGUAUCUUUUCUCUAUAUAUCUUUUCCUUUUCUCAUAUGUAACUAAGCUAGUAAUCUGAUUAUUGCAGUUUUACCAAAGUUUCAACAAUCUUGACAGGUGAGCUUCCAACAACAAUUUGCAAUGUCACUUCCCUUUCGGUUCUUGAUUUGUCAAAUAAUGGAUUAAGUGGUGCACUUCCAAACUGUUUCGGGAAUCUUGCUGAUGGAUUGCUUUACCUUAAUCUUGCUAAUAAUCAGUUUCGAGGAACAAUACCAACUACUUUCUCCAGGAGUUGUCGGCUGAAAUAUCUAAACAUGGAUAAUAAUGAGUUUGAAGGAUUGAUGCCCCCAUCUUUGGCGAACUGUAAGAACUUGAGAAUUCUUGAUAUUGGCAACAAUAAAAUAGGUGGUACAUUUCCGUCAUGGCUUUAUGCACUUGGAGAGCUAGAAGUCCUUGUCUUGCGAUCAAAUAAACUCUAUGGUACAAUAAGUGGAAGGAGCAUAGAAGAUCCCUUCCCCAAGUUGCGGAUUGUGGAUCUGUCCAACAAUCAAUUCACAGGCCAUUUGCCAAUUCAAUACUUUAAGAAUAUGAAAUCAACUGAUAAUUUGUAUCGUUAUCAGAAUGACACAGGAGAUUUUAUUUUCCAUUAUGAAGCAUCUGUCUCAUUAACUGUGAAGGGAACAGAGUAUGAAGUGAAAAAUAUCCUUCAUAUUUACACAGCCAUUGAUCUGUCGUGCAACAAAUUUCAGGGAGAAAUUCCAAAGGUUACUGGAGAGCUUAGAUGGCUUGCAUUGCUCAACUUAUCUCAUAAUAGUCUUACUGGACCUCUCCCAUCACUGCUUGGAAAUAUGGAAGCACUCCAAUCUUUAGAUUUGUCUUCAAAUCAACUGACAGGGGCUAUUCCACCUCAGUUAACCGCAUUGACAUUUCUAGAAGUCUUAAACCUCUCGAGAAACCAUCUUAGUGGAGAGAUUCCUGAGAAAGGACAGUUCAGCACAUUCAACAAUGACUCUUAUCUAGAAAACUCUGCGUUAUGUGGAUCACCCUUGACGAAGAAAUGUGUAAACACUGCAUCACCCCCACAGGAAGUCGGAAAUGGUGAUGAAGAUGAUGCUGGUGAUGAGUUGACAUGGGAAGCAAUCGUGAUGGGAUAUGGAUGUGGACUGAUAUGUGGAUUGUCAUCUGCAUACAUUGUUCUCAAACUAGGAAGGCCUUGGUGGUUUGUGAGAUAUGUCGAAGUACUGCAACUGAAGUUGAUGAAAAGAUAUGCAUGAAGAAAGGUACUGGUCGAUCAAGACAAACUUGAAAGUUGUUGUCCUGGUAGACAUUUCUGAACCAGUAGUGUACUAGCUGCAUAAGUAUUUGGUAUUAUGUAAUAAUCCAUUUGGUCGGGACUCAUAAUGAUUUCUCUUGCUUCAGGGGUAUUAAUAUUAACCUUGCUAUCUUGAUCUGUGUUAAUGCAAAUGAAAAAGAAUGGAAAAACAAAAAAAUUGCAUCAAACCUGUUGUACCAAGAUCCAUUAAUCUGCUUUCAUCUCUUACGCAACAAUUUAACAGCACUUUCACACUGUUUGAAUGAUUAUCAUAAAUUCGAGUUUUCCUCGCCAGCACCAAAUCCAAAUAUACAAUCCCACACAUUCCAGUCUCAGCUUCAGCUCCCAGGCUAGCAUUGAUUUAGCCAAGCACGACAGUGGCCGCUUGUGUGCCUAACAAUGACAGUUGGGGAUUUGAUGGAACGUGCCUUGGUCCUGCCUUCAAAUGUCUAACAAUAACAGUUGGAUAUGUCGACAAAAAAAUUGUUCCUCACACUGAGGAAUAACUCUGACAGUUCUUUUCAUUGUGCCUUGGUCCAGUAAGUGGAAGGAGCACAUCACAUCCAUUCCCCAAGUUGCGGAUUCUAGAUCUCUCCAACAACCAAUUCACGGGCUAUUUGCCAAUUCAAUACUUUAAGAAUAUAUGAAACCAGCUGCUGAUAAAGCGUAUAGUUAUCAAAAUAAGUCACAAGGACUAAUUAAUUACAUAUAUGAAGCCUCUAUCUCCUUAAAUGUGAAAGGAACAGAGUAUGAAGUGAAAAACAUCUCUUUAUAUUAUAGCUCCUGAUGCGUGAUUUGUACAGUUACCACACUGCUUAAUUCUUCACCUCAAAGUUCCACCUUAUUACAAAAAUGCCACCGCUCUAUUAAGCGGCACCCACGUAAGCUCAUUGCCACCACGUGCUAUCUUCCUGCUGUCUUUUGUUUAUUUUAUUCACUAAACCGUACUUACCCGAAGCUUAUGUAACAAGCUUACAUUCUUUACAUUUUACUCAUUUCAAAAUUUAAAACCCAGCCUCCACGGCUCCCUUACAAAAGUAACCGGUUUGAACGUAAAGUUUUCAAAACUAACCAGCCUACGUUCAACUUUUCAAAACUAACCAGCCUAAAUCAAAAAAAGUCGGGCGACCCUUACCUGUUUUUUUCCCGAGCACCGGUCGCCCUCCUCAGGGGCGUCCCCCAUUGGAGUUCAUCAAGCACAGGUCGCCCUCCUCAGGGGCGUCCCCCCUUGAAGUUCUGUGACGUGGUCCGCCCAAUCACGGGCGACCACGUGUGACACUACCCCCUUAAAACCCCCUCCCAGCCACACAAACACACAAUUACACACACAUUUGCACACACUCAGUUUGAAAACAACACUGCAGCAGCCACAGCAAGGAGCCGAAAGGGGAGAUUUUGGUAAAGGAAGGAAGAAAAGUGGGAGAGGAUCGCCCGAGCUAGCAUCAAGGUCGCCCACCCUAGCAAAAAAUUUGAAGGUACUACCUUAUUCCUCCCCUAAAUAUUAGUAUAUAAAGCCUUGAUUUGUAAUUUAUUACUUGAUUAGUUUGUCUUGCAUGUUACAAAUAUCGAUUAUGUUCAUGAUUAUGGCUAAUUUAUAGACUAGUGUUAUAAUUACCGGCUUGAGAUUAGUGUUAUAAUUACCGGAUUGAGAUUUGGUACAUUAUGAUUUUUAAAUUUGUUAAAAAAUUUAAAGAUUUAUAAUAGAAAUUAAGGAUAAUUUAUAGAUUUGAUAUGUUGGAAUUUAAGAUUUUAUGCUUUUUAGAUUUUGUAGGUAGUAAUUAAAUUUAGUUGGAGAGAAAAAAUAUAAUAUAAUAUUCGAAUUAAAAAGAUAUUGAGAAUAUAAUAUUCGAAUUAAAAAAUAUUCGAAUUAAAAUAUAUUAAAAUAUAAUAUUCGAAUUAAAAAUAUAAUAUAAUAUUCGAAUUAAAAUAUAAUAUAAUAUAUAUUCGAAUUAAAAAAUAUUCGAAUUAAAAUAUAUUAAAAUAUAAUAUUCAAAUUAAAAAUAUAAUAUAAUAUUCGAAUUAAAAUAUAAUAUAAUAUAUAUUCGAAUUAAAAAAUAUUCGAAUUAAAAUAUAUUAAAAUAUAAUAUUCGAAUUAAAAAAUAAUAUAAAAUAUAUUGAGAAUUAAAAAAAUUAGAAAGCAAAUAAAAUAUUCGGAUAAAAAAGAUAUUAAUAGCUAAUAUUAAAAAAAAUCGAUUUAUAAUAAUAAAAAUUCGAAAAAAAGCAAAAUAAUCGAAUUAAAAUAAAAUUUUCGAACAUAUAUUAAUAAAAAUCUUAAUUAUAUUAAUAUAUAAUUCGAAUAUAUGAAAUUUCGAGAAUUAGAAUAUUUAUGAAAUUAAGAGAAUUAAAAUAAAUAGGAAAUUCGAACAAAAAUUAAUUUAAGGUACGCUCUCGAUUCUCUCUAAAUUAAUGUGUAUAUAUAUAUAAUGACUUGAUUUGGAUUAUUGUUGUUUUAUUAGCUUGAGUUGCAUGUUAUAAGAUCGGUUAGUUUAUUGAUUGUGGCUUGAGAUUUGUUAUAAUUGAAAUUAAGGCUAAUUUAUAGAUUUGAUAUGUUGGAAUUAAGGCUAAUUGAAAUUAAGGCUAAUUUAUAGAUUUGAUAUGUUGGAAUUAAGGCUAAUUGAAAUUAAGGCUAAUUUAUAGAUUUGAUAUGUUGGAAUUUAAGAUUUUGUGCAUGUUAGAUUUUGUAGGUAGUAAUUUAAUUUAGUUAGAAACAAAAGCUUUGAAUUCGAAUUACAAAUAUUAUGUUGGAAUGAGAUUUUGUAUAUAUACAAAAGCUUUGAAUUCGAAUUAUAAAUAUAUUUGAAAAUUGUUGGCGCAGAUGGAUCCUGCAGCUUAUCAUCCCGGGCCGGUUAACGGCACUUUGUUGACAUUGCAGGACACGCAUAGGUCCACUUUUGUGUGGAACAGUAGUACGGUAAUGACUUGAUGGACUGUUGUUUAUUAAAGUUAAUGUUUGCUUCACUAUAAACUGCUGACAAGUUCCUGUAUUUUAAAUUGCAGGACAUUCCUGAUCUUAGAGUCAGGACGAACUUCGGUGAGUACUGGAAUGUAGUUGACCAAACCAGGCCGCCUCAGACGAUAAUAGAUGCUAUUAAUGAUGCGGGCUUUGAGUGGGUGUUCAGGUUGGGUCAGGUCAAGCAUGACAGGGGCUUGAUCACUGCUUUUAUCGAGAGGUGGCGUCCAGAGACGCACACUUUUCAUCUACCUUUCGGGGAGGCCACCAUUACACUGGAGGAUGUCCAUCACAUUCUCGGGUUACGAACCACUGGCCGGCCAUUUAUUCUACAUGGCUUCACCACCACAGCUCGCGAGAGAUUGGCCAUGAUACGCGAUGUUCUUGGAGUGACUCCUAAGCCGGCUGAUGUGAGGAAGAACGGCUUGAGGAUCGGUUGGUUGAUUGAAAAAUUUGGCGACUGUGCCCGGUUGGACGAGGCAGCGGAGGAUUUUGAUGCACAGACUAUCUUUCACAUCAGGGCACACCUACUGUGUGUUAUUGGAUCGUUGUUUCCUGAUAGCAGCGGGAACUAUGUGAAUCUCAACCUCCUUUGGAUGCUACGUGACUUGCAGAGCGUGGAUGGUUAUAGCUGGGGGAGUGCUGUUCUUGCAUACCUUUAUAGGAAGAUGUGCGAUUCCACCCAUAAAGUCACAACCGGCUUCAUUGGCUACGCCACCACUACGCCAUAUAUGAUCUAUCGCAAUGGUAUGAACGCGAGUGUUGCAAAAUUAUGUUGCAAUAGAGACACUGAUCCAUAUCUACCGCAACGAUAACCAUUCAUGUCAAUUAUAUGUUGCAAUAGCAAACAUUAUGUGUUGCAGCUUGUAAUAUACUUGUAAAAGUGUUAGCUUAAAGUAUUAUAAUAUUAUUUUAACAUUAAAUAAUAAUUUAAAUUAUUUUAACAAUAUUUUAAAGUGAUAUGCAAAUUAAAUAAAUAAGAUACGCGAUGAUAUGCAAAUUUUAUUCAUAAUAAUUAAAAAAAUUAAAAUAGGAAUUUUAAAAGUAAUUAAUUUUUUUAAAAGCAAUGAAAAGUAAAAAUAAUUAAAUUCCCCUUGUUUUGAUAUCAGAACUGAUAUAUAAGUUUCAAAAAUAAAAAUAUAGAUAUACGAAUUAUAAGUAGUAAUAAAUACAUAUAAUGAAUUUUGUUCCUAAAAUAAUUACAUGAAUUUUAUUUGUUAAAAUAAUAAAGUAUAGGUGCAGACGUGCAGUACAUUAUUUGACUUUAUUGAACUGGGCAAAUAUCGAGCUCAAAGCGGGUAAAAAUUAGGCUUACAGCCGCCCAAAUUUUCAGCCAAGUUUGAAAUUUUCACACAUACACUAUACACGCUCGAGUCUCCUUGAAUACCCUCAACACUCACUACACUCUCUCCCUCGCUCAACUCUCUCUCCCUUCUCUACUCUCUCUCUCUUGUUAAUCUCUCUGAAGCUAAUCUCUCUCUGGCCACCAUUUUCACUCAAUCUCGCCAUCACUUUUAAUUAACUUGGAUUUGCAUUUAUAGUUGGAGCACAGUUGAUUUGUGGGUCGAGGUUCCAAUUCUUCAAUUAGGGUUUUGGCUUUUCAAUCAGGGUUUUGGUUCUUCAUUAAACUUCAAUUAGGGUUCAAUUACUUACAUAUAAUCUCUUAAACUUCAUCUGAUAUCUCUUUCUCUUUGAUUUCAGGUGUUCUUAGUUUGGGUUUGCACUCCAAGACUUUAUUAUAAGGUAUUUUUGAAUUUAGGGCUUCAUGUUAUGAGUUUAUUUGCAUUUAGUGUUCUUUGUUUUUAUGUUUAUUUGGUUUAUUAUCUUUAUCUAGUUUAUUUCCUUUGAUUUUUUGUUUUUUUUUUCAUUUGUUUUGUGAAAUUGCAAUACUCUGUUUUUGUGUUAAUUUUUUUGUUGCUUAAAAGUGUUCAACAACAAUAUUCUUCUUAAUUAUAAAAGAUCUAUCACGAGGAAGAGGUCCCUGUUUUGUAUAAUAUCUUGUAUGUCUUUUCUUUUCUGUAUAUUAUUAAGCUACCUUGGGGCAUCCUUUUUCUAGACCAGAUUUCGUGCGCAAUCUUUAGUAAAGAGCAAAUAUUCCGAUUCUUUUGCAUUUGUCUCAAUGUCAGUGCUUUGCAUAUAUGGAUAUAUUUUACAUGAAAAUGGUGCUUUUGUUGUUGGCCUGCUUAAUGUUCAAGACAUGUAGUCAACUCAGUUUAGUGUGACAAUAAGACUUUCUCAUUUCAUUAUGAUUCUCACAUAUUUUAUGCUCGUCACAGUACAACACAGUUUUGUAUUUGGUGUGAGUGAGCAGUAAAGAAUUCUAUGGAAGAUGCUAGUGACUACCGGUGGUAUAUAACCAGGUAAAAAUAAUGCUCAGUUGAUAAUCCUUAUAAGGGAGGCUCUUACUAUUUCUUCCUCUUUAACAUUGAGUUGUUUUAAUGUACAUACUAGCUGGUUGCUCAAGUGUUCUAUCAUUAUAAUGUAUACAUUGGAUACAAUAUUUGUUCAAUGAGGUAUCUAACUAGCUUGCUGAUGGCCGGGGACUAUAGAUUUAUUCAUUGCUAAUUGGUUAUAUUCGUUGUACCUGUUAUGCCUCAAUCAUAAUGGCAUAGUGACAAUAAAAGGAAAACGAAUUAUAAAUAUUUCACAUAGCAUGCUCUAGUUAUCUACAACUAUUGUUUUGGACUUCUGGUUUGGCAUUUAUAAUAAGUUGGCAUAUGUCUUUGAAUUCAUAUAGUUUGUAGCAUGACCUAAUUGGCACAAGUCAUCCUCUGCCAUGUCUUAUAUCUUUAGUUAGUAAGAAUUAAUAUUUCCCAUGUUUCAGCCACUAUACAAAUAUUGAUCAUGGACGAAGUUCUUACCCUGUUUAGUAUUAAUUUCAUUAUCUGCUGCAACUUUAUUGUGUUAUCUGUGCACUGCCCAACUAAGUACACAUAAUUUGAGUUUAAAAUAAAGCAUGCUUCUUUACUGGAGCUCAGCUUAGUAGUUGCAUUGUAUUGUUGCAGGAGAAGCUUAAGCCGUUAAUGGAUCAACUUAACAAAGUCAAAGACUUGACUGUUCCAGAAUUUGGAAAUUUCCGAACUUGAGAAGUGCGAGCAAAUGCAAGAAUAUGUUUAUAUAUAAUAGUGUAGUGUAGUGGGAUGUUUGGUUGGAUUCGUUUAAUACUUUGAUUUGGUUGGAUUUGUUAGGUAGUUUUGUUUGGUUGGAUUUGUUAUAAACUUUGAUUUGUAUGAAAGAAUAGUUUAAUGUUUCAGUGGAUAUAGUGAAAUAUUGCAAAGUUGUUAAUUUAGUCUUGCAUUAGCACAUAUAUGUUGUAGUAGCUAAUAUAUAUAUGUUUCAAUUUAUAACAAAAAAUGUUGCAAACAUGCAACUGAAAAACAGGUGUCCAAACAUAGGACCCACAUGUGUGACCCACGUGUGGGUCCCACUUUUUUUGAAAUCAGGAGGUCUAACGUAACAUAAUAUAUUUGUUGCUAUAGGGUAGUCAGAUGUUGCAAUAUCACGUCUAUUGUAACAUAAAAAGCCGUGUUGCAGUAGGUUACCCAAAUGUUGCAAUAGAAGCCUAGGGCAACAUGAAAAAAUGCAACUUAAAUUUUAUGUUGCAAUAGCCCUUUUUCGGGCUAUGGCAACAUAUUUUGGGGUUAUGGCAUCAUUUUUUUGAUGUUGUCNNNNNNNNNNNNNNNNNNNNNNNNNNNNNNNNNNNNNNNNNNNNNNNNNNNNNNNNNNNNNNNNNNNNNNNNNNNNNNNNNNNNNNNNNNNNNNNNNNNNNNNNNNNNNNNNNNNNNNNNNNNNNNNNNNNNNNNNNNNNNNNNNNNNNNNNNNNNNNNNNNNNNNNNNNNNNNNNNNNNNNNNNNNNNNNNNNNNNNNNNNNNNNNNNNNNNNNNNNNNNNNNNNNNNNNNNNNNNNNNNNNNNNNNNNNNNNNNNNNNNNNNNNNNNNNNNNNNNNNNNNNNNNNNNNNNNNNNNNNNNNNNNNNNNNNNNNNNNNNNNNNNNNNNNNNNNNNNNNNNNNNNNNNNNNNNNNNNNNNNNNNNNNNNNNNNNNNNNNNNNNNNNNNNNNNNNNNNNNNNNNNNNNNNNNNNNNNNNNNNNNNNNNNNNNNNNNNNNNNNNNNNNNNNNNNNNNNNNNNNNNNNNNNNNNNNNNNNNNNNNNNNNNNNNNNNNNNNNNNNNNNNNNNNNNNNNNNNNNNNNNNNNNNNNNNNNNNNNNNNNNNNNNNNNNNNNNNNNNNNNNNNNNNNNNNNNNNNNNNNNNNNNNNNNNNNNNNNNNNNNNNNNNNNNNNNNNNNNNNNNNNNNNNNNNNNNNNNNNNNNNNNNNNNNNNNNNNNNNNNNNNNNNNNNNNNNNNNNNNNNNNNNNNNNNNNNNNNNNNNNNNNNNNNNNNNNNNNNNNNNNNNNNGCUUAUCCUCGUAUGUAGUUUGUUUAUGGUUAUGUACCUGACCAUGUACUCGUACAUUUUUAUUUCUUGAUCUGAUUAUGUACUCUUAGUCUAGUAGAUCGGUUGUUACGUUAUUAUGCAGUUCUUGUGCAUUCUUAUGUCAUAAUGUUUUAUAAUGAUUCAAGCAUUGAAAUUCAUAUGGACAAUAAAGGAAACCUAACAUAACAUAAUAAACGACAGAACACUAAAACACAUACACAUGUUGAUCUUUCUCGAAACCAGUAAAACUGACUUUAUUUUGACUAAACUUUACAUAUAUCAAAUAACUGAAAAAAAUAAUAUAAAAUUUGAAUUACUUGAACAACAAAAGUUGAGACAUUACAUAUAAGAUACAAUACAUAUAGUAAUGGGGGUGAUCUUUUGGAGAAAAUACCUAACUCAAAGGGAUUUCUUCAAAUAAUUUGAGAUGGGUCAGAGCUUCAAGAAUCUGUGUACUCUGCUUUUACAAGUACAAAGUGGGAAAAAGUGAGACAUAAAUAAAAUGUAGUGAAGUAUUUGAGAUGGGAGAAAGUAAAACUAACUUAAUUUCAUAUUAAUAUUGUGAAGAUAUUAGCAUAGAAUGAUAAAUAUACAUUUCUACUACCCAUUUAUAAAAGAAAUAUUAUAAAAUAUAAAACUCUACGCUUUAAAUUUAAAUUGUUUUAAGUUGUUUUCUAUUAAAUUAUUUUCCCCACAGGGGAAAAUAAUAUUAAAUUGUUUUAAUAUUAUUGUUUUAUUAUUAUUUGAUUAUUAAAUUAACGAGUACAUAAUUUGUAAAGUUUAGUGCUAAGAUAUAUAUAUUAUUUAAUUUUAUUAAUUAUAUUAAUUUCACAAAACAAUUAAAAUUUGAUUUUAAAUAAAAUAUUAAAUAUAUAAUACAAUAAUAUUAAAUGGCGUAUAAUCAGUGUUACAGAAAUCGGGAAUCGGACCUAAUCGGUUGAGCUACCGAUUCAGGGAUUAAUCGGAAAUCGGAGAUUAAUCGGACUGAAAAUCGGAUUUAUUUUAAUAUUAAAAUAUUAUUUAUUAUUUAGUUAUUAUUAUAUUAGGUAUCUAGUAACUAAUAUAUUUACUAUAUUCAUAAACUCUAUAAUUAUUCAUAUUUAAAGUAAUAUAGUAUUUUAAUUCUAAUAAUUUAUCACAUAUACUUCUAUUAGAAAAUAUGUUAUAAGGAUUAAUCGGAUUUUAAAAAUCGAAUCGGUGGCCGACCUUGCAGGAGAUUAAUCGAGGAUUAAUCAGUUAAAUCGGGGAUUUUUAGAACAUUCGGCGUAUUAUAAUACAAUUAUAUCAAAAUUUAAAAAAAAAUCAGUACCUCAGUUUGGGUAUCGGUCAGCCACCUAGGACAAGUGAAUGAGUGAAACCGCUACAAAAAAUGUAGUAGUAUGGGUCGCCCCUGUCAAGGGCGAUCCUAACUGUAUUUUGUAACAGUAUGGGUCGCCCCUGACGAGGGCGACCUGAACGGGGAAAAACUUCAGCUUGGGUCGCCCGACUUUUUUUGAUUUAGGCUGGUUAGUUUUGAAAAGUUGAACGUAGGCUGGUUAGUUUUGAAAACUUUACGUUCGAACUGGUUACUUUUGUAAGGGAGCCCAGCCUCCACCAUUGCAGCUCUGAGCAGCCAUGAACCAGGUUAUACUCCAGUCUCCUUUUCUCCCCCGCGUGUGUAAGUCUGUACUGCAGCCCACAUUUUCAACACGCUUCUGUCCUAAGCUUCGCAAGAAAUAUCUUUUUUUUGAAAUUCAAAAAAUUUGCGCACCAUAUCAUCGUCCAGCCAAACCACCAUCGGCGAAUCAGCAAAUAUACAUAUCAGAUCUAAUAUACACCAAUCUGAGCUUUGAUGACUGAGGUUUGAUUUGUGUUUUAUUUAAUAAAAUGAUAAAAUGAUGUCUUCUUUCAUGAUCAUGCGAUUAAUCGAUUGUAACUUUAAGGGAGAUGGAACAAGCAAUUCACGACGUCUAUUUACCUCCGAAGACAUGAUUAGUGGUAUGGUUACAUAAAUUUAACUUCUCUAUUUUUCUACCAUGUGUGGCCUAAUUGUUUCAUCUCUUGCUUUGUAGGUUAUCAGUCCAAAAAGCGGAGGAAAAGGGGCUACACAAUUAAGAGAUGAAACAGUAUUGAGCAUGUGAGCUUUAAAACUUGAUGAUUAAAUUUUUCAUAUUAUAUUUGUUCUGUAUUUAGAAAUUUGUGGAGGAUGUGUUUGAUAAUAUGUCUGAGAGAAGAAGUUAAUAAAUUUAUCGUGUUGAGGAUGUGUUUGAUGAUAUGUCCGAGUGAAAAAAUUAAUAAAUUUAUUUUCAAAAUGUUGCGAACAAAUUGUAAUUUAUAUCUAGCAGCUUCAAAUAAUUUUUUUUAGAGCAAAAAGAAUCGCAAUUGCAUGUGAAGAGAUGCACCUCCCUGAUAUUAGACUUUUAGUGUAAUUGCAUGUGUAACUAAACCGCUUGACUAUAAUGUUGGUGUAGAGUACGGAGCUUUAAUUUAUGAUGUUCUCCUCAAUCUGUCCAAAUUAUAGCUGAUCGUGGGAAUCAACUUUAGGGUAAGCUCUGCUCUGAAACUCAUUUUCUUAUAUUGGAACUUGGUUAUUUCUUAAAUGAAACGACUUUGACGUUUUCACCGAGUAGUCAUAGAUGCGUGAGUUGUACAAUAGUAAAAGAAAAAUAAAUUACAUAAAGACUGUCUGAGGUAAAAUAGUAUACAAGCUGCAAUUUUAUAUUUGGUACAUUGACGUAAAAAGUUAUUGUUAUGUUCAGGGGGAGGUGCUGAGAAAUGACAUGAUUAUAUCAUACGAGCGGCGACAAACUACUGAAGUUGCAAAAGAAAUGAUCUUAAAGAAAGCAGAGAAAGUGGGGGAGUUUUUUCAAGAAAAGAAUUUAAAGAGGAGAUGAGAUGCCAGAGUAUUACGCGCUAUUGCCGAAACAGGAUUAAAAACUAUAUUGGGUAUCUCUUCUUGAUCUCUUGAUUAAUUCCACUAGGAAGCUUCAAUAUUAUAUAGGAAGUUUUCUUUUUAAGCUUAAUUUUGAAUUUGAAUCCUCAAACUAUAACUACUGUAUAUCUCUUUAUAUUAUAGCUCCUGACGCCGGGAACUUCCCCUUCUACAACCAGCCCAACUGUACAUAACAGUUGCUUGCUUAUGAAUUUCAAAUUUAUAUUAUAAUGUUUAUAUGUAAUAUUGAAUCAAAGUUGCUUGCUUGCUUAUGUAAUAUUGAAUAUCUACUGUUGGAUGAUUGUUAACUGCUGUGUUACCAAGUGUUUGAUUAAAUUCCUACAAGUUUUGUUUGAAUUUUGUUCUUUAUUUAUCAUUAGUAUGUUUCAUUUUUAUGUUUGACUCUAUGCUAAUCGCUGAUAAGAUUUCUAUGAUUAUAGGAGAUGAGUGUUCUUAUGGCAUGAAUGAUAUUGGAAAAGUGAAAUGUGUUGAUGCUUUGUGUAAAUAAAUCAUGAUCUGCCGUUAUAGUUUUCUGUUUGUUUUCAAUUUGUGUGUACCUAGGUGGUUGUUACUGAGCAUUGAUCAACUGUGUUAAUUAAUUUAUUAAAAUGGAGUUGAGUCUGAGAACUAAAGGGCAAUUAUAUACUUCUUUAGGCUUUCCUUAACAUGUUUUUAUUCAUUAAAAAAAAUCGAUGAGUUUUUAUAAAUAUAUAUACUCUGUUAUUUUCUCUGUACCUAAUUAAAAGGAUUUUAAUUCGAAUUAUAGGUGUUUGUCAUGUGAAUAUUAUCUAAAAGAUAAUGGGGCCGUUUGGGUUAGCUUAAAAGAAGUGACUUUUUGCUUAUAGUAAAGAAGUGGAGUAGAAGUGAGAAGUAAAUAAGUUAAUAAAGUGUUUGGAAAAGAAGCAGAAGCUGUGAGAGAGAAGCUAGCAUUCUCAGCUUCUUAAAAGUGCUUCAACUUCUUUACACAAACAGGUCAAGAGAAGCAGAAGCCAGAAGCAGCUUCUGCUUCUCUUGGCCAAACAGGCCCAAUAUCUUUAAGGUCUCUUGCAUUGGUCAUUUAAUGUGUUAAUUAAAAGUUUACAUUUAAAUUUUUUGAUCUAAUAAUUUUGGAUAGAUGGUUUGUGAGGUUAAUGAAUGAACUAAUAUGGAAUGAUAAAAUGUAGGAGGUCUGGAAAGAUGGGUUUCAAUGCAGGUUUAUUGCUACUUUCCUUCAGGUCUGCAUUGCUUUGGUCUGUCUUCAGGACUGAGACUGUGAUUGGUUUCGGAACAGACACAAGUAUAUAUAUGGACCAAUGCAAAGCACCUGAUUAUCAUACUUUAGGCUUUUGCUCUGCUUUCUAUGGUAAAAAAAAGUGACAUUACUUCGAAUCUGAUACAGUUUAUCCAAGAGCUUGCUUCAAUAUUAAGAAUGCAAUACGUGUUGCAGAUAAAAUUUUGACCAGCAACAUUGGGGCACCCAACCCAAAUCUAGCAACAUUGGCCGUGGAGCUUUAAAUAUCUCCGUAAGAUUCUUUUCCCUCGCAGGCAGGCAUCUUUUUCUGCGAAAAAUAUACAAGAAAAAAGGACUAAUUUGUUUAAUUGAAAAUAAAUUUCGGAUGAGUUGGAUUAAGAAUCAAAUGGAGAGUCCUGUUUUGGUUUCAUUUUGAUGGAGAGGUUGCUUAGGUCCUGUUUUGAUCGAAAGGUUGAAAAAAUAUUUGGUAUUUUUUGGUCUCAUUUUGGUUUGUUUCGUUCCUUCACAGGUGUGCAACAAGUGAUGAUAGUAUUUAAACAUGAUUAGCAAACUGCCCAGCAAUCCAUGCAUGGCAAGGGGAAUGCACAGCUUAAUGAUUUCAGUCUCCGUACCAUCCAAGUGCAACAAAAAUCAAUUAUCUUGUGAUGUCUAGGAUUCUACAAAAGUAAGAAGCCUUCAUUCAUCUUCAUUCAUCCCCUGUUACUAGAAAAGCAUUGGUAGCCUAUAAGCAGGUACACUAAGUAGCUCACCUAAUUUUUGCAUUUCAGUAUCAACGGAAAGUGGUGCAGGACUCCACUUUAUAAUUAAAUUAUGUGUCUAAAUUAUGCGUGUUGUAAUGUUUAGUGACCAUGUUCCAGACCCGACAUGUCCUUACUUGGCAGAUCAAGUUAUCCAAGAUUUGGGAAGGAGUUUCGCCUUUGAGAUCUCCAACAAGUAAGAAGAAAUAAUGUCAAGGAAUGAACUAAUGUAAAAUGAUAAGAAGAUGAAGGUAUAAAACAAUGAUUAUAAUGUAGGCUUCUUCGUAAUGUAAUGAACAAAAUAAUGGAGUAACUAUAACUAUUCUUGCUGCAAGCCUGUGUUUGUUUAAUGCUAUCUGGCAGUAGUUUAGCAUUGGUAUAUUCCUUAAGGUGGAUUUGGAUAGAGUGAGAGGAGACAUUACUUAUCUUUACCUAGCUACUGCUUUUCAUGAGAUUUGGGCAGAGCGUAACAUUAGAAUUCAUCAUCCUAAGAGUUUUAAAGUUGCAAACCGGCUUAUCAAGGACAUAAUAGCCUCUGUUACUAUUUUUACAUGCUCCUCUAUUGUUGUGUGAACUUGCUGAACUCCUUUUUUCUGUUGUUCUACUUACUAAAAUCUUUUUAAUUUUCUUUUGUUAGGUACACUAAGUGGUUCACUCAAUUUUGGCAUUUUAGUAUCAUUGGCAAGUGGUGUAGGACUCCAUGAUUCUGUGUUGUCCACAAGCAACGAAAAAAANNNNNNNNNNNNNNNNNNNNNNNNNNNNNNNNNNNNNNNNNNNNNNNNNNNNNNNNNNNNNNNNNNNNNNNNNNNNNNNNNNNNNNNNNNNNNNNNNNNNNNNNNNNNNNNNNNNNNNNNNNNNNNNNNNNNNNNNNNNNNNNNNNNNNNNNNNNNNNNNNNNNNNNNNNNNNNNNNNNNNNNNNNNNNNNNNNNNNNNNNNNNNNNNNNNNNNNNNNNNNNNNNNNNNNNNNNNNNNNNNNNNNNNNNNNNNNNNNNNNNNNNNNNNNNNNNNNNNNNNNNNNNNNNNNNNNNNNNNNNNNNNNNNNNNNNNNNNNNNNNNNNNNNNNNNNNNNNNNNNNNNNNNNNNNNNNNNNNNNNNNNNNNNNNNNNNNNNNNNNNNNNNNNNNNNNNNNNNNNNNNNNNNNNNNNNNNNNNNNNNNNNNNNNNNNNNNNNNNNNNNNNNNNNNNNNNNNNNNNNNNNNNNNNNNNNNNNNNNNNNNNNNNNNNNNNNNNNNNNNNNNNNNNNNNNNNNNNNNNNNNNNNNNNNNNNNNNNNNNNNNNNNNNNNNNNNNNNNNNNNNNNNNNNNNNNNNNNNNNNNNNNNNNNNNNNNNNNNNNNNNNNNNNNNNNNNNNNNNNNNNNNNNNNNNNNNNNNNNNNNNNNNNNNNNNNNNNNNNNNNNNNNNNNNNNNNNNNNNNNNNNNNNNNNNNNNNNNNNNNNNNNNNNNNNNNNNNNNNNNNNNNNNNNNNNNNNNNNNNNNNNNNNNNNNNNNNNNNNNNNNNNNNNNNNNNNNNNNNNNNNNNNNNNNNNNNNNNNNNNNNNNNNNNNNNNNNNNNNNNNNNNNNNNNNNNNNNNNNNNNNNNNNNNNNNNNNNNNNNNNNNNNNNNNUUUUACAUGCUCCUCUAUUGUUGUGUGAACUUGCUGAACUCCUUUUUUCUGUUGUUCUACUUACUAAAAUCUUUUUAAUUUUCUUUUGUUAGGUACACUAAGUGGUUCACUCAAUUUUGGCAUUUUAGUAUCAUUGGCAAGUGGUGUAGGACUCCAUGAUUCUGUGUUGUCCACAAGCAACGGAAAAAAAGCCUGCAGAAAUGUUUCGAAUACUUUGAACGAAAUAAAGGUACAUUAUUAGGCAAGUGAUUGUGGCGGCAGAGAUAGCAGUUUGAUUGCUACACAAUUAUGUGUUUCACAAGAUUUUGCUAUUUUAAAUUAUAGUAAAUUUGAUUAAAUCCCACUCGGAAAGUUUGAAAUUUCUUGAUGUUGCUUAGUUAAAAUUUGGAUAUGGACAAUUAUGAUAUUUGUGAAUUUGGGUUCUUUUUAUAGGUGAUUUUUGAACAUUGCUAGAAUGAUAUAUGAUCUCAGGCCUCACACUCUUAACAUCUUUACGAGGCUUACGAGGUUCGAGAUGAGUUGGUUACUUAACAUGAUUCGUUUAAUUUAAUUAUGUGUUUGUGUAGUUGGGUUGAUUUGUUGUUUGUUUCGUUUAAUUGUACAAUUAAGGAGAUGGUGUUUACAAUAAUAAUAUUGAAGAUAGUUUGUAACUAGAGUAUGUUGUUAAUAAUUUGGUUAUGAGAAAUUGAGGCCGACACAAGUUUAAUCUGGCUUUCUCGAGAUGAUCUGACCUCGAGAAGAAAGAUUAUCUCAAAGUAGUUUUGUAAGUUGCUUCUCUCUGUUUUUGGACAAUGUAAAUUCUUACAUUACAUCUGCCUCUUGCAGGUAACAUCUUUGCUUUUAGGCUCUUUAUAUCGCCGAUGUAAGUUUUGCUCCAUAAAUUUCAGUGUUUGGCUAGAUCUCCUACAACUGUACUUUUAAAGAAAAAUAGAAGAAAUCAAGAACUGAGUUUACUGUACUUUUGCAGUGAUAAUCAGAUAUGUACCGGUUUUGCUUCGCAUAGUCACACCUUUUCUUUGUACAAUUGCAGACCCACUUUUAGGGGUAUUAUGAUGAGGAACGAGUGUACAGAAGACUUCUCAGGUCUUCCAUAUCUAUAUGCCCUCCUGCACUGCUUGAUUUGUGCCUGGUAUGGCAUGUCGUUUAUGUCAGAUGAUAAUGUGCUUGAUAACUGUAACCUUAUACAGCUACAUUUACUUUAAAUGUCUUGAACACAGUGGUUGCAAAUAAUGGUUAAAUGAUUAAUAUUUACACUGAUCUACUGCUUUUACACUGAUCACUGCUUAUGAUGUUGAAAAACCAAAAUUUGGUGGAGAAAUUGGGAUCAAUGGAGGGAGCUUGCACUGACACACGAAAUCUGUCAAAGCCUAGAUUACAAAGUAAUACUUUACUUGACUGAUCGACGGUUCAACUCAGCAGGAUAUGGAGUAUGCUCGCAGUGUACAUAACAUCCAAUCUCCCAAGGUCUCAUCAUCUACUUUGGAGACAACCUCAAAAUGGGUGUAGUUGCACUUGCACCCAAAAAUGAAGCCAGUGCAAAAAUCAAAGAGAUGACCCAUUUGUUAAAAAUGUUGAGGCUGAAGAGUACAAGGGAACCAAGGUCAGAGAUGUCUCCUCCGCUAAGAGAUGAGGAAAUAUGGCAGUCGUUGGUAUUUGGGAAAUGCAUGUUAGCAAAUACAUGGAUUAUAAAUUGUAUGAGUGACAGGAUGAUAAUAUAGCGUCUCAUAGUCUAAUAUUGCCAAUGACAGGGCUAAUAGCAAUAGCACUUUCAAAAGUAGGUUUGCAGCUGUGAAAUUCACUCAAAGUUGUGAAAUUUGUGAAAUUUGCUUUUGCUCUAACAUGUAAUACCCCGGGUUCCAUUCUUUUGUUUACUUGAAUUUGAAUUGUAUUGUUAUCUUUGUUUUUUUAUUAUAAUUAUCCAAAAAUAGAUGUCCAUCUUGACUUUUGGUUGGUUAUUAGACAGAGGAAUUGAGCCCGGAAAUAAAAGUGUUACUAAUUAUCAUCCAUUAUUAAAGCAAUUAUUAUAUUAGACCAAUUUUAUUUUUGCACUAUUUGAAAUAUUCACUUUAUCUGAAUGAUGAAUGGUUCUUCUUUCAGUUAAUACAGUGUCAUUCACUGGUUAACAAAUGACCUCUUAAAUUAUUCAUGAAAUCAUUUAAAAAUAUAUAAAGUUUAAUUGACAAAUUUAUCUUUUUUAAUAAAAUUAUACUCAAAUUUUUGGUUGAAAUGUAUGUAGCUUUAAGAUUAUAAUCACUUUUAGCCGAAAGUACUUUAAUAUUAGUGUUCAUAAAAAUAAUUUUUGAAUAACUUAUUAAUGAUUAAUUAUUUUAUGUAACGGUUUAAUAAAAUUAUACAAAUAUAAUGAUUUCUAAUUUGAGAAUAGUUUUUUAUAGUUCAAAACAAAAUUUAUAAUAAAAAAAUUUAACGAGUUAUCAGUAAUUAAUAAUAUACAUUUACAAUUAAAUUAUCCAAAUUAAUUAUAAAAUAUUAAAAUUUAAAAUAUUUGACUAAAGUGCGAGGCGUCACCGCUCGGCGACGUCGAGGGGCACUUGAUAGAAUAUGACUUUUCAUAUAUUACAAAGUUUAGCUAUAUAAUUAUUUUGAUUAUAAGAUAUUAAAAUAUAAAAUAUUCGACUAAAGUGUGAGGCGUCGCCGCUCGACGACACCGAGGAGGACUUGAUAAAAUAUGACUUUUCAUAUAUUACAAAUGUUUAGCUAUAUAAUUAUUUUGAUUAUAAAAUAUUAAAAUAUAAAAUAUUCUACUAAAGUGUGAGGCGUCACCGGUCGGCGACGACGAGGAGCACUUGAUAGAAUAUGAUCUUUCAUAUAUUACAAAGUUUAGCUAUAUAAUUAUUUUGAUUAUAAGAUAUUAAAAUAUAAAAUAUUCGACUAAAGUGCGAGGCGUUGCCGCUCGGCGAGCCGAGGAGUACUUGAUAAAAUAUGACUUUUCAUAUAUUACAAAUGUUUGGCUAUAUAAUUAUUUUGAUUAUAAAAUAUUAGAAUAUAAAAUAUUCGACUAAAGUGCGAGACAUCGCCGGGGAGCACUUGAUAAAAUAUGACUUUUCAUAUAUUACAAAUGUAUUAUAUAAUUAUUUUGAUUAUAAAAUAUUAAAAUAUAAAAUAUUCGACUAAAGUGCGAGGUGUCGCCGAGGAGUACUUGAUAAAAUAUGACUUUUCAUAUAUUGAAAAUGUUUAGCUAUAUAAUUAUUUAAAUUAUAAAAUAUAAAAUAUUCGACUAAAGUGCGAGGCGUCGCCGAGCGGCGACGCCGAGAAGUACUUGAUAAAAUAUGACUUUCAUAUCUUUAAAAAUAUUAUGUAAUUUUCGAACGUAAAUGAAUUUUAAUUACGAAUUAACUUUUAUAAAUACUCAAGUUAUACAACGGUUUUUGUUGAAUUUGAUUUUUAUUUUACACUGAACUUUUAUUUUUAUAACUACAAAAUCACAAGUUAUAUUUAAUAUUUUUUUUAUAACUCAAUUGUUGUUUUCUUGCAUAUAAAAGUUUGUAAGUAUAAGUAAUGGAUAUAAUAACGUCAUAUUAAUUUUCAAAAUAUAAUCAAUAUUUUAAAUCUUAUUGACAAAAAAAGGACUAAAUUCUAUCUAUUAUUUUAAAAUAUUAUUUUAAAAUAUUAUUGUAUAUACAAAUACUCACAAAUACUCCAUGACGCUGACGAACAUCCAAUAAUCAUUAUCAGGUAGUGAAAGAUCUGAGGAACACAUUAAAAUUUGUACUUCAAUAAAACACAAUUGAAAGAUGAAUUUUAGCCAAAAUAAAUAUGCAUGAAUACAGGUUGGCAAAUUGGCGUAACAACCACUGAGCUACUCAAGUACAAGGACUCGAUGAAAGGCCUCUACUACUCCCAGAACCUGAAAAUGCUAUUUCUAUAAUUCCAUCACGUUAUUUAUCUUAUUUAAUGUACUGUUCUGUGAUAACGUAUGGGAACUCGCUAAUAUGGAAUGCUAGCUUUGCAUUUGGUCUCCUCGCCAUAUUCACAAAUCAUUAGGAUUCAUAUAGAAUUGGUGCGUGUUCAAAACAGAAUUUUUUCAAGCACAAGAUCAGCAAAAAUAAAUUUAUUAAUCUUCUGCAAUUUAAAAUGCCCAGCAAGGCGGGCAUAAAUACUAGUUCUUCAUAUUUACACAACCAUUGAUCUGUCUUGCAACAAAUUUCAAGGAGAAGUUCCAAAGGUUACAUGAGAGCUUAAAUGGCUUGCAUUGCUCAAUCUAUCUCAUAAUAGUCUCACCGGACAUAUCCCAUCACUCCUCGGAAAUAUGGAAGCACUCCUAUCUCUAGAUUUGUCUUCAAAUCAAUUGACAGGGGCUAUUCCACACCAAUUAACUAAAUUGACAUUUCUAAAGGUGUUGAACCUCUCGGGAAAUAAUCUUACUGGGGAAAUCCCGCAAAAAGGGCAAUUCAGCACUUUUGGAAAUGAGUCAUACUUGGGGAACCCGGCCUUGUGUGGACUUCCUUUGACGGAAAAAUGCAUGCAUGCAGUGUCACCAACUCAAGAAGUCGGAAAUGGUGAUACUGAUGAAGAUGACGAUGCUGAUGAUGAACUUAAUUGGGAAGCCAUCCUGAUGGGAUAUGGAUGUGGAUUGAUAUGCGGAUUGUCUUUGGGGUACAUUGUUUUCAAGAUAGGAAAGCCUUGGUGGUUUGUGAAAUACAUUAAAAUACUACAACUGAAAUUGAUGAAAACAUGCACAAAGCAUAGCAGACGAAAGACUUGAGGAGAUGUUGUCUUAGGAUGCAAUCUCGUUUAAUACUUUCAUCAUUAUUCUCCAAGAUGUCUGAACAUGUAUUUUCAAAGAAUUCUCAGUUCACCUUUAGCCUUAUAAAGUAAAAGACAUUUUAAAGGCACUCUCAACUUACACCUAUAUAUACACGUACGGUUCACUUCAGUACAAAGAUUAUUAGCCAUGCAAAACAUGCAGAACCACUAGUAAUGCAGAAAAACAAAAUAUCAGUUUUCUCCAAAUAUCACUACAACAAAACUGCCAUUUUACGACGGAAAUCUAAUAUUCUAAAGGUUUACGACCAAACUAUGUUGGUGGACUUUAUUUUAAUUUACAGUUUUAACAGUAGUUAAUUUUGGAUAUCUAAACUUGCGACAGAAAACAUACGACAGUCUACCUCGCGAGAGAAAAUCAUUUUAUUUUAUUUUUUAGCGCCAGAAUUUUAAUACUAAAAUAUUAUAUAUAUGAAGGAAACUGAUCUCUAAUGUUUUCAGCUUGCUCAUCCAUAUGUAAGUAAUCCGUCGAAAAAGUUAGUUUGUUGUGGUGGUGUCUUAUCAUGAGAGAAAAUGAUAAUAUCGCAAAAUAUUUGCAACUGAAAGAUAAAUUAUAAUUCUAGAAACCAUUUAGGUAACGAUGCACGAAGUUAUUUUCACUCACUUAGAAUUAAUGAUCAUAAAUAUUUGCAACGGAAAGAUACAUUAUAGUUCUAGAAAAGGAUCCACGAAGUUAUUUUCACUCACUUAGAAUUAAUUGUAAGUUAUUGUGAGUUUUUGAAUAUGGAUUAUCUCAAAUUUUAUGAAAACACAUAUUGAUUCAUAUAUACAAAUUUGCCUACCUAAUAUUAUAAUAUUUAUGGAGAAGUUGUAUGAACAAUUGUGUAGAUAAUUAUACUUUACAAAGCAUACUUCUGCUAGAUGAAUUUUGAUUAAACAAAAUCGAAAGGGAUAGGUCUGGGUCUCUCCAAGUCUUUGAGGACUCAUUCCAAGUCUUCUGACGAGGACAAAAUAUAUUGCUGGUAGUCUUUCAGUCCUUCCUAGAGUAUUUUAUGCUCUGGACUGCAUUAUGCAGCUCUCAUAUAACUUUGCGAUGCAAAACAGUGGCAAGUAAGUAUUUCCGUAUGUGUAUUUAUUUGUAUAUUAAAGUUGCGUAACAUUUGUGUUGAUAAUUUGCGUAAUGUUGAUGAGGAUUGCUCCCAAGUCUUGGACGGACUCUUUCCAAAUCUUCUGAGGACAUAUCGGUUCAAAUUAGUCCAUUAAAAAUUUUAUGAUAUGAAGCUAUCUGCAAAAUAAUAUAUAAGGUAAAAUGAACCAUUGUUUUGUGGUUAAGUUGUACAGGCAAUAUGCAGUGCAAAAUCAGGAACAGAAUAUAUGAAUACUAGUAAUAUGAUAUCGGUAUGAACGAAUAUUUUCUAUGUAGUUGUUAUUGUGAUGCGGAAAAAAUAUUGUAACCAAAAAUAAUUAUAAUUCUAAAAAUUUCCAUUAUACACUUUUUUAGUGUUCGUGGUACUUCAAAUGACAUUUCUCGCGUAUGCCUCCAAUUAAGAACUUGAUGUUCAGCAUAGUCCGAAACUAAAAUUAUUAUAAGUGUGUAAUUCAAAAUUAUAUUGCUGGUAGUCUUUCAGUUCUUCCUAGUGUAUGCAGUAGUUUCAUUCGAUACCGAUUAUUUUAUGCAUUGCCCGAGAACCAGUCUAUCUAAAACCCUAAGAUGUUAUAUUUUUAUACGUGUAUUAGUUUUGAAGAUUAAAGUUGUAUGGACAAUUGUGUUAAUAAUUUGCGCAAUUGCGCAAUGAUAACUGGGAUAGGUCAUCUUCUCUCCCAAGUCUUGGAUGGAAUCUUUCCAAGUCUUCUGAGAACCCAUCAGCUCAGAUUAGUCCAUACAAUGUCAAGGGUCCUAUGAUAUGGUCUACUAACAGCCCAGUGUCGGUAAUAAAUCCAAUUGCAUAUAACCUAUUCAAAAUCAAUCCCCUAUAAACAAUCAUCUCUAAAAACUAUUCACAUAAAAUAAAAUUUUAAAAAUAUAAAAUAUCUAGUUGUUUUCAAUAUAUAAUUUUCCACAGUAGAUAACACAAUAUCUUUAUCAAAUUAUUAUUUAUGGGUUCAAUAUUUAAGCUAUAAUUCCAACAACACGGCAAGCAUGCAGCAUAUAAAUAGAAGUGUGCAGUAUGGUAUUGCAUUCAUAACCCAGUUGAGGAAAAAUAUGGCACCCUUCCUAAAGCCUUCUCACCUUCUUCUCUUUGUUUUCUUUCUCUCAUCACCUGAGUCCAUUCUUGCGACAACACGAGAAGGAGAAGCUCUUGUGAAGUGGAAGAAUAGCCUAGCCCCUUCUUCUUUUCUUGAUUCUUGGUCACUCACUCAUCUCGAUAAUCUUUGUAACUGGACUGGCAUUACUUGUAACUCUGCAGGUUCAGUCUCUAAGAUUAACCUUUUUGAGAAACAACUUAAUGGAAUGCUGUCCGAGUUUGGUUUCACUUCAUUUCCAAAUCUCAGCAAUCUCACCCUCACAUACAACUUCUUCUCGGGUCCCAUACCACCAGCCAUUGAGAAUUUAACCCAGCUUCGGUAUCUUGAUUUGAGCUAUAAUUAUCUGGAUGGUCCCAUUCCGUUCCAGGUUAGCCAUCUUCAGAGCUUGCUCAUCUUGAACCUGUCACAGAAUGCAUUGCAAGCUCCAAAUUGGUCCCAUUUCUCUCCCAUGCCUUUCUUGCGCAUCCUCAACCUCAGUUACAAUCCUCUUGCGUCGAAAUUCCCAAAUUUUAUAUCCAAUUCUCAUAGCCUGACUCACCUUAGCCUUAAUUUUAAUGAGUUUACUGGUGAUCUAGUACGUGAAUCAAUAUUUGCCAAUCUGCAUAAUCUUGAAGUCCUCAGUCUUCUUGGCAAUUUUUUUGAGGGGCCAUUUCCGCCAGAUAUAUUCAAGCUUUCCAAAUUAAAACAUCUUCACCUGUCAGGUAACAAAUUCUCAGGUUCAAUUCCAAAUGACAUAAGGUUGCUUUGUGGUCUUGAAAACCUAUUUUUAAGCAACAAUUCCUUUGAAGGACCGCUUCCACCAAAUAUAUUUAAGCUUUCAAAAUUAAAACAACUUGUUCUUUGGAGUAAUAAUUUUUCAGGUUCUAUUUCCAAUGAUAUAGGUUUGCUUUCUGAACUUGAAACCCUCAAUCUUCAAUUUAAUUUUUUUGAGGGGCCGCUUCCCCCACAUAUAUUUAGGCUCUCUAAGUUAACAGGUCUAGAACUCGGAGACAAUAGAAAUUUAUUUGAAGGAAGUAAUAUUCCUAUCGGACUGGGACUCUUGACUAACCUCAGGUACUUAGAUUUACAUUCCAGUAAUCUCAGUGGCUAUAUUCCAUCUGACAUUGGAAACCUGAAGCUACUAGUACUUCUUAGUCUCGGUUCUAAUCAAUUGACUGGACCGCUUUCAAAGAUCGUUUAUAAUCUCACAAAUCUUAUAUUUCUUGAUGUAAGUAAUAAUAGUCUUAGUGGAAAUAUUCAGAGUGACUUGUGGAAAUAUAACCAUCAUCCUACUUUGGAAUACAUCGAUUUUAGUGGGAACCAUUUUACAGGUAUAUUUUUUCUCUAUAGAUCUUUUCCUUUUGUCAUAUGUAACUAAGCUAGUAAUCUGAUUAUUGCAGUUUUACUGAAGUUUCAACAAUCUUGACAGGUGAGCUUCCAACAACAAUUUGCAAUGUCAUGUCCCUUUCGGUUCUUGAUUUGUCAAAUAAUGAAUUAAGUGGUGCACUUCCAAACUGUUUCGGGAAUCUUGCUGAUGGAUUGCUUUACAUUAAUCUUGCUAAUAAUCAGUUUCGAGGAACAAUACCAACUACUUUCUCCAGGAGUUGUCAGCUGACAUAUCUAAACAUGGAUAAUAAUGAGUUUGAAGGAUUGUUGCCCCCAUCUUUGGCGAACUGUAAGCACUUGAGAAUUCUUGAUAUUGGCAAUAAUAAAAUAGGUGGUACAUUUCCGUCAUGGCUUUAUGUACUUGGAGAGCUAGAAGUCCUUGUCUUGCGAUCAAAUAAACUCUAUGGUACAAUAAGUGGAAGGAGCAUAGAAGAUCCCUUCCCCAAGUUGCGGAUUGUGGAUCUGUCCAACAAUCAAUUCACAGGCCAUUUGCCAAUUCAAUACUUUAAGAAUAUGAAAUCAACUGAUAAUUUGUAUCGUUAUCAGAAUUCCACAGGAGUUUUUUCUUUCCAUUAUGAAGCAUCUGUCUCAUUAACUGUGAAGGGAACAGAGUAUGAAGUGAAAAAUAUCCUUCAUAUUUACACAGCCAUUGAUCUGUCCUGCAACAAGUUUCAAGGAGAAAUUCCUGACGUUAUUGGAGAGCUUAGAUGGCUUGCAUUGCUCAACUUAUCUCAUAAUAGUCUGACAGGACCUAUCCCAUCAUUACUGCGAAAUAUGAAAGGACUCCAAUCUUUAGAUUUGUCCUCAAAUCAACUGACAGGGGCUAUUCCACCUCAGAUAACUGCACUGACAUUUCUAGAAGUCUUAAACCUCUCGGGAAACCAUCUUAGUGGAGAGAUUCCUCAGAAAGGACAAUUCAGCACAUUCAACAAUGAUUCUUAUAUAGGAAACUCCGCAUUAUGUGGAUCACCAUUGACGAAGACAUGUGCAAACACAGCAUCACCUCCACAAGAAGUCGGAAAUGUUGAUGAAGAUGAUGCGGGUGAUGAAUUGACAUGGGAAGCAAUCUUGAUGGGAUAUGGAUGUGGACUGAUAUGUGGAUUGUCAUCUGCAUACAUUGUUCUCAAACUAGGAAAGCCUUGGUGGUUUGUGAGAUAUCUCGAAGUACUGCAACAGAAGUUGAUGAAAAGAUAUGCAUGAAGAAUGGUACUGGCCGAUCAAGACCAACUUGAAAGUUUGUUGUCCUUGUGCACAUUUCUGAACCAGUAGUGUACUUGCUGCAUAAGUAUUUGGUAUUAUGUAAUAAUCCGUUUGGUCGGGACUCAUAAUGAUUUCUCUUGCUUCAGGGGUAUUAAUAUUAACCUUGCUAUCUUGAUCAAUGUUAAAGCAAAUUAAAUGAAUGAAAAAACAAAAAGUAUGCAUCAAAUCCGCUCCUGCUGUACCAAAAUCCAUUAAAUUGCUUUGGUCUCUUACCUAACAAUUUAACAGCACACUUCCACACUGUUCAUACCUAAUUUGCGUGUAAUAUGAAAACUAAGAGGCAUGGCUUUUGUCUCUAUAAGUCUUUGAGAACUUAUUCUUCCAAGUCUUCUUCGGAGGCCUGCUGCCUCAACAACCUUUCAAAGAUGUAGCAGUUGCUCGAGAGUAACAUAUAUAUUAGAUAAAGACUAUGCAAUAAUCCACGUGACAGAAAAACCAAAGUCCAAUUAGUUUUCCAAGUUCAUAAAAAAUACUAUAGGAUCAUUAGCAUUACAUUAGUAUUCCACUAGCAUACAGCAUAUUAUAAGACAAAAGUAAGCGGAAAUAAACAUAAUUUCAAUAGAUUUAACUUACUCUUCAGAAUCGAUAAGUUUGGAACACGUUGAUUGAGCACAAGACGAAGGCCACACAUGCGCAUCAUCUGAUGCAGCUAUAUAUGGUGCCUUUACAGUUGCUCAUACAUAUAGUGAAACAAUAAGGAUCAACUCCUCCAUUGUACGUACACAUUUUCAUACAAGCUAUAAAGCAUGGUGAUAGAGUCUUUGCAAUCUCGUCAUGACCGGCACAUCCGAUUAUGAUAAACUCUAGCAGGAUCAUCCAAGUAAUAAUUUUCAUAAUGAUAUUAAUUAUCAUUGUGAAUAGUUGCAUUGAGUUAUAUAUGUGUGUGUAUAUAUAUGCAAUGGAUUUUGUGGUUGAGAAUAUCUAUUAGAUUUUGUAUAUCCAUAACAAUUAUUAAAAUUUAAACAAGAAUAUCUAUUAUUGGUUGUGGUUGACUAUUGUAGUAGUCCAAGAAAUCAAUGCAAGUGAAAUCUAUAUUAUAUUUUAAAAGAUUAUACAUGAAAUACAAAAGGUUUUUUUAGGACUGCUGUUAAAAAUUGUUAUGUUGUACGAAAAAAUGCUGAUAAAAAGAGUGUUAUACGAAAAAAUGCUGAUAAAAAAAAUGUCGUAUAAAUCAGAUAUGACAGCUUCCCACAAAAACUAAAAAAAACAGUUUUCCGUAAUAAUAUGGGAGAGGAAAAACUGUUUGUAGAUUUAUAGAACAAUUUUUCGGUAAAAAACUGUUGUUGUUUUCGAGAGUAAUGACAAACAGUGCCGAAAUCAUUUUGCAGGUAGUUAAUCUCACUUCCAUAUAAUAUACUCCUAUAUAUUACCGAAAAAACAUGAAAUGAUGCAAACCUCAUACUAUUGACAACAGCUAAACUCCUUGCAAUACUUUCAGCUGCAAAAUCCAUCAAAUUUUUUGAUUUAUCAUGUAACUGUUUGACAGAGUACUUCCAAGCCUAAGUAUCAAAAAUCACUACCUUACGAAAUAUAUCUCACCCUACCUUCUCUGCUUAACUGUUUCGAGUGCUUUUACCAAGCAUAUUUUCCAUUAAGCGUGAAAGGCACAGAAUAAUUAGGAUCACCGAAUAUCCCAUCAGUGCUGGGGAAUAUGGAACCAUCUUAUCAAUUAACUAGUUUAACAUUUCUUGCGGUCUUGAACCUCUCAGAAAACCAUCUUAUCCUAAUGUGCCGACUUCCUUUGACGGAGAAAUGGUGAUGCUGAUGCUAAUGAUAAUGAACUCAACUGGGGAGUGAUCCUUAUGGGAUACGGAUGUGGAUUGAUAUGCGGAUUUUCUUUGGGGUUUAUAUUUUGUGGUUUGUGAGAUACAUUGAAGUACUGCAGCUGGAGUUGAUCAUUAUAAAGAACAUAGGCAAGUUAAUCGCUUAUUGAAAUUAGUAAUUGUCAAAAGUAAAAUGUUGAAAUUACUUUUUUCGAUUGAAAUCAUUGAAAAAAAGUCUCUGUCGAAAUUGAUCUGCCAAAAUUAUGUUUAAUAUCUACGGCCAAGAUUAUCUGUCGAAUAUAUUUCCCGACAAUUUUAAAAGACAAAUUUUUCGCCUCUCAGCUGUGAGCGGGAACAGAUAUUUUCGACAGAAUUCCAUUGAAAUUAGCUAAUUUCAACAUAAAUUUUCUAUCGAAAUUACUUGAGUUCUUUGUAGCUUGUUUUCACAAAUACGCUGAUAGCCUUUGGGGACGGGUAUAUUGUUUUCACAAAGCCCUGGUGGUAUGUGAGAUGCUUCGAAGGACUGCAACUGAAGUCGAUAAGAACAUGCAGAAAGAAAACCGAUCCAUCUUGAUAAACUUGAAAAAUGUUGUCAUAUGGUGAUAUAUACUCCCUGGCCCCAGUCUCUUGGAAAGAACUUGGUUGAUUUUUUUUUUUCAGUAUUGUUGGAGCUGUCAUACUAGUGCUAGUGUGCCGACUAGCACUAGUAUGACAGCUCCAACAAGUAUCCAUCCCUAAUAAUUGCAGCAAAUUAAAAAAUAUAGCUAUAUCUUUUUAGCAAUGGUGCAAUUUGGAAAGCUUUCUCAUCAUCUUCUUCUUUUCUUUAUCUCAUUACUCUCAUCUAGUUCCACUGUCCUAUCUGCAACAAUUCGCGAAGGAGAAGCUCUUGUGGAAUGGAAGAACAGCCUAUCCCCGAAUUCAUUUCUUGGUUCUUGGUCACUAAUUAAUCUCACUUAUCUUUGUAAUUAAGUGGACUGGCAUUGUAUGCAACUCUGCAGGUUCAGUCAGUCAGAUUAAUCUUCAAGAACUCACACUUGCUAACCUCCGUUUCUUUUCGUUUCCAAAUCUCACCAAUCUCAACAUUACACAUAACAACUUCACUGGUCCAAUACCACCCGAGACUUUAGCUAUAGUAAUCUCAAUGGUACCCUUCCAUACCAGGUCAGCCAUCUUCAGAGGUCGGUCGUCUUAGGCCUCUAAUUUAAUCACUUGAAAGCUCUAAGCUUGUCCAAUUUUUCCCCCAUGCCUAUACUGGUUGGUCGCGGUCUUGGUGGUAAUAAGCUGGCGUCAAUUUUUCCAGAAUUCAUAUCUAAUUGCUAUAACAUGAUUAACCUUGAUCUUUCAUUUAACAUGUUAACUGGUGAUCCCUUCAACAACUUGCGAAUCUUGGAUCUCUUCGACAAUGAAUUCACUGGUUACUUGCCAAUCCAAUAUUUUAAUAAUAUGAAACCAGUUAAUACCGUGAUUGAUUAUUACAACAUAACAGUGAAUCAUGAUUAUCAAGCAUGUCUUGUUAACAUUUUGCACUCGUAUUAAUUGUCUUAUAUAUGACUAACUCAUCUUGCACUCGUAUUAAUUGUCUUAUAUAAUACUAAUAACAAAAAUAUGAGGCGGUGCUUAGUCAGAUGAUUUUAGUUGUUAAAAUAUUUUUGUGUUAUUUAUAGAUAGUGAAACAUGUCUAAUAUUUUAUCAAUUUUGUUUCGUUUCUUGAGAUUUCCAAAUAUUUAUUGGGACAUUGUACCAUGGUGUAUUUCACAUAUUCGCAAUUUUAAUUAUUUUGUAUUUUUAUUUUAAAGAUAUGAUAAAGUUUAUUUAUUUAUUUGUUUUUAUCUUAAAAGCGAUUUUCGAGUGUUGCUUAAACCUCGAAGAUUCCAAUCGAGUUUUAUUCUCGGAUCUGUUUCGGAAUUGAGCUUGGCCUUGAUUGUUUUCUGAAUAAAUCAGAUCUUUUGAAAUCAAAGGUUCGAUUGUGUUUUCCCGUCUCGCCUUUUGGCGUGUGUUGAUUUAGUACCCAAUUUUUGGGUGAUUCUGCGUUGUUAUAUUUGUGGUUGUUAUGUCUUUCUGUGUUAUCAAUGAGAAUGAUUGGGAUGGAGUUUUGGGAGAUUUGGCUUAUCGCAUCAUUACAUCUUUCGGCAUGUCUAUAGCUGGCUCCCGGCAUGUAGAUAGCUGGGGUAUGCUUGGAACGGUGGCGAUCGCAUGUGCUCACCUGUCACAAAUUAUAGUUGUUCAUUAUUCGAGGGCUCUUGUUCCUCGUUGCUUAGUUUUUACAACUGAGUCGUCUGAACACCGCAACAGCCAUGGAACUAUUGUGAAGGUCAAUUGUGAAGCUAUCAUUUUCGAGAUUGAUGUAGGCUGGAUUACUCGAGAAGCUUUUGUAUUCAUUUUCAGUUUCAAGAAUUCUUGAAUUCAGUGUGUUAAGCAGUCUGGAAACAAUGCGGCUAUUUGAUUAGCUCGUUUUAUUGUUUAUCAACCUGAUUGCAUUGUCAGUUGGGGAUUUGUCCCGAUUAAACUUGUUUUAAUAUAAUGGAAUGAAUUUGCAUUUUGUCAAAAAAAAAAAAAAAAAGCGAUUUUGAGUUGUUUGAGUUAGAUAUAUACUCCUACUGUGGUUCAACUAGUUUUGCCAUAAGUGAAUAACUUCCGGUCAAUAUUUUGAAAUUUGUCGUUAUCUUCUAAUUAAAAUAAAGGGUUAAAUAGCUACUUCAUCAUUAAUAUCGUUGAAAAUUUGCAGCUGAGUCAUGUUGUUGAAAAGACUUUCAAACUGCAUCAUUAAGUAAUUAAAAAAUUUCAAAAACACCACUCUCCGUCAGUUAUGUUAAACAAUUAACGGAAAGUUCGAAAAAAAAUAAAGAAAAGACAAAAAAACAUUAAAAAAAUUUGAAAAAAAAACCCGAAAAAAUGUGAAUAAACUAUGAUAUUUUUUUUCUUUUUUUGAAAAAUGUGAAUAAAAUCAAAAAAUCAAAAAAAAUGGGAAACCAAAAGUGGCAAGCUUUUUUUUUUUUUGUUCCUUUCAAAUUUUCUAAAAUCUGGGGAAAAAAGAACUUGCCAACUAAUUUUUUCCAAAUUUUUUCAAAUUCUUUUCAGAUUUUUGAAUUUUUUUCCAAUUUUUUCCUCACUUUUUUUCUGUUUUUUUUUGAAUUUAUUAAGAUUUUUUUUGUUUUUUCUGCUUAUUCUGAAUUUUUUAAGAUUUAUUCGCAUUUUUAAAAAAUAUUUUUGAAUUAUCCGUUAAGUAAUUAAUGGAACUGACGGAGAGUGAUGCUUUUGAAAGUUUUUAAUUACUUGAUAAUGCGUUUGAAAAUUUUUUCAACAACAUGACUCAGUUGCAAGUUUCCGGCGAGGUUAGUAAUGAAUUAGUUAUUUAACUCUUAAUAAAAAUCUAUCUAAACAAUAUUAUAAAUAUAAUGUUAUGGGUUCGAUGAGUCGUGUAAAACAUGGAAGAAGUUUAGGUGGGGUAAAAAGAGCCUAGCUGUGUGAUUUCCAUUCUGUUAUACGUGAUAUACUGUAGUUGAUCAUCUCCUUUGUCCGCUUCAUCCUGUGCAACCUUAACCUUUAAGGAAAAACUUAUGAGAUUCUCUAGUGCAUCUAAAUUCUUGUGUGAAGAAUGUGAAGAAAAAUGUUAGUCUCAGAUUAUUUUUCCUAAAAUGCUUGCAUGUUACAUUUUAUAUGUAUGUCCUGACUUUAAGUAUAAUUUAGCAUUUUUAUUUAGUAUUGUGUAAAAAUAAUAUAUUUUAUUCAGUCUUAUUAAAAAUAUAAUCAUGUUAUACUGUAAAAGUAUUUGUGAAUUUCUUUGUUACAUAUGUGUUUAAAUUAUUUUAUUUAUAUAUGUUUUACAAUUUUUUACAAAUAUAUAGGUUGAGUAUUGCAUAGGAAUAUAAUUACACGUUAGCAAAUAUGAUUAUGUGUAAACUGUUCUGCGUGCAUGUAUAUUGCUGCUAAGUUUUAAACUUCUUACUAACCGGAAUAAUUUUGACAGAUGUGUGGAACUUGAUUAAUUUAGUUGCACUAUAAGAGAAAGCGUUUUUGUCAAUAAAAAUUGUUAAGGAAAUUAGUCCGUUGGUAGUUCUCAACGGAUUUGUAACAAUUUGACUGGUCAAUGUUCUGUCAACCAAUUCGUAAUGAAAUACCCACACUUAUUUACAACGAGAUGUUCUAUUAGGAAAUAUAGCCACACAAUGGAAUAAUAACAAAAGACCAAGGAAUGAGCAACAGACUAGCAACGAAAGUAUCUGUUAUUACAUUCGUUGAUAUUCCCUUGAUAAAUACUAGACUUUUUAGCACUUUGGUGGCUUGUACUAUUUCAAAUUUGCACGUUAGUGGCCGACCUUUAAAAGUCAUCAAUUGUGUUGCUGAACUUAUUUUUUUUUAACACAUUAGGGGCUCCGCAUCAUAUCCGUUAAAUCGAAGUAACGGCGUCAAAUGAUCAAUACAUAUCUCCUCCUCCUCUUAUUUCCCUCCAAAUUAAAAAACGAAACGGCUACCCUCUUUUCCGAAGCAAGAACGACGACGAAUUCCUGCUUACAGAGAUGAGUUGGUUCCGGCGUCUUAAAGAGGAUGCUGAUGUGUAUUAGCCUCGACAGUGCCCCGAUUACUGUAGUAAGCUCUUCAACUUUUCUUCUUUGUAGCAUAUGAAAUGAGUUUAAUUGACCAUUAUUUCAGUGUUUGUUGUUGUUAGUGGCUAGUUGUUUAGUAUUAUGGACCUGCAAUUGCUUUAUACUAUUAAAAUGAAAGAUUCUGCUUGUGGGUUUUUAAAAAUUAAGGCUUUUACAUAGUCCAAGAUUCGGUCAUUAUAAAAUCAAUUUAUGCCUGUUUUAGUAUAGUGCUUGUUGUUAGUGGCUAUUUGUUAAGUAUAGUGUUGUUUAUUGUAAAUAAAACUGUUGCUUUGCACUCUACAUUUGCAGAACCUGGUGAUUUUACCCUAAAAAUAUAUCAUGGGGCCGAUUGGGUAGAUAACCCUAGGGCAUAUGUGGGAGGUACAGUAGAUUUCUUUGACUUCUGUAAUGCUGAUCAGAUCAGCAUAAUUGAGAUAUAUAGUAUGUUGAAAGAGGUUGAUGAGUUUGGGUUUCACCAACUGUGGUAUAAGCUACCUGGCACUACAUUCGAUAGAGCUUUUGUACUAAAUAAUGAUGAGGAGCUAAUGACCAUGUGUGAGCUUAUAUCUGAUGUGGAUAAGUAUAUGGAGAUUUAUGUCACCACUAUGGCACAUCUAAGUAUAGUGCCCUAUAGAGAUUUAGAGGUUGAAUUUGUUGAACCAACUCCUAAAGAAGCACCUGAAAAGAACAAUCCAUCACCUGAAAAGAUCAAUCCAGCACCUGAAAAGAUCAAUCCAGCACCUGCAAAGAUGUAUCCAGCACCUGCAAAGAGCAUUCCAACUGUGGGAAAUGAUGAUGAUCAGGAAGAGUUUGAGUUUGAUUUUGACAAUACACGGUUUUGGGAUACCACCCAAAAUGAAAUUGAAAUUGUGCAACAAGUUAGGGAAAUGGAGGGGUUGGAAGAGGAAUUUUCAGACACAGAUUCUGAUGAUGAGGAUUUUGUGCCAGAAGAAAAGGAAAGUAGUGAUGAGACCUUCCACUGUGAUAGUUCCAAUCAAGAUAAUUCUGAUGAUGAUUUGUUGUUUGAUGAUGAUUACUACCAUCCUUACCAGCAGAUGGAAACCAACAAAGAAAAAUAUACAACAACAACAACACAGCAAGAAUUUUCCAGUUCCUUGCUUGCUUCUGCGCCUCGGAUAGUUCUUCACUGUAGAAAUCCUUGUACUCAUCUUUGGCCUUAAUCAUUUCAGCAAAACAUUCAUCGUCCUUGUUCUUCAAACGCCUUAUCAGUCCAUUGAUUACACUCUUGCUGCGCGCAUCAAACUCGGGUUCAACCCACUUGAAGAAAUUGCACCUUCCAUUCACGCAAGUCAAGAAUCUUCUACCCGGAUUGUACUCCGUCCACGAUGUCUUCUCCACUGCCCAGCUUCCACACAUACAUUGUUGAUUCAUCUUUGCAGAGCUUUUUGGUUUGGAUGAGAGAUUUAGGUUUGAAUAUGCUCAAUUACACACAGCAGAAACGUAUAUAUAUACACAGCAUAUAGCCGUUGCAAAAAUAUUUUCCUGAAAUACCCCUGACGACCGUUACUUCGAUUUAAUGGAUAUGAUGCGGAGCCCCUAAUGUGUUAAAAAAAAAAUAAGUUCAGCAACACAAUUGAUGACUUUUAAAGGUCGGUCACUAACGUGCAAAUUUGAAAUAAUACAAGCCAUCAAAGUGCCAAAAAGUCUAAAUACUAACAGUUUCGUUAGUAAUUGAUUAUUAGUUUUACAUGGACAAUUGAUAUACACCACAUGAGCACAUACACGGAUACAAUGCCAGGCUCUUAGUUGAAAUGUGUGUACUGCUAAAGCUCAAGGAGAUUUAGUUGACUAAAUUGAUUUGAGUUGUAGAAAAAGGUUUAAUAAUAUAAUGGACUUUGAUAUAUGUAUUGUAGAUAUUAAGUAAUUCUCUUGAAUUUAUAUAUGUAACAUAAUUGUUAAUUGGCUCAUCCUUAACUAGAUAUUUUAUAUUACAUUCUUAACUACAGAUUUUGUAUUUAAAAUUUUUUUAAAAAAUUAACCUUUAUUUGGUAUGUGGAUUUUGUAGUCAAAUGUGGUCAAUUUACUUAGCCUUCGAUCGAAUACCUACCCAAAACAUAAAAAUAUUUUUUAAUCAUUUAUUUUCGACGAUCCAACUAUACGGAUAUUAUUGUAAUGUGAUAAUAUUGUUUACAAAUUUUUUUUAAAAAAAUUAGCCUUUUAUUUGGUAUGCGCAUUUUGUAGUCAAAUGCAAUUAAAUUACUUAGUCUUUAGUGGAAUCUUUACCCGAAACAUAAAACUUUUUUUUAAAAAAAAAUUUGGACAAUCCAACCGUACAGAUGUUAUUGUAACGUGUUAAUAUUGGUUAAAAUAAAUUUUGAGAAAAUAUGUCUUUUAUUUGGUGUGUGGAUUUUGUGGUCAAAUGCGGUCAAAUUACUUAGCAUUUAAUCGAAUACUUACCCAAAACAUGAAACUAUUUUUUUUAAAAAAUAAUUUCGGACGAUCCAACCGUACGGGGGUAUUGUAACACAAUAAUAUUGAUUAAUUUUUUUAUAGGAAAAUUAUAGCCUUUUAUUUGUUGUGUGGAUUUUGUUGUCAAAUGCAGUCAAAUUACUUAGCCUUUAAUGAAAUACUUACAUUAAACAUGAAUUUAUUUUUUUUUAAAAAUCAUUUGGAUGAUCCAAUCGUACGGAUGUUAUUAUGACAUGUUAAUUGAUUAAAAAAAUAUUUAAAAAAAAUGCCUUUUAUUUAGUAUGUGGAUUUUGUAGUAAAUGCUACUUAGCCUUUAAUCGAAUACUUACCCGAAACAUGAAACUAUUUUUCUAAAAAUCAUUUUGGACAAUCCAACCGUACGGAUGUUAUUGUAACAUGAUAAUAUUGAUUGUUUUUUUAUAUAAUAACCUUUUAUUUGGUGUGUGGAUUUUGUAGUAAAAUGCGGUCAAAUUACUUAGCUUUUAAUCGAAUACUUACCUGAAACAUGAAACUAUUUUUAAUAAAAUUAUUUUAGAUGAUCCAACCAUACAGAUGCUAUUGUAACGUGAUAAUUGAUUAUUUUUUAAAAAAAUUAGCCUUUAAUAUGGUGUAUGGAUUUUAUAGUAAAAUGAGGUCAAAUUACUUAGUCUUUAAUGGAAUAUUUAUUAGAAAUAUAUUUUAAAAAAUUAUUUUGGACGAUCCAAACUGUAUGAAUGUUAUUUUAACAUGUUAAUAUUGAUUAAAAUUGUUUUUAAAAAAAAAUUAGUUGUAUUUUAUGUGUGAAUUUUUAGUCAAAUACGAUAAAAUAUUUAUUUAGCUUGUAAUGAAAUAUUAAAACCCUACUUCAAAAGAAACUUGUCUAAAACUACCUAUAAGUGUUAGAGAAUCAUCGAUUUAGUUAUCAAAUUAGUUAUCAUAAGGGUUUUACUCCGCUUUUCUCUGGUAUGAUGUUGAUUUUUGGGGUUUGAUUGGUCGAUUUUCAUGUUUUAUAAGUUAUGUGAGUUCGAUUUUGAUGUUUUUACAAUUAGGUUUAUGUAUGUUCUUAUACAGGUUUCAUGUUCAUGUUUUGAUUUGUUGAUUUCCUAUUUUUCAUAUUUUGUUGAUUAGUUAUUUGUGUGGGUUUUGAACUUUGAUGAGUGUGUAUGUAAUCUCCUGUUUUUUUUUUUCAUUUUUCUGGUUCGAACACUUCGAUUAGUAGCUGGAAAAACAGCUGAUGCGGCAGUAGCGGCUAGUGAGAUGGAUAACAAGAAAAGGAUGAUUUCGAGGUCAUCUCGUGCAAGUCUUCAGAUAUAGUUUUGUUCCUUUAUGUUUUUAAUUGACAUAAAUUUUCACAUUUGAUGAUUAUAUUAUGGGGGAUUCUGGGUAUACUUGUAUAUAAUCUAGCAAGUUAUUAUAAUUCUGGACGGGGGGCUUAUUGUGAAAUUAAAUUGAGGGAUAAGUUGUGUUAUUGGUUCUAGUGGAUUAAAUUUAUGUUGACACUUGAUAUAUGCAUUGAUGUCGUAAAAUAAGUUGCACAUCAAACUAUUUGGCUUGUUUAAGUUGUAUGGAGUAAGGCUGUACGCGGAUCGGAUCGGUUCGGUUGGAGGGUAAUAACCAAACCAAACCGCAACUUACGGUUUUCUAAAAUCUCAAACCGCGACCAUACUGUUGGUUAAAAAAACCCAACCAAAUCCAUCCACGUAAUUGCGGUUGGUUGCGGUUCAACUGCUAAAAUAGUUAUAACAAAGAAAAUAUAUAAGUUAUUGCUUAAAAUCUUGCAUAAAGUACAGACUUUAACUCAAAAAUAUAUAAUUUAUCACUUAAAAUCUUGAAUAAAGUUAAUACAAUAAAUCUGAUUACAUAUUACAAAAGCAAACUACUCCGGAAAUAUAUAACUUGAAGCAGAGCUUCAAGUUAAUGGUUAUUAAAAAUUUCAUCCGCGACUGCCCACAUUUUACGGUUAUCCAUAAUACACGGAUCGGUUGCAGGUGGUUGUUGCGGUUAAUGCGGUGGAGCGGAUUGAACGUACAGCCCUAUGAAGUAUGGUUGCCAAGCAUUGGUUGGUUGUACACGUGUAAACAAAAUGAUAUUUUAAUAUUUAAACAAAACAAUACAGUCAUAAACAGAUCGUGUCGGGCUGGACUGAUUGUGAUUUUCCUUUUUGGAACUCGUACUCGGCAUCUUCCAAGCGAAUGAUAUUUAGAAGUUUGUUGCUAGUAUACUCCAUGUCAUAAUAAGAGUUCUUUAGAUUUUUUAUAUGUAAUUCGAAGUAUAAAAAACAUAUUUUAACAUAUUAUUUUUAAAUUUUUUAUACAUAAAAAUAUAACAUCUAUAUUUUUAUUUAGAAAAAAAUUUGAAAUAUAAUAUAUAGAUGCAUGUCUUUUUUAUACGUGAAAUUACAUGUAAAAAAUUAAAAGACUCUUAUUUUGAGUAAGAGAGAAUAUGAUGUACCAUAAAGUCAUCGAUCUUUUGUUAUCAAAUAAAUGUGAUAUUUAAUUAUUUAAGAGCAAGUCCAAAAGUAUCUUAGUUAAAGUCCUAAAUAUAAUAUAAAAUAUUACGUUCUGGUGAUUUAGGAUAUAUUUUACUAACUUGGACUCCAACAAUGUGUCUUAUUCUCAUAAGAAGUUUAAUAUUUUAUUAUUAAAGACUCUCUUUCAUCAUUAAAGCAUAAUAUAAAAGUAGAGAGAGAAAAAGAGUGUUGAUAAGAAUUAAUAAUAAAAUAUGGGAUAGGGUUAGGAGAGAUGUGCCUCAAAAAUAGGGUUUGAGGAGUUUCAUUAGGUGUGGACACGGAGACCAAGAAGUAAAAGAUGAGUACAGUUAAAUGAAGAUGUGGUAAAAUAAUGUGACCCAUUUAUAUUUAAUAAUACAUUUGAAAUAGUGGAGGAAAGUAACGAGUGUAAUAACGUUUAUAUUAUUAUAGCAUAUAGAUAGCAGAAGAAAGCAAUGGGUAUAAAAGUGUAUUAUAUUAUUAAAGUUUUGAAAUGUUUAGAAAUAAUGGGGCAAUCAAAAAGAAAACUGUAUAAAAAUGGACGAGAGAAUACAAUUCAAGAAGUAAUAUAUCUCAAUUCAAACUAGGUAAUAUAUUUAUGAAUUAUAUUAAAAAAAAUUUGACAUUCAAAUAUAAAAAUUUAUUUUAUCAUCUUAACAAUGGAAUAUUCGAUUAUUAACUUUCGUAAAUAACAUUAAUUUUUCAUUAUAAUAUACUCUAAACUUUUAUUUUAUGUGCCUGUUUGUUUACAAGAAGCUGGAGUCCUACUUCUCUUGACUCGUUUGUGUAAAAACGUAAAAAGUGCUUUUAAAAAGUACUGAGAAGGAAAUGGAAGUAGAAAAUGCUAGUUUUUCUUUAUAAUAUCUAUUUCUUUUCUAGACACUUUAAUAAUUUAUAUAUAUUAAUUUAUUUCUCACUUAUACUCCAUUUUUUUAUAGAGAACUUCUUUUAAACUAAUCGGCUCCUAUAAUCAGUAGUUUCUCAAUUUUAAUAGGAAUAAGAGCAUGUUUAUCUGAGCUUAAAGCCCGGGGUUUAUAUCAUCUCUGGCUUUAAGCUGAAAAAUGUAUGUUUGUGUAUUAAGUCGGAAGUCGGCUUAAAGUCGGAAAUAAGUCAAAAAUUGACCUAAAACCAGAAGUUAGUUUGAGAUACUUUUCUCGGUGACUAAUUUUUUUUUUAGCCAUUUUUUGAUAAAAAUUAUUCCUAAAUCACAAAUUACUCAUAAAUUACUUUUAUUAUUAUUAUUAUUAUAUUUUUAAUAACUUAUAAAUUAUUAAUAAAUCAAAAUUAAUCAAACAAAUAUUUUAAGUUCUCAUAUUAUGAGAUAACUAACGUUAAGUCAUGAAUCAACUGAACGGGAUGUAAGUCUUCUUCUCCCCGAGUCAUCAGCAGACUUUUUCCAUGUCUUCUGAGCCCCCAUUGGCUCACAAUUGGCCCAAAAAAUAUUUGGUUAUGCAUUGCUAUUCACACACUUAGACAUCAAAAUUUAUCAUCCGACAGGCGACAGCUAACUGCACACUAUUUUUCCCACAAGCUGAAAAAUCAACGAUCAAUUAAUUUUUCUUAUCAAUUAAUAAAGUUAUGAUUUCACGUACACGGCAGGCAAAAUGCUAAUAAAUAGACGAGUGCAGUAUAGUAUGGGUUCAUGAUCACCUUGAGAUUUAAUUGAAAAAUAUUAUGGUGAUAUAGAUUAAAUUAAAUUAUAAUAUCUUGAAAAGUUAUAAAUAAUUUUAAUUACUAAUAAUAUUUAUUUGUACAUUUAAAUAUUUUUAUAAAAACACAAAAAUAGCAUUAUACUCAUUUAAGUUUCUCGUAUCCGCCUCUCUUCUUGGAGAUUGUGGAUUUGCGAUAUUUAUAUUGAUUAUUAUAGGAAAAUGUUAUUUCCAGAGCAAACAUUUUUAUUUCCGGAGCAAAUUCAAACAAAUUUUUCCAAAUUGUUCUGGAAAUUAAAAUAUUGAUAUGGAUAUAACAAUUCCCUUAUUAUAUCCUAUGUAUAUUACAUUAAUGCAAUUAACAUGGUUGAUUGUUUUAGUAUAUAAUCAUAUUACUGUGACCUUUUAGUAUAUAAUUAUAUUAUUUUUGUUAUAUUUUAUGCAUCUAGAAACAAUUUUUUUAUGAUAUUUAUUAUAUUAAUUAUAGUAAAAGAUAUAAUUUUGUUUAAAAAAUUGAAUAAAACUAAGAGGGAUAGCCUACGUCUCUCCGAGUCUUCGAGGACUCAUUCCAAGUCCGAGAGGACCACAGCCUCAACCUUUAAGAGAUGUGAAAGUAGCUUGAGAGUGAUAUAAAUUUAUUUUUGACAAUAAAAUUUAAUAAUCAAAUAAAUUAAAUUAAAUUAAACUAGUUUAUAAUCGAUUAAAAAUAUAUAAAUCAAAAUUAUUCCCGAAUUAUGAUAACAAUUAAAAUCAUUUUAAAAGUUGCAUAAAUCAAAUCCAAAUCGAACAAAUUCCCCUAACACUAAAAUGUAGUUGCUUUAUUGUAGAUAAAAACAGUAUAAUAAUAGUAUUGAUGAAAAAUCAAAUUCAUCAAAUAAGUUUAUAAAAAAUACAUGAUUUUAAUUUUAAAAAAAAAACAUGAUUUUAGUGUGUUGUAUUAGUAGUGUGUCCACGCAUUUAUAUAUUAAAAUCUAUCCUCUAAAAACUAUCGAUCUAUUUACACAACUAUUGAUCUGUCGUGCAACAAAUUCCAGGGCGAAGUUCCAAAGAGAGCUUAAAUGGCUUGCAUUGCUCAAUCUAUCUCAUAAUAGUCUUAACGACAUAUGUUCUGAAUUAUUAUUAUGAUUUCAACAAUAUUUUCAAACAUUUCUUAAUAUGUAUUUUCAAAGAAUUCUCAAGCACUUGAACAUUUGGACCGGUUCUUUCGAAGCCAGGCAAUGCACAAAAAUGUCCAAAAAUGAAUAAAUUAAGAGAGAGUAGCUCACCCUUUCAAAGCCUUCCAGGACUCAUUCCAAGUCUUCGGAGGACCACUGCCUCCCCCUUUCAAAGAUGUGAUAGUAGCUCGAGAGUGAUAUAAAUUAUUUUCCCGACAUUAAAAAUAAAAAAUCAGAUUAAAUUAAUCAAUAAUAACUUAAGGAUGAAAUCCAAAUUAAUCCUAAAUUUUGAUAAUAUAUAAAAAUUAUAAUUAUAAAUUAUAUAACCAAAUCAGAAUUGAAUUAACUUACUUGGCACUAGAAUUGCUAAAGACAGUAUAAUAAUUUAAUUGAUGAAAAGUCAAAGUCUUCUAAUAAAUCCAUAAAGAAUAUGAUAAUAUGAAAAUUAUAAUUGAAAAAUCAAAAUCAAUAGUGUAUUGGAAUAGUGUUCACACACUUAUAUAUCAAAAUUUGUGGUCCAAAAACUAUAGCACAAUAUCCUAAAUACAUCACAUUAAAUAAUAGCACAAAAAUAUUCAAUAAAUAAUUGAUUUCAUUCAUAAAUUUGUUAUUUUAAAAACUAAUAAUUUGGUUGAUGUUAACCUAUAUUUUAUAUAUAAUUUCGUCUUAUUUUAUUUUACUAGAAACAAUAUUUUUAUAAUAUUUAUUACAUUAAAUAUAUUAAAAGAUAUAAUUUUAUUAAAAAAAUUGAAUAAAAUUAAAAGGAUAAGUCUCGGCCUCUCCAAGUCUACAAGACUCAUUUCAAGUCCACCGAGGGCCUCAACCAUUGAGAGAUGUGAAAGUAGCUUGAGAGUGAUAUAAAUUAAUUAAAUUAGUUAAUAAUGAAUCAAGACUAAUCAUGAAUUAUGAUAAUAAUUAAAUAAAUUAUAAAAUUAAAUUAUACAAAUAACACUAAACCUUAGUUACUUUAUUGGUAAAUAAAUAUAAUAUAAUAAUCAAAUUGAUGAAAAAUCAAAAUCAUUUAAUAAAUUCACAAAAAAUAUAUGAUCAUUAGUAUGUUAUAUUAGUAUCCACACACUUAUAUUUCAAAAUCUAUCCUCCAAACUUAUCAUCUCUGUAAACUAGCCACAUAAAAUAAAAAUUUAAAGAUAUUAGAUAUUUAGUUAUUUUCAUUAUAUAAUUUUUCCACACGAAAUAACAAAAUAUCUUUAUCAAAUUAUUAUUUAUGAGUUAAAUAUUCAAUUUAUAAAUCCAGUAUGCAGCGUAUAAAUAGAAGUGUGCAGUAUGAUAUCAGAUUCACAUAACCCAGUUGAUGAGGAGAAACAUGGCAUACUCUGCAAAGCCUUCUCACCUUCUUCUCUUUGUUUUCUUUCUCUCAUCACUUGAAUCCAUUCUUGCAACAACACGAGAGGGAGAAGCUCUUGUGAAGUGGAAGAAUAGCCUAGCCCCUUCUUCUUUUCUCGACUCUUGGUCACUCACCAAUCUCGAUAAUCUUUGUAACUGGACUGGCAUUACUUGUAACUCUGCAGGUUCAGUCUCUGAGAUUAACCUUAGUGAGAAACAACUUGAUGGAAUGCUGUCCGAGUUUGGUUUCACUUCAUUUCCAAAUCUCAACAAUCUCACCCUCGCAUACAACUUCUUCUCGGGUCCAAUACCGCCAGCCAUUGAGAAUUUAACACAGCUUCAAUACCUUGAUUUAAGCUUUAAUUAUCUCGAUGGUCCCAUUCCGUUCCAGGUUAGCCAUCUUCAGAGGUUGCUCAUCUUAAACCUGUCACAGAAUGCAUUGCAAGCUCCAAAUUGGUCCCAUUUCUCUCCCAUGCCUUUCUUGCGCAUCCUCGACCUUAAUAGCAAUCAUCUUGCGUCGAACUUCCCAGAAUUUAUAUCCAAUUCUCAUAGCUUGGCUAUCCUUGACCUUGGAUAUAACAACUUUACAGGUGACCUUGUGCGUGAAUUUACUAAUCUACAAAAUCUUGAAACCCUCUACCUAGAUGAAAAUUCUUUUGAGGGGCCAUUUCCGCCGGAUGUAUUCAGGCUUUCCAAAUUAAAACAUCUUCGCCUGUCAGGUAACAAAUUCUCAGGUUCAAUUCCCAAUGACAUAAGGUUGCUUUGUGAUCUUGAAUCCCUAUAUUUAAGCAACAAUUCCUUUAAAGGACCCCUUCCAUCAAAUAUAUUCAAGCUUUCAAAAAUAAAACAUCUUGUUCUUUGGAGUAAUAAGUUUUCUGGUUCUGUUUCCAAUGAUAUAGGUUUACUUUCUGAGCUUGAAACCCUCGAUCUUAACUCUAAUUUUUUUGAGGGGCCGCUUCCGUCAAAUAUAUUCAAGCUCUCCAAACUAAGGUAUCUUUCCCUUUGGGGUAAUAACGUUUCAGGUUCUAUUUCCAAUGAUAUAGGUUUGCUUUCUGAGCUUGAAACCCUCGAUCUUAACUCUAAUAUUUUUGUGGGGCCGCUUCCGCCAAAUUUAUUCAAGCUCUCCAAACUAAAGAUUCUUUCCCUUUAUAAAAAUAACUUUUCAGGUUUUAUUUCUAAGGAUAUAGGUUUGCUUUUUGAACUUGAAACCCUCUAUCUUGGCUCUAAUUUUUUUGAGGGGCCGCUUCCCCCACAUGUAUUUAGGCUCUCCAAAUUAAGAGAUUUGGGUCUCAGAGACAAUAGAAAUUUAUUUCAAGGAAGUAUUCCUAUUGGACUGGGACUCUUGACUAAUCUCAGGUACUUGAGUCUAUUUUCCAAUGAUCUCAGUGGCUAUAUUCCAUCUGAGAUUGGAAACCUGAAGCUACUAAAAGUUCUUGAACUCGGUUCUAAUCAAUUGACAGGACCGCUUUUAAAGAUAGUUUCUAAUCUCAAAAAUCUUAUAUAUCUUGGUGUAAGUGGUAAUAGUCUUAGUGGAAAUAUUCAGAGUGACUUGUGGAAAUAUAACGAUCAUCCAACUUUGGAAUACAUCAAUUUAAGUGGGAACCAUUUUACGGGUAUAGUUUCUCUCUAUAGAUCUUUGUCAUAUGUAACUAAGCUAGUAAUCUGAUUAUUGCCUUUUCACCAAAGUUUCAACAAUCUUGACAGGUGAGCUUCCAACAACAAUUUGCAAUGUCACAUCCCUUUUGCUUCUUGAUUUGUCAAAUAAUGAAUUAAGUGGUGCACUUCCAAACUGUUUCGGAAAUCUUGCUGAUAGAUUGCUUUACGUUAAUCUUGCUAAUAAUCAGUUUCGAGGAACAAUACCAACUACUUUCUCCAGGAGUUGUCAGCUGAAAUAUCUAAACAUGGAUAAUAAUGAGUUUGAAGGAUUGUUGCCCCCGUCUUUGGAAAACUGUAAGCACUUGAGAAUUCUUGAUAUUGGCAAUAAUAAAAUAGGUGGUACAUUUCCGUCAUGGCUUUAUGUACUUGGAGAGCUAGAAGUCCUUGUCUUGCAAUCAAAUAAACUCUAUGGUACAAUAAGUGGAAGGAGCAUAGAAGAUCCCUUCCGCAAGUUGCGGAUUGUGGAUCUGUCCAACAACCACUUCACAGGCCAUUUGCCAAUUCAAUACUUUAAGAAUAUGAAAUCAACUGAUAAUUUGUAUAGUUAUCAGCUUUCCACAGCAGUUUUUUCUUUCCAUUAUGAAGCAGCAGUCUCAUUAAUUGUGAAGGGAACAGAGUAUGAAGUAGCAAAUAACCUUCAUAUUUACACAGCCAUUGAUCUGUCGUGCAACAAAUUUCAGGGAGAAAUUCCAAAGGUUACUGGAGAGCUUAAAUGGCUGGCAUUGCUCAACUUAUCUCAUAAUAGUCUAACAGGACCUAUCCCGUCAUUGCUGAGAAAUAUGAAAGAACUCCAAUCUUUAGAUUUGUCCUCAAAUCAACUGACGGGGGCUAUUCCACCUCAGUUAACUGCGCUGACAUUUCUAGAGGUCUUAAACCUCUCGGGAAACCAUCUUAGUGGAGAGAUUCCUCAGAAAGGACAAUUCAGCACAUUCAACAAUGAUUCGUAUCUAGGAAACUCCGCUUUAUGUGGAUCACCAUUGACGAAGAAAUGUGCAAACACAGCAUCACCUCCACAAGAAGUCGGAAAUGUUGAUGAAGAUUAUGCGGGUGAUGAAUUGACAUGGGAAGCAAUCAUGAUCGGAUAUGGAUGUCGACUGAUAUGUGGAUUGUCAUCUGCAUACAUUGUUCUCAAACUAGGAAAGCCUUGGUAGUUUGUGAGAUAUGUCGAAGUACUGCAACAGAAGUUGAUGAAAAGAUGCUUGAAGAAAGGUACUGGUCGACCAAUAAGAACUUGAAAGUUGUUGUCCUGGUAGACAUUUCUGAACCAGUAGUAUUUGGUAUUAUGUGAUAUUCUGUUUGGUCCGGACUCAUAACGAUUUCGCUUGCUUCAGGAGUAUUAAUAUUAACCUUCCUAUCUUGAUCAAUGUUAAUGCAAAUUAAAAUGAAAAGGCAAAAAAUAUGCAUCAAAUCCCCUCCUGUUGUACCAAGAUUCAUUAAUUAAGAGGCAUGGCUUUUGUCUCUCCAAGUCUUCGAGAAAUUAUUCCAAGUCUUCUUUGGAGGCCUACUGCCUCAACAACCUUUCAAAGAUGUAGCAGUUGCUCGACAGUGAUAUAUAUAUUAGAUAAAGACUAUGCAACAACCAACGUGACAGAAAAAUCAAAAUAGGACAAAAUCCGUACGAAUCAAAAUAGUUUAUUUCUAAGGGGAAUAGCUGAAUUAAAUUGUAAGAGAAGUAAAACAGAUUCUUUUAUAUUUUGGAAUAUAACUGAAAAAGAUUUUGAGAUAAUUUUCAGAAAUCAAACCAGUCAAAUAAAUAUUCGCUGAAGGAACAGAGUAAAGAUACAACGAAUAUAACAAGUUGUAAGAUGAAUAUCGCUGAAUCAAACAGGGUAGAACCCGUACAAAAACGCCAAACAGAAAGGAUCAAAACAGAGUAAUCAAAUUUACCUAACACUAAUAGAAGUAGUGCUGAAUAAAAGAGAACGAAAUCUGUACCUUAAAAAUAGCAAACGCAAACACUAACCAACCUCACAAGGGACCAUCUAAACUCCCUAACCCCGACUUUAUCUUAAACUCCAAAUAUCUCCCUGACUCCAAUAUGCCCAGAACAAUAAACGAAUGUUUUGACCUUCUAAACGAUGUUUUCUGGAAUAACGCAAAACACGAAAAUCGUAGAGAACGAAAAGACCUUUCCGAAAAGGUAAGGCUCGUCAAGAACGGAGUCAUAACGAAUCGGGAAUUAAAUAAAACGUCCGCUGAUUCAGAACUCAAAGCGAGAACAGGAUCUGAUUAAGUUUUGUAAUUUUGAGAACAGUUUGAAACAUAAUCUGAGAAAACAUUAUAAACGAAAGUAUAUGAGAUUGAAAGAGCUUUCCGAAACAUCAAGAAUCAUCAAAUUCCGAUAAGAAUUGAAUUUUCUACGAAUUUUACAAGACAGCUGAUUUGUGAGAAUAAAGCCCUACGAAUUUUUGUCAUAAAAAUGAAGAGAAGGUUGAGUAGCUCUCAAAAGUAUAUAAAAAGAAUGAGAGAACAAAUCAAUAUACUCCCUUUGUCCCUCUCGUUUAUUUACAGUGUUUGACACGCAUUUUAAAGCGCAUAUAAAACAUAGUUCUAUGAUUUAUUUUCAAAAUUUUUCUUUUUUGUAUAAAAAUUUAAACAUCAAAUUUUUAUCUAGAAAAAAAGGAAGUUCAAAAUAAUUUAUUGAACUACGUUUUACGAGAGCAUUAGAAUGCGUGCCGAGCCCCCGUCCCCCAAUGUAAACAAAUGAGAGGGACGGAAGGAGUAUAUAUACAGAGUCUUGAGACCCUAAUUCUAAACCUAUCCAUUAUCUGAAUGCAAGGCUGAUCUAUAUUUUAAGUACACUAUCCUAAUUCAAUUUUAAAUCCUAUUCAUAAUCUAAUUUUAAUCCUUUAUUAUUAUUACUAACCAAUUAAUAUUAUUUUAAAAAAAUACUGGAUAUUACAUUCCUGAUCAGACUAGUGAUCGGAUUGCAACCGCAAAGCAGCCUAUAUAUAGUGACAAUUAAAUACACAACAAAACAACUUCUUUCUUCUCUCUUGGGUUAUAAUACUCAGACGGACAAGCUAUAUCUGAGGCGAUUUUCUGGGCGAUUAAACACACAAUAAAAGCAGCUUCUUCUUCUUCAAUUAAGGUUUAUUCUACACCCAAUCACAUACACACACACACUUUAAUAUGACUAGUGAGUUCAAUUUUUGGUGGUAUUAUAUGAUUAUCAUGUUCUCUUUUUAAAUAUUAGUAACGUUAUUUUCGGAGUGGACUCUGUUGAUGUUUAAAUUUGAUAUAGAUAUUGUAAUUGAAAAUUUAUGUUGAUUUGUUGUUCAGAUUUCAAGUAUUAAUUUGUGUGUGAUCAAAAUUUUGCUUCUACAUCGAUUAUCAGGAGGAAAUAUGAGGCCGAUCUUGAUCAAAGGACACGAAAGGCCAUUAACAUAUCUAAAGUAUAACAAGGAGGGUGACCUCCUCUUCUCCUGCGCAUUAGACAGAAACCCCGCUGUUUGGUACGCUGAUAAGGGAGAGCUUUUAGGCACUUACCGUGGGCACAUUGGUUCUGUUUGGGGUUGUGAUGUUUCUAGGGAUUCAAAACUUUUAAUAACUGCAAGUGCGGAUCAAACAGCAAAGGUAUGGGAUGUUCAAACUGGGUCUGAGCUGUUCACGUUUGAAUUUAAGUCCACUGUGAAAUCAGUAGAAUUUGGUGUCGGAGACAAGCUUGCUGUCAUUGCAACAGACUCCUUUCGUGACAUGUCUUCUGCAAUUCAUGUCAAACACAUAGCCAGAGAUCCUAGUGAACAGUGCGGUGAUUCUGUGAUUGAAUUCUCACCUGGAGGAAGAAUCAAUAGAGCUGUUUGGGGACCUUUAAAUAGGACCAUAAUAAGUGGUGGUGAACAAGGCGUUGUUCGUGUGUGGGACGUUGAGACAAAGAAAGUGAUUUAUGAGUCAGACAAGGAUACUGGUCAUCAGAAGGCCAUUACAUCACUUGCAAAAUCAAGAGACGGUUCACAUUUACUUACUGCUUCCAUUGACAAAUCAGCUAAGCUUUGGGACAUCAGAUCAAUGAAACUUCUCAGGACAUACAAGGCUGAAGCCCCAGUUAAUGCAGUUGCACUCUCUCCACUACUUGAUCAUGUCGUGCUCGGAGGUGGUCAAGAUGCAUCGACUGUUACAAACGAUCCUCGUGCUGGCAAGUUUGAGGCCAAAUUUUAUUCCAAGGUCCUUGAAGAAGAAAUUGGAUCUGUGAAAGGACACUUUGGUCCGAUAAAUGCAUUGGCAUUCAACCCUGAUGGAAAAAGUUUCGCAAGUGGAGGUGAAGAUGGUUAUUUGCGAUUACAUCACUUUGAUCAUGACUACUUCAACAUGGCGAUUUAAUUCGAAUUACUUACAUUGCUACGUCUUUUUUUUUUUUUUUCCGGUUUUAUUCAAGUUAUUUUCUGGUUUUUAUGUUGAUCUUAUGUUCUUUGUUAUAAAUAGAAGUGUGGUUCCUUUUAAAACUAUUUACAUAAGUUUUUGGCUUUUCAUGUAAUUUAAUCAAAGUAAAUGCCAUGAGAUCCUGAAUAUAUCUACUUAUCUAUCUAUCUACUUAUUAAAGCAGAAUCAGGGGAAAAAUAUACCAGAAAUUGGAUGAAAAAUUUACAUACACACCCUCAAUUAUUCAUCAAUUCCGAAAUUGGCCUGUAGUUUAGCUGUUAACUUGCAGGAUUUUUGUAAAAGUAGGAAUCAGCGAUUCUUAGGUACCCCAGUGACCCCGAAUCGGUUUCUCAGAUUCUUGGAAAUCCUCGGUCAGUUGAUUUAGAUUGUGGGCAUAUAUACACCUAUAGUCAGCCUCCGGCGGUGCAAUCUUUUGGUGGUGUUUUUCAGCCUUUUCUGCUAUAGCGAUUCUUGUUAAAACAUUCAGGUGCUAGGGUUGUUUUGUUGGUAAAGGGAAUUGGAUUGUUGUAUCUGCGGUUGUGGCAAAGGUAAUUUUCUUGCCCUUGCUAUUCUUUUGGGAUGUCUGAUUAUAAAUAGCCCUUCUAACUUUGUUCACCUGUUCUGUAUGAUGUGUGUCAUUUGUGAUUGAGUCGAGCAGUAUAUCAUUUUGAUGCAUAUUGUUAAUUUCACUCUGGGAAAUUUUUAUGCUGAUGUUUGGGCAAUUAAUUCUGGUUAUUUCGUUGAUUUUGUUUGUGGUUUGUUUCCACCUGCCAUUAGAACUGUAAAGUAAAGUGUAUUUAUUGAUCAUGAUUCAAGUGUUUGUAGAUAAUCGAUGUGGGUGACAAAGAAGCUGCAAAUGAUGAUGGUUCUUCACAAAUUUUAUCUGCUUUGCUUCCUUUUGUUGUGGCUCUCACCAUGGUUGUCAAGUCGACGACUGCUGUUGCUGCUCUUGCUCAGCCCUCAACUUUCACCUGGUAACAACUUUUGUAUGUUUGGUAAAAUAUUUUGAUUUUUUUUUUUUUGUAAGGGUAAAAUAUUUUGAUUGUGAUAAGCUAAUUUAUUGUUUUUUAAUGAUUCCAACACUACAACAGAUUUAGCAUCACACAACGGUUUUUGCCCGUUGUCUGAGACCACGGAAAACCGUGGUCUAUCGAGACGCCGUCUGAUAUGCGUAUCAGACAACGGUGCGCACCGUUGUGUGAUAGUGCUAAACACGAUGGUUUACGUUAAAAAAAUUGUUGUGCAACACCCAGAACCAACAACGUUUACUCUUAAACGUGGUGUUGUUAGAAACACUCCUUAACAAUAGUCGAUUUCAAAAAUGGUGUUGUUAGAGAGACUAUCCACAACAGUUUUAUUAGCUCGCAAGACUUGUUGGAAAGAUGAUCAUACAACAGUAGUUGAAAUAGAGAAGCUCGUUCUUUCCUCUCUUGUACAACGGGUUUCGAACACCAAGCCACUUGUGUAAGGCCCCUUCUAACAAUGUUUUAAUUAGUGAGGUUGUUGUGUUUAGUUACGUCAGACAAUGGUUUUCUUUCAUAGUUGGUUGUCGUUUACAUGUUUUAACAAUUGUUUCUGUUUCAUCAUUAUUGCAAGUCAUUUGUUUGGACAAUGGUUUUGUGACAAUAAAUCAUUGUUUCCAGUUUUAUGAGACAAUGUUUUUAAUGAAUAAUGAUUAUUGUAUCAUGUUCAGUAUGACAAUGGCCCUGUAUUAUCCCAUUACCUAAAUACAUAAUAGACAAUGAUUAACAUAACUCGAUUAAACUAAGCUAGAGAAUGUAAUUAAAAAGCCAAAAAUUUGUAAACAAAAAAUUUCAUUAUGCACUAAUAACCAUUGUUACAACCAAAUCAUAUAUACCAUCCAAUAUCCAGAAAUAUUUCCCCCGAGGAUGGCAAAUCUCAAAAAUAUAAAUACCUACAAUAAAUGGUAGCAUCUAGAGAGGCAUAUGUGACUACAAGAGUCUUUUGUGAGCUUUUCAACUACCCAGCCCAGGAACAAUCCUCUGAUUGCAUUCUUUUGAUUCGGAUGGAGCCCUCCUGCUAUCUCUUUUGGAAGUGACUCUACUGCAACCACCUGUAAUACAUAAAAAAGUUCUUGAUAUGCUUUUCGUACAAAGAAAUUAAUGUGGUUGAGGAGUAUGUUUCGAGUUCAAAAUAUACCAGUGUGCCAUCUUCCAUGGUUUCACGUCAUUCAUACACAAUAAAUUGUAGCAAUUGUGAGCCCUAUCAACAUACCAGUCUUUCUGUAUUUAGAGUUGGAGCAGCUAAGCCAAAAUCAGACAAAUGGGGAUUGAGUUCAUCAAGUAAAAUAUUUGCUGACUUUAAGGUACUAUUAACAACAUAAGGAACAACAUCAGCAUCUUGCUUCUAUCAUCAGUGAAGUAUAAAAACUCUUGCAAGCUACUAUUUGCAAUAUAAUCAUGGACCAGAAGACGUACCAUGUUCAGCGGAAUAUCAUUCAAAUCUCUGGCAUGGUUGUUGUGAUGGAUAAAAAUAAGUUCCUUUAUGACCUGAAUUAAACAUUAAAAGAUACCAAAUUAACCGAAAUGCGUAGAGAUGCACAAAAAGUCCAGGCCCGAAAAUAUGGUCAUAGAGAUUUAAAAAAAGUCGAAAAUAAAGACAAACCAUGUGAGUAAAAAGCAGAGUAAGGAGGAUUGAUGGUAGUGUUUGAUAUAGAUGCCAUGUGGGUAGAUCCAUAUGAGCUGCUGGAAGCAGAGAGAUUUCUUCCAAACUCUCUUACAUUAUUGACAACAUUUGUGUUAACAUAUAUGUGUUGUAUAUGAAAUUUUAAAGAUUAGAUACAUAAAUAUAAUAUUAUUCGGAAAAUAUAACAUACCAUCUCGAGUCAUUUUCUUGCUUGGUCAUUAAAAUAACCUACAGCAAGUAAUGUACCCUCACUCUAUAAGAAGAAGAUGGACAAAAAGAAGUCAGUUGUAUGGAUGCCUCGGAAUAUAUACAAGAAUGUCCCAGGGAUAUUUAUUCAGUUGAUGAAGCAUGUAUAUCUAGAAAUUAACAAACCUCAUCAGCCAAAACAAAUAUAAAAUUAAUAAAAUCAUCUGUCUCCAAACACACAGAUUAAAAUCAAAGCACAAAUGUUAUCACACAAAACCAAGACAACACAAGAUCCAUCACUAAAACACACAACUACUACUAAAAUCAAACACACAAACAAAAAUCUCAUAUAGAUUCAAACUUUAUCCCCAAAAUCAAGUAUAAUUACACAGUAAAAAGCAUUCGUUUACCUCUUCAUAAGGUGAAUUGUUGUUAAACUAAUCAGCACGGUCAACACCGGCAUCAAAAACUUGAAUGGCCUUUGGGGUUAUCGCCGACAGAACAGAUCUGAGUAAGCUUUGUAGAAAAUGAGAUAGAGACGGGGGAGGGAGGGGAGAGUUCAGAGGAGGGUGAGGGAGAGACAGAGGGCGAGAGGGAGGGGAGGGGCGAGAUGCUUUAACAAAUCAAUUGCGGCAAGAGUGGGGAAGACACAGCCGCACCAGAAGAGGAAGAGAUAGAUUCAGAAGAAGAGAGAUUUACUCUCACUUACAAAUUUUAGGUCAAAAUAGAGGGGGGGAAAUGAAAAUUUGGAUAAACAAGUAGAGAGGGAAUUGAAAAUUUUUGUAAGGUGGAAAUCAUUCGUUCAUCCCGUGUAAAUAACAAAAUCAAUGUAUUAUAAUAUCCAUAUAGUUGAAUUAUAAAUAAAUGAAUUUUUUAAAUUAUAUUUUUGUAUUUGAUUACAAAUAUUUCAUAUUAAAUAAAUUUUAAAAACAAUUUUAAUGUAGAUGUCAAUAUCUAAUUAUUUUAGUUAUUUGUGAAAAUCUUCAAAAAAUUAAAAAUUAAUCUGGUAAAUCUUUUUGACAAAAUAUAGUUGAAAUACAACUAUUUAAUAAAAAAUUAAUAAUUCUUUAAAAGUUAAAAUUCUCAUUUUCUCGAUGUAUUCCGUUUUUGUACUCUUUGUCUAAAUAAAAUAUACACAAAUUUUUAUUAUUCAUUUGUAAUAAGAAGAUAUUUGUGUGGUUCAAAUGUCAAUAUUAGUAUAAAUUUCAUAUUUACAAUAUAGGAUGUACUUAAUAGAAGUUUUGUGAUCUAUAUGAUUAACCCCGUAUUAAUUUUGAAAUAUUUUCGAUCAUCCAAACAUAUAAAGAUCUUAAUAUCUAUCAAUAUUAGUCAUGUAUAAUAUUUUUAAAUUUUUCUAUAUUUAUUUAUAUCUUGUUGUAACAAAACUAGUGAUGAUCGUUGUUUUUAUGUCAUUUCUUAUUUUUGUACUUUUUAUCAAAAAAUUAUAUUUAUAUUAUGCAUAUGUCCAAAUUUGUAUUAUUCAUUUGUAAUUGGAAGAUAAUUUUGUUGUUCGGACCUGAGUAUUACUAUGUGUUUUAUGUUCACAAUUUAGGAAGCACUAGAUAGAAUUUUUGUUAUCUACAAAAUUUGCUCUGAAUUAAUUUAUAAAUAUUUUUUUCGAUGAUAUAACCGUACGGAUGUUAAUAACUAACAAUAUUAGUCAUGCAUAAAAAAAUUAGAUUUUUUUAUGCUUAUUUUAUAUGCUUUUUUUACAAAACUAGUCAAUUGUAAAUUUUGUCUUAUUGUAAAAAGGUAAUUUUUGUCUUGUAGUGUCCAACAGACAACGGUACUUAUAGGCACGUGUGUUGUAUGAGUUAAAAUGACACAACUGUUAUGGACAUUAUACAGUCAUAACAAAAUCUAUUGUCUAAAAUAGGCUCAAACAAUGUUUCGGGAAAAACUCGUUGUGUGUAAGUAGUGUAGACAAUGGUUUCUGGGAGGCAAACCGUUGUAUAAUAAAUUUUCAUUUUUAAGAGUUAGAAAUUCACAUUUUCUUGAUUAGUUCUUGUUUUUGUACUCUUUGUCUUAACAAAUAUACUUAUAUUAUGUAUAUAUGCAAAUAUCAAUUGUCAUUUGUACUAUGAAGAUAAUUUUGUAGUUCGAACAUGAGUAUUGGUAUGUGUUUUAUAUUUACAAUUUAGAAAGUACUGAAUAGGAUCUUUGCUAUAUAUAAGAUUAGCUCCGUAUUAUUUUAUAAAUAUUGAUUUUGAUGAUCUAACCGUACGGAUGUCGAAAACUAACAAUAUUAGUCAUGUAUAAAAAAAAUCAAUUUUUUAUGUUUAUUUUGUAUGUUUUUUUUAACAAUACUAGUCAAUUGUAAAUUUUGUCUUACUGUAAAAAGGUAUUUUUUGUCAUGUAGUGUCUAACAUACAAUGGUUUUUAUAUGCACCUAUGUUGUAUAAUUGAAAAUGAUACAACUGUUACAGAAGUAUACCGUUCUAAGAAAAUCUAUUGUCUAAAUUAGGCUCAAACAACGGUUCACGGAAAAUCCGUUGUAAAAAAGUAGUGUAGACAACAGUUUAUGGGAAGGAAACCGUUGUAUAAUAAAUUUUCAUUUUUAUGAGUUAAAAAUUCGCAUUUCCUUGAUCAAUUCUUGAUCUAAUGCAAGAAAAACAUAUGACUAUCAAGAAAUUGAUUGUUUUGUUAUAACUUUGGUUAGGACUUUGAAUCUUUGCACUCUCUUAUGUACAUCCAUUUUCUUAAAAUUCAUUCAAUCAUACAACAUUUUAUUAGUUAGUAGAGGCUUGUCUAUAAUGCCAUGCUACAAUGCUAACAAAAACACUUGUAUGUUAGCUUCCCAGUCACACAACACUAUAUAAAACCCUUGUUUGAACUCCUCGUAAACAACACAACAAAUAAAACACUUGUCUAAUUACAACGACGGUUUCUUGAACUAUUGUCUGAAGUUUCUUCACACAUCGGCUCUCAAAACAGUUGUCUAACAUGCAUCAUUACACAAUACCACAGUUAAGAAACCAUUGUCUAAUUGAAUUUACUAGACAACAAUUUUUUAACCGUUGUAGGUCGUAGAUGUUAGACAAUAGUUUUUCGAGGCCGAAAAGAAAGUGUUGUGUCUUUUUUCCAAACAACGCUUUUUUCACCGUGCGUUGUCUGAUCAGUGUUGUCUAAUGGUGUUAUUGUUGUAGUGCAAGUUGGAUUUAUUUAAUGCUAAUAGGUACUUGUUCAAGUGAGGAGAUUUAACUGAGAUUCAGGUUCUGGCAUUUGUCUUGUGUUGUUAUUUGUUUAUGUACCGGUUUUGAGAGUCAUUAGAGAUAUGUAAGGUAUUUAUUCCUAUUUUUUAUUAUUAGUAUUACAUCGUUUUCGGGUAAAAUAAUCGAUGAUUGUUUGUUUUAACUGUGUAAUAGCCUUAUGAUCUGCCAACUUAUGUAGACAUGUGAUAAACAUGUUGACUGUGGUCAAUAUUUUAGAUGAGGUAGUGUGUUUGUUGUUAUUGCAAGACUUUUUGGAAUAAUCAUUGUCAAAAAGAACUAACGAUGAAUGGAAAUGAAGUUCUGAAGAAGUGAUGAUACAAUGUUAAAGAGAUUGCUUUUUGUUGAAUUUUUCUGACUCUGGAAUUAAACUGCGUUAGUAUCUUCUUCUCUGAUUUUCCUUAUUUGGUAGACCUACUACUUUCAGAAGAUACAUGUGGUAUUUGUUUGGUUGAUUAAUUUUGGUAAGAUACAGUUUCCGUUUGGAAUCAGACUAUCCAUUGAACAAUCAGACUAUCCAUUGAAGAUUUUAUGCUCGCUCUUAAAUGGUUGAUCCACUGAUCUUAUUCUUACUUCAUAUGAGCUAAAGCCAGCUCUAGGGGUGUUUCUCGCAUACAAAAAAAUUAAAAAAAAUAUUAUGAAACUAUACUUUGCAGGAGUCUCAAAAUAAAUAAGUGUAAACGAUAAACUUAAACACCUAACUUCUUAAACACCUAGCAUAACACGGGUGAGCAUAUGGUCAAUCAUACCAAAUUGAAUAAAUCGAAAUUAAAAUUUAAAUAUUUUUAGACUGGACCAAACUGAAAUAUUUUGUCCGAUCCAGUUCAGUAUGAUCGAAAAGAAUUGAUUCUUUUGGAAAAAGUAACUUAAUAUUAUAAAUAAAAUUAAGAUUUAUAAUUUAUUUAAAAACUAUCAAUGAAUCAUCAACACUUCUUCAAAAAUAGAUACAUUUGAAUUUAUACAUUAGAUAUUAUAACUUCUAAAAAGUAUAUAAAAAUAUAUAAUAUAAAUAUAAAUUUAUAGUAUAAUUUUUUUGACUAUUUAGAAUAUAUUUUUAACCCAAAUAUUUUUUUUUAAAAUCAAAUUUUAUUUCGAUGAACUUUUCUAGAAAAUUAAGAUAGAAACGAAACUCAUUCCUACAGUAAGGUUUCAGUUUUUCGGCUGCAAUACGGUUUUGCUCAUCAUUAGCAUAAAUGGAGUAUGUAGUAAAUAUGAAUGAAUGGCAUGGGAAUUCUUGGAAUGGUAUCAAGAAUUAAGAUUAAAGCACAUUAGAAGUUUAGAACCAUGAAUGUUAUUUUUGAAAAUAGUAAUCCCUCCGUUUCUUAUCACGUUUCUCGUUUGAUAUGUCGGAACGGUUCAUAAUAUGAGACAAAUUAGUAAUUUAUGUCCAAUUUAUAAAAUUAAAUAUAGUCAUGAGUGAUCUUGUUGGAUUCGUAUCUAUGAGUACUUUAAUAAGAUGAAAUUUUUAUAUUUAAUGUUAAUACAAAAUUAAAAUAUAUUAAUUAAAAAUAUAUAUUGACAAACGUGAUAAAAACAAACAGCAAAAAUAUUAAGAAACGAAGCGAGGGAGUAAUAAAUAUGCUUUAUGCUGAACUGAAUUGAGUGCGUGGAAGCUUGGGGAGGCAGCUUACUACAGUAUCUACGUGUAUCUGUAUAUGCAAUAAAGACACAAAUACUCACAGGAGAUUAUUUUUCAAACACUUAAUUUCCCCCUUUCCUUCUCGUAAUAUUCAACUCAAUUCAUCACAUCAUCUUCUUCAGACAAACAACUAUACUCACUUCAGAUCAUCACAUCAUCUUCUUCUUGACUUCAGAUCCACAUUUCAAACCCUAAUCAUUCGCUUGGUCCCCUCCCUCUCUGUAAUAAUACAAUUCUUUCUACACACAAACAAUAACAUCAUCAUCAUCGAGUGAAGCUUCAUAUCCACAUUCCAAGACCUAAUUACUCGCCAAACCACUCUCGCUCUCAUGGAGGAGGCCUUAGAAAUGGCGAGAUCGAAUGAUACCAAGAAGCGAAGGGCGGGAGUGGAUCGGCUGCAACAGCUUCUUGAAGAUUCAAGAAAGUGCUUGUCAUCGUCGGAAGUGACGGCGCUAGUCGACACGUGUCUUGAGCUUUUGAAGGACACGUGUGUUGCUGUCGUCGGCCGCGGAGUUGUUUAAGUUGCAUUCUGAUAGAAUUAUGACGGCGGUUGUUGAUAGGUUGUGGGAUGGGGAGCAGCGGGUUCGAGACUCGGCGAGGAGGCUGUUGAUUACCCUUAUGGAGGUAAUUUAUUAAUUUUCUUGGGGAAUGCCAGUUGAUUUUAUGGAAUGUGAUAUAGUAUAGUUUCUAUCAAUCGAGUAUCUUAAAUUGAUGACUACAACAAGUAUUAUCGUUUUGCACGCAAGUGGCUAAACUUUUAUGCAUGCCAAAUUGCCAAUCGGGUUUCAAUUUCAGAUCUCUGCCUUCACUUGCAUACGAACACAUUUGAGUUUAAAAAGAUGAAUCACCUCAUAAAUAUCAUUAAUAAUUAGUUGGUGUUAAUAGUGCACUGAAAAAUGGGAGAGAAUGACAAGACUAUAGACAGUAGUAGGGCUGAGCGAGAUGUUAAUUGAGUACUUAUAUGAUGCUUCACUAUGUUCAGGGAGUUAGUUUAUUGCUUCUUUCCUACACUUUCACUUGAAUUAGUACUAAUUAAUAAUUCCUUCUCUAUCUUGUAAAAUUUCUCCUUCAUUGCUAAGCAUAUCUACUCUGAUUAAUUUUCAAACAAACUUUACUACUGAGAUAGGAUUGUUUGCUGGGUAGGAGCACCAUAGAAUGAGUAGCUCUAUUGCUAUAUACUGAAGGGUGCGGUGGCAUCCUCGGUUAUAUUUUAAGUGCUACUUCGAAUUUAGUUGUUGGCUUUUGCAAUUUAUUUUCAUUCACAAUGUUUUAAUAAUGAUACCCCAUAUUAGGUGAGAGAUAUUAGUGCCAGGCUGGAGCAGAUUCAGAUUCAACCAGCAACUUCCGUCUCUUCCAUCUCUGAAGGACUUAAUAGUAAUCUUCUCCACCAUGCACCUGAUUUAGAAGUAUAAUGUAUUAAUGUGAACUUUUUAUUUAUAUUUAUUUCCAUGUGUAGUAAAACGAUCACAUCUUUUAAGAGCUUAGUACAAUGUUAUGUACAAUGUGUAAUUAAUUAAGAGGUUUGUACAUAGUUUAGUAUGAAAUGGAAAAAGUUUGUACAGAAGUUUAUUUGUUCACAUUACAGCUGAGACGAGCAAGCAAAAACCAUCAGAGAAUUCAAAGGAUAAUGAUAAAGGAAUUGAGCCCCUACUGGAACUGCCGGAAGAUAUUAUCUUUCUACAAAUUCUGCCUAAGUUGAACAGCCUAGAUGUUCUUCCCCUGGUUUUGGUGGCUAGGAGUUGGGCCUCCUUUCUUUUGCAUGAGGGACCCAGACUGAUGUUAUUCAACCCACCUAAAAAUCCUACACCUAAACACACUUCAAUUUUAUUUGAUGUAAGCCCGAUUCCGUACUCUGUUUCAGUUUUGUUAUCCCCAGAGAGCCGCCAACUGUGUCAGUCUAGGUGUAUAAUUGUUCCAAUCUUGAAUUCUGGUAUAAAACAUGCUGUUCCAAUUUUCACUGACUACCCAGAUUUUUUAAAGCAGGGGGAAGUCCCAACUGUAGUGGGAUCUUCCAGUGGUAUUAUAUGCCUCUAUAUCACCAGUUCUCCCUCUAGAUACAUCCUGCUAAACCCCUUAACAAAACAUUAUAAAGAGGUUGGGGCCCCUUAUAUUUUUGUACCAGAUUGUGAGCAAGCUUCUGUAACUUCUGGAUUCUUUUAUGAUGAAUGGACUGAUGACUUAAAGAUCGUACAAUUGUUGAGAUGGGAUCAAAGGCUUACGAGCUUGGAUGCUCCGGGACCCAAAAAGAUACAUGCGCUUCGCGUUUGUUCUGUAAAUUCUGCAAAUUGGGAAGUUGUUGACUUGGGGCCAAUGAAAGUCUCCGAUCGUCUUGGUGGUGUGUUAUUUUUGCCGAAAGCUCUCGUCACAUUUGUAGAUGCGUUUGCUACAGAGCCGGAGAUUAACUUUUGGUUGGAUUUUCGUGAUUGCCGUCUAAAGGCAGUUCCGGAAUUAGAAGGGGCUGAACUCAGUAUGAAAUCGGUUUGGUGGAAUAACCAGGUUGGUGUUAUUGUUGGAACUGACAGCAUUUAUGUCCUUGAUGAGGAGUUUGCAGCCUGGUAUUACUGCACAGUGCUUCCGGACGUGGGAAAUUGUGUAUUCUGUUUAGAUGAGAACAAAAUUGUGGGGAUGGGGGCUGGGGAAAGCGGAAGCGUAAAUGAUUACAAUAUUCUUAAUUCCACAAGCGGCGAAAUCCAACAUAUAAUCUCGUUGCCUUCUUGCAGGGUUUUUCCGUAUGUUCCUACAUUCUACUAUAUCGAGGGAAUGGCUAAUUUUUAGACUUUUGCAAGUCACAAUGUAAUAAAAGAAUGUAAACAGUACAUAGCAGCAAUACCUCUCUAUAGCAUAUAGUUUCAGAUACAACAUGUAUUGUGAUGCCAGCUUGUAGAGUACAAGUAUUAUUCUAGGUGAUUGAUUGUUGAGAAUAAUAGAGGCAACCGGUUGCAUGAUGGUAUCCUUGAAACUUUCAUAAUUACUAAUAUCGAACUCAGAUAGCAUGCAAUUUUUCCGGAGAUCAUAUUCUUUAGCUAUCAACUAACUCUACAUUAUAUAUUAUGUCCCAGAUCAAUGAGUUUGUUUGCUAUAAUGUCCUAUUUUAUAUGUGAUUUAGGAAUAUGUUCCAUUAACUUGUUAUCACCCUCAAAUCUAAAAUCUAAGACUACCAUGUCCUUAGUUUAUUUUGUUUAAUAUUUGUGAAUAGACUCUAAUCUGAUCAUAUCAAUUAUAUUUUAGUAACAGAUGUUUAAAUGCAUAUGUUUUUGUUAUCUAGUUAUUUCAAUGAUGAUGGGAUUAAAUUUUUUUAUUCUUGUAAUAUGUACAAUGAUUGGUUUAGCUUUAAUAUUUAUUUUUAUUUUUAUUUACCAAUUUUAAUGUAGGUAAAGUUUUAUCAGCAAAUUUUAUUUUUUGUAUGCAGUAAUCUGUUCUAAUAUCAAAUUUUGAUUUAGAUCGAGUAUUAGUAUGUUGAAUUUGCAUUCAUCUAGUUAGAUGAGUGAAACUGGCUAAUUAAUGGAAAAUCAUAAGUACCUGAGUUGUUUUCAAAUUUUUUUCCCAAAUUUUAAUUGUUUGAUUGGUUUCUUCAAAUUAAUAUUAAUGGAAUCAUGAACGCACAUAAAUAAUUUAAUUAAAAAUUAUUUAUUUAUGUGUCAUUUAGAAAAAAUUGGGGACAAAAUUUGGGAUAGUAAUGGGGACGAAAUAUGUGUUAGCGUUAAUGGUUUAGCGGCAGUGGAGAACGCAAUUUAAGAGCAAAUCCAAUAGUGUCCUAAACUAGUAUCCUAAAUUAAAAAUUAAGGUAUUUAUAUAAAUGAGUGCUCCACCUAAUGAGUGCUCCACCAAUGUCCAGUGAUACCUUAAAAUACUAGGAAAUCCAUCAAGCGUCUCGUUUUUAAGACAUCACUAGGCAUGCCCUAUUUCACUUCUAUCAAUAAAAUAUAUCUUUCCCUCGUUUUUUACAGAUCUCUUCUCUCUCAUUUUUUCCAUUUAUGCCCAAUUAUAAUUCAAAUAUAAUACACCUUCAGUCCCUUUUUAGUUGUGAAAUUUACAAAAAUAAUUUGUCCUUAAAUAAUAUUCUCAUCCUUGUUCCAAUACAUAUUUAUACAUAUUUUUUCAUGUUUACCCCUUGAUUGUUGGUUCAAAUGUUUGACUGUACUACUAAUAUAUACAGUUUUGACUUAGUAUUUAAUAUAAUAAAUAAGGGCAUGCGUGGAAACAACUUACAACAUUUAAUUUUCUUUAAUAUAUGUAUUUUUGCAAAUGUGACAACUAAAAAGGAACAGAGAGAGUAUUAUUUUAAUCAUAAAACAUAUUGUUGGAGUUAAUAUAAAAAAAUCAUGUCUUAAAUCAUAAGAUUACUAUAUUUAAUUAUAUUUAUAAGGCAUCUAAUAGUACAAUAUUGGAUUUGCUCUGAUCACAGAUCAAUCAAAUGAUCGGCAACUUAAGCGAUCAAAUGAGAUGACUCGCAUAGUCCACGCUAAUCGAUAUCCUUAAGAGGAUGUUUGCCUGGGCUUAAAGCCCUUGCUUUAAGCCAUCUUUGGCUUUAAGCUGAAAAAUGUCUGUUUGUGUAAUAAGUCAGAAGCCAGCCUAAAGUCAGAAAUAAGCCAGAAGCUGACUUAAAGCCAGAAGUUAAUUUGAGGUACUUUUUUCAGUGGCUAAAUUUUUUUGAACUUUUUUUUUGAUAAAAAUUACUCCUAAAUCAUAAGUUUCUUAUAAAUCACUUUUAUUUUUAUUAUUAUAUUUUUAAUAACUCAUAAGUCAUUCAUAAGCCAAAAUUACCCAAACAGACAUUUUAAGCUAUCAGCUUAUCAGAUAAGACACGUUAAGUCACAAGUCACAUUAAGUCAUAAGCCAUAAGCUCAGCCAAACGGGCAAGUUUUCUAAGAGACAUUCCUGCUUAGUGCAUUUUUAAUAGGGUUGCCUAAAUCGUUGACGAAAUUGGACAUGUGAGACAUUAUAUAAAAUUUGUUAAACAUGUAAGUGAUUGUGUUUCAAUAAUGUUAACUACAUUGAUAGAUUAUAACUUAAAAAUAGUAUGUUAUUAAUAUUUAGAUUGUUAUAAAAAAAUAUAUGAGUUUAAUAUGAUAGGAAAUGAUGUGUAAAUUACCCCGAUUAUAUAUAUAUAUAAAUAAUAAUAUAUUUAUAUAUAUUAUACUAAAUAUAUUAUUAAAAAUAGAUAAAUUUUAUAAUAUAAUCAAAAGUAAAAAAUAAUCUUUAUUUUUAUUGAUUGAUUAUAAAUAUAUUGUAAUAUAAUAUAUUUUAUAAUUUUAAAUUGUUGUUUAUUUAUAUUAUAAAUCAAUUUUAAUAUGAUUUGAGGUUGAAAAUAUAAGAUAAUAUUAUUUUAUUAUUAUAUUAGGAGUUUGUAGUUUGUUUUUUAAUUAAAAAAAUAUAUUAUAUAUUAUAAAAUUAUUAUGUUUUUAUUAAAAAAUAAAAUUCCCCGAAACCCCGCGGGGAUCCCCGUUCCCCGUUCGGGGCGGGGAUCGGGGCGGAAAAUAAUCCCCGUUCGAGGUUCGGGGCGGGGUCGGGUAGGGCCGUAGGGGUAUUGAAUUCGGGGAUCGGGGUCGGGGAUAGCACUCCCCGCCCUCGAAGUCUCCCCGUGCCCAUCCCUAGUCGAACCUCUAGAGGUCCGUAAAAAAUCUCCAAGAAGAUUACACUAUGUAAUCUUCUUGGAGAUUUUUUACGGACCUCUAGAGGUUCGACAAAUAUAGUGGCCGGUAGGAUGUUGGUUAAAAUUAUAGAUAAGUGGUGUCUAUGGUUGAGUGUGAUUUUUUUGAAUAGAAUGGCUAUAUAUUUUAUUUUUGGGAUGCCAACUCAAUUUUUAAACUAAGGACUUCUCAUAUUUGGAGAUGCUAUAUGAUGGCAAAUCCCGCAAAUCUUCAAUUUUGACAUAUAUUAUCCUAAAUUCUCUUUCAACAAUGAUUGAUUCAAAUUUGGAUCAAGAUUGUUGGAUCCCGCUGACGUGGCAGUGACGUCAUGUUGACGUGGCGCCCUGGGGUGGACCCCGGUGCUGACGUGGCAGAUGACGCGGCGGUGACAUGGCGCCUGGUUGGGGUCCCAUUACUAACGUGGCAUUUGGGUAGAAAGUAUAAAUUACGGAAAAUUGAUGACAAACUGAGAGGUGCAUAUUAUAAGUUUUAAAAAGUAUGAGGAGAUAUUUGAUCAGUUUAAAACUAGUUUUUAGGUUUUUAGGCUAACCGUGGUUUGUAUAUUCGAGCAUCCCCGUGUAUAUUGACAUAUAGGUAAACUCCUUGCAAUACUUUGAGCUGCAAAAUCCAUCAAAAUUUUGAUUUAUCAUGUAACUGUUUGACAGAGUACUUCCAACUUUCAAGCGUAAGUAUCAAAAUCACUACCUUCAUAUGUUCCAUUAAGCGUGAAAGGUACAGAAUAAGAAGUGAAAGAAAUCCUUUAUAUUUACACGGCCAUUGAUCUUAUAGGAUCACCUAGCCCAUCAGUGCUAGGGAAUACGGAACCAUCUUAUCAAUUAACGAAGAAAUGUAUGCAUGCAGUGUCACCACCACAAGUCAGAAAUGGUGAUGAUGCUAAUGAUAAUGAACUCAAUUGGGAGUGAUCCUAAUGGGAUAUGGAUGUGGAUUGGUAUGCGGAUUCUUUGGGGUUUAUUGUUCUUACAAUGGGAAAGCCUUGGUGGUUUAUGAGAUACAUUGAAGUAAGUUGAUAAUGACAUGCACGGCUUAAUUAAGAUUAAUUAAGACAAACACCUUGACAAAAUGUUGUCUUAGAAUGAUAUGUAUUCUGAUUUUUCCUAAUUUAAAAUCAAAUUUAUUACAAUUAAAGUUAAAAUCUGCGUAGCACAUACUAUACUUUGAUUAAAUUUUUAUUGAAGUUGUCCAUAUUAACCUAGUGGCCGAAAGUGAAUAAAUUAAAUUAGUGGGGUCUAAUAUAAAAAUUGCAUUAAUUAAAAUUUGUAAUGUAUAGAUUAUGCUAAAGCUAUUCAUUAUAAAGAACAUAGGAAUGUUAAUCUCUUUAUAUGUUUGCAUGCGGAUAGUCUCUCGGGAGUGUGGUAUAUUGUCAUGGCUGGAAAAACGGCUAAUUUCUACGGUUUUUUUUUGACAGAAAUUAAUUUUGACGGAAUACUGUCGAAAUAUCGAAAGUCGAAAAUAAGCCGCAAAAUUACUUUUUUCAAUUUUCAAUUGAAAACUGUCAAAAAAGUCUCUGGCAAAAUUAUAUUUAUUUCUACAGAUAAUGUCGAAAAUAUUUUCCUGCAAAUUUCCCGCACCUUAGUUGUGAGCGGAAAUAGAUAGUUUGGACAGAAUUCCGUCGAAAUUACGCGAGUUCUUUGUAGUGUGUUUUCACACAUACGCUGAUAAUCUUUGGGGACUGGGGUAUAUUGUUUUCGCAAAGCACUGGUAGUUUGUGAGCUUGUCCAAUUUUUCCCCCCAUGCCUAUACUGGUUGGUCUCAGUCUUAGUGGUAAUAAGCUGGCGUCAAAUUUUCCAGAAUUCAUAUAUAAUUGCUAUAACAUGAUCCGAUGCCUGAAUCAGCAGCUAACAAUUUACGUAAUCUUGAAGAACUAUAUCUUGGUGCCAAUUCUUUCGAGGGCUCAUUUCCAACGAAUAUAUUCAAGCUUUCCAAAUUAAGGGUUCUUGACCUAUCUGUGAAUAAUUUUUCAGGUUCCAUUCCCAAUGGUAUAGAGAUGCUUCCCGAUCUUGGAAUAAAUCGUAUUUAUAAUAAUUCAUUUGAAGGAAUUAUUCCUUCUUCAAUUAGUCUACUUAAAGAUCUUCAACACCUAGACUUCGGUGACGACAACCUUGUGGUUUCAAGUAUAAUGUCUUACGGGUCCAAUCUAACCGAUCAUUACAGGCAACCCCAUUGGAGAUGCUCUUAAUAACAUUUUAACUAGAGAGUAUUUUCUAUCAAUUGCAUUUGUAUUAAAUUUGAUUUAGAUGAAGAGAAACAGAAUACAUAUGAUCCCGAGACAACAUUUUGUCAAUGUUUUCGUCUUGAUUGAACAGUCUUCUUCAUGCGUGUCCUUGUCAACUUCAGUUGCAGUAAUUCAAUGUAUCUCAGGAACCACCUUGGCUUUCCCAUUUUGAUAACAAGUAUCCUGAAGAUAAUCCGCAUAUCAAUCCACAUCCGCGCGUAUCCCAGUUGAUUUAUUAAUUUAUUCAUGAAGUGUUGCGAACGACAUUCCUGCAAAAGUAAAAGUCAGUGGAAUUUGUAUGAUAGCAUGAUGAAUAUUUAAAGUUUCAGUUAAAAUUUCACCAAGUAUUUUAUUUCUGGCUUAAGUCCCGGAUUGACGAAUUCUGCUGAUCACAUUUCUAAUCGACCAAUUCUGGUCGAAUAAAUUAAAUGGCACACUUCCUGAGUUGGUGGUAGGGGCGUUCUUCUUGUGUUUCUUUCUUUUCAUUAUUGACAUUGUUAUCCAGGCCCUUGCUUCUGGGCUUUUGUAAAGCACCCAUUUACGCCAUUGUCAUGAUCAUAGCUAGUCUUCCAUAUCCAAGAUACGCGCAUUAUAGUGGAUUUAUCUUUAUUAGUGAUUUCUGUGGAAAUGCAUAAUCUUAAUUAUAAGCUCCAAUAUUAUAAAAUAAACCUAACUUAUUAGAGUUAACAGGGCAUUUGUGUUGAUAAUUUGCGCAAUGUUAAUGGGGAUCGCUCCCAAGUCUUGGACGGACUCUUUCCAAGUCUUCUGAGGACCCAUCUGCACACUAAUUUGUCCGCCAACUAAAAAUUUAUAUAUAUUUUUCCAUAGAAUAUAAAUAGUUGGGGGUACUAACAGAACCUCUAGUAAAAUUAAUUAAUACCGUUAUGAUUUCGCAAACACAGCAGACAGCAGGCAUAAGGCUUAUAAAUAGAAGUGUCGUAUUUGGUUGAUGGUCAAGUUGAGUGGAAAUAUGGCACACUUUGUAAAGCCUUGUUAUCCUCUUCUCUUUGUUUUCUUUCUCUCAUUACUUCAAUCCAUUCUAACAACACAAGAGGGAGAAGCUCUUGUGAAAUGGAAGAAUAGCCUAGCCCCUUCUUCUUUUCUCGACUCUUGGUCACUCACCAAUCUCGAUAAUCUUUGCAACUGGACUGGCAUUACUUGUAACUCUGCAGGUUCAGUCUCUGAGAUUAACCUUAGUGAGAAACAACUUGAUGGAAUGCUGUCCGAGUUUGGUUUCACUUCAUUUCCAAAUCUCAACAAUCUCACCCUCGCAAUUAACUACUUCUCGGGUCCAAUACCACCAGCCAUUGAGAAUUUAACACAGCUUCAAUAUCUUGAGUUGAGCAAUAAUUAUCUAGAUGGUCCCAUUCCUUUCCAGGUUAGCAAUCUUCAGAGGUUGCUCAUCUUAAACCUGUCAGAGAAUGAACUGCAAGCUCCAAAUUGGUCCAAUUUUUCCCCCAUGCCUUUUUUGACCAUCCUCGACCUUUAUAAAAAUAAUCUUUUGUCAGAAUUUCCCGAAUUUAUAUCUAACUCGUGUAACCUUACGUACCUUGACCUCUCAUCCAACAAGUUUAGAGGGGAUCUUGCGCGAGAAUCAGUAUUAACCAAUCUAGGUGAUCUUGAAACCCUCUAUCUUAUUAGAAAUUCUUUCAAGGGGUCAUUUCCGUCAGAUUUAUUCAAGCUUUCUAAAUUAAAACGUCUUCACCUGUCGAGCAACAAAUUUUCAGGUUCAAUUCCUAAUGCCAUAAGGUUGCUUUGUGAUCUUGAAUUCCUAUAUUUAGGCAACAAUUCCUUUGAAGGACUGCUUCCACCAAAUAUAUUUAAGCUUUCAAAAUUAAAACAUCUUGUUCUUCGGAGUAAUAAGUUUUCAGGAUCUGUUUCCAAUGAUAUAAAUUUGCUUCCUGAACUUGAAUAUCUCGAUCUUAAUUCUAAUUUUUUUGACGGGCCGCUUCCUCCAGAUGUAUUCAAGCUCUCCAAACUAAGGUUUCUUUACCUCUCGGGUAAUACCUUUUCACGUUCUGUUUCCAAUGAUAUAGGUUUGCUUUCUGAGCUUGAAACCCUCGAUCUUAACUCUAAUUUUUUGAGGGUCCGCUUCCGUCAAAUAUAUUCAAGCUCAAAUUAAAAAUUCUAGACCUCUCAAACAAUAGAAAUUUAUUUCAAAGAAGUUUUCCUAUUGGACUGGAACUCUUGAGUAACCUCAGCUACUUAGGUCUAAGUUCCAGUAAUCUCAGUGGCAAUAUUCCAUCUUACAUUGGAAACCUGAAGCUACUAAUAUCUCUUGAUCUCAGUUCUAAUCAAUUGACUGGACCGCUUUCAAAGCUCGUUUCUAAUGUCACAAAUCUUAUAUUUCUUGAUUUAAGAGAUAAUAGUCUUAGUGGAAAUAUUCAGACUGACUUGUGGAAAUAUAACGAUCAUCCAACUCUGGAAUACAUCAAUUUGAGUGGGAACUAUUUUACGGGUAUAGUUUUUCUCUAUAGAUCUUUUCUUUUGUCAUAUGUAACUAAGCUAGUAAUCUGAUUAAUUGCAGUUUUACCAAAGUUUCAACAAUCUUGACAGGUGAGCUUCCAACAACAAUUUGCAAUGUCACUUCCCUUUCGGUUCUUGAUUUGUCAAAUAAUAACUUAAGUGGUGCACUUCCAAAAUGUUACGGGAAUCUUGCUGAUGGAUUGCUUUACAUUAAUCUUGCGAAUAAUCACUUUCGAGGAACAAUACCCACUACUUUCUCCAGGAGUUGUCAGCUGAUAUAUCUGAACAUGGAUGAUAAUGAGUUUGAAGGAUUGAUGCCCCCAUCUUUGGCGAACUGUAAGCACUUGAAAAUUUUUGAUAUUGGCAAUAAUAAAAUAGGUGGUACAUUUCCGUCAUGGCUUUAUGCACUUGGAGAGCUAGAAGUCCUUGUCUUGCGAUCAAAUAAACUCUAUGGUACAAUAAGUGGAAGGAGCAUAGAAGAUCCCUUCCCCAAGUUGCGGAUUGUGGAUCUGUCCAACAAUCAAUUCACAGGCCAUUUGCCAAUUCAAUACUUUAAGAAUAUGAAAUCAACUGAUAAUUUGUAUCGUUAUCAGAAUGACACAGGAGUUUUUUCUUUCCAUUAUGAAGCAUCUGUCUCAUUAACUGUGAAGGGAACAGAGUAUGAAGUGAAAAAUAUCCUUCAUAUUUACACAACCAUUGAUCUGUCCUGCAACAAGUUUCAAGGAGAAAUUCCUGACGUUAUUGGAGAGCUUAGAUGGCUUGCAUUGCUGAACUUAUCUCAUAAUAGUCUAACAGGACAUAUCCCAUCAUUGCUGAGAAAUAUGAAAGGACUCCAAUCUUUAGAUUUGUCUUCAAAUCAACUGAAAGGGGCUAUUCCACUUCAGUUAACUGCAUUGACAUUUCUAGAGGUCUUGAACCUCUCGGGAAACCAUCUUAGUGGAGAGAUUCCUCAGAAAGGGCAGUUCAGCACAUUUAACAUUGAUUCUUAUCUAGGAAACUCCGCGUUAUGUGGUUCACCUUUGAUGAAGAAAUGUGCAAACACAGCAUCACCUCCACAAGAAGCCGGAAAUGGUGAUGAAGAUGAAGCUGGUGAUGAAUUGACAUGGGAAGCAAUCGUGAUGGGAUAUGGAUGUGGACUGAUAUGUGGAUUGUCAUCUGCAUACAUUGUUCUCAAACUAGGAAAGCCUUGGUGGUUUGUGAGAUAUAUCGAAGUACUGCAACAGAAGUUGAUGAAAAGAUAUGCAUGAAGAAAGGUACUGGUAGAUCAAGAUGAACUUGAAAGUUGUUGUCGUGGUAGACAUUUGUGAACCAGUAGUGUACUAGCUGCAUAAGUAUUUGGUAUUAUGUAAUAAUCCGUUUGGUCGGGACUCAAAAUGAUUUCUCUUGCUUCAGGGGUAUUAAUAUUAACCUUGCUAUCUUGAUCAAUGUUAGGGCAAAUUAAAAAGAAUAUAAAAGCAAAAAAUUUGCAUCAAACACCUGUUGUACCAACAUGCAUCCAUUAAUUUGCUUUCAUCUAUUAAGUAACAAUUUAAGAGCGCUUCCACUCUGUUUAAGCAUGGAGAUAACACAAAGAAGGCAAGUCCAUGGACUAAUAUAUUAACACGUAGUCCACAUCUAUGGUAUGAACAAUUCAUAUUGCUCUUCUAUCUGUUCAACAGUCUCCCGAAGAUAGGCCAAAAAUGUCAUCUGUGGUUCUUAUGUUUGUCAGUGAAGGAGAAUCUCUGAUGCCUACACAACCUGGUGUUUUUACAGAAAGGAAUGUAGGUGAAACCAGGGGCGUAAAAUGAAUCAGGACUAAAAUCUGCUAAAAUGAUAAUUAUUUACUCAUCAUUCAAGAUUAGUCGGGCUCAAAGAUUUAUAUGGAUUUUAAGAACAAACUAUGACUAAAUAUGAAAAAAUCAUUAAUUUUUCCGACUCAAUAUUUUUUAGCCUCCCCCGGCCCUGGGUGAAACCAUAAGCUUCUCUGGUGCACAUCCAAAUCAUUCAGUUGGUUCUACUUUCAGCUCACCCACAGGAACAUCAUUCUGCAGGUACUCUUUUAUCUGUACUUUCUUAUAUUGUAUGCCAGUAAAUUUUAUAUCGACAAACUGCACAAUACACCUCGAUCUCAUAUUAUUGACAGGUGAGCUCCUCUCAUAAUGCUCACAGGCGAACCCCUGCAUAUAUACUUUGUGAUGUCAUUGAUGAUCGAUAGACUUGAAAAAAAAUUAUGACAAAGAUUCAUAAAAUAUCUACUUCCAUCCUAAUUCAGUAUUCAAUAUUAUUCAUUCGUAUCAUCAUCCAAUCAAUUCUAAUAGUUCUUCUUUAAAUCAGUACAAAUAUUGUUAAAUACCUGGAUGAUGGUUGUCUUUCCGCGAACCAAUCAUGAAAUUACCUCUGUAUAAAUCCAUCGGAAAUAAGACAGUUAAUAUCCCAAUCGAAUACACCCCGUCAGUUGUCAAACUCCUCGAAACGUAUUAAUCACUUUAGAAAAUUUGUUCCACUGGCGCUAGUCAGUCCCAGAGUUGGUGGUGGGUGCUUCUGGGCUUUCGAAAAGCACCCAUUUACUCCAUUGUUUAGAGAAGUAAAACCCCACCUUCCGCUCAUUUGAUUGAUCAGCUGAAUUAGGCAGAGUUUACAUGGUCAUGAUCAUAGUCUCCCAUNUUAAUAGUCUGACAGGACCUAUCCCAACAUUGCUGAGAAAUAUGAAAUAACUCCAUUACUCCAAUCUUAGAUUUGUCCUCAAAUCAACUGACAGGGGCUAUUCCACCUCUGUUAACUGCAUUGACAUUACUUUUCUCUUUAUAUUCUUUCCUUUUGUAUGUACCUAUGCUAAUUAUCUGAUUAUUAAAAUUAUAACAAAGCUUCAAGAUUUUUAACAGGUGAGCUUCCACUAAAAAUUUGCAAAGUCACUUCCCUUUCGCGUCUCAUUAUGUUAGAUAAUGGGUCAAGUGGUGCACUUCCACAGUGUUUGGGGAACCUUUCUUUGCUUGGUUUCAAUAAUCUUGCUAAUUAUCAAUUUCAAGGACCAAUACCAACGACUGUCCAAGACUUGUCUGUGCAUAUCUAAACAUCCAUAACAAUCACUUUGAAGGUUUGUUGCUCCAAUCUUUGGCAAACUGUAAACACUUACAAAUUCUUGAUAUUGGAAACAACGUUGGAGAGCUAGAUGUCCCAGUUAGGGCGGUAAUUCGACUAGAGCAAACCGAGUUUUGAGCGGAGCCAAAUUCGAGCCAAGUUUAAUCGAGUCGAGCCGAGUCGGCUCGUUUAGCUAAUCGAGCCUAAAACUUAGCCCGAACUCGACUCAUUUAAUUUCACGAGUCGAGUCGAGCCAACUCGUUUAGCUAAAUGAGCUGAUUUUAACAAGUCGAGCGAGCGAGCUCGUAUAAUUUUAACUUAGUCGAGCCUGAAUCUCUACCCAAACUAUUGGCUCGUGUAAUUUCGCGAGUCGAAUCGAGCCGGCUCGUUUUAUUAAACAAGCCGAAAUUUUUGCCCGAAUUUGCUCGUUUAACAAGCCGAUCUGAGCCUAGUUAAAUGAGUUCGAGUUAGUCGAGCUCGCGAGCUGCGAGCUCACCUGCCAGCUCUAGUCCUAGUCUUGCAAUCAAAUAGGUUUAACGGUAUAGAAAGUGGAAGGAGCACAAGGCAUCCAUUCCCCAAGGCUAUUUACCAAUUCAGUACUUUGAGGAUACAAAAUCAUUCUGCAGGUACUCUUGUAUCUGUACUUUCUUGUACUGUAUGCCACUUUGACAGUAGAGUAAAAUUUAUAUCGACAAACUGCAUAUGUUCUGAACUACUCCUCUAUCCCAAAUUAGAUGAGCUAGUUGACUUUGAGCACGUAACUUAAGGUACAUUGACCAACUAGUUCCGAUAUUUAUUUUUUUAAUUUUUCUUUUGUAAAUGAAAAUUUCAUAUUUAAAUUUUUAUUUGCAAAACUAAAAUUUAAAAAUAUGUAAUGUGGCUAUGCGGUCAAUGUCAACGAGCUCAUCUAAUUUGGGAUUGGGAUGCAGGGAGUAUUACGUACUAUGUUAUGCAAGCUGUUUACAACUUUCAUCAAAAUUUUCAAACAUUUCUGAAUAUGUAUUUUCAAAGAAUUCUCGGGCACUCUUAAGGCCUAUAAUUAUUGGAACUCUCACGUUAUGGACCAGAGGACCACUAUGUAUUUUACAAGCACGACGAAUCAUGUGGUCAUUAUGGACUCCCCAAGCCUUAGAGGACUCAUUCCAGGUUUUAGGAGGACCACUGCCUAGCUCACCCUUUCGGAGUGAUGUAAAUUAGUUUCCAGACACUAAAAAUAAGUAAUCAGAUUAAUCAUUACAAAAUUUUGAUAUAAAAUCAGAAUAAAUCCUAAACUUUGAUGAUACAAAAAAAAUUAUAAUUGUAAAUUAUACAAUCAAAUUAAGAUCGAAUUAACUUCCCUCACACUUAAAAUUUAUAGCGAUCAAAUCAAAAUCGAAUUAACUUUCCUAUUACUAAAAUUUAAUUACAAUAUUAUUAGAUAAAGAGAAUAUAUAAUAAUCAAGAGAAAAUAGAUUUUUUUUUGCCACUCAACUUAUUGUGUUUUAAGAAACUUACCACCCAACUAAAUUUUUUUCCUUUUGCUCACUAAUGUUAGGUUUGGAUUUGUUUUUAGCCACCAAAUAAGGUUCGGAUUUGAUUACCAGCAUUAUGAUAAUUUUUUUUGUCACUAAACUUAUUGCGUCUUUAGAAACUAACCACUGAACUAAAUUUUUUUUAUUUUACUCACUAAUGUUAGAUUUAGUUUUUUUUGUCACUAUAGUUAGGUUCAGAUUUGAUUAUUAGCAUUACAUUAAUUCUGUGUAGCAUUUUUAAAAUAUGGUAGUAGUCUGUGAUAUUUAGAUGAUUUGAUAUAUGUCUGUAUUUUUAUAUAUAGUAUAUUUUAUGUCCCCAAGGUCGUUUACCUUGGGUCAUAAAAAUUUUACACUCAUUUUAUGACUUUUAAAAGAUGUAGUUUCAUAAAUAAUUUUAUUUUUUUCUUUCGAAUUAAAAUUCAGCAUUUGAAUUUUACACACAAAAAAAUCGCAAGAAUAAGAUAUGAAACUAUGCUUUACAAGAGUCUUAAAAUACGUGCUAAACGGUAGAAAAAACUGUAAACUAAUGAGAGGUACAUAGGGAGUAAUAAUAACAUAAAAUGAUGCACAAUCAUCGAAUUAAGUUUUCCUCUCUCUAUAUAUUUAUUUUGUAAAUUUUAAUAAGAUAAAGUUAUUAAAAUUUAUGAUAUAAAUUUAAGAGAUAUCUUAGAUUGAGUGGCAAAAAUUUAGUUGGGUGGUAAGUUUCUAAAAACACAAUAAAUUGAGUGGGAACAAAAUCUAUUUUCCCAAUAAUGAGUGGGAAUAAAAUCUAUUUUCCCAAUAAUCAAAGUGACGAAAAAUCAAAGUCAUCUAAUAAGUCCAGAAAAAAUAUGACCAUUAGUAUAUUGAAAUAAUAUUCACGCAUUUAUAUACGAGAAUAUAUGGUCCACAAGUUAGUGCACAAUGUCCAAGAAUCUUUAUCAAAUAACACGGCAAGCAUGCAGCAUAUAAAUAAGAGUGGGCAGUAUGGUAUUGCAUUCAUAACCCACUUGAGCAGAAAUAUGGCACACUUCCUAAAGCCUUCUCACCUUCUUCUCUUUGUUUUCUUUCUCUCGUUACUUCAAUCCAUUCUACCAACAAGACCAGAGGGAGAAGCUCUUGUGAAAUGGAAGAAUAGCCUAGCCCCGUCUUCUUUUCUCGAUUCUUGGUCACUAACCAAUCUCGAUAAUCUUUGUAACUGGACUGGCAUUACUUGUAACUCUGCAGGUUCAGUCUCUGGGAUUAACCUUUAUGAGAAACAACUUGAUGGAAUGCUGUCCGAGUUUGGCUUCACUUCAUUUCCGAAUCUCAACAAUCUCACCCUCGCAUACAACUUCUUCUCGGGUCCAAUACCACCAGCCAUUGAGAAUUUAACACAGCUUCAAUAUCUUGAUUUAAGCAUCAAUAGUCUCGAUGGUCCCAUUCCUUUCCAGGUUAGCCAUCUUCAGAGGUUGCUCGUCCUAAACCUGUCACAGAAUGCAUUGCAAGCUCCAAAUUGGUCCCAUUUCUCUUCCAUGCCUUUUUUGCGCAUCCUCAAGCUCAGUAGGAAUCAUCUUGUAUCGAAAUUUCCAGAAUUUAUAUCCAAUUCUCAUAGCUUGGCUAUCCUUGACCUUGGCCAGAACAACUUUACAGGUGAUCUUGUGCGUGAAUUUACCAAUCUACAAAAUCUUGAAACCCUCUGGCUUUAUCGUAAUUCUUUUGAGGGGCCAUUUCCGCCGGAUAUAGUCCAGCUUUCCAAACUAAAAGAUCUUGCCCUGUCAAGUAACAAAUUUUCAGGUUCAGUUCCCAAUAACAUAAGGUUGCUUUGUGAUCUUGAAUACCUAUAUUUAGGCAACAAUUCCUUUAAGGGGCCACUUCCACCAAAUAUAUUUAAGCUUUCAAAAUUAAAACAUCUUGUUCUUUGGAGUAAUAAGUUUUCAGGUUCUGUUUCCAAUGAUAUAGGUUUGCUUCAUGAGCUUGUAACCCUCAAUCUUAACUCUAAUUUUUUUGAGGGGCCGCUUCCGCCAAAUGUAUUCAAGCUCUCCAAACUAAAGUUUUUUGCCCUUCAUGAGAAUAACUUUUCAGGUUUUAUUUCUAAGGAUAUAGGUUUGCUUUCCGAACUUGAAAUCCUCUAUUUUGGCUCUAAUUUUUUUGAGGGGCCGCUUCCUCCACAUGUAUUUAGGCUCUCCAAAUUAAGAGGUCUGGACCUCUCACACAAUAGAAAUUUAUUUGAAGGAAGUAUUCCUAUUGGACUGGGACUCUUGACUAACCUCAGGUACUUAGAUCUACAUUCCAAUAAUCUCGGUGGCUAUAUUCCAUCUGACAUUGGAAACCUGAAGCUACUAGUACUUCUUGAUCUCGGUUCUAAUCAAUUGACUGGACCGCUUUCAAAGAUCGUUUCUAAUCUCACAAAUCUUAUAUGUCUUGAUGUAAGUCAUAAUAGUCUUAGUGGAAAUAUUCAGAGUGACUUGUGGAAAUAUAACGAUCAUCCAACUUUGGAAUACAUCAAUUUAAGUGGGAACCAUUUUACGGGUAUAGUUUUUCUCUAUAGAUCUUUUCCUUUUCUCAUAUGUAACUAAGCUAGUAAUCUGAUUAUUGCAGUUUCACCAAAGUUUCAACAAUCUUGACAGGUGAGCUUCCAACAACAAUUUGCAAUGUCACUUCCCUUUCGGUUCUUGAUUUGUCAAAUAAUGAAUUAAGUGGUGCACUUCCAAACUCUUUGGGGAAUCUUGCUGAUGGAAUGCUUUACCUUAAUCUUGCUAAUAAUCAGUUUCGAGGAACAAUACCAACUACUUUCUCCAGGAGUUGUCGGUUGACAUAUCUAAACAUGGAUAAUAAUGAGUUUGAAGGAUUGUUGCCCCCAUCUUUGGCGAACUGUAAGCACUUGAAAAUUCUUGAUAUAGGCAAUAAUAAAAUAGGUGGUACAUUUCCGUCAUGGCUUUAUGCACUUGGAGAGCUAGAAGUUCUUGUCUUGCGAUCAAAUAAACUCUAUGGUACAAUAAGUGGAAGGAGCAUAGAAGAUCCCUUCCCCAAGUUGCGGAUUGUGGAUCUGUCCCACAAUCAAUUGACAGGCUAUUUGCCAAUUCAAUACUUUAAGAAUAUGAAAUCAACUGAUAAUUUGUAUCGUUAUCAGAAUGACACAGGAGUUUUUUCUUUCCAUUAUGAAGCAUCUGUCUCAUUAACUGUGAAGGGAACAGAGUAUGAAGUGAAAAAUAUCCUUCAUAUUUACACAACCAUUGAUCUGUCCUGCAACAAGUUUCAAGGAGAAAUUCCUGACGUUAUUGGAGAGCUUAGAUGGCUUGCAUUGCUGAACUUAUCUCAUAAUAGUCUAACAGGACAUAUCCCAUCAUUGCUGAGAAAUAUGAAAGGACUCCAAUCUUUAGAUUUGUCUUCAAAUCAACUGAAAGGGGCUAUUCCACUUCAGUUAACUGCAUUGACAUUUCUAGAGGUCUUGAACCUCUCGGGAAACCAUCUUAGUGGAGAGAUUCCUCAGAAAGGGCAGUUCAGCACAUUUAACAUUGAUUCUUAUCUAGGAAACUCCGCGUUAUGUGGUUCACCUUUGAUGAAGAAAUGUGCAAACACAGCAUCACCUCCACAAGAAGCCGGAAAUGGUGAUGAAGAUGAAGCUGGUGAUGAAUUGACAUGGGAAGCAAUCGUGAUGGGAUAUGGAUGUGGACUGAUAUGUGGAUUGUCAUCUGCAUACAUUGUUCUCAAACUAGGAAAGCCUUGGUGGUUUGUGAGAUAUAUCGAAGUACUGCAACAGAAGUUGAUGAAAAGAUAUGCAUGAAGAAAGGUACUGGUAGAUCAAGAUGAACUUGAAAGUUGUUGUCGUGGUAGACAUUUGUGAACCAGUAGUGUACUAGCUGCAUAAGUAUUUGGUAUUAUGUAAUAAUCCGUUUGGUCGGGACUCAAAAUGAUUUCUCUUGCUUCAGGGGUAUUAAUAUUAACCUUGCUAUCUUGAUCAAUGUUAGGGCAAAUUAAAAAGAAUAUAAAAGCAAAAAAUUUGCAUCAAACACCUGUUGUACCAACAUGCAUCCAUUAAUUUGCUUUCAUCUAUUAAGUAACAAUUUAAGAGCGCUUCCACUCUGUUUAAGCAUGGAGAUAACACAAAGAAGGCAAGUCCAUGGACUAAUAUAUUAACACGUAGUCCACAUCUAUGGUAUGAACAAUUCAUAUUGCUCUUCUAUCUGUUCAACAGUCUCCCGAAGAUAGGCCAAAAAUGUCAUCUGUGGUUCUUAUGUUUGUCAGUGAAGGAGAAUCUCUGAUGCCUACACAACCUGGUGUUUUUACAGAAAGGAAUGUAGGUGAAACCAGGGGCGUAAAAUGAAUCAGGACUAAAAUCUGCUAAAAUGAUAAUUAUUUACUCAUCAUUCAAGAUUAGUCGGGCUCAAAGAUUUAUAUGGAUUUUAAGAACAAACUAUGACUAAAUAUGAAAAAAUCAUUAAUUUUUCCGACUCAAUAUUUUUUAGCCUCCCCCGGCCCUGGGUGAAACCAUAAGCUUCUCUGGUGCACAUCCAAAUCAUUCAGUUGGUUCUACUUUCAGCUCACCCACAGGAACAUCAUUCUGCAGGUACUCUUUUAUCUGUACUUUCUUAUAUUGUAUGCCAGUAAAUUUUAUAUCGACAAACUGCACAAUACACCUCGAUCUCAUAUUAUUGACAGGUGAGCUCCUCUCAUAAUGCUCACAGGCGAACCCCUGCAUAUAUACUUUGUGAUGUCAUUGAUGAUCGAUAGACUUGAAAAAAAAUUAUGACAAAGAUUCAUAAAAUAUCUACUUCCAUCCUAAUUCAGUAUUCAAUAUUAUUCAUUCGUAUCAUCAUCCAAUCAAUUCUAAUAGUUCUUCUUUAAAUCAGUACAAAUAUUGUUAAAUACCUGGAUGAUGGUUGUCUUUCCGCGAACCAAUCAUGAAAUUACCUCUGUAUAAAUCCAUCGGAAAUAAGACAGUUAAUAUCCCAAUCGAAUACACCCCGUCAGUUGUCAAACUCCUCGAAACGUAUUAAUCACUUUAGAAAAUUUGUUCCACUGGCGCUAGUCAGUCCCAGAGUUGGUGGUGGGUGCUUCUGGGCUUUCGAAAAGCACCCAUUUACUCCAUUGUUUAGAGAAGUAAAACCCCACCUUCCGCUCAUUUGAUUGAUCAGCUGAAUUAGGCAGAGUUUACAUGGUCAUGAUCAUAGUCUCCCAUAUAUCCCUGAUACGCACAUUAUAGUGGAUUUAUCUUUAUCAGUGAUUUCUGUGGAGAUGCAUAAUCAUUAUAAGCUCCAAUAUAAAAUUUUAAAGUUAGUAUGGGAAUUUGUGUUGAUAAUUUGCGCAAUGUUAACAGGAUUGCUCCCAAGUCUUGGACGGACUCUUUCAAAGUCUUCUCAGGACCCAUCUGCACACUAAUUUGUCUGCCAACUAAAAAAUCAACAAUAUGUUACUCCCUCCGUUUUUCUUAAACUGAGGUUAAAAUUUUUGACACAAGAUGGGUUGACAGUAUAAAAUUAAAAUAUUUGUGAAUAAAAAUUUUGGUUAUAUUUUUUAUUUAAAAAGAAAAUCUUGAAAAUAAUAUUAUUAACUACCAGUCAGAUCACUUAAGUGUAUGUCCAAAAUUAAAGCGGCAUAUAAAAAAAAGGGAGGAAGCAUGUACUAACUGUUUCCAUAACAGUUUACAAGUAUAAGCUAUACCCCCUCUCUAUUUUUUUCUAUGACAGCUUUGAUUUUGGGCACACAUUCUUAAGUGUUUUGACCGGAUAGUUAAAAAUUUAUCUUCUAAAAUUUUUAAAAAAAGUAAAAUCGCAAAAAAAAUUAGAAAGCUGGUAUUUUUGAUAAAUUUCCAAAUAUGUAAUCAAGAAAAAUAACUUUUACUAUCCAAUCAACUCAUUUAAAGAUGUGUGUCAAAAAUCAAAAUAUCAUACAAAAAAUAGGUAUACAUUUUUUUAAUAGAUUAUACUCCCUCUGUUCCAAAAUAAGUGUCAGCUGGGGGUAAUAACAAGACCUUAGUCAACCCAAGCACAGCAGACAGCAGGCAUAAGGCAUCAGGAAUUUCACAGGACCAUUAUCUUUCUCUUAUUAACUGUGAAGGGAACAGCGUAUGAAGUAGCAAGAACCUUCAUAUUUACACAGCCAUUGAUCUGUCGUGCAACAAAUUUCAGGGAGAAAUUCCAAAGGUUACCGGAGAGCUUAGAUGGCUUGCAUUGCUCAAUUUAUCGCAUAAUUAAUAGUCUGACAGGACCUAUCCCAACAUUGCUGAGAAAUAUGAAAUAACUCCAUUACUCCAAUCUUAGAUUUGUCCUCAAAUCAACUGACAGGGGCUAUUCCACCUCUGUUAACUGCAUUGACAUUACUUUUCUCUUUAUAUUCUUUCCUUUUGUAUGUACCUAUGCUAAUUAUCUGAUUAUUAAAAUUAUAACAAAGCUUCAAGAUUUUUAACAGGUGAGCUUCCACUAAAAAUUUGCAAAGUCACUUCCCUUUCGCGUCUCAUUAUGUUAGAUAAUGGGUCAAGUGGUGCACUUCCACAGUGUUUGGGGAACCUUUCUUUGCUUGGUUUCAAUAAUCUUGCUAAUUAUCAAUUUCAAGGACCAAUACCAACGACUGUCCAAGACUUGUCUGUGCAUAUCUAAACAUCCAUAACAAUCACUUUGAAGGUUUGUUGCUCCAAUCUUUGGCAAACUGUAAACACUUACAAAUUCUUGAUAUUGGAAACAACGUUGGAGAGCUAGAUGUCCCAGUUAGGGCGGUAAUUCGACUAGAGCAAACCGAGUUUUGAGCGGAGCCAAAUUCGAGCCAAGUUUAAUCGAGUCGAGCCGAGUCGGCUCGUUUAGCUAAUCGAGCCUAAAACUUAGCCCGAACUCGACUCAUUUAAUUUCACGAGUCGAGUCGAGCCAACUCGUUUAGCUAAAUGAGCUGAUUUUAACAAGUCGAGCGAGCGAGCUCGUAUAAUUUUAACUUAGUCGAGCCUGAAUCUCUACCCAAACUAUUGGCUCGUGUAAUUUCGCGAGUCGAAUCGAGCCGGCUCGUUUUAUUAAACAAGCCGAAAUUUUUGCCCGAAUUUGCUCGUUUAACAAGCCGAUCUGAGCCUAGUUAAAUGAGUUCGAGUUAGUCGAGCUCGCGAGCUGCGAGCUCACCUGCCAGCUCUAGUCCUAGUCUUGCAAUCAAAUAGGUUUAACGGUAUAGAAAGUGGAAGGAGCACAAGGCAUCCAUUCCCCAAGGCUAUUUACCAAUUCAGUACUUUGAGGAUACAAAAUCAUUCUGCAGGUACUCUUGUAUCUGUACUUUCUUGUACUGUAUGCCACUUUGACAGUAGAGUAAAAUUUAUAUCGACAAACUGCAUAUGUUCUGAACUACUCCUCUAUCCCAAAUUAGAUGAGCUAGUUGACUUUGAGCACGUAACUUAAGGUACAUUGACCAACUAGUUCCGAUAUUUAUUUUUUUAAUUUUUCUUUUGUAAAUGAAAAUUUCAUAUUUAAAUUUUUAUUUGCAAAACUAAAAUUUAAAAAUAUGUAAUGUGGCUAUGCGGUCAAUGUCAACGAGCUCAUCUAAUUUGGGAUUGGGAUGCAGGGAGUAUUACGUACUAUGUUAUGCAAGCUGUUUACAACUUUCAUCAAAAUUUUCAAACAUUUCUGAAUAUGUAUUUUCAAAGAAUUCUCGGGCACUCUUAAGGCCUAUAAUUAUUGGAACUCUCACGUUAUGGACCAGAGGACCACUAUGUAUUUUACAAGCACGACGAAUCAUGUGGUCAUUAUGGACUCCCCAAGCCUUAGAGGACUCAUUCCAGGUUUUAGGAGGACCACUGCCUAGCUCACCCUUUCGGAGUGAUGUAAAUUAGUUUCCAGACACUAAAAAUAAGUAAUCAGAUUAAUCAUUACAAAAUUUUGAUAUAAAAUCAGAAUAAAUCCUAAACUUUGAUGAUACAAAAAAAAUUAUAAUUGUAAAUUAUACAAUCAAAUUAAGAUCGAAUUAACUUCCCUCACACUUAAAAUUUAUAGCGAUCAAAUCAAAAUCGAAUUAACUUUCCUAUUACUAAAAUUUAAUUACAAUAUUAUUAGAUAAAGAGAAUAUAUAAUAAUCAAGAGAAAAUAGAUUUUUUUUUGCCACUCAACUUAUUGUGUUUUAAGAAACUUACCACCCAACUAAAUUUUUUUCCUUUUGCUCACUAAUGUUAGGUUUGGAUUUGUUUUUAGCCACCAAAUAAGGUUCGGAUUUGAUUACCAGCAUUAUGAUAAUUUUUUUUGUCACUAAACUUAUUGCGUCUUUAGAAACUAACCACUGAACUAAAUUUUUUUUAUUUUACUCACUAAUGUUAGAUUUAGUUUUUUUUGUCACUAUAGUUAGGUUCAGAUUUGAUUAUUAGCAUUACAUUAAUUCUGUGUAGCAUUUUUAAAAUAUGGUAGUAGUCUGUGAUAUUUAGAUGAUUUGAUAUAUGUCUGUAUUUUUAUAUAUAGUAUAUUUUAUGUCCCCAAGGUCGUUUACCUUGGGUCAUAAAAAUUUUACACUCAUUUUAUGACUUUUAAAAGAUGUAGUUUCAUAAAUAAUUUUAUUUUUUUCUUUCGAAUUAAAAUUCAGCAUUUGAAUUUUACACACAAAAAAAUCGCAAGAAUAAGAUAUGAAACUAUGCUUUACAAGAGUCUUAAAAUACGUGCUAAACGGUAGAAAAAACUGUAAACUAAUGAGAGGUACAUAGGGAGUAAUAAUAACAUAAAAUGAUGCACAAUCAUCGAAUUAAGUUUUCCUCUCUCUAUAUAUUUAUUUUGUAAAUUUUAAUAAGAUAAAGUUAUUAAAAUUUAUGAUAUAAAUUUAAGAGAUAUCUUAGAUUGAGUGGCAAAAAUUUAGUUGGGUGGUAAGUUUCUAAAAACACAAUAAAUUGAGUGGGAACAAAAUCUAUUUUCCCAAUAAUGAGUGGGAAUAAAAUCUAUUUUCCCAAUAAUCAAAGUGACGAAAAAUCAAAGUCAUCUAAUAAGUCCAGAAAAAAUAUGACCAUUAGUAUAUUGAAAUAAUAUUCACGCAUUUAUAUACGAGAAUAUAUGGUCCACAAGUUAGUGCACAAUGUCCAAGAAUCUUUAUCAAAUAACACGGCAAGCAUGCAGCAUAUAAAUAAGAGUGGGCAGUAUGGUAUUGCAUUCAUAACCCACUUGAGCAGAAAUAUGGCACACUUCCUAAAGCCUUCUCACCUUCUUCUCUUUGUUUUCUUUCUCUCGUUACUUCAAUCCAUUCUACCAACAAGACCAGAGGGAGAAGCUCUUGUGAAAUGGAAGAAUAGCCUAGCCCCGUCUUCUUUUCUCGAUUCUUGGUCACUAACCAAUCUCGAUAAUCUUUGUAACUGGACUGGCAUUACUUGUAACUCUGCAGGUUCAGUCUCUGGGAUUAACCUUUAUGAGAAACAACUUGAUGGAAUGCUGUCCGAGUUUGGCUUCACUUCAUUUCCGAAUCUCAACAAUCUCACCCUCGCAUACAACUUCUUCUCGGGUCCAAUACCACCAGCCAUUGAGAAUUUAACACAGCUUCAAUAUCUUGAUUUAAGCAUCAAUAGUCUCGAUGGUCCCAUUCCUUUCCAGGUUAGCCAUCUUCAGAGGUUGCUCGUCCUAAACCUGUCACAGAAUGCAUUGCAAGCUCCAAAUUGGUCCCAUUUCUCUUCCAUGCCUUUUUUGCGCAUCCUCAAGCUCAGUAGGAAUCAUCUUGUAUCNUUUUUAUUUAAAAAGAAAAUCUUGAAAAUAAUAUUAUUAACUACCAGUCAGAUCACUUAAGUGUAUGUCCAAAAUUAAAGCGGCAUAUAAAAAAAAGGGAGGAAGCAUGUACUAACUGUUUCCAUAACAGUUUACAAGUAUAAGCUAUACCCCCUCUCUAUUUUUUUCUAUGACAGCUUUGAUUUUGGGCACACAUUCUUAAGUGUUUUGACCGGAUAGUUAAAAAUUUAUCUUCUAAAAUUUUUAAAAAAAGUAAAAUCGCAAAAAAAAUUAGAAAGCUGGUAUUUUUGAUAAAUUUCCAAAUAUGUAAUCAAGAAAAAUAACUUUUACUAUCCAAUCAACUCAUUUAAAGAUGUGUGUCAAAAAUCAAAAUAUCAUACAAAAAAUAGGUAUACAUUUUUUUAAUAGAUUAUACUCCCUCUGUUCCAAAAUAAGUGUCAGCUGGGGGUAAUAACAAGACCUUAGUCAACCCAAGCACAGCAGACAGCAGGCAUAAGGCAUCAGGAAUUUCACAGGACCAUUAUCUUUCUCUUAUUAACUGUGAAGGGAACAGCGUAUGAAGUAGCAAGAACCUUCAUAUUUACACAGCCAUUGAUCUGUCGUGCAACAAAUUUCAGGGAGAAAUUCCAAAGGUUACCGGAGAGCUUAGAUGGCUUGCAUUGCUCAAUUUAUCGCAUAAUUAAUAGUCUGACAGGACCUAUCCCAACAUUGCUGAGAAAUAUGAAAUAACUCCAUUACUCCAAUCUUAGAUUUGUCCUCAAAUCAACUGACAGGGGCUAUUCCACCUCUGUUAACUGCAUUGACAUUACUUUUCUCUUUAUAUUCUUUCCUUUUGUAUGUACCUAUGCUAAUUAUCUGAUUAUUAAAAUUAUAACAAAGCUUCAAGAUUUUUAACAGGUGAGCUUCCACUAAAAAUUUGCAAAGUCACUUCCCUUUCGCGUCUCAUUAUGUUAGAUAAUGGGUCAAGUGGUGCACUUCCACAGUGUUUGGGGAACCUUUCUUUGCUUGGUUUCAAUAAUCUUGCUAAUUAUCAAUUUCAAGGACCAAUACCAACGACUGUCCAAGACUUGUCUGUGCAUAUCUAAACAUCCAUAACAAUCACUUUGAAGGUUUGUUGCUCCAAUCUUUGGCAAACUGUAAACACUUACAAAUUCUUGAUAUUGGAAACAACGUUGGAGAGCUAGAUGUCCCAGUUAGGGCGGUAAUUCGACUAGAGCAAACCGAGUUUUGAGCGGAGCCAAAUUCGAGCCAAGUUUAAUCGAGUCGAGCCGAGUCGGCUCGUUUAGCUAAUCGAGCCUAAAACUUAGCCCGAACUCGACUCAUUUAAUUUCACGAGUCGAGUCGAGCCAACUCGUUUAGCUAAAUGAGCUGAUUUUAACAAGUCGAGCGAGCGAGCUCGUAUAAUUUUAACUUAGUCGAGCCUGAAUCUCUACCCAAACUAUUGGCUCGUGUAAUUUCGCGAGUCGAAUCGAGCCGGCUCGUUUUAUUAAACAAGCCGAAAUUUUUGCCCGAAUUUGCUCGUUUAACAAGCCGAUCUGAGCCUAGUUAAAUGAGUUCGAGUUAGUCGAGCUCGCGAGCUGCGAGCUCACCUGCCAGCUCUAGUCCUAGUCUUGCAAUCAAAUAGGUUUAACGGUAUAGAAAGUGGAAGGAGCACAAGGCAUCCAUUCCCCAAGGCUAUUUACCAAUUCAGUACUUUGAGGAUACAAAAUCAUUCUGCAGGUACUCUUGUAUCUGUACUUUCUUGUACUGUAUGCCACUUUGACAGUAGAGUAAAAUUUAUAUCGACAAACUGCAUAUGUUCUGAACUACUCCUCUAUCCCAAAUUAGAUGAGCUAGUUGACUUUGAGCACGUAACUUAAGGUACAUUGACCAACUAGUUCCGAUAUUUAUUUUUUUAAUUUUUCUUUUGUAAAUGAAAAUUUCAUAUUUAAAUUUUUAUUUGCAAAACUAAAAUUUAAAAAUAUGUAAUGUGGCUAUGCGGUCAAUGUCAACGAGCUCAUCUAAUUUGGGAUUGGGAUGCAGGGAGUAUUACGUACUAUGUUAUGCAAGCUGUUUACAACUUUCAUCAAAAUUUUCAAACAUUUCUGAAUAUGUAUUUUCAAAGAAUUCUCGGGCACUCUUAAGGCCUAUAAUUAUUGGAACUCUCACGUUAUGGACCAGAGGACCACUAUGUAUUUUACAAGCACGACGAAUCAUGUGGUCAUUAUGGACUCCCCAAGCCUUAGAGGACUCAUUCCAGGUUUUAGGAGGACCACUGCCUAGCUCACCCUUUCGGAGUGAUGUAAAUUAGUUUCCAGACACUAAAAAUAAGUAAUCAGAUUAAUCAUUACAAAAUUUUGAUAUAAAAUCAGAAUAAAUCCUAAACUUUGAUGAUACAAAAAAAAUUAUAAUUGUAAAUUAUACAAUCAAAUUAAGAUCGAAUUAACUUCCCUCACACUUAAAAUUUAUAGCGAUCAAAUCAAAAUCGAAUUAACUUUCCUAUUACUAAAAUUUAAUUACAAUAUUAUUAGAUAAAGAGAAUAUAUAAUAAUCAAGAGAAAAUAGAUUUUUUUUUGCCACUCAACUUAUUGUGUUUUAAGAAACUUACCACCCAACUAAAUUUUUUUCCUUUUGCUCACUAAUGUUAGGUUUGGAUUUGUUUUUAGCCACCAAAUAAGGUUCGGAUUUGAUUACCAGCAUUAUGAUAAUUUUUUUUGUCACUAAACUUAUUGCGUCUUUAGAAACUAACCACUGAACUAAAUUUUUUUUAUUUUACUCACUAAUGUUAGAUUUAGUUUUUUUUGUCACUAUAGUUAGGUUCAGAUUUGAUUAUUAGCAUUACAUUAAUUCUGUGUAGCAUUUUUAAAAUAUGGUAGUAGUCUGUGAUAUUUAGAUGAUUUGAUAUAUGUCUGUAUUUUUAUAUAUAGUAUAUUUUAUGUCCCCAAGGUCGUUUACCUUGGGUCAUAAAAAUUUUACACUCAUUUUAUGACUUUUAAAAGAUGUAGUUUCAUAAAUAAUUUUAUUUUUUUCUUUCGAAUUAAAAUUCAGCAUUUGAAUUUUACACACAAAAAAAUCGCAAGAAUAAGAUAUGAAACUAUGCUUUACAAGAGUCUUAAAAUACGUGCUAAACGGUAGAAAAAACUGUAAACUAAUGAGAGGUACAUAGGGAGUAAUAAUAACAUAAAAUGAUGCACAAUCAUCGAAUUAAGUUUUCCUCUCUCUAUAUAUUUAUUUUGUAAAUUUUAAUAAGAUAAAGUUAUUAAAAUUUAUGAUAUAAAUUUAAGAGAUAUCUUAGAUUGAGUGGCAAAAAUUUAGUUGGGUGGUAAGUUUCUAAAAACACAAUAAAUUGAGUGGGAACAAAAUCUAUUUUCCCAAUAAUGAGUGGGAAUAAAAUCUAUUUUCCCAAUAAUCAAAGUGACGAAAAAUCAAAGUCAUCUAAUAAGUCCAGAAAAAAUAUGACCAUUAGUAUAUUGAAAUAAUAUUCACGCAUUUAUAUACGAGAAUAUAUGGUCCACAAGUUAGUGCACAAUGUCCAAGAAUCUUUAUCAAAUAACACGGCAAGCAUGCAGCAUAUAAAUAAGAGUGGGCAGUAUGGUAUUGCAUUCAUAACCCACUUGAGCAGAAAUAUGGCACACUUCCUAAAGCCUUCUCACCUUCUUCUCUUUGUUUUCUUUCUCUCGUUACUUCAAUCCAUUCUACCAACAAGACCAGAGGGAGAAGCUCUUGUGAAAUGGAAGAAUAGCCUAGCCCCGUCUUCUUUUCUCGAUUCUUGGUCACUAACCAAUCUCGAUAAUCUUUGUAACUGGACUGGCAUUACUUGUAACUCUGCAGGUUCAGUCUCUGGGAUUAACCUUUAUGAGAAACAACUUGAUGGAAUGCUGUCCGAGUUUGGCUUCACUUCAUUUCCGAAUCUCAACAAUCUCACCCUCGCAUACAACUUCUUCUCGGGUCCAAUACCACCAGCCAUUGAGAAUUUAACACAGCUUCAAUAUCUUGAUUUAAGCAUCAAUAGUCUCGAUGGUCCCAUUCCUUUCCAGGUUAGCCAUCUUCAGAGGUUGCUCGUCCUAAACCUGUCACAGAAUGCAUUGCAAGCUCCAAAUUGGUCCCAUUUCUCUUCCAUGCCUUUUUUGCGCAUCCUCAAGCUCAGUAGGAAUCAUCUUGUAUCGAAAUUUCCAGAAUUUAUAUCCAAUUCUCAUAGCUUGGCUAUCCUUGACCUUGGCCAGAACAACUUUACAGGUGAUCUUGUGCGUGAAUUUACCAAUCUACAAAAUCUUGAAACCCUCUGGCUUUAUCGUAAUUCUUUUGAGGGGCCAUUUCCGCCGGAUAUAGUCCAGCUUUCCAAACUAAAAGAUCUUGCCCUGUCAAGUAACAAAUUUUCAGGUUCAGUUCCCAAUAACAUAAGGUUGCUUUGUGAUCUUGAAUACCUAUAUUUAGGCAACAAUUCCUUUAAGGGGCCACUUCCACCAAAUAUAUUUAAGCUUUCAAAAUUAAAACAUCUUGUUCUUUGGAGUAAUAAGUUUUCAGGUUCUGUUUCCAAUGAUAUAGGUUUGCUUCAUGAGCUUGUAACCCUCAAUCUUAACUCUAAUUUUUUUGAGGGGCCGCUUCCGCCAAAUGUAUUCAAGCUCUCCAAACUAAAGUUUUUUGCCCUUCAUGAGAAUAACUUUUCAGGUUUUAUUUCUAAGGAUAUAGGUUUGCUUUCCGAACUUGAAAUCCUCUAUUUUGGCUCUAAUUUUUUUGAGGGGCCGCUUCCUCCACAUGUAUUUAGGCUCUCCAAAUUAAGAGGUCUGGACCUCUCACACAAUAGAAAUUUAUUUGAAGGAAGUAUUCCUAUUGGACUGGGACUCUUGACUAACCUCAGGUACUUAGAUCUACAUUCCAAUAAUCUCGGUGGCUAUAUUCCAUCUGACAUUGGAAACCUGAAGCUACUAGUACUUCUUGAUCUCGGUUCUAAUCAAUUGACUGGACCGCUUUCAAAGAUCGUUUCUAAUCUCACAAAUCUUAUAUGUCUUGAUGUAAGUCAUAAUAGUCUUAGUGGAAAUAUUCAGAGUGACUUGUGGAAAUAUAACGAUCAUCCAACUUUGGAAUACAUCAAUUUAAGUGGGAACCAUUUUACGGGUAUAGUUUUUCUCUAUAGAUCUUUUCCUUUUCUCAUAUGUAACUAAGCUAGUAAUCUGAUUAUUGCAGUUUCACCAAAGUUUCAACAAUCUUGACAGGUGAGCUUCCAACAACAAUUUGCAAUGUCACUUCCCUUUCGGUUCUUGAUUUGUCAAAUAAUGAAUUAAGUGGUGCACUUCCAAACUCUUUGGGGAAUCUUGCUGAUGGAAUGCUUUACCUUAAUCUUGCUAAUAAUCAGUUUCGAGGAACAAUACCAACUACUUUCUCCAGGAGUUGUCGGUUGACAUAUCUAAACAUGGAUAAUAAUGAGUUUGAAGGAUUGUUGCCCCCAUCUUUGGCGAACUGUAAGCACUUGAAAAUUCUUGAUAUAGGCAAUAAUAAAAUAGGUGGUACAUUUCCGUCAUGGCUUUAUGCACUUGGAGAGCUAGAAGUUCUUGUCUUGCGAUCAAAUAAACUCUAUGGUACGAUAAGUGGAAGGAGCAUAGAAGAUCCCUUCCCCAAGUUGCGGAUUGUGGAUCUGUCCCACAAUCAAUUGACAGGCUAUUUGCCAAUUCAAUACUUUAAGAAUAUGAAAUCAACUGAUAAUUUGUAUCGUUAUCGGAAUUCCACAGGACCAUUAUCUUUCUCUUAUGAAGCAGCAGUCUCAUUAACUGUGAAGGGAACAGAGUACGAGGUAGCAAAGAACCUUCAUAUUUACACAGCCAUUGACCUGUCGUGCAACAAAUUUCAGGGAGAAAUUCCAAAGGUUACUGGAGAGCUUAGAUGGCUUGCAUUGCUGAAUUUAUCUCAUAAUAGUCUGACAGGACCUAUCCCAUCCUUGCUGAAAAAUAUGAAAGAACUCCAAUCUUUAGAUUUGUCCUCAAAUCAACUGACAGGGGCUAUUCCACCUCAGUUAACUGCAUUGACAUUUCUGGAGGUCUUCAACCUCUCGGGAAACCAUCUUAGUGGAGAGAUUCCUCAGAAAGGGCAGUUCAGCACAUUUAACAAUGAUUCUUAUCUAGGAAACUCCGCGUUAUGUGGAUCACCUUUGACAAAGAAAUGUGCAAACACAGCAUCACCUCCACAAGAAGUCGGAAAUGGUGAUGAAGAUGAUGCUGGUGAUGAAUGGACAUGGGAAGCAAUCGUGAUGGGAUAUGGAUGUGGACUGAUAUGUGGAUUGUCAUCUGCGUACAUUGUUCUCAAACUAGGAAAGCCUUGGUGGUUUGUGAGAUAUAUCGAAGUGCUGCAACUGAAGUUGAUGAAAAGAUAUGCUUGAAAAAUUGUACUGGCCGAUCAAGACGAACUUGAAAGUUGUUGUCCUUGUGGACAUUUCUGAACCAGUAGUGUACUAGCUGCAUAAGUAUUUGGUAUUAUGUAAUAAUCCGUUUGGUCAGGACUCAUAAUGAUUUCUCUUGCUUCAGGGGUAUUAAUAUUAACCUUGCUAGUUAAUUCAAAUUAAAACAAAUAUAAAAUCAAAAAAUUUGCAUCAAACACCUGUUAUACCAACAUCCAUUAAUUUGCUUUCAUCUCUUACGUAACAAUUUAACAGCGAUUCCACACUGUUUUAGGCAUGGAGAUUACACAAAGAAGGCAAGUCCAUGAACUAAUAUAUUAACCCGUAGUCCACAUCUAUGCUACGAACAAUUCAUAUUGGUCUUCCAUCUAUUCAACCGUCUCCCGAAGAUAGGCCAAAAAUGUCAUCUGUGGUUCUUAUCUUUGUCAGUAAAGGAGAAUCUCUGAUGCCUAUACAACCUGGUUUUCUUACAGAAAGGAAUGUAGGUGAAACCAGGGGCAUAAAAUGAAUCGGGACUAAAAUCUGCUAAAAUGAUAAUUAUUUACUCAUCAUUCGAGAUUAGUCGGGCUCAAAUGAAGAUUUAUAUGGAUUUUAAGAACAAACUAUGACUAAAUAUGAAAACUAGACAACCUGGUUUUCUUACAGAAAGGAAUGUAGGUGAAACCAGGGGCGUAAAAUGAAUCGGGACUAAAAUCUGCUAAAAUGAUAGUAAUUAUUUACUCAUCAUUCAAGAUUAGUCGGGCUCAAAUGAAGAUUUAUAUGGAUUUUUAAGAACAAACUAUGACUAAAUAUGAAAAAAAUCAUUAAUUUUUCCGACUCAAUAUUUUUUAGCCUCCCCCGGCCCUGGGUGAAACCAUAAGCUUCUCUGGUGCACAUCCAAAUCAUUCAGCUGGUUCUGCAGGUACUCUUCUAUCUGUACUUUCUUAUAUUGUUUGCCAGUACAUUUUAUAUCGACAAACUGCACAAUACACCUCGAUCUCAUACACAGGUGAACUCCUGCAUAUGCUUUGUGAUGUCAUUGAUGAUCGAUAGACUUGAAAAAAAAUUAUGACAAAGAUUCAUAAAAUAUCUACUUCCAUCCUAAUUCAGUAUUCAAUAUUAUUCAUCCCGUAUCAUCAUCCAAUCAAUUCUAAUAGUUCUUCUUUAAAUCAGUACAAAUAUUGUUAAAUACCUCGAUGAUGGUUGUCUUCCCGUGAACCAAUCAUAAAAUUACCUCUGUAUAAAUCCAUCGGAAAUAAGACAGUUAAUAUCCCAAUCGAAUACACCCCGUCAGUUGUCAAACUCCUCGAAACGUAUUAAUCACUUUAGAAAAUUUGUUCCACUGGCGCUAGUCAGUCCCAGAGUUGGUGGUGGGUGCUUCUGGGCUUUCGAAAAACACCCAUUUACUCCAUUGUUUAGAGAAGUAAAACCCCACCUUCCGCUCAUUUGAUUGAUCAGCUGAAUUAGGCAGAGUUUACAUGGUCAUGAUCAUAGUCUCCCAUUUCCCAGAUACGCGAAUUAUAGUGGAUUUAUCUUUAUCAGUAAUUUCUGUGGAGAUGCAUAAUCAUUAUAAGCUCCAAUAUAAAAAUUUAAAGUUAGUAUGGGCAUUUGUGUUGAUAAUUUGCGCAAUGUUAACAGGAUUGCUCCCAAGUCUUGGACGGACUCUUUCAAAGUCUUCUCAGGACCCAUCUGCACACUGAUUUGUCUGCCAACUAAAAAAUCAACAAUAUGUUACUCACUCCGUUUUUCUUAAACGAGGUUAAAAUUUUUGACACAAGAUGGGUUGACAGUAUAAUAAAAUUAACAUUUUUGUGAAUAAAAAUUUUGGUUGUAUUAUUUUAUUUAGAAAAAGAAAAUCUUGAAAAUAAUAUUAUUAACUACCCAGUCAAAUCACUUAAAAGUAUAUGUCCAAAAUUAAAGCGGCAUAUAAAAAAACCGAGAGAGAGUAUGUACUAACCUGUUUCCAUAACAGUUUACAAGUAUAAGUUAUACUCCCUCUCUAUUUUUUUAUAUGACGCUUUGAUUUUGGGCACAUAUUUUUAAGUGUUUUGACCGGAUAAUUAAAAAUAUUAUUUUCUAAAAUUUUUAAAAGAAAGUAAAAUUGAAAAAAAAAUAGAAAGCUGGUAUUUUUGAUAAAUUUCCAAACAUAAUCAAGAACAAUAAUUUUUACUAUCCAAUCAACUCAUUUACAGAUGUGUGUCAAAAAUCAAAAUAUCAUAUAAAAAACAACAAUAUGUUACUCCCUCCGUUUUUCUUAAACUGAGGUUAAAAUUUUUGACACAAGAUGGGUUGACAGUAUAAAAUUAAAAUUUUUGUGAAUAAAAAUUUUGGUUAUAUUUUUUAUUUAAAAAGAAAAUCUUGAAAAUAAUAUUAUUAACUACCAGUCAGAUCACUUAAGUGUAUGUCCAAAAUUAAAGCGGCAUAUAAAAAAAAGGGAGGAAGCAUGUACUAACUGUUUCCAUAACAGUUUACAAGUACAAGUUAUACUCCCUCUCUAUUUUUUCUAUGACGCUUUGAUUUUGGGCACACAUUCUUAAGUGUUUUGACCGGAUAGUUAAAAAUUUAUCUUCUAAAAUUUUUAAAAAGAAGUAAAAUCGCAAAAAAAAUUAGAAAGCUGGUAUUUUUGAUAAAUUUCCAAAUAUGUAAUCAAGAACAAUAACUUUUACUAUCCAAUCAACUCAUUUAAAGAUGUGUGUCAAAAAUCAAAAUAUCAUACAAAAAAUAGGUAUACAUUUUUUUUAAUAGAUUAUACUCCCUCUGUUCCAAAAUAAUUGUCAGCUGUGACAUUUUGCAAAAGUAGCUGGGGGGUAAUAACAAGACCUUAGUCAACCCAAGCACAGCAGACAGCAGGCAUAAGGCAUCAGGAAUUUCACAGCACCAUUAUCUUUCUCUUAUUAACUGUGAAGGGAACAGAGUAUGAAGUAGCAAGAACCUUCAUAUUUACACAGCCAUUGAUCUGUCGUGCAACGAAUUUCAGGGAGAAAUUUCAAAGGUUACUGGAGAGCUUAGAUGGCUUGCAUUGCUCAAUUUAUCUCAUAAUAGUCUCACAGGACCUAUCCCAUCAUUGCUGAGAAAAAUGAAAGAACUCCAAUCUUUAGAUUUGUCCUCAAAUCAACUGACAGGGGCUAUUCCACCUCAGUUAACUGCAUUGACAUUACUUUUCUCUUUAUAUCCUUUCCUUUUGUAUGUACCUAUGCUAAUUAUCUGAUUAUCAAAAUUAUAACAAAGCUUCAAGAUUUUUAACAGGUGAGCUUCCACUAAAAAUUUGCAAAGUCACUUCCCUUUCGCGUCUCAUUAUGUCAGAUAAUGGGUCAAGUGGUGCACAUCCACAGUGUUUGGGGAACCUUUCUUUGCUUGGUUUCAAUAAUCUUGCUAAUUAUCAAUUUCAAGGACCAAUACCAACGACUGUCCAAGACUUGUCUGUGCAUAUCUAAACAUCCAUAACAAUCACUUUGAAGGUUUGUUGCUGCAAUCUUUGACAAACUGUAAACACUUACAAAUUCUUGAUAUUGGAAACAACAAAAUAGGUGGUACAUUUCGGUCAUGGCUAUUUAUUUUGGAGAGCUAGAUGUCCUAGUUAGGGCGGUAAUUCAACUAGAGCAAACCGAGUUUUGAGCGGAGCCAAAUUCGAGCCAAGUUUAAUCGAGUCAAGCCGAGUCGGCUCGUUUAGCUAAUCGAGCCUAAAACUCUGCCCGAACUCGACUCGUUUAAUUUCACGAACGAGUCAAGCGAGUGAGCUCGUAUAAUUUUAACUUAAUCGAGCCUAAAUCUCUACCCGAACUAUUGGCUCGUGUAAUUUCGCGAGUAGAAUCGAGCCGGCUCGUUUUAUUAUAGAAGCCGAAAUUUUUGCCCGAAUUUGGCUUGUUUAACAAGCCGAUCUUUCAUCAAAAAUUUCAAACAUUUCUGAAUAUGUAUUUUCAGAGAAUUUCUCCAGCACUCUUAAGGCCUAUAAUUAUUGCAACUCUCACGUUAUGGACCACUGUGUAUUUUACAAGCACGACGAAUCAUGUUGUCAUUAUGGACUCCCCAAGCCUUAGAGGACUCAUUCCAGGUCUUAGGAGGACCACUGCCUAGCUCACCCUUUCGGAGUGAUGUAAAUUAUUUUCCAAACAUUAAAAAUAAAUAAUCAGAUUAAUCAAUACAAAAUUAAAGAUAUAAAAUCAGAAUAAAUCCUAAACUUUGAAUAUACAAAAAAAAUUAUAAUUGUAAAUUAUACAAUCAAAUUAAAAUUGAAUUAACUUCCCUCACACUUAAAAUUUAUAGCGAUCAAAUCAAAAUCGAAUUAACUUUCCUAUUACUAAAAUUUAGUUACAAUAUUAUUAGAUAAAGAGAAUAUAUAAUAAUCAAGGGAAAAUAGAUUUUUUUUUUUUGCCACUCAACUUAUUGUUUUUUAAGAAACUUACCACCCAACUAAUUAUUUUUUCCUUUUGCUCACUAAUGUUAGGUUUGGAUUUGUUUUUAGCCACCAACUAAGGUUCGGAUUUGAUUACUAGCAUUAUGAUAAUUUUUUUUGUCACUAAACUUAUUGUGUCUUUAGAAACUAACCACUCAACUAAUUUUUUUUUAAUUUACUCACUAAUGUUAGGUUCAGUUUUUUUUUGUCACUGAAGUUAGGUUCGGAUUUGAUUAUUAGCAUUACAUUAAUUCUGUGUAGCAUUUUUAAAAUAUGGCUCAUAAGAAUUUUACACGCAUUUUAUGACUUUUAAAAGAUGUAGUUUCAUUAAUAAUUUUAUUUUUUUCUUCCGAAUUAAAAUUUAGCGUUUGAAUUUUACACACAAAAAAUCGAAAGAAUAAGUUAUGAAAGUAUGCUUUAUAAGAGUCUUAAAAUACGUGCUAAACGGUAGAAAAAACUGUACACUAAUGACAGGUAAAUAGGGAGUAAUAAUAACAUAAAAUGAUGCACAAUCAUCGAAUUAAGUUUUCCUCUCUCUAUAUAUUUAUUUUGAAAAUUUUAAUAAGAUAAAGUUAUUAAAAUUUAUGAUAUAAAUUUAAGAGAUAUCUUAGAUUGAGUGGCAAAAAUUUAGUUGGGUGAUAAAUUUCUAAAAACACAAUAAAUUGAAUGGGAACAAAAUCUAUUUUCCCGAUAAUCAAAGUGACGAAAAAUCAAAGUCAUCUAAUAAGUCCAGAAAAAAUAUGACCAUUAGUAUAUCGGAAUAAUAUUCACACAUUUAUAUACGAGAAUAUAUGGUCCACAAGUUAGUGCACAAUGUCCAAGAAUCUUUAUUAAAGUAACACGGCAAGCAUGCAGCAUAUAAAUAAGAGUGGGCACUGGGCAGUAUGGUAUUGCAUUCAUAACCCACUUGAGGAGAAAUAUGGCACACUUCCUAAAGCCUUCUCACCUUCUUCUCUUUGUUUUCUUUCUCUCGUUACUUCAAUCCAUUCUACUAACAAGACCAGAGGGAGAAGCUCUUGUGAAAUGGAAGAAUAGCCUUGCCCCUUCUUCUUUUCUCGAUUCUUGGUCACUCACCAAUCUCGAUGAUCUUUGUAACUGGACUGGCAUUACUUGUAACUCUGCAGGUUCAGUCUCUGAGAUUAACCUUUAUGAGAAACAACUUGAUGGAAUGCUGUCCGAGUUUAGUUUCACUUCAUUUCCAAAUCUUAACAGUCUCACUCUCGCAUACAACUUCUUCUCGGGUCCAAUACCACCAGCCAUUGAGAAUUUAACACAGCUUCAAUAUCUUGAUUUAAGCAUCAAUAGUCUCGAUGGUCUCAUUCCGUUCCAGGUUAGCCAUCUUCAGAGGUUGCUCGUCUUAAACCUGUCACAGAAUGCAUUGCAAGCUCCAAAUUGGUCCCAA
rnacentral:lncRNA from 1 species